UGCACUUUCUUAACCAUUUGACCAUCACCUAGCAGACAAUGAACACGUUAGCUCCGCGUUAGAACAUCUUGGGUUCAAUUCAUUGUCUUGAAUAUCACCCUCUGUCACAGGCGUCUCUAGGGGGCAUAGAGAAGGCCUGAGAGGCAUUUGCAGACAUUCAACAUCACCUCCAAGCAUUUUGACAACUUUGGACAUCGAAGGGCGAUCACUUGGUUUCAUUUGAAUACACCAUAAGGCGGUUAUAACCAUCCUUCUUAUUACUUUCUUUUCCUCCUCUGUAACAUUGUCCGUUUCCAAGUUAUUUCCCACAAUAUACUGAUCGUAUACCCACAUUGGGAAGUAGAUUUGGCUUGAAUGCUCUACCGUUGGAUUCAAAUUCUUCCUUCUGCUUGCCAUCUCCAUCAACAACAUUCCAAAACUAUAGACAUCUGACUUGUAUGAGACACCUCCAAUAUUUUUGUAGAACAACUCAGGAGCAAUAUAUCCCAGUGUACCUCGUGCUGCCGUCAAAGAGACAAUGCUAUUAUCUACAGGAUACAAUUUUGCAAGCCCAAAGUCAGAAACCUUUGCUUUAAAGUUCUCAUCAAGAAGGAUGUUAUGAGGCUUGAUGUCGAAAUGUAGAAUUUGCAUUUCGCAACCUUGGUGUAGAUAUUCGAUCCCUUGAGCCACUCCAAGAGAAAUCUUGUACAUGUUCUUGAUAGUUAAGGGGACACUUCCUUCUUUGGAAUAAAUGUAUUUAUCAAGAGAACCAUUAGGCAUGAAGUCAUAUACUAGAGCGCGUUUUGAUCCCUCAACACAGUAUCCAACAAGUUGCACCACAUUGGCAUGGUGAAUCCUUCCGAUUGUAGCUAUUUCGCUAAUGAAAUCUUGGCCAUCAGCUUUGGGCUUGCCCAAAACUUUGAUUGCUACAAAUCGACCACUGCGUAGCUUUCCCUUAAAUACAGAGCCAAAGCCACCUUCGCCCAACUUGUCCUUAAAUCUGCGAGUCAUUUUCUUGACGUCCGAGUAGGAGUACCUUAUAGGCAUGAAGUUGUUAUUGCAUUGCAGAAAAUCUUCUAUUGUGCUAUACAUUGAUAAAUGUCUUCUGCGCCAUGUGUAGAUUAGAAAUGCAGUCACAACUGGAACUCCAAAAACAAAUCUGGCUGGGAAAAAUAACCCUGCAUGCAUUGACAUUAAUACGUUAGAUCCACUGUGUACUACUUUUUCUUCCCUUUCUUUCCAAAUUACUUUGUCUUUGAUGUAAUUAAAGAGAAAGAAUGGGAAAUCUACAUAUGUUGAUAAUACAAUCUCGUCUUAGUCCUUACCGAUGCAUAUGAGUAUAAACCAUCUACGUGCUGUAACAAAAUCAAUCGACUAUGAGUUUGAAAAGUGCAUAAAGUGAAAAAUAAAUAAAUAAAUAAAAUCAAAGGGUGCCUUUAUUGACACCCAAAUUUUAGUUAGCUUUACUCAACUAAAAAAAUUUUGUCAAACUUUUUAAUUUGCCGUCGAAAUUGAGUUCACCCAACCCACAAAGCAACAACUACCACUCACCAAAAAAACCAACAACACACAUCCACCAGUACCACUCACCAAUAGAAAGAGAAGGAACACACAGACCCACCAAGGAGCCGGCAUCGACGCAUCUACGAGGGAGGGACCGGAGGGUGGUGUAGUUUUGUUGGGCGCGCGGUAGUUGUUUUGUCUGUUCAUUUUCUCUUUCUUUUGGUAGGUGGAGGCUGCUGUGGAUUUGGGCGAACUUAAAAAUGAGGGGAAACUAUGAAGUUUGACAAAAUGUUUUAGUUAGGGGAACUUAACUAAAAUUUGGGUGCCGAUAAAGAUACCCAAUAUAAAAAAUACUUGAGCGUAUAGACUAAUUAAAUGAAGUUGAUCUUACCGAUCGGGUGGCUGUAUGAUGAAUACAACUUGCCAGCUGCAAUAGAUACCACAGAAAAGUGAGCAAAGACAUACAGUUACUAGGUUUAAGAAGUACAGAUAGAGCACACAAAAAUAAAAGAAGCUUUUGGAGAGAAACUUCUUACGCAAAUAUAUGUAUUCAUGACCUACAGUGAAAAUUGUGAAGAAGAAUACACAACAUUAGCAAUAGCUCACCCAGUCUUCAGAAUUUAAAAAAAUCAAGUUUGUCGAUCGAAAACUUGUAAAUAAAACAAAAAGAGGACCCCUUACUGAUUUGUUGCCAUAGAUAUUGAAAGAAACCUACAAGAACAAAGAAAGAACAAGACCACAUGCAUUAGCAUAACAAGUGUGAGGUGUAUAAGUCGUUAGAAAAUAAAUUUAGAAUUCUAGUGCUGUCAAUACAUUGAUAAUAUAAUAUAUAUGUGUUAUUUUUUCUGAAAAUUUAACUUUCCCCCUCCAAACUCAUUUUUCUAGCCUCUAGCCCAUCAUAUAAUAUUUAUCCGAAUAAAACCCAAUGAUUAGGAUCCAACUAAGAAACUUACCAAAUUAAGUUUGUGUGUCCAUUUUUAUAUUUUUUGGAUCGCUAAUAUACCCCAUCUAAGCCAGUAUGGAAAGUUCUUGUAAUUUUGUUUUAAUUGAUCACGUGCAUUGAAUUUGGCAAGGUCUUGUAGCCAUGAAAAAUGGUUCUAGAUGGAGGAAUUAAUUGGGAUUUUUUUUUUAAUUUUGACAACAAAUUUCAAUUUGAAUAUACCUAAUUUAGUGUUUAUUUUCAACAAUAUCUAUUGUUUAAUUUUAUGAAAAUAAUUUACCUACUAUGAAAAUUAAUUUUAUGAAAACAAUAUCUAUUGUUUAAUUUUAUACCUAUAGGAUAAUUACAUGAAAAUAGUUUACCUACUAUGAAAAUUAAUUUUUUCAAAACAAUAUCUAUUGUUUAAUUUUAUGAAAAUAAUUUACCUACUGUAUAAUUACAUGAAAACUAAUGUGCCUAUUUUUUAAAUUUGUUACAAAAUUAAUUUACCUACUCUUUAUGGUAUUAGUAAUAUAUGUCCGUACGUAUUUGAUCUAAUUAGGUUUUGGAUUGGAGGAGUUGACACAAAAUUAUAAAUAUAUUAAACAAAUUUAUCUAUCCUUAAGUUGGAGGGGAAUUGGCCUGCACAUUGCUACGGUAAACAAAUGCCACUCGAUUUCACGUUAUUUACAACAAAGCUAUCAGAUUUGGGUUGGGUUGGAGGGUAAUUUUGUGCAUAGGGUUUAGGUGCCCUCCUAUAUAUGACCCUUGAUUUUACUUUAUUUACACCACUGCCAUCAAAUAUGUGGCUGAAUUGGAGGGUAUUAUUAAAAGUUAGGAGGAUAGUUUUGUCCAAGGGGUGGGGGCGACAUUCGCAGACAGGGGGCGAUGGGAGCCAUGCCCAUUGCACAGAAACAAAGGGAGUGAUGGGGGAAAUUACAGACAGAAAAGGAAGGGAUGGGGGGAUUUGAUGGGUGGUCACAGAGAGAUUGGGUGAGGGAUGUGAGGGGACAUUACAGAGAGAUAAAUAAAAGGGAGGGAUCGGGUGAUUUGAGGGAUGGUCAGAGAGAGAAAUAGUGAGGGGGAUGUGGGGCUGAUUUUCGGUUCCUCCUUCCAGAUUUGUUCCGUAAAACCUGUUGGGUACAAUUCAAUCCCUCCCCCUUUCCCCUGAACGAAAAAUUCGAAACCUACAACUCAAAACUCACUCAUUUGUCGCCCCUCCUUGGCUUUCCGCUUUAUUCAUCUCCCGGUGUUUCUUUCUCUCCAUACGAUUCGAUUUCGGUGAGUUCUUCGUUGCCCUCAUGAUUUCCCAGUUUGAUUUUUUGAGCGUCCUUAGUCGUUGUUUUUAUCUGGGUUUACUGCGUUGUUGCUUUUAGUUUCUGGAUUUUUAUUUUUUCCGCGGUUGGAUGAAUCGUGGUUAAUAAUUUCACACCAUGGGAUUUUCGCACUUCUGAUGGAAUUGAGCGCGGGGAUUCGGGGUGGGGUUUUACUGAUAAUUUGUCUUCAUUCAAAUGAAUGGUUAAAAUUUCUGAAGUGAGUGUGCAGGUGGGCCCGUUCACUAACUAAGCUUUCAAGGGAACCCAUCAACGGUUUGUUUGCUGGGGGAAUUCGGAGACUACCAGUGUAUGAUUUAGUUAUCAUUUAUUUUUUUACUUAAUUUUAUCCAUAUAUAAUAUGUGGGUAAAUUUAUACUAAACAAUUGUGAUAAGCCAAUAUGCCAUACGACUUUGAAAGCAUUGAUUUUGUGUUUAGUUUGCAUUUUUGCAUUGUGAAUGUUGAAUUUUGUAUUUAAUUUGGAUUUUGUGUUUGAAUUUGUAGCAUGAUCUUCCGCUGCAGCAUCCAAAUUUUGCAUUUGUAAAUUGUCAAAGAAAAACGAAGUAUGAGGAAAUUAUAGGAGAUUGUGUCGGCUUUGGCCAUGAAGGGUAUCAGCAGCUUGUUCCCCCAUACAGGUGAUUAAUCGUUUUUCAGUCUCUGUUCUAUUUGGAUGAGAAAGUGAUUGAAAAAUAUGAUUUUUUAUUUGUUGGUUGAUUUUGUAUGGACGAUGUAUUAAUUUUAUUUUUUUUGGGAUUUUGUGUAUUGGGUAUUGUGUAGAACCAGCAAUGCAAGAGCAGGAUCUGAUCAGUCACGCCCGAAAAGGGGUUUGUUUCUCAAAUCACAUUAAUUAAUUAGAUUAUUAACGUGCGUUGGAAGGCUCUUCAAUAUGAUUUCUAAUUUCUCCUUUCCAGCAUUCUCUUUUUGGUUUUUGGAGUAUGUAUGUGAUUUGUAUUUUUUUAUAGAAUAAAAAUUAAUAAAACACGAGAUGCAGCAAUUAAUUUGCAUCCUUAUGACAACACAUAUGAAAGUGCAUUCAAUUUCAAUGUGCGAAUGUGUGACAGGAUGUGCCUGCCUCCUUGAAAACACUUUAUGUGAACAAGUGUGAGGUUCUACAUAAAAACAGGGCCAGUAAUACCCUGAACGUGGAAUCCUUACGAGGAUCUCUUGAAAAACUGACAAUAAAUGGAUGCCCGGGUCUCUCAUUGUUACUAGAGUCGACGGAGACGCUGCCGUCGCUUCAGAAGCUUGAUAUUGAUAGUGUUGGUGGGAAAGAGUUGUUGGCGCAAAUGGUGCACAACAGCAAUCGUCUUCAAAGUUUGACUUUAUAUAAAUGUUACUCACCCUUGUCGUUCCCUACAAAUGGUCUGCCCACCACGCUGACGUCACUGAGCAUAACAGAUUGCAAGAAAUUAGAAUUCCUAUCACGUGAGAUGAUGGCCAAAUUGACUUCCCUUCGGUCUUUGCGUCUAUCCAACAGCUGUGAACGCAAAGGCUUGAGUAUUUGCAGUUUAGUUUUUUUUUUCUUCAUUUUAGAGAUUUUUCUACUGUUUGGUUUUUGGGUUUUGUCUAAUUUUUGUGGUCUGCUUUAUAGAUUGUUCUCUUUGGAAGCUUCUUUCCAGCCUUGACCUUCUUCUUGCCUGGUGCCUUCUCAUUGAGUAUUGGAGGAGCAUUAAAACACAGGUGUGUGUGUGUUUUGUCGACGUAAGAGAUGAACGACAUAAAAACAUCCAUCUCUGUAUUUUUUUGUGCUUUUUCUAACCCAUCAAUUUCUUUUGAGUCAACCAAAUAGUCCCAAAUUGCAACUUAUGUUGUGAGGUAUUAUUGUCUAAAAUUAAGUAUGCAUGUAUAUUUUAUGUUUAUGCCCGCGCACACCUCCGCAUGGUGUUAAUCUCUGUGGGUCAUCUAUGUAUAUGUAGAUAUAUCUAUAUGUGUAUGUGUGGAAUGCAACAUAUCGGAUUUAGGUUAUACUGUGCAUAGUUUUAUUGCCUGUUAUUAUCUACGAUAUCACUAUGCCAUUUCUAUACUGGCUCUGAAAGUUAUUCAUGAGCUUAUAAGCACUUACCAUAAUUUAAGCAGUCUGUUUUGGGUUCUUUUUCAUUAGGUCAUUAGCUACAGAUUAAUGGAGAAACGAGGACCAUGCCACUGAUUUGGGUUCUUUUUCUAAUUUUCUGAUUUUGGGGUUUUGCAGGGAGUACUGAUGUACUGAUUUUCUGGGAUUUUUUUUUGUCCUUGCAGGAUUUUUGGUCUUUGAAAUGGGUAUGUGUUGUUUUUAAUGUUUCAGUUCUAGCGUGUUCCGUUCUUCGUUGCUUCGUGAUUCUCAUUUUUCAGUGUUGGGUGAUGGAAAUUUGUUAAAGUAGUUGGUAGUUUUUUGAGAAAGUUGGCAUUUUUAGUUAUAUUUUCUGUUUAAUCCUAAAUGUAAGACUGGAAAAUCAUUGAAAUGAUGGUUUUUUAAAAACUCAUAAUUUUUUUGUUCUGGGAUUUAAAAGCAUCUUUUCCAGAUUGGUUACAAGGGUUAUGUUCUCUUCAAUUGGUUCACCUAAUUUUGAUUAGUUUUAAGUUUUGUCCUUUUAAGUUUGUCUUUUAAGUUUUGUUCUUUAAGUUUUGUCUUUUAAGUUUUGUUCUCUAAGUUUUGUCUUUUAAGUUUUGUCUUCUGUGCUGUAAUGAGAGAUUUCUGUUGGCUUUUCGGAUUUUGGCAUGGGAAAGUUCACUUAUUUGUCUAAUUAGAUUGUGUAUGCCUUCGAUUCUUUAUUUAAUUGUUCUGUUUGCGUUCGGGUGUGAUGAUCUAAAUUUCAUAUGUUUGGAAUUAUUUACUUAACACCAAUUUGUUACAUUCAGAUCUCCACCCCACAUUUCACUAGUUGAAAUUCCAUAGAAGUCGGUUACUGCAGAUUGCGUCUACAAUUAGAUCAGAGAUCAACUGCUCUUUUGUUAUCCUGCAGAAGAUUGCUUUUGGGAAGGAUCUGAAGUAGUUUCUCUCUGUAUGUUUAUUCCCAUGUAGCUCUGUCUUUUCUAAUUGUGUUGAUAUUACACUGUAAUUCAUGAUGAUGAUUUAAUUGUUUAUUGAUUUGUAAUUGAUUGUGAAUAAUGUGGCAUAUAUGAAUUGCAAUCUGUGUUUGUAUGAAAGGGAUGGCAUAUUAUGUUGCUGACUUAAUUGUUUAUGUUUUUCAUAUUUGCAAAUGGUGUUAUGAUCAAUUAGGUGAUUGCUGACCUGUGACUUUGUUUGGAGCUCAAAUUUUGUGAGCAUUACAUUGGAUUGUUUUGAUGUUGUUUUGGUUAACAAUGCAGCGAUAGGAGAAACAAAGAGGAUGACACUUAUAACUGCCCUUCCCCAUCGGCCGUCUUCAAAUUUGGAUCACAAGAAGGGAGCAACAUAGGUGUUUUCCUUCUUCAUUUAGAUAUGGUUAGUGUAAAUAAUUGGACAAAAGAGCCAAACAAACCCUGUUCUCUCAAAUGGAGUCGAUGAUGUGGUCGACGGCCACCAGCCCCAACUCAAGAGUUUGGCCUUCAUAUAAUUGGAUUGUAGUAUAAUUUUAUUUUGGUUCAUUUCUUUUUUCCUUUAUAUAAGUGCAGGUGUUGUGAUGUUUUGAAUAAAGGGUGAUGAAAGGUGGUUCACACACUUCCUCCUUACUUAAAGCAAGUGGAGAUGACGGUUUGUAUAAAAAGAAAAACUUGCCACGUACUUCAAUUUUCUAUUUUAUUAAUUAUUGUUUGGUUUUCCAAAUGUUGUAUUCACUAAGAGACCAAUUAUGUCUUUGAGAAACAAGUUUCUUUGUCUACAUUGCGAGAAUUUGCAGUUUGCAACUUUCAUUGGUUAUUAUAUUUGAUUGAGUUAAACUUGGAUUUCUGGAUUUUGACUUUUUCGUUUGUUUCUUUGUUGCAGAGUUGGCUUCAUUUCAUUCCAGGAACUGUCUAAAUAGGGCCAAGAACUCACUAAUAGGUAGUCAAGAAGAAUUCAGUGUUGCCUUCAAUUUUUGCCUUCUGUUUACAUUCUUCCUGGAUGCACUCUCACCGCUUCUCUCGCUUACCACUUUUGUCUCACUCACCGCUUCAUCUCUUCUGUUGCUUACAAGGUCGUGUCAUAUAUUUUUUUAAUUUUGUGUGGUUUAAUUUAUUGAAUAUUUGAAAAAAGAGAUAAAAUUUUCAAUUUACAAUUACUGAUAUGAUGUUUGUUUUGAAAAUCAUUAAGGUGAAUGGAGAGAUUUACAACCAUGAAGAGCUGAGGAGCCGUUUGCCAAAUCAGAUUUAUAGGGCUUCAUCAAUUAUAAAUAAACGACUUUUCAUUCCCAAUGACCUUUAUCGUUUUUCUUAAUGGGUUAGCUGAACAUGAGGUAGAUGCUGACUUUAUCAAAUAUGAGAAUGUUUUAGGAUUUCAUUCUAAUUUUUUGGCUGUUUGAUUACUUUGCUUUUCGUAAUUUGAUUUGCUUAUCGUCAAUUGGAUGGGAUAAAACAUAUUUUUGUAACCAGUUUGUACUUUUUUUUUCUUUUUUUUGUGGAAACUAACCAGUUUGUACUUUUACCAAUUACCAUAUCGGUUUUGAUGGAAUUGGAGCUUUCAGUAAUGGGUUCUGAGGGAAUUGGAGUUCUGAGUAAUGGGUUUUUUUUAACAACUAUAGUAUCAUUUGUGAUUCAUUUAUUUAUAAGAUAUUAUAUAGGAAACUGUUUUUAGCACUCUAAAAAUCUUAUUCUACACUCUCGACAAAUGUAUUUUUCUUUCUAAUUAUGAAAAGUUUGGAGGGCAAAAUGAGAAUUGUGGAGUGCCAAUAACAAUUCCCUAUUAUAUAUAGCUCUACUAGGAAGGCGACUGUAUGUCUUCAUCCUGUUAAAUUGUAUAUGGCUCUUGAUGUCGGCUGAAUUAAAUCAAAAUGAAAACCAAGCUGCUGAUCUUACCAGCCCAUAUCACUUAUCACUUGCUUAUUUAAAUUAUUUGAAGAUGCGUAUGUGGAUUGGUGAUUUUGUUGGAUUCACUUGGCUCAAAUAUAUGUUAUCUGAGUCGCUACAUUUGAGAAUGUGAUUUUGUUCCUACCACCAUUUUGCCCACUUUUUGUGGAAAUUAUUUCUGCUUGUUGUGAAUGAUACAUUCAUCCCCGGCAGCAAAGUGCGAAGUGCGGGCGCAUUUUCUAGUUUAAGUAAAUCACACAAUGGGUCAUCAAUAAUAACAAACUUGUCAUUUAUGAGAGUCAAACAUGAGGCCACCUACCUACUAGUUUAGUGGAAUACCACAAGUGACAUGUUGAUACCUUUAAAUCUCAUAUAAUGGAUUGCAGAAUUAGGAUAUUCCUAGACUAAUUUAGUUAGUGCGUGAACCCGAACAAUUAACAAGGGUUUUAUUCUUGCUUGAAUGUUUGUUAUAUGUUCCUAGUUUGACAAGGCAAUUAUAUUUCCGACUACAAGUUAUUAAUUUAGUCGAGAAUUGACGCACCUGAAAUGGUGUGAGGAAAACAUGUAUCCACAUGAGCCGCAGUCCACUGUCCUUGGCAUCUAUCUUUAAAAGGCUCGAAAUGAAGCUCAAAGCCAUACAUGAGGGCAUUGUGUAUGUCUUUAUAAGAGAAGUUGCGGUAGUCCUCAACGUAGCCGGCAGCCAAACUCAUCCACUCUACACUGCAACCAUCAUCCAAUUCCCAUACCUCCCUGAACCUGUCCCCAACAUAUUCCCCGACCAUGACAUAGCUAUUCGUUUUUGGUUGACUCGAAGAAGAAGAAGAAGAAGAAGUAUUAUUCAAGCAUGGAGCAGUGUCCACGUACAGAGAAGAAUUCGAUGGAUUCGAACACUUCAAGUAAUAUAUAGAUAGAGAAUUAAUGUCAUAGGCGGGCCAAUAUAGAGAAUUGAUGUCCUCGGUGGUGGGCGGAAUAUUUUGAGACAUGGAAGAGCAAUUGUUGUUGUCAAGCCCAGGAUCUCGAAGUCGGAUUGUUUUGUUAUUAUAGUUGAUUGCCUGGACAUGGUACUUUCCGAAAGAAGGUAGGUCUAGUACUGUAAUGUUGCUCUCACAGGACAGAGUAUACGAUAUGUUGCCACAGUACUUUGGAUCAUCGUUAAGUCGAAAAGGAUGGCUUAUGUUGUGGAUAUGGCCGCAGGAUGAAGUGCAGGACUUGGCACUACUGUUGUCAGCGUUACAAGUUUCACUGCAAAAGCAAAGAAGAAGAAAGGCUAAACUUAAGGUGAAGGACCUGGUUCCACUAAUUUCCAUUGCUCUGAGAGAGAGAGAGAGAGAGAGAGAGAGAGAGAGGGUACCAUAGCUUAAACACCAAGGAGUUAUAUAAUAUGGGAGGGGUUAAAGCACCUCGCUUACAGUUGCAGUAAGCCCGUCAAAUAUCCUAGGGAAAAGUCGGUCAAUGGUGUCCUAUAGAGAAAAGUCGGCCUUGGUGUUUGACACGGUCACUCAACUCUCUCUCUCUCUCACAUUGACGAGGGACACUGUAAUUGAAAAAAAAAAAUGUUCUUCAGAGAUAGAUCUUGAAAUUCUUAUUUUAUAUAAAAAAAACACCUAAUAUUAAAUUAUUAAUCAUUCAAAUGAAAUUCUUAAAAUUAAGUAUAAAUAAUACAUAACGAAAACUGAGCACAUACAAUCAACGGUCACGAUCGUGAAAUCCUCCGGAUCCUCAGAAAAAAAUCCGACGAUGAUCUUUUUCUGUGUAAAAUAAUUUGAGGGUAUAAUACUGGAUGUGGAGCCAAAAAUAUUCGCUAGGCGACACGUGGACUUUUGGACAAAAGAGGACAAAAAUACCCUCGAAGCAUACAAGGAUUCCUACGCGCGAGCAGUGGGCAAUCAUCUUUCAAUCAAGUCAAAAGUGCCCAAAAAAGGUAACAAUUAAAAACCUCUCUCAUCAAAUCCUUUCUAUAAGGUAUUUCCCAAAACCUAGUAUUUUCUAUUUCAUUAUUUAGCUAAUCAAUUAGCUAAAUAAUAUAAACCUACCAUAUCUCCUAAAAUCACCCAAUUAAUAGCCCAAAACCGGCCCCCACUAUUCACAUCCUCAUCUUUCCCAUUUUCCUUAUUAAAAUAAUCAUUCAUUUUUAUAAACCACCCAUUUUAUUAUUUUCAUAUUUAAUUAGCCAAUAAAUUGGCAAAUUAAACAUGAAAUUAACCCCCACAAAAACCCUAUGGCUGGCUACUAUUAUUCAAAAUAGGGCAAACCCUAACUCUAUAAAUAAACACAUAUUCUCACCAAAAAUUCAUUCCAACUCUCUCACAAAAAAUCACAAAUACUCUAAACACUAUUUCUCUCUAAAAUUCUAACUUUGGCAUCAGAGGUUCUUCGGCCAAAGCCCCCCCCAUUCAUCGUGGGCGCGUGAGGCUCUUGGCCUUAACCUAAGGUGCUAGUUGUUUUGUAGGUGCAAAAUCGUCCAAGAUCGAAGAGGAGAAAAUUUGCAUCCACAAAUUGGUGCUUUCAUUGAGAGUUGAAAUCCAUACUCGUAGAAGACUCUCGCACAAAAAGGUUUUUUCUUUUAUUUUCUAGUCCAUUUGAAUAUUUUUCAUACGUUCUUAUUAUUAGAAUUUUUUUACUUGCAAAGGUUCUUUGAUAAAACGUAUAAGCAAAAUAUAAUGGCUAGAAAUUUAGAAAAUUCCACAAGUGAAAAUUCUAAUGUUCAAGAAAUGGGAUUGCGGAGAUCCGUGAGGCUAAAUGCGACAAUAAGGGGAGCGGCAUCAUCAUCACGAGCUUCCACCAUGGGAACCACCAUGGUGGCUACCUCGGUAGCCACCCGCGGCGAGGUCCAUGGUGCCUUCACCACGGCCACCAUGGGAACCACCGCGGUGGCUACUUUGGUAGCCACUCGUGGCGAGGUCCAUGGAGCCUUCACCACGGCCCGGAGAUCCGUGAGGCAAAAUGCGACAAUAAGGGGAGCGGCAUCAUCACCACAAGCUUCUACCAUGGGAACCACCGUGGUGGCUACCUCGGUAGCCACCCGCGGCGAGGUCCAUGGUGCUUUCACCACGGACACCAUGGGAACCACCGCGGUGGCUACUUCGGUAGCCACUCGUGGCGAGGUCCAUGGAGCCUUCACCACGGCCCGAGCCGUGCCAUCCAAGGCUCACGGUACCAAGACCACGAUCCAAGCCGUGCCAUCCAAGUUUACGUGGACCCAAGCCCAAGCCUCGCAUUCACAUGCACCGCGCAUUGAGCAGCCUGUUCCCGUGAUCCAGCCUGUUCCCGUCAAGCAACCCACUCUCACGGCCCAACCUGCUCAUGCCGAGCAGCCUGCUCUCGUGACACAGCCUGCUCCCGACGAGCAGCCCACUCCCGUGGCCCAGCCUACUUUCGUCGAGCAGCCCACUCCGGUGGCCCAGCCUGCUCCUGCUAAACAGCCCACUCCUGUGGCCCAGCCUCCUCUUGCUAAGCAGCCUGCUUUCGUCGAGCAGCCCACUCCGGUGGCCCAGCCUGCUCCUGCCAAGCAGCCCACUCCGGUGGCCCAGCCUGCUCCUGCCAAGCAGCCUACUCUCGUGACCCAGCCUGCUUCCGACGAGCAACCCACUCCCGUGGUCCAGCCUGCUUCUUUCGAGCAGCCCACUCUCACGGCCCAGCCUACUCCUGUGGCUUUCCAAGCAGCCCAAGUCGGCCCAAGACUAUCUCCCGGACCUACCAUCGAGCCGAGGGCAUUCUCACCACAUUUUUUCACGGAUUUGACAUUUCCCAACUCAAAUCUCGCGCCCGGAGUCUACCACAUUUCCACUGCCCAAGGAGGCGCAUUCCUUCCAAGCUCUUCCAAUCCAAAUGGCGAACAACACUUGUCUCGACAAGUCAUAGAGUUGACGAGCGCCCUUGCACAACAGAAAACCUUGGUGAAUCAACUUUUGCAACGUAUCGGGAUCCAACGUGCCCCGGACGAGGUAUCCCGAAGUAGGACAAGGGCAAACGAACAUUUCCAGCAGCCACUCGACCAGCCACGAGCCGAACGUUUGGGCAGUGUACAUUCCCGUCUUAGAGCGCGAGGGAGCAUGCACUCUCGACUAGGCCCACGGAUGAGCAUACAUUCACGGUUGGGGUCAUACUCCGAUAGUCAACAUGAGCAACCUUCCGGGCAAAGUGUCUAUUCGCAGCUAAGCCCACAAGGAGCGUCAUCCACCUCACAUCAGAGUAGGCAGCACGACGGACGGAGAGAAGCAGUCACUCAAUCCAGCUCAAGUUCAACCAGCAGCCUGCGAAGAACUCGCUCGCCUACUAGGAACGCACCACAUGCACUGCAUUCGCGGCAUAGACGAGCCAAACACAUGGAAGAGCAGCUUAGACCAGCAAGUCAUGACUGGAGGCAGCCAAGAGCUCCGCUACCCCAACAAAGGCAAAUUCAGGAAGAAGUAGAGAGACUCUUGACCAAGCGAUUGCAUGAUUUCCAACGCAACGAGGUCACCGACGAGGCACUACGACGGAACAUGACCAACAUAAGCAAGCAGGUCACCCUUCACGGACGAGAUCGAGCAGGCAGAGCCUCCACGAGAGUUCAGCAUGCCACAUUUCACAUCUUUCAAAGGGGAUGAAGACCCGGAGAGACACUUAAAGCGCUACCGAAGCGCAAUGAUCCUUUAUCGAAACAACGAUGAGCUUAUGUGCAAGAUAUUCGCCACCACUCUACAAGGCGAGGCGCAAGAUUGGUUCUACACCCUGCCGUCACAAUCCAUCCGGAAUUUCUACGAACUUUCUUUGGUUUUCACCAAAGAAUAUUCAUCCUAUCGCUCGAUCAAAAAGAAAUCUGAUCAUUUGUUCAACGUCAAGAAGAACCCAAAGGAGUCAAUUCGCGACUAUGUGAGGAGGUUCAAAGUAGAGAAGGCAAAAAAUAGUCGGAUGCAACGACUCGAUAGCUAGAGCAGCCUUCCAAAAAGGACUUCCAGCAGACCACCCGCUAUUUGGAAAAUUGAUCAUGAAAGAAGAUCUAACUCUGGCAGACUCUUUUGCUUUGGCAGAGAAGUAUGCACUUUGGGAUGAGGCUCGCCAAUGCACAUUCAAGGACUUGAAGAAGUACCCGACAUCACCUCCCUAGAAGCAGCGGAGGACUUAUUCACAUGUUUGACGAUAUCUAAAGUAGCAAUAAGCUCUACCAUCAUGCGAGAAGAGAUGGGGGCCCGACUACCUGUAUUCCACAGUUACCUGUAUUCUACAGUUCAAAAGCUCUCCUCGAUGUUAUUAAAAAUUCAAAAGCUAACUUUGGUGAUAGUUGUUGCAACCCAGAAGCACAAGUUUUACUUUCAAACGCAUGCAAUCAUCCUAAUGACGUACUAUUCUGCCCAAUCCAGACGCGCGACGAUAAAGGUGUAGACCAUGGCGGAUGUAAAGUUUUCUGACGAACGCAACACUAGAAGGACACACUCGAAAGCAAGUUUUGUCCUCGUCACCCUAAAAGAUUCUACAUAGGAGCAACAUGUACCGGCAGUUGAGUACCAUUUCUUGCUGCGCAUCACACGGCCCUAGCCGACCCUUGCUCAAUGAUUCAACUCUAGAGUGGCCCAAUACCGGCAGUUGAGCAUCUCCUGUUGCGUAUGACAUGGCCCCAUCUCCACAGCUCCCUACUGCGUCUUCACGCCGAGCCUAAGUGACGUAACAGAGCAGCCCAACGAUGCCUCAGAAGUAGCCGAGCACACUCUAGCUGCGCCUACUCCACCCGAUGGAGACUUUUGGCAUUUGCAUGUCGACGACGCAGAAAAGCCUUCAUCACUGCCGGCAGAGAAGGCUCCAAAAAGAUGGAUCCCAUCUGGGAAGGUCCGUACAAGAUCAGCAGAGUAGGGGGCAAGAGUAAUUACACCCUCACCACCAUGAAGCAGCAAAAAUAUUGAAAAGAAAUGGAUGGCCUACAAUCUGAAGAAGUACCAUGUGUGACCUCCCGCUACAUCAAAACCCGAAGACUCAAUAAGCUCGACGGGCACCACCUCACAAGCUGGGGACUAUCCAGUUGUUAUGCAGUUCCUACCUUACAGCUAAAGUUCUCGUUCGUUUCACUCGUUUUUCAAUGAGGAAUUUAGAAGUAAUCACAACUUGGCUUGGUUGCAUGCUUACAACAACUAAUCACUCCUGCACUUCAAAAGAAGAUUGCGCCCUUCUUAGGGACUCAUCGCAGGAAUUGCGCCCCCCGAGGGACCAACCAUGCUCUCCAGUGCGAGAGGGUAAACCAAUUCUCCGACACCCAUAUGGGUCAGCUCUCCAAGACGGGAGGAUAAACUUUACACUCCGAAUAUCCAGACGUGGAUGAGCCUGGCUGCCCUAGUAUAACUAGAUGCACGAUGGCUUGCGCCGGGAUUCCUAGAAGUAGCCGCAAUGGUCUUUUUCAAGGCUUAGCUAACUGAAGGAUUUUGGGUCUCUUGGCCUAAUCCGUGGGGAACCGGGCCCUAGAGACGGAGAGGGCACAUUACGCAGUACAUCCGAUGGACGGCUGCCCUGGAAUCCUAAAGCUGCUACCGAGUGCACUAAGGUAGCCUACGGAUUCCGGAAGACUGCCUACGGCUUGCCCUUCGAGCAGUGAAGCCGCACUAGACUUAUACAACCGCACAUUCUUGUGAAAGGUUAAACAAGCUAGCGCGCAUAUACGAAGUUUUAUCCACUGCCGACAUGCUAUGUAGUUGAUAAGCUUCACCUCUGCCAAGCGCGGAACAACCUACACCAAGUCCUAAAGUGUUGUGAUACUUGCUACGCAACCUACGGAAUUGAAAAAAGUCAAGGUUAACAGCCGAGUGGUUACGCGGACUUGUCUACUUCUGUAAGUAAGGCAUCCGGCUGCCAACCCUAUGGCUAACAACUUUGCAAAGUUCUACACCAACACCUACGGCUGCAUAGGCUACGCGAGUUUGUCUGCUUAUAAAAAAGUAGCAUGCCUGCCACUGGUCUAUCAAGUCUAAAGGUUAGGGCAUGAACAAAAGAAGUGAAGAUGAAGAAAAACGAAGGAAAACAUGUUUAUAAACAACUAGCAAAGGCCGAAUGAGUUCAAGCAAAACAAGAGCUACAAGGAAAAACAAAGAAAAUCCUAAAGGCUACCUAAAAUACUACACUACAGCAGCUUGGACAUCCCACGACUACUCGAUCGCCACACCUUCAACAGCCGUAACGCUCUUAGCAGCGGCAUCAUCCGGCGCUUCACCCCCCGGCUGCCCUAGUCUGGGCACUAACUUCUCCAACUACUUCACCAAUGGAAGCCUUAAAAGUAAAAGCAAACAAGUCUUCCGGAGAAAUAGAGAAGGUCUUAAAACCUCAAGCCCAUCCUUCUCACCCUUCAGCUGCUCAUUCUUCUUAAGCAGACUAACACGGACGCGCUACAGCUCAUCCACUCUCUUCUUAGCAUAAGUAGCGAAACGAAGCUCAGAAAUUGCAAGCUUAAGAUCUUGAAUCUGAGGCGAAUCAAUCUCAGCAGCAAAGGGAGCAGGCUUUGGCGCCACUUUAGCAGCAGAGUCCACCUUACCACUCUUCAUAAUAGCAAGUCUCUAAAAAGGUGAACCGGACUUGGCUCCCAAAGAACGUCCUGGUACAAACUUCGGCACUGGGGGCAUGAUAAAACCUUUACGCUGAGUAAUCUUAUCCACAAUUGUACUAGCCAUUCUCAACAUGGAAGACGCCACAUGCUCAGAUCUAGCAGCCUUACAUUUCUUCCCAUUGGAAGAAGUCAUGUCAAUCACAUACCUCUCGGUAGCAAGUGGACCAUCAUGAGCAGCAGAAGAAGUCUUCAAUUUUUUCUUAACUGGCAUCUCAUGAGCAGGUGGGGAAGAUCUCUUCUUUCCAUCUUCAUUCAUAGUAAGCUCCACGAUAGCGAUCAGAUGAGCCAAUGCAUCCGCCUUGAUCCUCUUUACCUCCUCUUUCCGGAGCAGCCCACAUUUCUUUCAGCAAAUAGGACUAAGCAGCCAACGACAUUCAUGGUACUCAGCAGGGGAGCUCAACCCAGUAUUCCAGCAGGCAGGAGGCCUGCAUGCCCAACAUUCCAGCAGCCCGUGAGACCCGCAAUCUCCUUAUUUCUCUCAAUCGCAAGCCUGGCCUGAGUCAAGUCCAAUAGCCCAAAGGACAUGAGUCAUGCGAUUCGCCUAACACUGCGCCUCAGCGCCACAAUCCUCGACCCCAGCUGCACAAGCUGCCCUUGGUUCUAGCCAAGUCAAGCAGCUUAAAACAGUGGUCCCUACCACAAUACCUCAUCGGCCCAUGUCGAGCCGACUCCUGGCCUAUGCCAGCCGACGUGCCGCACCACCCCGAUGGCUGCCCUGCAAUAGCACUAUCCAAGAAGAAGGCAAGAAAAAUUAAAUUUUUCUUACAUCGGUGCGGCACGAAAAAGACGAAGAAAUCAACGAAAGACGGUCUUUUGCACAGGCAAGACGUAGAAGAUUGCUAGAGGAGAGGGAACAAAUAUCCUCUAACUUUCUCUCUCUUGUUGGGUAGAAUAAAUCGCUCUCCAAAGUUGAUUUAAUAACCCACUUAAGGUGGACUUAAAUAGGCUUUGAGAGAAAUUUAUUUCCCUUUCCUAGAAGGAUCUAAUUUCCAUUUAAAGAGAGAAUCAACAACAAAAUAGGAAUCAAUUUAGAGUUGCCUAAAGCGAGAAAAUCUCUACACCUGUUGCCCUUUUCUGCAAGCAGCCCAACAGGUGUGGGGGCAUUUGUGGAGCCAAAAAUAUUCGCUAGGCGACACGUGGACUUUUGGACAAAAGAGGACAAAAAUACCCUCGAAGCAUACAAGGAUUCCUACGCGCGAGCAGUGGGCAAUCAUCUUUCAAUCAAGUCAAAAGUGCCCAAAAAAGGUAACAAUUAAAAACCUCUCUCAUCAAAUCCUUUCUAUAAGGUAUUUCCCAAAACCUAGUAUUUUCUAUUUCAUUAUUUAGCUAAUCAAUUAGCUAAAUAAUAUAAACCUACCAUAUCUCCUAAAAUCACCCAAUUAAUAGCCCAAAACCGGCCCCCACUAUUCACAUCCUCAUCUUUCCCAUUUUCCUUAUUAAAAUAAUCAUUCAUUUUUAUAACCACCCAUUUAUUAUUUUCAUAUUUAAUUAGCCAAUAAAUUGGCAAAUUAAACAUGAAAUUAACCCCCACAAAAACCCUAUGGCUGGCUACUAUUAUUCAAAAUAGGGCAAACCCUAACUCUAUAACUAAACACAUAUUCUCACCAAAAAUUCAUUCCAACUCUCUCACAAAAAAUCACAAAUACUCUAAACACUAUUUCUCUCUAAAAUUCUAACUUUGGCAUCGGAGGUUCUUCAGCCAAAGCCCCCCAUUCAUCGUGGACGCGUGAGGCUCUUGGCCUUAACCUAGGUGCUAGUUGUUUUGUAGGUGCAAAAUCGUCCAAGAUCGAAGAGGAGAAAAUUUGCAUCCACAAUGGAUGUGCGAUUAAACCGAAGAACCCACCACCUCCAUCUUCUCCGACCAACUUGAACCCAGCCACUACUACAUGUCAUCCCGACAACCCACUCUCAGCUUCCCAAACCGCCAUUUUUCACCCACUCACUUACCUCUCUCUCUCUCUCUCUCUCUCUCUCUCUCUCUCUCUCUCUCUCUUACCCAAGCCACUGCCAUUAUUCAUUCAAUCAACCCAAAACACGAGAGCCACCCCAUCUCACCACUCGAACAGAUGCAGCCACCCACCCAUUUAAUCCCAGUCCAAAAUCAAACCCUCUCCUAAACCCACCCCAGAAUCCAAUAAUUUCAAAAAAUGGCUGAUUAUAUCAUUUCAAGAACCUCACAAUUCCAAAAACUAAAAACCCACUUCAAAGAUGUAAUAUUUUUCUCUCUUCCUCUUUUUGGGUUUUUUUUUUUUAUCAAUUCUCUUCUGGGUUUUUGUUUACAGUGUAAAAUCAACACUAAUUUACUAAUUUUGCUUUGAUUUUUCAAACACUAUUGAGGCGUGAUAACCUGUUGCAAGCUCAGCCAUGGCGGCUACUGCAAAAUCUAACGGAAAAACCAUCACAGACUCUGCCAUUUCAUCCAAGGUUCCGACAAUAGCAAACCCUUUAACGAAUAGCUGUCGCAGAUUUCUUCCAACAUCAAUCACCACGCGAAAUUAAUUGUCAAUGAAGACGAUCCCAUUCCCCUUCGAAAUCUGCUGGGGGAAAGAGGCCUUCUUUCAUAUCUGCUCUGAGACCUGUUUAUGCGAGAGAGUGGUGAGCCUGACGACAGAGAGAAAGAAGGGCAGGAUUGGAAAAUUGGAAAGUUCAUUUAUUGGUUACUGUUUAUCCGUGUUUCUUCGAAAUAAGCUGCUUUUUCCAGCUUUGGGUUUUCAGUAUUUUUUUAACCCAUAAUUUUGAAAGAAAAAAAACUGAUUUGAAAUGUUAUCAAACACUUAAAAUGUUCCAAUCUUUUUUCAUACCUAUUUUUUUUAUUAAAAGUUAAGCUAAACAAAAACCAGGAUUAAGUUUACUACUUUGAAGUUUCUUGCUUUUCAACAUUUCAUACAUUGAAUUUUUCUCAUCCAGUGUCAUACCUAAGGUGAGAAUUGUGGGACACUUUUAUACAUCCGUUAGAUUUUCUGUGAAUUAUGGGACACUUUUAUACAUCCGUUAGAUUUUUUGUGAUAACCUUCGCUGACCCACGAUGCGGCAUGCAUGUGGACAUUAAAAAAAAUUCAAAAAUUCAAAAAUUCAAAAAUUUUAAAAUUUAAAAUUCAAAAAUACUAAAAACCUAAACUUUUCAUAAUAUUGAGUUGAGAGACUGAAUCUUUUCACACUCGGCCAAAUUUUCUUUGAAUUUUAAUUAAAUGAAACAAUGAAUCUUGAACAAAGCAAAACAAAACGUAAUAUUGAGAGAUUCAGUCAUUGAAGUGGACGUGGAUGUUGGGUACUCAAUAGUCCAAGAAUGAAAAUUCUCAUAUCAGUUUCUAUCCAAAAUUUUGGAAUUAUGUGUGUUGCAACGAUUGUCCAAAGGAUUAUUCUUCUUUUAUUAAAUUUCCAUGAAAAAUGAGCAUGGGGGCAUAAAAAUUGAACGAAUGAAAUUUCAACGAUUUGAAAAGGGUUGUGAGUUUGACACGUCAUUUUUCUUCCUUUAAUGCAAUCAUGUUUAUUAAAAGACAAAAAUAAAUAUGACUUUACAUAAGGAGAGAGAAAGAAUAGUUUUCUUUGAAAAAAUCAACCAUUUAUUGAAGAGGGAUGUUGAUAAGGAGAUGAGACAUUCAUUAGAAGCUAGAAAAAAGAAGUUAAAAGUGAUUUAGAAAAAAGCAAGAAAGCCACAUUUUCAAAGUGGUGGUCAUUGCACAAUACUUAAUUAGAAGAAAACUCAUAGUAUUGUAUUUACAAUUUCAAGUCUUUAUGGGGAACGAGAGUGCAAAUUUUCCAAUUGGAAUAUGAUAUGAAAUUUCUAGAUAACUAUAUAUGACAAAGAAAGAAGUCUAAGUUUCUAAGUGGUAGGGCUUCCAAUUGAUGUGAGUUUGUUGAGAAAUGUAGAUGAAGAUGAAUAUUGUUGUUGAUGUUAGUGAACAACAGAACAAGUUGCUUCUCCUUUGGCCUUCUAACAUGAUAUCACGGAAAACAAGUUGUUGCUAAUAAAUGUAUCUGAUUGGUGGACUUAGACGUGCGCGGUACGAUUUUUGAUAACGAGAAAAGAUGGACAGUGUCAUGACAAAAUUUAUCCAAGUAGACCCAAAGGAAAGACUUAGGAACUUCAUAUGCAGUGGGAUAAAAUCUUAAGCUAAUUUCCUUACCUAUUUUAUAGUCAUUAAGUAAAAUGUAUAUGUAUAUUUCUAGAUGCUGACACACCAAUGUACUUACUAUUAACUCCUUUCAAAUACCCAUUCGCAGAAACGCAAAUCUCUCUUGCAUGCUUGUUGUAAUGCUCAUGUAGUGCGUAUCUAAUAUCUUAUGUGUAUAAUUUUUUGUGAUCCAUUUUUUCAUCACUAUGCCAAAAUCCCUUUAGAAUUUGCAAUUUAUCCAUUUGGUUAUGGUAAAAAAAAAAACUCGGAAUUUCAUUUAAACUCAAAAAUCUAGAAUUGGGAAAGCAAUUUUCCCUUGUUCGGCAACUUGUAGCGAUAGCAAAGGCAAAUUGUACAGGAAAAAAGUGGAAAUUGGGGAUGAAGAUCCAAUUUUAAUUUCGUCAAAAUAAGUGUAAUUUCACAAUUCCAACAACGUUGAGAACAAAUGCAUUGCGGGGAAAUCUUGCGACCACCAAACUUUACGAUUAGAGGGCCAAAUUUCAUGAUAAAACGUAAUAAGGGUUUAGGACUGCAUCGUUCACUUUGUUAACUCUCCAAUCUUCGACGGGAUUUUCAACUCGUGCAUCAUCUUUUGCUUUGUUCUAGGUCAAAGCCUACUCUUUUCUUUCUUGAAUUAUUUUAGCUUUGAGGGUAUACUCUUUAGGCCAAUUGUGAAUUUUGCUAGUUAUUUUUAUUUUCUGAUGGUCAUAUGUUUGUUUUGUUUUUUUUUUCUUCCAAUUGAGAUGUGUAUUGGUUGGAUCAGUAACUUUUUUUUUGGAUUUUUAUUUUUAUUUUUAUGGAUUUUGGUGUUAGUUCCUUGUUAUAGAUGUUGUGGAGCAAAAAAUAAUCUCAAAAAUCGUGGAGGUGACACACGGAUUUUUGGACAAGAAUGACAAAAUUAUCCUCGAAGCACAUCAGGAUUCCCACGUGCAUGCAACGGACAAUAACGGCUCAAUCAUGGAAGAGUCAAAGGUGAUCAAUAUGGUAUUUAUUCAAAUCCCUCUCAUCACUCCUCAUCAAUCCCUUUUUUAUUUUAUUCAAAAGGUAACUCCCAAAACUUCCUAUUUAAUUUAGGGAUCAUUGUCAUGUUAAUUGCAAGAUAUUAUUUCACAAAAUAUCUUGUAAUUAUUCUUCAAUUACCACCAUGUAUGGCCGGCCACUCCUCACAUUAUGGGCCGGUCACUCCUCACCCUAUGGGUCGGCCACUCCCUAUAAAUAGCCCUAUUAUUCCACUAAUAAGGAAGCCAUUUGCUACCCACAAACUCCUAAACACAUUCUUUCAGAAUUCUAACUUUGGCAUUGGAGAUUCUUAGGCCAAAUCCCCCCUCCCAUUCAUCAUGGGCGCAUAAGGCUUUUGGCCUUAGUCUUAGGUAUUAUUAUUUUGCAGGUGCAUUUUUGUCAAAGACGAAGAUGGUGAAAAUUUGCAUCCACAAAUUGGUGUUUUCAUUGAGAGUUUGAUUCAUAAGCUCGAAGAAGACUCACAUUCAAAGUUUCACAUUUCUCAUUCAUAAGUAAAUUUUUCAUACGUUCUUAUUCCUAAAAUUUUUUAAAUCUUUGAAUAGACGUAUGAGAGAAAUACAAUGGCUAGAAAUUUAGAAACCACGACGAACGAAACUUCCUACGUUCAAAGAUCCAGAUAAAAUGAUGGAAAUUGCGAUGUAGCCCCACCACGACGAUCCACGAAGCUCAACGUGGUGGCAAAAUGAGUAACUUGGCCACCACGGAGUACCACCACCACCAUAGCCAAGGCAACCCAUGUUGCAGUGGGGAGUGGGACAGCUUCAUGGCAGCAAAGCCACGAAGCAACAAUAAAUGCCAUCUUGCAGUAAUGAGCCCAGGCCCGUGUCACAAGGCAGUCAACCCAGCGCUAGGUAACCUAGAUCUAGUAGGCCCACGACGUUGCCAUAGCAGCUGAGGCCUAAAGCAAGGCCCAAACAGUUGCGGUUGCGGCAAAUGGAGCAGCACAACACUGGCGGGGCCAAUGCACCCUUGGCCUAAUGCUAAGCAGGCUAAAUCGCACCACACCCACUAUUCAAACUAACCCUAAGUUGAGUAAGUAGCAUUGAAGGUUGUCAACCGCAAGGCGUUGAAGUACGAAUAAAGUUACACACCCCGCACAUGACUUGGCCCACUUCCGCGGCCCAACUUGCUCGCAAGGUCCACCUAGUGAUCCCGACUAGUCGAAGGCCAGUUUAAUCAUCCCAUCUUCAGAUUUCUGGACUGACGAUUGAAUCGGGGGUAUUUUCACCCCGAUUUUCUACAGAUUUGACAUAUCUCAACUCAAAUCUCGCACUUGGAGUCCAUUGCACUUCCAUUACUCAAGGAGACGCAUACCAUUUAAGAUCUUCCAUCCCAAAUGGCGAACAACACUUGUCUCGACAAGUCAUAGAGUUGACAUGCGCUUUUGCGCAGUAGACGACCUUAGUGAAUCAGCUCUUGCAACGCACAUAGAUGCAGUGUGCCCCAGACGAUGUGUCCCGAAGUAAGACAAGUACAGAUGACGAUUCUCUCCAGCAGCGUCCCAACAAGCAGCCGCUCGACUAGCCACGAACCGAGCGUUCUGGCAGUGUACACUCCCGUCUAGGUCCUCAAGAAAGCGUAUACUCUCGUCUUAGCGCGCGAAUGAGCGUGCACUCAUGGUUAGGCCUAUGGACGAGCAUACAUUCACGGUUGGGACCAUACUCUUAUAAUUAACAUGGACAACCUGCUAGACGAAGUGUUCAUUCGCGGCUAGGCCCGCAAAAAGCAUUUUCCACCUCAUAUUGGAGUAAGCAGCACAGAAGACGAAGAUAAGCAGUCAAUUAAUCUGGCUCAAAUUCAAUCGGCCACCUGUAAGUAACCAGUUCGCCUGCCAAGAACGUAUCAUAUGCAAUGUAGCCACGACAUAGACUAGAUGAGCACAACGAUAAGCAACCUAGACUAACAGGUUACGACUGGGGGCAGCCAGAAGCUCUGCUGCCCCAAUAGAGGUAAAUUUAGAAAGAAGUUGAGAGGCUCAUGACCGAACAAUUGUGCGAUUUCCAACGCAACGAAGCUACUGACAAGGCGCUUAAACGAUACACGACCAACAUAAAUGGGUCACCUUUUAUUGACAAGAUUGAGCAGACAGAACCAUCCUACAUACACUGGCGGAUACAAAGAUUACAUCUAUUUUAACAUAUGCAUCAACUCAGCCUAAUGGCGUGUCGAGGGCAAAUGGGUACCAGAAUGGCACACCAGCCCAACCACCAAGAACCAGGGCCAAAUCUUAUUUUCAUCACUCCACACGAUUCAAUACUUGAGCAGCACAUCACCAGUAAUCGAGCACCGCAGACCUAAUGGUCCAAUUCCUCCUGAUGCACACAAGCUCACCCCAGCUCCACGCUCAAAGCCUUGCCUACCUGCUCCACAACACUCAGCCACCCUUGAUUUGUCACCAUGGCUCACAAUUAUGCCAAUUUUGCACCACAGCUCAUAGCCGUGCUAAUCUUGCCAUGCGGCUCUUAACUACGUUAACCAAGCCCACGAUACUUUAUACUUCAAAGCAUCCAACGACGGAGUAGAACACGAGGCUCUACUAGCAGCCCCUGCUAGUGAAAGACUUUGCGGUGAAGAGGCUUCCAAUCCAUUCAAAUUCUCAGUUGACCACCUGUUGGGUUUUACGACUCAAAAUUAGGAUGAUGCAAAAAAAAUUGUGUUACCUAUUUGGUUUUGGUGUCGUAUUUGGGUUUGGAUUUUGACCUCUUAGUUGGUUUCCGUGGUGGAGAGAUUUUGUUAAUUACCUAUUUGAUUAGGAUUUGGAUUUACUUCCUAUUAAGAUUCUUAUUGUAACCUAAGUCUUAUGCACUAUAAAUAGGACCUCAGGGUUAGUGUAUUUUGUGUGGCUCAUUCGUGUGGCAAUUUGGUGAGAGUCAAUUUGUGAGUUUGUGAGUUAGAGAGCAAUUUGGGAGAAUCUUCUCCGUUAGUUUUGGGUUCUCUACUCGUUUGGUUUAGGGUUUGUAAUUUGUGGGAUUUGGAUUGUGAGAGUCUGAACACUAUUUUGUAAUCUCCGUUUGUUUAGUGAAAUUUCUUGUCAUGCUUCGCUCGUGGACUUAGAUUUUACACCGAACCACAUAAAUCUCUUGUGUUAGUUUGAGAUUGUUUGUUUUAGUUUUCACCUACGACGUUGAUAUCGGUACUUUGUUAGAAUUCGCUUUCCUUUGCUCAUAAAAGUACAACAAGUGGUAUCAGAGCCCGGCUUUCGGCUUGGGCUUUGCUUGGCAAUCACUAUGAAGCCUUCUGUGUCGUCGGUGAAAGUUGAUAUUGAAAAGUUCGAUGGCAAUGACUUUGGUAUUUGGCAAUUGAAGAUGCGUACUUUGUUAAUUCAACAAGAGCUUUUAAAAACGCUAAAGGGUGUGAAGGCUUUCCUGAAUUCGUGGACUGAUGAAGAAAAAAAAAGAUGUUAUGGAGCGGGCACUUGGAACAAUCCUGCUAACUUUAUCGAAUGAAGUCUUGCGUCAAGUUGGUAGCAUCAAAUCUGCACCGAAGUUGUGGCUAAAAUUGGAGAGUUUGUAUAUGACCAAAUCCCUUGCUAAAUGGUUGUAUUUGAAGAAAAGUUUGCGUACUCUUCGUAUGGAUGAAGGUACGUCAAUUCAUAAGACCAAAUCCUUAUUGCUGCCAAAAGUCCUCAACAGUUCCAAGGGAGAUGGGUAAGAGUUCGUAAUAGUGAGAGAUUGAAUCUUUUCACACUCGGCCAAAUUUUAAUUUUAAUUAGAUGAAACAAUGAAUCUUGAACAAAGCAAAACAAAAUUUAAUACUGAGAGAUUGAAUCAUUGAAGUGGACGUGGAUGUUGGGUACUCAACAGUCCAAGAAUGAAAACUCUCAUAUAAGUUUUUAUCCAAAAUUUUGGAAUUAUGUGAGUAUUGCAACGAUUGUCCGAAUGAUUAUUCUUCUUUUAUUAAAUUUCCAUGGAAAAUGAGCAUGGGGCACAAAAGUUGAACGAAUGAAAUUUCAAUGAUCUGCAAAGGGAUUGUGAGUUUGACAUGCCAUUUUUCUUCCUUUUAUGCAGUCAUGUUUAUUAAAAGACAAAAAUAAAUAUGACUUUACAUAAGGAGAGAGAAAGAGUAUUUUUCCUUGAAAAAAUCAACUAUUUAUUGAAGAGGAUGUGGAUGUUGAUUGAUGCGCAUUGUGAAUAGGAAAAAAAUAACCUUGAAGGGAGACGAGACAUUCAUUAGAAGCUAAAAAAAAGUUAUAGUGAUUUAGAAAAAAAAAGUUUUAACGAAACAUUUCCGGUACUGUUUACUCUUUACGAAAAACCACAUUUUUACCUUUCCUAACUACUAUUCACUACAUCUUUAUUUAUCAUUUUUCAUUAAAACUAAAGUUUUUGUUUUAACUUUUCGUUAGUUUCCUUUAGAAAAAAGCAAGAAAGCCUCAUUUUCAAAGUGGUAGUCCUUGAAACAAUACUUGAUUAGAAGAAAAGUCAUAGUAUUGUAUUUACAAUCUCAAGUCUUGAGGGGUAACGAGAAUGCAAGUUUCUAAUUGGAAUAUGAUAUGAAAUUUCUACAUAACUAUAUAUGACAAAGAAAGAAGUCUAAGUUUCUAAGUGGAAGGGCUUCCAAUUGAUGUGAGUUUGUUGAGAAAUGAAGAUGAAGAUGAAUAUUGUUGUUGAUGUGAGUUAGUGAACAACAGAACAAGUUGCUUCUCCUUUGGCCUUCUAACAUGAUAUUACCGGAAAACAAGUUGUUACUAGUAAAUGUAACUGACUGGUGAACUAAGACAUGCGGUACGAUUUUUGAUAACUAGAGAAGAUGAACAGUGUCGUGACAAAAUUUAUCCAAGUAGACCCAAGGGAAAGACUUAGGAACUUCAUAUGCAGUGGGAUAAAAUCUUAAGCUAAUUUCCUUUUUAAUCUUAUAGUCAUUAUGUAAAAUGUAUAUGCAUAUUUCUAGAUACAUACACACCAAUGUACAUAAUAUUAACUCCUUUUAAGUAGUCAUUUGCAAAUCCCUCUCGAGUGCUCUUUGGAAUGCUCAUGUGGUGCCGUUCUAAUCUCUUAUAUAUAACUUUUUGUGAUCCAUUUUUUCAUCAAUAUGCCAAAAUCCCUUUAGAAUUUGCAACUUAUCUUUUUGGUUACGGUAAAAAAAAAACUCGGAAUUUCAUUUAAACUCGAAAAUCUAGGGAUGUGAAAGCAAUUUUCUCUUGUUCGGCAACAUGUAGCGAGAGCAAAGGCAAAUUGUACAGGAAAAAGUUAGAAAUUUGGGAUGAAGAUUCCCAAUUUUAAUUUCGUCUAAAUAAGUGUAAUUUCACAAUUCUAACUACGAUGAGAAUCACAAAUAUAUUGCAGGGAAAUCUUGCGACAACCAAACUUUACGAUUAGGGUGCCAAAUUUCGUGAUAAAACCUAAUAAGGGUUUAGGGCUACAUUGUUCACUCUGUUAACUCUCCAAAUCUUCGACGGGAUUUUCGGCUCGUGCAUCAUCUUCUUGCUUUGUUCUAGGUCAACGCCUCUACUCUCUUCUUUCUUGUAUUAUUUUAGCUUUUCAGGUAGACUCUUUAUGGCUGUUGUGAAUUUUGCUAGUUAUUUUUAUUUUCUGAUAGUCAUUUGUUUGUUGUGCGUUUUUCCUUCCAAUUGAAUUGUGUAUUGGUUGGAUUUGUAACAUUUAUUUUUUUUAUUUUAUUUUAUGGAUUUUGGUGUUAGUUCUUUGUCAUGGAUGUUGUCCUUUUGAAGGUUAACAAUAGCCAAGACUAAACAUGAUGAUUUUGGUGUUAAUUACUUUCUCAUGAUACUAAUGCCAUAUUGUUCUCUAUUUUGCACUCACAAGUAAAGAGAAAUAUCCUAGACCCUAACUGGAUAUGUUAUUGUCAUGGUCAUGCAUUGGUAUGGUAACAAUAUGUUUGGAUAAGGAAAAUAAACUUAGAAUUUGACAAAAGAUAAAAUUUAUAAAUUGAUACAAUCAAUUCCUUUGUUUAGAUUCAUAAACAUAGAAAUUUAAACUUUCCGCGUGAGAAAAAACUUGGAAUUUGGGACCUUCAAUUCUCAUGUUUAAAUUUUAUGUAAAUAGGUGUCAUUUCUAAAUUUCAGUAAGUGAGAAUUUAAAAAUAACAAACAUGUAUUCAAAUUUCAUUCAUCUUUUAGGUUAACCAAACAAGAAAUUUUAUAAAUUCUAGAAAAUAAAAUUUCGUUAUUUCAAUUUCUGUUAUUUUAAAAUUAGUAAUCUUAAAUUUUCUCAUCCAAACAAAAAGUUUCCUUGUCAUAGAACUUUCAAUUGGGAUCAAGGAAGACAAUCUUUUCACAACUGAUUAUUCUCACCAAAUUUUAUUAUUAUUUUAAAGCAGAUCAAUACCAAACUUCAAAAGCAAAGUAGGAAGGCUAAAAUUAAGGUGAAGAACCUACUUCCACUAAUUACCAUGGGAGGGAGAGAGAGAGAACCAAGCGAGAGAGAAGAGAGAGAAAACACCAAGUAGUAUUAUAAUAUAGGUGGGGUUAAAUCACCUUUCGUGAAGUUGUAGUAAGAGCAGCUCCAGCGGGAGCUCCAACUUGAUGUACCGGUGAGAUUUCCUACCCAAUAGCCCCAGCUCCUUGCUCCAGUCCAUGCGGGUGAUUGGGCUGAGGGGGGCCGAGUGAGAGGCCUGACUCGAAUCGGUGGCCUGAGAGCCUGAGACCAAAAAUUAUCUUUUUGGAUAAUGACACGUGGUGCAACGAGAACGAUUAAAAAUCUUAUCCGAAAUUACAAAUAGAAUUAUUUUGUAUUAUUUUAUAAAAUAAAAAAUACUAAUAUUUUAUUGCUUAUUGACAUGACUAUUCAAUUACGGGUGGAGAUGCAGAAGACAAUUAUUAUUCAUUAAAGGUAAUUAUUGUUCAUUGGAGGGGAUUGAAUAUGAAGUUGCACUAGAAGGCCUUUGUCACGGCAAUAGGCAAUUACUGUUCUAAGGACUUCUAUCCUAGAAGAGAGACAAAAACACCAAGUAGUAUUAUAAUAUAGGUGGGGUUAAAUCACCUUCCGUGAAGUUGCAGAUAGAGUAAGGACUUCUAUCCUAGAAGAGAGACAAAAACACCAAGUAGUAUUAUAAUAUAGGUGGGGUUAAAUCACCUUCCGUGAAGUUGCAGAUAGAGUAAGGACUUCUAUCCUAGAAGAGAGACAAAAACACCAAGUAGUAUUAUAAUAUAGGUGGGGUUAAAUCACCUUCCGCGAAGCUGCAUUAAGGACUUCUAUCCUAGAAGAGAGACAAGAACACCAAGUAGUAUUAUAAUAUAGGUGGGGUUAAAUCACCUUACGUGAAGUUGCAGUAAGGACUUCUAUCCUAGAAGAGAGACAAAAACACCAAGUAGGAUUAUAAUAUAGGUGGGGUUAAAUCACCUUACGUGAAGUUGCAGAUAGAGUAAGGACUUCUAUCCUAGAAGAGAGACAAAAACACCAAGUAGUAUUAUAAUAUAGGUGGGGUUAAAUCACCUUCCGUGAAGUUGCAGUAAGGACUUCUAUCCUAGAGAAAAGUCGGUCAAUGGUGUUUGACACAGUCAGUCAACGAUAAAGACAGAAUUGUGUAACCAUAAUUCUCUCUCUAUCUCUUUUUCAUUAACGGAGGACAGUGUAUAAUUACUACGUAUACAUCUCUGCUCAAUUAUUGAAAAGAAAAAUCCAUGUGCAUUAUUUUUAUUAUUAUUAUCUCAGAAAUGCAGAAAUUGAUCAUCUCUUCCUUCUGCAUAUUGAUACUGGUUUUCUUCAAACUAGUUGAAGCAAGCCAAUAUGUGUGCGCGAAAUCCAACUGUAGCAAUGAUCAACGCCCGGCUAUCCAUUUCCCAUUGAACAUCAGGCGCACACAUCAUUGUGGAAAUUCUGGGCUUGAAUGCAAUGGGAGAUAUGGGCAGCAAAUACUAAUAAAAUUAUUUGUCAAACACAUUGAUUACAAGCGUCAGGAAAUCCAAGUCUAUUCCCCAAGUAACUGCCUGCUGCUAAAGCAUGUUGAAAUCCCAAACAUGCCACCCUCUCCCUUCAACGUGUCAGUCGAUGACUACAUGAGUACCCUUACCUUAUUCAGUUGUCCUACUUCUGUUGCAAGACGAGAUACGUAUCAAGUCCCCUGCCUCGGCGACCCUGGCAAGAAAACUUAUGCCAUUCGUUCUUACUAUGAUUUUGGAACUCUCUUCCAGAAUCUACAAUCCUGUACAAAAAUGUAUGAUGUUUUAUCAGUUCCAAUAGCCUAUGAAUAUUAUGUUUUUCGUUUCAAAUGGUCUAUACCAAAUUGCAGAAAAUGUGGAGAGGGAAAGAAGUGUGGAUGGCAGAACAAUGAAAUUAAAUGUCUUCCCUGGAGGAAACCAAGUAAGGAUAACAUAUGUAUUCAUUGCUAGUUUUAAACAUCUUUACAUUUAUGUCUUAGUAAUUAUUAUUUGAAGGAUGUUGUCCAAUCCAUUUUUACUAGGAAUAUUACCUGACAGUCUCGUUUAAAUUCGCAAUGAUCUUCUACAGGCAACACAUGGAAAAAAGUGGUUACAGGUGGAAUCCUGUGUGCUUUGCUUCUUGUUCUACUGACGAUUGCAGCAUAUCGGGUAUAUAGCGCUGAUAGAAAGGAGAAAGAGAGUCGAUUAAGAAUUGAAAGAUUCUUGGAGGACUACAAAGCACUCAAACCAAGCAGGUAUUCGUACGCAGAUAUUAAGAGGAUUACAAAUCAAUUCAAGGACAAGUUGGGCCAAGGAGCCUAUGGAACUGUCUUCAAAGGAAUGCUCUCUUCUGAAUUUUUUAUUGCUGUCAAAGUCCUCAACAGUUCCAAGGGAGAUGGGGAAGAGUUCGUAAAUGAAGUGCGAACGAUGGGUCAUAUCCACCAUUUAAACGUGGCUCGCUUGGUUGGAUUUUGUGCUGAUGGAUUUGUACGAGCUCUUGUUUACGAGUUCUUCCCCAAUGGUUCCCUGCAGGAUUUCAUUUCAUCUGCAGAUAGUAAGAAUUCAUUUCUUGGUUGGGAUAAACUGCAAGAUAUUGCCCUAGGCAUAGCCAAAGGAAUUGAAUAUCUUCACCAGGGAUGCGAUCUACGAAUCCUGCAUUUCGACAUCAAACCCCAUAAUGUUUUGCUAGACCAAAACUUCACUCCAAAAAUUUCUGAUUUUGGUAUGGCCAAGUUAUGUUCCAAGGAUCAAAGCUUGGUGUCCAUGACUACAGCUAGGGGGACCAUGGGCUACAUUGCACCUGAAGUGUUCUCCAGGAAUUUCGGAAAUGUGUCUUACAAGGCAGAUGUCUAUAGCUUUGGAAUGCUGCUGCUUGAGAUGGUAGGAGGAAGGAAGAAUAUUGGUUCAAUCACGGAUAACACUACAAAUGAAAUUUACUAUCCACAGUGGAUUUAUAAUCUUCUAGAGGAAGGGGAUGACCUACGAAUCCACAUUGGGGAAGAAGGAGAUGGUAAAAUUCCAAAGAAACUUGCAAUUAUAGGGCUAUGGUGUAUCCAAUGGCACCCGUCGGAUCGUCCUUCCAUGAAAAUAGCGGUUCAGAUGUUAGAAGGAGGAGGAGAAAGCUUGAGUAUGCCGCCUAAUCCCUUUGUGCCUACUGGUUCUACAACUAGGAAUGCAAGACGCCUAGAGCUAGAAGCUAUUGCUGAAUUAGAGUAAAAUGUAUAUGCAGAUAUGUAGACGUAUAGAUAUAGUAAUAUUUAUAUUGAAUAAGAGGCCGUUUGAUAACCAUUUCGUUUUCAGCUUUUAAUUUUUAUUUUUCACUUUUUUGAAAACUAAAAACUAAAAUCUUGUUUGGUAAAUACUUUUAGUUUAAAAAAAUUAUGAAGACUGAGAACUAAAAUGUGAAAGCUCAAAGGAAGUAGAUUAAAAGUAGUUACCAAACAAACUGGAAUCUCAAUAAUAAAAAAAGAUUGAAUUGCACAAUGCAAUCCAAACCAAUCAAAACAUUAAAAUAGCAAAAAAAAAUUAAAAUUCUAGUUGAUUAGAUUCUAAACGUAGUAAAAAUGAACAGAUCCAAUGAAAAAACAAAAAAUUCUCAAAUAAAAAUAGGGAUAAAGUAAAAUAUUUAUAAAUAGCUCUUUGUCUCUUAUGUCAUCAAUUAUUUCUAUAGUAUAUACAGGUUUUUGGAAAAAUUAGGUUCUCAUCCCUUAUUUUCAUAUUACAUUGAUUGAAAUCUUAUUAUUUUUCUAUUUUAGAUCAAGGUCCCUUGACUUAUUCCAUGUCAUCAUUUUAGUAUUUAAAAUAUUACACGUCAUCAUAAACGAAAUCUCAUCCCUUUCUGCAUUUAAGGCAAAAUAAACUAUAUGAGUAAGUUUAAAACAAGGAAAAUCCAUUUGAACUCCUCCAUUCUUCUUCUUCCCUUAUGCACAUCUGGAAUCUACAACACCCCAAACCCAAUUUUCUCCAUUUUUUCUCCAUUCCUGAAUUGAUCCAAUGCAUAUAUGUUGAAUAAACCUAUUGUGAUUAAAAUACAAAUUAGCAUCAAUGGUUUUAUCGGCUUGUGAGAUUUGUGUGGCAUAGGCAAGGCAAUGCAGGCAUUGCUUUCUCAAGGAAUCUGGUUGAUUCAAACAUGCAGAGACUGUAGAGUGAGCGGGCUAUGUGAAAAUUGUACCAUUCUGAAGUCAUUUUCUUUUGUUCUUUAUAUUUUUUUUCUUUUUCUUUUAUUAUUAUAUAUUAGUCUUGGUUAUUCAAUGUCUGGUUGGCUACACUUAUAUCCAUGGGUACAUUUUUAAUCUACAUGUUUCGUUCUAAUAUAUCUAUUGCUAUAAUAUGUUUUGGUUGGUUCAAAUUUGUUUUACAUAAAUAUAUGGGUACAAAGUUUUUGGAGAAUAUUAUGUAAAAUGGUUUUUAAGGUUGCUGCAUUUUACGUUCCCACAUAUGCAUGUCUAUAAAACAAUGUGGUAUGAUGUACAUUCUUUUCUUUGAGUUUUUAAAUGUACCCAUGAGUUUUCUUGUAAAUUCGUAUGUACCCAUAUGCUAUUUAUGUUAUGGGUACAUACAUUAUUUUUGGUCUAAGUUCAGGAUACAUUGCUUUUGUAUGUAUGAAUUCAUGGGGUACAUUAUUUCCCUUAAUACUACUCAAUAAAAUUCACAAAAAUAUGUGUAGUGUGCAUGAUUUUUUAUUGUAGAAAUUGUUUGUUUUUUUUAAGUCUCAUAAUUCAUGAAAUUUGUACAUAUAUGAUCCCAUAAAUUUUUUAAUUUUAUUAAAUUUCUGUUAGACUUGAUCGAUUGAUUGAAUCUCAUAAUACUAGGAUUUUGAAUUACAUAAAUUCUUGGAUUUGAAUCCCUUAAAUGUUGGACUGCAAUCAAUAUUUUAAAUUACAGUUUUUUGUUUAAGAUAUCAAAAAGAUGACAUGGGAAUAUAGUAAUACUAAAAUGCUGAGGUGUACAAAGUCAAGGGACUUUGAUCAAAACAUAAAAAACAAUAAGAUUUCAAUCUAACAAUUGAAUUGACUAGGGACCGGAACCAAAAUGACCCUAGAUUUUUAUUGAGUUUAAUCUUAAUCAAAAAAAGACUUCUUGUAUCACAGAAAAUACAAGAACCAUUAUUUGAAUGAAAUAAAAGCUAUGGGAUGGAGAUAUAAAUGGAUCCUUUUAUUCACAAUCGGAUUAUAUUUAUUUGAUACACUGUUGUCAAUAUGAAUGUUGAGAAAAGACUACAAAAGAAAAAACAAUUUAUAAAUAUAACUAAAAAUUCCAAUUUCAAUCAAUUAGAUAAUUAGAAUUAUAAGAAGAAAAAAAACAGAAAUCUCAGUUUUCAGUUUAAAAAAAAAUGAAAACAAAAACUGAAAACUGAAAACAAAAUGGUUAUCAAAGCCGUCCAAAUAAUAGAAGUUUGUUUCCACUCUUUGUUUAAGCAUAGAUGCCAAUUUUUGUUUAUCAUUUUUUUAACCUCUAUUUUUUGUUACAGUAGAAGCCCUAGAAGGAAAUCGAGCACUGGACUUACCAAACUCUUAACUUAUUUCUACACACCAAGAGCUUGAUUUCGGUUCUUAUUUAUACUAUUUAAGCUAUAAGCCGUGAUAAGAAUUAGAGAACUAUCAUUUGUUGUGAGCUUCAAUUGGUUAGCACUUUGUAUGUUUUCAUUAGAAUUUAUAUUUCACUUAGACUUUCUUAUUAAAAAAGGGAUCAUUUGGUGACUUCACCAUGACAGUCCAAUUUUAUGGGGGCCAUGAGUACUCACAAAGGUAUUUCAGCCUCCCCCUAUAUCUACCGUCGCGUGAUUCACCAUUGCCGGGAAUCGAACUCAAGACGUGUUGUAUAGAAUACAAGCCUAAAAUUCGUUUCUAACCACUGAGUCACCCCGCGUUUGAUUAUAUUUCACUUAGACUUAUCUUGCGGUAUAGCAUGUCAUCCCCGCCCAAGUUUUUCUGUUCGCAUUGAGUUUGGGAUACCAAAACUUGCCAAACAAAGUAGAUUGAUUAGUAAGCGAAGCUAAUUAUUCGACUAAACAUUGUUUAGAAUUUUAAUUAAAAGAAACAAUAUGAAUCUGUUUUUUUUUUUUUUUUUUGACAAACUAUAACGUUAAGGAGUUAAAUUGUUAGUUGUUAAGAGUACAGGGAUAGGUGAGGAUCGAACCUCCACCAGAGUGCAUAGACAUUAUUGGUUCUACAACUGCGGUAAAUCACAUAAAACAAAACGUAAUACUUUGAGGAUGGAAGACACUUCGUGGAUAGCGGGCAAUCAACACUAUCAGUCGCUAUCCAAAACUUGGAAUUAUGUUUAUUGUCCGAAGGAUUUUUCUUCCAUUAAAUUGCUAAGGAAGAUGAGGAUGGGUGGAGUGUCUAAAUGUCAAGGUUGAUAAGAAAGUGUAUGGUGUUCAGCAUGCGAUUGAGAUUUGUUGAGUGGCACAACAAACCACAUAAAAUUUUCUAAAUGAUAAGCAAUGAUAAGCUUGAGUAUAAUUUUUUACCACGUAUUUAUCUUUAAAAUCAUUAUAAUUAGAUUUUCUCUUAAUUAAUAUAGACCGUUAGAUUGACCCAAGUUUUUUUCCUCUUUUCUUUCCCCUCGUUUUUUUCUUCUCUGAUUUUCCAUUCACCGUGUAGCAGUCGUUCUUCCCCAACUAAGUUUCUUAUUUUUCUUCACAAAAAAAUUGUAGAAAAUAUUAAGAAAAGAAAAGUCAUCAAUAUCAGACUCGAUCAGGUAAUCGUUCCAACCUUCCCAGCAACUCUCAGUCUUAACAAGGCACCAAAUUUUCUCCGCCACCUAACUCGUCAUUCAUUCAUGGGUGUUUCAAGCUUGGUGAAAAUUGAUAGAGUUCCAUGUGUGUACAGGGAUGUGAACAUAUUGGCCACUCUCUAAGAAUGAGUCAUUGGAAAAGUUGAAGGAAAGAUGUAACCGAUGAAAUUAAUGGAUUGGAAUUACAAUGAAGUCUGUGUUGGUUUAUCACAAAGAACCCAGAAACAAAAUUUUAAAAGCAAACAAUUACAACUUCUCAAAUAUUAUGUAACAAACUUUCAAUGAAAUGUUGCUCAUAAUUGAAAAAAGGUUGACGAAGGACGGAGUUGGGAUUAUUUUAGAUGGGGAAGAGUUAAAAGAAGGAAGCACCAUUUAAUUACUAAAAGUAAUUGGAGAAAUGGUAAUUCAAUGGUGGGCGUUUUUAAGGUGUGGACCUUGUGUCACACCCCGAUCCCAACAUACAUUGAGGAUCGACACCUGACAUGGGGACCUAGGGGACAUAAAUCUUACGUAAGAUACAGAAUGAAAUACUAUAAAUAAUAUCCCAAAAUGAAUAUGAUAGUGGGUUCACCCCCUAUAAAAUAUAUACAAGUUUGUACAUUCACAAAAAAAAAAAAAAAAAAAACACACACACACACACACAAAACUCUUGCUAGGCCAAGACUUGCCCAUGGUUCUCAAAGGAAAGUCCUAAAAGAAAUAGUACAAUGAAGGAUAAAGGGGUAACCUAAACACUCCAAGUCUCUGAUCUCUGCACUGCUACCCCCACCGGCUCCUCGUAAUCUACCUCAGACCUGUCACUUGUACAAACAGUGCCUACAUUGUGGGAAUGGUGCACCGGGCAAACAAAAACCCAGAUAAGCUGCAAAACUCGUGUGGUAGCCGGCCUGGGACAUGGGAGGGGGCCGAGUCUUUCAGAAACCCUUGGGUCAUUGAUCUUCAAGCUUACAUGGAUGGGAUUGUCUCGACGUUGCUUUAGGAAGUCUCGACAGUCGUGAAAGACGGCUUUCGAUCCUUCCACUCCUUCUGUAAGAAGGUGUCUUCCUCCACUCCUUCUGCUUCGGGUUGAAGCAGCUGGGUUGAGAGAAGUCUCAUGUUGGUCGCGAUUUCGAUGAGUAGCUCGCUCCUCAACAGGAAUACCCAUGUCGAGGGAAAAUGAGCCUCUGUGUUGGAGGCACCCAGUUGAUGGUUGACUUCCACAGGGGUGAUGAGCUCGUGUGUUUUAGUAUAUCUAGCCUCGUGGAGCAUCUCGAAGACCUUUUCAUACUGCUCUUGGAGGAUCUCAUUCUUCAUCGCUAUCUUGUUGUUCUGAGCCUCCAGCUCAUCGACUUUAGCCUGAAGAGCAAACUUCUUUUGUUCCUUCUUUCGUUGUUUCGCACCAGGUGUAAGAGGGGUGUCAUUCUGUGUGCCGUGGCUUCCUUCGCUCCCCAUGUUAGAGAGGGAUGCCUGGUCAAAAGAGAGAGUACGAAUGGUGGAAACCAGCUUGGCAAAGCUAAAGAGAGUGGGAAUAAGUGUCGUUCCCACAGACGGCGCCAAAUGUUGAUGCACAAAAUCAGUGAGGACUUUGGUACAACAGAAAGUGUUAAGUUUGUGUCCUUCGCUAGAUUGGUCCGGUCAUUAGUGUGGAUAAGUAUGUAAAUGGAUAGGGACAGGGAAGCAAACACAAGAUGUAUGUGGUUCACCCAGAUUGGCUAUGUCCAUGGAGUGGAAGAGUUCUCAUUAAUUGUGAAGGGUUUACACAAGUACAUAGGUUCAAGCUCUCCUUUAGUGAGUACAAGUGAAUGAUUUAGUACAAAUGACAUUAGGAAAUAUUGUGGGAGAAUGAUCUCCUUUUAUAGAAUAGUUUCUAGCUUUGUUCUGACAUUGACACGUGUCAUGCUGUGAUUGGCUUUUGAUGUUGACAUGUGUCGCAUUGUGAUUGGCCUCCUGGUUUGAGGGAAACUCUUCUGGGUCCUUGACAGUAUAACGUUGACAGGUGCUCAGUAGUUUCGGGAUUGGUCAAGUAUGGUACAAACAAAGUCACUGAAAACUUCGAAGGAGUCACCCAGACAUCCAACGACUUUUCUAAAUCAAAUCUCAGAGAUUCCCAAAACUAUCGUUCACAAAUACACUAAAAACUAAGGCUAGAGUGACACAGUUUGGCCAAAGCCUACAUAAGUAACCAAAUAAGAAGUGGCCCCCCCAUAGCGGAUUAAUCAAGUAGAGCCACUCCUGAGAAAGUAACCAAGUAGGUAGUGACCCCAUCACGAAUUAACCAAGCAGAGUCACUCCUACGAAACUGUUAGGUAGUGAUCACCCAUCGCGGAUUAACUAAGCAUGAUCACCCCUAAGUACGUAUGGCCAUACCUAAGAAAUAAGGAUCGCCCAUCGCGGAUUAACUAAGCAUGAUCACCCCUAAGUACGUAUGGCCAUACCUAAGAAAUAAGGAUCGCCCAUCGCGGAUUAACCAAGCACAAUCCAAAAAUAUUAUGGGUCCCCUAUCGCGGAUUAACCAAGCAGGACCAUCCAUGUACCACUGCUACAUGGUGCAGAUUCGGUGUCACCUAACCCCGUGACACUAGGGUAACGGUCCUCUACUAGCCCUCACGUUUUUCAAACAUUUCAAAUAUAUAAUUUAAAACACAAUUCAUAAACAUUUCGAAUAGGGAAGUCACAUAGUGUUUAAUAAUGUAGGUCAAUGGAAAACUUUAAAAACAAUUAUUUAGCAUAAAACAUAUUUUAGAAAUCCAUGCUGUAUCCACAAAGUAUACUAGCACGGGAGAUUUUCAGGGUAAUAACUCUAUCACAUAUAUUAAAGUCACUCACCUGGAGUCCGCACUAACGCACCCUAGCACGAAUAUCAAGAUGUCACGUACUAUCAUUUGUAACAUCCCACAUCAACCAACAGAGAGGGGGUGAUGUGUCUUAUAUGUACAUGCCCACCUCUAUAGCACGAGGCUUUUUGGGAGCUCAUUGGCUUCAUAUUCCAUCGGAACUCCAAAGUUAAGCGAGUUUGGGCGAUAGUAGUCCAAGGAUGGGUGACCCACUGGAAAGUUCUCGUGUGAGUUCCUAGAAACAAAACCGUGAAGGCGUGGCCAGGGGGGCCAAAGUGGACAAUAUUGUGUUACGACGGAAUUAAGACUGAGAUGUGACAGAAUGGUAUCAGAGCCGCUCUGCCGCGUGGUGCAAGUGUGCCGAAGAGGACAUCGAGCCCCUAAGGGGGGUGGAUUGUAACAUCCCACAUCGACCAACGAAGAGGGGGUGAUGUGCCUUAUAUGUACAUGCCCACCUUCAUUUAGCACGAGGUCUUUUGGGAGCUCACUGGUUCCGGGUUCCAUCGGAACUCCGAAGUUAAGCGAGUUCGAGCGAGAGCAUUCCCAUGAUGGGUGACCCACUGGGAAGUUCUUGUGUGAGUUCCCAGAAACAAAACUGUGAGAGCAUGGCCGGGGCCCAAAGCGGACAAUAUCGUGUUAUGGCGGAGCCGAGAUUGGGAUGUGACAUCGUCACCUAAGACAAAGUACAAGUCCACAUUUAGAGUUCUUCGAGUAUUCACAUAAUCAAAAAUUUACAUACGCACCCUACAACUAAUGAAGAGAAAUCGAGACACGUUGACAAAAAGUCAACCGUCGAUCAACGGUAGGGUCCACAACCCUACGUAACUUAAUCCGUAAGAUCCAGCCACUGUAUUUGUGAUUCAUAAGUUCCUAAGGUCCUCAAAUCUUACGUACAAUAACAUACUAAACUUUAGUGACGAUCUAAUGGUCGAAUCAUCAUUUACUAUAAUGUUCAAAUGACGCAAAUUCGUCAAUCGGAUGUCAAAUAUGGAAUCGGUCAUCGAAUUUAGCCUAGGAAGAUCAAGUGGUGUCUCAAGCCACGCACCACCAUGCGCAGCAGUUGGCAACCCAGAUUCGUCGAAAAAAUCACCUGAUUCCAAAAUGAAUGUCGUGAGACGUGGAGUAAAUUGUAUACCUGUGAGAAGCCCAAUUUGGCCAGGAAGUGGCCUGAAAUCACUUUAGACCGUCGGAAACCCUAAAAUAGGUGAAUCUCGAUUAGUCAUCUCUGGUAUUCCACCGUCCUCAAACUUGUUUAGGGUUCUCAAAAAAAUGCUAAUGAUGAUGGUGAUUGAAGGAGAACGUUUCAGAAAUAGUGAAUCGCCGGCGAGGGUUUCACGGAAUCGACAUGGGUGUUCCUCGUGGAACCAAGACCAAAUCUCAACGGUUUUGGCUAGAAAUGGAUGCUGGGAUGUCGUGGUGAGGUUUGGUAUUGAUGGGAGGUCGAAGAAAGUCAAAAAAAUCGACGAAAAAACUGUCGUCGGAGUCACAGGAAACGUGUUAGAAAAAUGAGUCGCCGAGUUUGAAACGGGUCGAAGGCUUUUGGGACAGCUACUUAAUCUCUCUUCUCUGAUUAGUCACUCCACUCACUCUCUCAUUUGAUUGGUCCAGCCUUCCCACAUGGUGGGAGUUCCCUCAUAUAGUAACCCAAAAUUUACUAUUUAAAUUUGGUAUCAAACGUCCGUAACUUUUUUGUUAUAGUUCCGAUUCACAAACGGCUUUCGCCUACGCGCUCGUAUGAUCGAAUUAUACUUGAAAACAUUAAUUGUGACCUUAAAAAGGUCUACAAGUUUUAAAAGAUUAAUUACAAAAAUUCACACCUUGUAACUAUACGAUUCAAAUUCUAAAAUUAACGGAAUUAAAAUAAACUAAAAAUAAUGUAAACACGAAAUACAGACUUUAAUAAUGAAAUACGUAAUUAAUAGUGGAAUUCUGGGGAUGGGAUUUCACACCUUGCGUCCGGACCUUGAGUGCGGAUCAGAAUCCAAAGGUCGUGAUCUGACGAGCUCAUGUAUAGAACAGAGUUGUUGUGACCCAAUGCAAUUCAAAACUUUUAUGUUUUUUUAUUUACUGGGUACGUUUUUGUAGGAGGAAAAGGGGAAGUCGAGGGAUUCUUUGCGCAAUAAAGAGGGAAAGAGAGAAAAGGGGAGCUAAGAGGUUCUUCGCGCGUUAAAUUUUUGCUUCUGAUUUUGCAACCUAGAAAUAAAGUAUUUUCUUUAUGGUUUAUGGUUCAAGAAUAUAAUGGAUGCAACCUAAAAAUGUUUAUUUUUUUAUUUUUUACUUUUUUUCUUCUUAUGUUGGCUUUUGGUUUAUUCUUAUAAUGCACUAUAUAUUAACUAAAUUUAUAAACAUUUUGUAUCUUUGUUGCAGUCAAAUUAAUCAUAUGGGUUGGCAUGACGAAGUUCGACUGAGACAUACAGAUGUUUUGCAAUCUUAAGUCUAACCUGACACACCCCGACCUCAAUAUCCAGUGGACACCAAAAUUGAGGUGUGAUGGCCAUCAUCCGGAUGGGUGACGAAACCAUUAUAUGCAUGAAAACAUAAUUACCCAAACACGUCUUAUUAAAAUAUUGAGUAAAUACCAUACAAGAUAGAAUACGUCAGAGCUGUUGCAAAAUACCUCAACGUCCGAUGUAAUCACUGAUAGAAUUACUGAAUCAUGUAUAAAUGGAAAGCUGAUAAAUACAUGUAAUUUGAGUGGAUACUUACCAGCAGCAUGGAUACAAUAUCAUCCACCAGUCGUAACUAGUGAAAGUUGGAUAAUAUAAUCAUGUCAUUGCCGAGUAAUCUCAAGGCAAUGACAAGAUGAGAAUGUAACUGAGUAAUCAUAUCAUUACUAAAUAAUCUCAAAGUAAUGACAAGCUAAGAGUAUAACCGUAUAAUCAUGUCAUUACCUCGUAAUCUCAAAAUAAUGAUAAGCUGAGAGUAUAACUGUAGUACCUCUUAUUAGUGCAAUGCAUGAUAUGAAUUCCAUCUCACAUAUAUAUGCAAGCCAUAAUCAAACCAAUAAACAUCCAACAAAAGCCACAAUCCUUUUAACAUUCGACCACAAGAUCAAUUUUCAUAUUUCCCAAACCUAGGUUCCAAAGCAUUGUUUCGAAUUAUUAAUACAAGAAACCACCACCACCUCAAUCAACUCCUAUUCACAAGUGUAAGCAAUUACUAAAUGCAUCACUUUCGACUCUAGUCUUAAUUAGAUUACUUGGGAUACUCACACCAUCAGAUCCAAGUACUAUUUUGAUAAACUUUAAAUAGCAUGGUUAAAAUAAAUGAAACACUUUUAGAAAAUAAGUGAAGAUGUUGUUUACAAAUAUAGAUGCAUCUGUAUAUAAAAGCUUUGGCGGUUGAUCCGUAUACACACUUCCAGAGAUAUAAGCAAGUUCAUUGGAAUAUACAUACAUAGUUAAUGUAUUACAAUAUAAUUAAUAAGAAAACAAUUGCAUCCCUUUCAGAUUAUAUAUAUAUAUAUAUAUAUAUAUAUAUAUAUAGACACACACAUACAUACACACAGGCCCUUUAUGCAAAGGAAUUUCCAUUUUUUUUCAAAAAUGGGGAUUAGUUGUGGGGCCCACGCUGCAUUGAACUUUAACGAUCCGAACAGUCUAUUUUGUAAGUCUCGAUUCAUAGAUCAUCCUUGUAAAAAUUCAAUUCAAUCCGAACCCAUUUGCCUAUUUAAUUAUCAAGAUAAAAUUUUAUUGUUUCUUAUAUAACAAAGUAUUCGUUAAUUUCUUUGAACUCAAUUAGAUAUCUUAAACAUUUCCGAUUUGGUUAAUAUUGUGUAAGGAUGAUCUAUGUGGUGCAACUUGAAAAAUAGACGAUUACGAUCGUUAAAGUUCGAUGUGGUGAGAACCCUACAAUUAAUCUUCAUUUUUAUAAAAGAAUGGGAACCCCUUCCCUUAAAGGUUUCCUAUGUAUAUAUUUGUUCUCCAGACAUAUGCAAAAGGUAAUGUAAAACCAAUGAGAACUUAAAUAGAUAUUCCAUACAUAGGACAAUUCCAUAUAUGCUUUUUCAACAUUUAUAUCGAAAAGCCAAAUUGUUUUGAGGAAAUUAAUUGUAGCAAUGAUCCCUUAACUUUUAUCUUAUUGGAGCAAUGGUCUCUCAACUAAAAAUUCAUAACCAUUGGUUCCUUAACUCCACACAACGUGUAGUUAUGGUCAUUUUCAUUAACUCCGUCAGAACUUUUGUUAAAACAAGUAAUGUUAGAAGAAUCAUUGCUACAAUUAAGUUAAAGUUGGGGACCAUUGCUCUAAUUAAAUUAAAAUUGAGGGAUCAUUUCUCCAAAUUGCUUAAAGUUCAAGGACCAUUUCUACAAUUUUCUCAUCUAGUUUCCCAUAUUUACCCCAUGAUUCAGCUUCACAUGCAUUGCACAUGACUCAUUUUGAAAUUUUUUUUAACGAAAUUGAUGAAAAUGACCAUAAAUGCACGUUUUGAAGAGUUAAGAGACCAAUGGUCGUGGAUUUUAGUUGAGGGAUCAUUGCUCCAAUUUAGUUAAAGUUAAGGGACCCUUGCUACAAUUUUCUCAAAUGUUUUGUAUGCGAAAAUAGGCAUUUGUAAAGUUUGGCUUGUUCAUGGCAUUAUUACUUUAGUCUAAAGUAAGGCUGGAAAUGGCACUGUAGAAAUGAAUAGUGUUCCAAUCCGAAUUUCAGUUUAAUUACAACAAUGCCAUUGCUCUUUGUGUUGCCUUUAGGUGAGCAGCCCGGCUUGCAGCCAGGCCCAAAUGUAUUGGUUUUAGCUGAGAAGCCCGGCCCUUAGUCAAGCCCAAAAUUUUAAAUUACAGUUUUGCCCAUACAAAAUAACAAUCCGAUUGUAUCGAGAAGGACAAUUUUGUCCUUUCAGUUUUGGGUGAGAUAGGGGGUAACAGGGUAAGUUUCAUUUGCUGUCGUUGAAUGAGGGUUUCGAGGAUGAGGGCUCUGUGUGUGUGGGUGUGUGAGAGAGAGAGAGAGAUAGAGAGAGAUAGAGAGGGAUAUGGCGAUGGAAGGAGAGCGAGGGGGAAGGGAAGGGUUCUCGGCACUGUUGCUGCAUGUGAAUUUCACAAGUGGGAGAGUGGGUAUGGUCAGAGAAGACCAUAUAGGUCGUUGGGAUUUCAGGGAAACGGGGUAGGGGUCAUGAAUGAACCCUGCUGAGAGUGGGUACUGGAUCUUGCGCUGCAUGCCUCAAAUCAAAGAUAAGUUCGUUUUUUUUAUUGUAUUUUUUAUGGUAGCUUAGCUUUUGGAAUUGUUUAGUAUGUUAGGUCCGAUUUUGGGGGAUUUAUCUUUUUAGAGAGAGAGAUGGACAGGGAGAUAGAGAUAGAGAGAGAGAGAGAGAGAGAGAGAGAGAGAGAGAUGAGGAAGCAUGACUGUGUGCAAUUUUUUAUGUUAAUUAAUGGGUUGGUGCGCAGGGUGAGUGACAGAGUGACAGAGUGAAGGAGGGACGUGUGGGAGGGUAUGAGUUUUCAGUUCUUUCUUUUGAUUCAACAGGUUAUACACUGUUUGAAAAACCUUUUUUUUAUUAUUUUGUUCUCGUUUGCUUUGUUAAAACCAUCAUUUGAAUUUUUGGGUUUCAUUGUGCUUAUUUCUCUGCUUCUUCAUAAUUUGCUGGUGUUUGCUUCUCAUCCCUCUGUUGGUAGAUCUUUUUCUCAUUUCUUGGUUCCUUAUGUAUUCUUUGGUACAAAUCUGUUUACUUUUUGGCUGUGUGAUAAUCUUAGCAGGUGAACUAUAUGAACGUUUUUUUGAAACGAGUUAAGAAGAUCCAGCUGAAAAGAGCAUACAAGAUAGAGAACUGGUAUGCUGCUCGCCAGGGAAAGGCUGCUGGAAAGGUUGAGACGGAUGCCUCUUUCAGAAACCAGGUCAGUUUCCUGCUGCUCGGCGUCUUAAUGUAUCCAAAUUGUUUAUCUUUUGAUGAAAUUAGCUGGCUAUAUUUUCUAUUUUAUUUAUCUGCAUAUUAUUUUGGUUUGUUGAAAUUUUGACUAUAGUCAUUGUCACAUGGGCGCCUAGCCCAACCCAAAUUAGUUGAGGAUAUUUAAAUCUUCACCAUGGUAUUAUAGUACUCACUCACAGUUGUGAAUACUAAGGUGCAUGCAUGGCAUGAAGAAGUGGACCGUGCACGCCAAGGUCAGAGGGAUGCAGAAGGCAAGCUUUUUUCUUUGGAGGUAAGUAUCCUUUGUUUAUUGCCCAACAGUGUUGUUAUUAUCAAUUUGUAGCUUUGCGUUCUGAAUUUUUUGCUUUGUCAAACAACCUUCUUGAAAUGCUCGAUUUCAAGCCGAAGUCCAAAAAAUGAAAGUUGAGAUGGCUUCCAUGAAGAGGGAUGUAGAGCAUUACUCGCGCUAGGUGAAAUCUGCUUCCUCUCUUUUCGUAUAUCUUCAUAUGAAGAGUUUUACUAAGUUAUAUUGAGAACUAUGUUAUUUAUAGGUUAUAUUUUCCAUUUUGCAGGAACACAUGGAGCUAAGGAAGAGCUAUCGUGAACUCACUGAUCUACUGGUAAUGUCACUCAAACUGCUUUAUUUGUGCAUGCUGCUACUAUGCGCUUGAAUGCAUUUUAUUACUGGCGGGAUGCGAAGAAAGCUAGAUAUAUGUGCUGGAUCGCUUGAUUAAUGUUAGGGUUUUAACAACUAAUUGUUAGCAGCUAGAAGCCCUGGUUAGAUUAAUGCUAAUUUGAUUUUCCUUACAGUACUUGAGUGCCAGUUUCAUAUUGUUUGUUCCCUGUUGGAUACCUGCUGUACAGUUUCAUUUCUGUUUCUUCAUAACUUUCUUGGCCCUGGGAUAUAUGCAUAUUGAGUACAAUGAAUAUCCAUUGUUCUCUAACUGUUGGGCUUUACUAUCUUUGUAGCAGCCUGCCUAACAUUUUUUAGGCUCUACACUCUACCAUCCAAUUUAUGAAAAAUUCAAAGAUUGGACGAUAUUGAUUGCAGAAAUGAAAAAAAUACUAUGAUAUUAGAAAGGUGAAUGUAAUUGUGUUAGAAUAAGCGUCUAGCAUGAUGGGUAAUAUUUUAAGUUUGUAUUUCUAAAAUUUUUUCGUUCUGGAGUAUGAUUUACCUCAAUUGUUUUGUACUUUAAUCUUUACUAAUUUUCAUUGUGGAGUAUGAUUUGCCUCAACUAACAACUUUUCAUUGUUUAACUUUUUCCUCCCUUAGAUAGUUGCAUAUGUUUGAUUUGUUAAUCUGCUUCUUACACAUGUUGUUUCCUAAUGGUGUAGGUGGGUUGUCGGAUGCAUGUGCAGAUUACUUGAAUAGACGAAGCUAAGAAUGACUUAGUAUUAAGUGAGACAGAAGCUUGGGUCAGUUGGAUUUUGACAUUUGAUUUAUUCAUGUUUUUUGUUGCUUGCAAUGUUCUCGCAUUGUUUGUUCUGAGAUUCUGUGAUCUUAUUUUUCAUAGGAACUGACAUUGGUUUGCCAUAUAAUGUUUCAGGAACUAAUACAACAACUAAUCACCUUGCUUAGCUCUCAAGACACAUACUUAACAGGUUAACAAACACUAACCUAUAAACUGAUCUGCUAAGCUGGACCAUUAACCUCUGUUUAUAUCCCUGCCACUCAUCUUUUGGCACUUAUCAAUAGCAAAAUCUAGAGUUGUUGAAACCCCAAUUUUAAUGAAUAUUAUUUUUAGUUGAUAAUUAAAAUUAAUUGAUGAUUAAUCUAUUCCAUUGUGCAUUAUUUUAUCGCCAAAUACUUUGAAUAUUCAUUAGCAAAAGAUAUAGGGUUCACUAUUUAAUGAAUAGAAUUUUGAUGGUGGAUUGCAUUUCCUGAGUUAUAAAUGUGGUGAAUCCAUUAUUUACUAGCUGAAUAAUCAUAAUGUUUUGGCCACUUACCUUGAAUUUUGUUCAAAUUGAAGAAGUCACAUGUUUCUUUCUGUUGUUGAGGUAAUCUCUCUGUUGAAAGCUUCUAUUUCUUUUUUUUUUUUCUUUUUUUCAUUUGGGUAGAUUUUUUUUUUUAUGGAUUUAUGUAUUUUUUUUCCAGAGAAUUCGAAAUGAAAUAAGAAUAGCGGAUUGAGCAUAAACAAAUUGAUGAAAUUUUUAUUUGAGUGUUUGUGUUAGUCCUUUUUUGAUUUGUUGAGGUUUGGAAUUAUUUGAGUUUUUUUGCUGUUAGUACUAUGAAGGAUGCUUGGCAAUCGCGAAAUGGGGGCUACCUCUUUGGAAAGAGAAGUCUCGCUAUCCAACCUCUCAUGAAUUACAAACAGGGUGAUUUCUUGCUGAAAAACCACUGAACCAGUAGAACUUUCCUCGGUUCUUCAAUUCGAUUCGAAUAAUUUUUUUACCCAGAAAAGCCAGCGUUUCCUGGUGGGUUUUACAGCUUUCUCAAUGUUUUUGUGAUUUUGGAUUUGCAAAUUUGUUUUCUGUUCAAAUUUCCUUUUGUGAUUUUGGAGGUUUUGUUUAUCGAUUCUCUCACUCAUCUCUCAGCUCUCUCUCACUUUUGAGGUACAUGCCGUUGGAUUCCGUUUGCUGCUGCUGAUCUGUAGGUAAAGCUUCAAUUACCAUAUAAAGUUUACAUUUUUCAUGAUUUCUUGAAUUUGGGUUUUAAACAAAGGAAAUAUUGCUAGAUUCUUAUCUUAUGUGCAAAUUACUGGCUAUUUGGAUUGGUGCCUGAGAUUUAGAGAAUGCCUCGCAGCUUUAAUUUCUUUUUCCUUCAUUAUUACUGUUUUCAAAAUUUUUAUUGCUGGGUAUUGAUAAUUUGUAGUAUGUGAGGGCUUCAAUAUGUUGGAAUUUUGAAUGGUUAUUGCUUCAUCGGAAUUUGGGUGGUCCAAAUUUUGAAUUAGAAGAAACCCAUUUGAUUAAUAUUUUUGGUGGAUUGGUUCUCUGUGUUUUCCUUGCUAUUUCUCCCCCAGUUGGAAAUUGGAAGCCCCAACUUUGAGCUCAGAGCUUGAAUUUCUCAAUCGUUCGUUUCUCUGCACUCUCAUCAAUCACUCUUGAUCCUCUAUCUAAAGAACUGGGUAAUUUUCCAGCUCUAUCAAGUAAUACUCCAUUUAAUUGCUUAAUUGAGGUUUUUUGUUUCUCUUUUUCGCUCUUUCAUCAGUUCAUUGACUUUGAUGUUGAGCUUAAGUAAAUGGGAGAUCAUUAAUUGGCAUUGUUCAAGAUAUAAUUCUGUGUUUUUGGAUUUGUGAAACGAUUUGCCUAAUGAUGAUAGUGGUUAAAAUAAAUUUUUCGUUAUGAAGAGAACAUUGUUCUUCAUUUGCCUACGGUUUUAACUACAAAGUUAAACUACUAUGCUUUUGUUCAAUUGACUGCAACUCAUGCCGCAGUUUGCUUCACAAACCUCUACGGUUAGCUUCCAUACAGUAUGUUGCAAGUUUGAGGAUAUCUUUACAUCUUAAUUUUUGCUCUCUCUGGUUGCUUCAAGUUUGUAAUUUUACGUGUUACAUUGCUACUUGAUUUGAUUAUAAAAAUGCAAAACAAAAUCCGUUUUGCUUUUAUUCAACUUAAAUGUAUCCUUUUGUUUGUUCAUAAUUGUGUUGAAUUUAUUCAACUUAAAUGUGUUUUAUUCAUCUAUUUACGCUUAAAACAACUGGUUCCCCUAGCAAUGCGCGGGCCUAAUUUCUAGUACAUAUACUAAAAGCCAGCAGAAAAUUACUGUUCAUCAUGGGAGAUAGAGCACUGUUCAUUAACAGUGAAAGGGCGAAAAUGCCCUCGGUUUCUUCUUUACUUCACGUACUGUUUACGAAUUGCUACAGUAUAAAGUCCGUUUUGUCCUUCCUGUCCACACAUCUUUCAUCGUCCGUUUCUCUUGCUUCGACCGUAUCUUUUUUGCUUUACCUUUCCUCUUCAUUUUUCGCAUUCGUUAGGCUGCGAUUUUCGGAGGUGGAUUGUUUGCCCUCCCAUUUCCAUGCUCUCCCCAUGCCUAUGUGGUCACAGUUAAACCACGUCAAUAUUUUAUAUUAAUUUUUUAUAAAAAUAAUAAAACAAAAAGUAAUAAGAAUAUAAAAUAUUGACGUGGCUUAACGUGGUCCGUGAUCACAGUAGGCAUGGAAAUGGUCCGCGACUUUCUCCCUUUUCGCCAGCCCCUCUUUUGCUCUCAAAUCCUUGCUCUUUCUUUUGCAAAAUAGUCUCAGAAGAGAUCCUGGGUUUAUCGAAUCCUUUGUUGUUCGGCGUUUUGUUCUCAUCUUGUGAUCGUCGGGUCAGCAGCUUUAAGGUAAGUUUGUUUUUAAUGAUUUAUCCUCAUUUUACGAUGUCUGGGCUAACAAAUUUAAGAUCUUUAUUUUUCUUUUUGCUGCGGAUCUGCAGGUUUUGACAAGUUUUUUGUGAAAUUGGUGCUGUCAGUGGGUGUUAACAUCAGGUACCCAUGUUCAGUUUUUCGUUUUGAUUUGAAGGAAUUUCUUGCGCAGAAGUGCUAGGGUUUCUUGGUGAGUUCUUCGGGUUGUGCAUAUGGGUAAUUUUCUUUUCGGUUUAACCCGCUGCUUCUGCUGCUCUCUCUCUUUCUCUCAUCCCUGCCUGCUCCUCUCCAAUUGUUUGCUGUUCUUAAAUAUUGUGUUCAUUGCCUGAUACAAGGAGCUGCAGCAAUCUGUUUUAUCCUACACGGGACAACGAGGCAAUGGCGUGACAACAGGUGAGCUUGGAUAUCCAAAGAAAGAGAACAGUUGGUUCAUCUGCUGGAGUCUGAAGCUCAGAGAAGUGGAGGAAAAUUGCAGGUGUGCGAGAAAUUUUAUUUUGCUGAUAGGACUCCUUAUUUACGGAUGCAUUUUGAAAUAAUUGAAAAGUUGGAUUUGAGUUAACAGCUAUAAAAAUGUAGACAUGAUUGCUGAGAUUAUGCUAUGAAAGUGGAAUAAAAAAAUGGUAGUUUAUAAUAUUGCGUACCAAUUUUUUUCUCUCUUUUUUACCAAAUGAUAAGGGUGGUGGCUCAGGCCGCCCCCCCUACGCGUCCCCACUCUUCGACAAGUUGAAAUCAUGGUGAUAGUUUAUGGGCUGUGGUCUUGGGAUUCUGCAAAUAGAUUAAAAAACAGACACUUAACUAUCUUGUUAUUAAACAUUUCUGCAUCAUUCAGUUGCUCUUGAUUUUCGUCUUUUAAGCGAUCUUAUUUCUGCGAUCUGACUUGAGGAGGGUUUUUAGACCUAUGGUUGUGGGUGUUUUGUCUGACCCCAUUAAAUUGGUUUCCGAGAUUUGUAGACUUGCGAUCGGCAGUCAAACAUUUUGUGAUUCUUGCUUUUUUUCCGACUGGGAUUGACGAAUUUUGGCCGAAUCUGUUUCCUGUUUUCUUCUCUGUUUGAGCGGCCGCUGCCUUUCGGUCGUUGAGCGCCGGCAGUCUUUAGAUCUUUGGCAAAUCAAUUUAAUACAACCGAGGUAUGUUUUAUAACUGCUGUCUUUCAAUUUUUGUUCUGUAUUUUUGUUAAUUUGGAUGAAGCUCUAAUAAUUUUGUUUUGGAUCAGUUGUGGUCCUCUGUUAGGAUUUUCCUGGCUAAGAGGGUAUUUGCGUUUUUGUUGCUUGGUUGGUCGAUCACAGAUUUACGAACAGCUGUGGUGGUCCUGUUAUUUUUUUGGUAUGUUUUUUCUCCUUUUUGGUUUUUUCCCGGUUUGAGCACCCAUUCAUGAAGAAUUAAAAUGUGUUUAUAGUUUUUCAGGAGAGAUUAGAAAAGUGAUUUCAAUUUGGGAAAAUUUAAUGUUGGUUAAAAUUUGUCUAUAAUUUUUGGGAAGGAAUGAGAGGACCCAUUGAAGUAUGUGUUGUGAUUAUUUUUUAUUCAUAUUUUUAACAAAUUGGGCAUGAAUUGGUAGGUUAACUGUGUGUGUUUAUUAUUUGAAUCGGCCAUGUUUGUCUUUCUAUGGUUCUAAAAAAUUUGUAAAGGCUGUUAACUUGGAAGAAAAUGGGAUCGAGGGUGAGGGGAAAACGGCAGAGAAAGCAUGGAAGAGAGAUUUGGGAUUAGGGGUAGGAAAACAGAUGAAAAGAAUAUGAUAGAGGAAUGAGUUCAGUUCAUUUUCACUAUUUUUUUUAACUGAUUUGGAUUUUGUUUGGGUUUGAGGCCAUCAUUGGCGUUAAGACGUUUAUUAUCAGAUCGUGUGUGUUUUUUGCUAACUUUUAUUGGUCAUUUUUAUGUUGUUCUUAUGAUUUUGUGUGGUAGGGUUUCUGAAUUUUAUCGUUAUUCAUUUGGUUUUUUGUGUGUGUUGGUUUGUUUAUUUUGCAGGUUGUGUUUGUGCUGGGACAACAUUUUCCACCUUCUGUUUGCACUGGGAUGAUUGCGUUUUAAAACUGUUGGGGUGAGAUUUACAUAUGGAAUCAUUCCAUUUUUUUUCUUCCAAAUAUGUGCAUUUAGUUCUUUUUAUUUUAAAUUUUAAAAAUUAAAUCGUUAUUUGAGUAAAAUGUUUUAUUAAUUUAUGUUAUGUGUUGUGAUCAGGAAUUCUGUUGGAUUUGCAAAUUUUGGUUUGAUGAGAGAGAUGAGGAGUUUUUUUUGUUUGAAUUUUUUAUUGGACCGAUUUUCAAUUGGAUUGCAUUCUGCCUUUUUGCACCAUUCUUAUGCAAGCAAUUCAUUGUUUUAAAUACAAUUUGAAGAGAGCUGGGUUGCGGGUUGGAUAUAAAAUGUUAAGGUGAGAUAAAAUCGAGAUACCAAGGGUGGAAGAAUGAUUCAGAAUUGGGGGAGGAAAACAGAGGGAAGAUGGAAGAGUAUAAGAGAAGGAUAGGGUUGACCUCAUUUAGAGUUUUUAUUUACUUUUUUUUUUAUUAUUUAUAAAUUGAUUCAGGACUAGCAUAUCAUUUCUAAAUUUCUAACAUUUUUGUUUAAUUUGACUCCAGUUGAUGGAAAACAGAGCUCUUACUCCUAUCAAUCAGUUGGUCCCGUACAUAAAUGCAGAAAAAUCAAGGUUCGAGUUUGCAGAGUAUGCAGACCAAGGUUUCCUGAAACUACUGGUGCUGUCACGCCCCAAUCCCGACCUAUGUCCAGGAUCGACACGUGACGUUAACAAAUACCCAUAUCUCUAACAUACCCCGCCUCCGGAAUAUGGGCAAAGCACAACUGCGUAAUAAUUUUUCGUAUACUUUAUGGCUGCAUCUAACAUCCUCGUUAGAUUAUCAUACCUUAUGGCUACAUCUAACAUCCUUGUUAGACUGCCUACGUACUCUCAAAAGGGAUCAAACCAUUCGUAGUUCACCACACUCCAAUCCACAAAAAUUUGCACAUGCACUGAUUAUAAAAUGGAACUGCACCUAUAGAAACCUAAUCAUAACCCGUGGGCGAUUUGCUCCCACAUAAGAAAGACGUCCACAGUACCAUGAAAUACUUCCACAUCUUUCCUUCCCAUUUACACAAUAUUUUAUUUCACCUCCCUGAUAAAUAUAGCAUUUACAUUACAUGUGGCAGACAAAUUUGCAUAUUCAACUAUAAUAAAAUACAAUCUUAGUAGGAAAAACCUACAAGACCACCACUCGUUUGAGCCAAACUUUAGCUUAGCACUCAACUGGUGCUCACACCAUGUGAGUGCACGAUCCUUUAAGAUGGAUGCGAUGGUUCUCUUUUGAGAUUAAUUUUGUUACAGGUAUAACAUAGUUGGCAACCGUUUAGAAAUAGAUGCCUCAUGUUCAAAACUCUCAUUACCAAAUGUUCUAACAAGUUAGUAGAGAAGGUAAAAGAACCCAAAUGGCGAGAAAUAGUGUCCUGAUGAAACAAAAGAUGUAACCCUCAUUCAAGCACGAACAUCAUUUCCUUGAGAAUCUGCGAUUUCUUCCCUCAUUUGGUCAAUAUAGCUUGUAUUCCAACUGCAACUUACUAAUAGCAUUUGUUCUCUCCUCGAAUGAAACCAUAACCAGCCAUUUUAAAUAAAGCUGAACAGUUUCACGUUGGGAAAAUAAAGAUUAUAACAUACAGGUUUUGGAUUAGAUUCCCAAACCAACAGAAAAUUAAGAUAGGAAUCUAUUUUGGGUUAACUGAGGUAUGAGUGGUAUACAAAUGAGAAAUUCCCUACAAAAGUCAAUAAAACCAGUUACAUAACAUGUUGAAUAUAAUACAACAUGAAAUAAGAAGCACCACUUGUUUAUCUGACUUUUUAUACAUGUAUUUUCCUAAGGGAUAAAAACGUGCGGGUUUUGGGAUCAAUCUGAAGAGGGCUUCACCACGAAUACAUAGCCUUUGACCGUGCAUGAUUUCGUUGCCGUAUGAGAAAGUUAUCAUUUUUUUUUUUUGUGAAGAAGAAUUAAGGGGGAGAAGAACAGCUGCCCCCUCUGUUUCUGCAUCUGCCCAGCGGGGAAAGAAAAAGAAGAGAAGCCCUUGGCUUCUAGAAUACUCCCUCCCCAAAAUUACAAUUUUGCUCUCUAACUUUGAUUGUUUAUAUCUUAUUCGUUAUAACUCUGUUUCACGAACAGCUUUUGCUUACAUGCUCACAUAGUCGUCAUCUAUUUAAAUAUAUCAAGAAAUACAAUAAAAUACAUCCUCGUAUAAGUAUGUUAACCAAUUAGGGCACUUUCGUCAUUUCCACUUAUCGAUAGAUUUUAACACGUUAAUUAUAAUAAUGUCCGGAAACAGCUUUAAAAUUUCCAAAUUCUAUUUCCAUAACCAUAAAUCGAUUUAUUAAUUUUUCAGGGUAUCACAGGUGCAUAUUCAGGCUUGCAUUGUAUAUUACUUUCCUAUUAAAAAUUUGUUUGGAAUUUGCUUUUCCCACAAAGGAGAAGAGCUGACAGUUACGCUGUGGGCAGAUGUUGCUCGAAGUAUUGCUUCUUUAUCCAUUGAAUCAUUGUCUCUGCCGAUCUUUGCGGUUUUCACAAGUUUAAAGGUCAAGCUGUACCUAGGUGUUUGACUUAAUUAAAAACUAAUCUAUUUAUUUCGGAGGCGGAGCAAAAUGCUAUCUGUCUUACCCCUCUUGGUGAUCUUAGUCGGAAAGAUCGGCUAGUUUGGGAUGUGAGUAAGAAUGGGCAGUACUCGGUUCGAUCGGGCUAUCAUUGGCUGCAAUCUAGGUCUGUUGGGUUCAGGGAUCAACGCCAGCUUGGUGCUUGCUUAGUUCCGAGGCAUUUGUGGCGCAUGGUUUGGUAGUUGAGUGGGCCUCAUAAGCUCCGUCAUUUCUUUUGGUUAUCUUUGCAUAAUGCAUUACCGUCAUUUCUUUUGGUCCGUGACCAGGCAUGAGGAGAGCAUGGAAAUGAGAGGGCAGACAAUCCACCUCCGCGACUUUCUCCCUUUUCGCCAGCCCCUCUUUUGCUCUCAAAUCCUUGCUCUUUCUUUUGCAAAAUAGUCUCAGAAGAGAUCCUGGGUUUAUCGAAUCCUUUGUUGUUCGGCGUUUUGUUCUCAUCUUGCGAUCGUCGGGGUAGCAGCUUUAAGGUAAGUUUGUUUUUAAUGAUUUAUCCUCAUUUUACUAAACUAUUUAUGGUAACUUAGUAUGGUAACUUAACUAAGUAAGUUUGCUUUUAGCCCAAGGGUUGGAGAUGGUCUUAGUAUGGUAACUUAACUAUUUAAUUCCAUCUCAUUAAACUAAAAAAAACAAUUACAUAAAAAUAAGGGAAACCUUGUCCAGAGAGACCUGAGAAAGUCCACCCCUAAGGACUUUGCGCCAGCACCCAGCGUAUUUAUCUACUCAAGUGAACAGUAAUAGACUGGAGUGAACAGUAAUAGGCCAAGGCAUCUCCACCCCUAAAAAAAUGCGCUGGCACCCAGUGCAUUUAUUUGGUGUGUUUUUUUUUUAAAGUUUAUUUCAGAUAAGAUUUUUAACCAAUUUCGGAUAAAAUUUCAAAUAAACUUAAAAAAAAACACUCUAAAAUAAAAUUACAUACUCAUCAAAUAAACUUAAAAAAACACACUAAAAUAAAAUUACAUAAACUCAUCAAAUAAAUUAAGGAUGAGCUUUUUGGUAUUUUUUUUUCACACAAAAAGUAUAUGAAAGCUUUGGUAGAAGGUCUAGAAAAUAUUGAAAUGUGGUGUAAGGUGGAAGAUGAGGGUUAGGUAUUUAUAGAAAAAAAAUAAUAACUUUUUUAAAAUUUUACUGUAUUUUAAAAAAAAAUCUGUAUUUUUUUAUAUUUUUAAUUAAUUUUAAUGUAGUUAAUUAAUUUGGACCGUUGGAUUUGAAAAAUAUUCAAAUCCAAUAGCCCAGGAUCGGCCACGUGGCCAACGCCAGCAAAUGGCCCAGCUUCUUGGUCAGCCUGUUUUGUGCUGGCCCAGAGACCAGUUUGGGCUGGGUGCCAGUCUGUUUUGUGGGCUGGAGUGAAUGGACAGGGUCCCAGCCUGUUUUUUGUGCUGAGUGCUGGCCUAAUCCACCACCGGUGGACUUGCUCUGAGAGAAAGUGACGACUUCUCCUCUCAUUCCACUCCAUACUUGAUCUCUAAAGUCCAUUUGGCAUGUAAUUGAUGUUCAAUUUCAAAUUUAGUGGUAGCAAUUAGCAAAGCUAAUGAAAGAAUCAAAUAAAAUGAAAGAAAAAGCAUCAUGAAAUAAAUCAAGAUGAAGAAUGAAAUUUUGGCAACUCGCCAUUCUCUUCUUUUAUAUAAAAGAUACAUCCUAUUUGUAGUGAAAACAGGUCCCGACAAACCCAGUUAUCCUCAAGAAGUAUUUUGUAUGACUUUAAAAACAUAAUCCGUGAAAUUAUCUCUUGGCUGAGAACAACAACAAAUCUUCAUGCAUAGCUUGUACAGAAAGACAUCAGGCAUACAAAAGAACACGCAAGCAUAAAAUAAACGACGCAGGGAAAACCAAAAAUACUAUAGAACACGUCGCUGUCAAAAGAACAUGAAUAAAUGAAAAUUACAAAACAAAGAAGUGAUGAGAAACCAAAGUACCCAUUUCAUAAUCUAGUUGCUUUUUAGUUUGCUUGCCAUUUUUAGUUCUUCAAUUUAGAGAGAAACGAUAAUUCAGCACAUGAAUAAAGUGAAAACGUAAAAGAUAUGUGGGAUAAGCUGACAGCCAUCCCUGAGUAAUGCAUUCACUUAUGAACCCCAAACACAACGAAACAAAAAUUCACACAUGAACUACAGCUCCGCUAUGUAACAAGAAUUAAAAGCAUCUCAAGACAAAAUGGCAAACUAUAAGAGCACUGUAAAAGUAAAAUUGCAAGAAAUCUAAUACUUGGAGGGCAAGUACUACUCAGACGAAAAUGAAAGAUUGAACUACCUCGCGUGGAACUGUGCCUUGGUUUUUUCCCAUGCUUACAGGAAGCUUUGCACUGAGCUCUUAUAGCCCAAAUUUUCUCUGAAAGAAAAAAACACAAUUUUGAAAUAAGAUUUUCAUAUUAUACCUUAAAGAGAAGAAUUAGAAAACAAAAAAGAGAACAAUGAGUACUAUUCAUCAUAUAUUGUUAGAGUGUGUGGUCCUUUGGUCCAAUGGUCCUGCAGCCAUAUUUACUUUAUAACUCUUUCUUUUAGUCUAAAAAACAUCUUGGAUCUCAAAUUAAUAUGAAUACGGAUUCAUACGCAUGCAUUGCAUUACAACCACAAUGCAAUAUCUCAUUAGAAAUCCCCACACAAAAUUUUUUUAUUUCUACUUUGAUUUUAGUUUAUAUUUUUUCUAAAGCACGAGGGAGCUAAUUUUUUUUUAAAUUUUUUUUAUUCCAAUAAUGUUAUAGGGUUGAAAGGAUAUUAUCAAUUUAAUUGAUUGUAUUUGAUUGGUGGAACUUCUAUAUCUAUAUUUCAGUUUUUCAAAUUCAGCACUGGGAGAGUCAUUCAUAAAAUGUUUGACAGUGAGAUUACCUCCAUGGAUUAUGCUCACAAUGGACAGCUCAUUUUCCGCAGUGAUGGGACAAUAUAUUUCAGUCAUUCGCCAUUCAAUCAAUUCAAACCGAGGAACAAGCAACAUCAAGAAGAGGAUCUGCCAUGUCAGGAUCACUGUCGUCCAAUUAAUACAAAAAAUCUAGAUAAAAACGAUCAAUUUACAUAAAAGCCUUUCAUUUUCUCAGCAACCAAGCAAAAGAAAAUACCUAUCCGUUAACACUCGAUUUGGGAGUAAAUGUUGCUGAAACUGGACUUCAAUCCCCUCAACCGCAACAACCGAAUCGAGGUGUGCAAGUCAUUGAAAAACUCACCCAAGAUUUCAAAAUCUGCAUAAAUAAAUAAAUAAGCACAUAAAUUAGCCAACCCUGUUAUGAUCCCACAUCGGGUACACAAGAAAUUGUGUAGUGGUACUUAAGUGCAAGGGGUCCUCCCACCUAUUGGACUAGUUUUUUGGAUUGGGCUCUUCCCUUGGGCUUGAGUACCUAACAUUGGUAUCAGAGCCUAGGUUCCCGACGCUGCGGGACUUGGCGAGUGGUGCAGCCUCGUGGUGCCGCCUUGAGAGUAUGGGCUCCUAAGGGUCUUGGCGACGGGCAAGGUAUGAAAUGCCGAUAUUAUCGCGAUAUUUCGCCGAUAAUAUCGGUUUUUUGAGUUACCGAUAUUUUAAUACUUAUCCACUGAGUUUUCGUCAAAAUAUCGCGAUAAUAUCAACAAUAUCGCGAUAUUACCGAUAAUAUCGCGAUAUUUUGGAGAUGUGCGAAUCGGAGAAGAACGCCGGAGCUUUUACAGCUCCGGCCGACUGUAAAAGAGCACCCUAGACUCCGAUCUAGGUAUCAAAAUGAAAUACAAGAUGAGAGGAAUGUUUUUAUAACUUCCGUUUGCCGUGAAACGGUCGAAGGUGUUCGGAAAGUUCGUCGACACCCACGGCCUCGCCAGAGAUGGGUGUGCCUAUUCCCGAGCCGAUUUCGUCCCAAAAACCUUGCAAAAACACGAGAUAGAACUUAAAUUUCACGUCUAAGCUUCAAUCUAGAAUAGAAUGAGGUAAACCCGAAGCUUACCUAACCGGAGAAAUUCAAGAAACUCGUCGGAGGGUUCCUGCGUCGCCGAGUUGCAGAGACGAGAAGGAGAGGGAGAAAGACGAGGUUGCUGAUGACGAUGGGUGUCUUCCUCAAGCAAGUGCGAUGGUGUGCGUGUGUGUAUGUGGGUCUCGGUGCAGAGAGAAAGGAGAGAGAUGAGAGUUUCGAGAGAGAGACGGCACCGACGAGAGCUAUUUGUUUUUUUUUAUCUUAAAAAGAGAGAGGUCUAAGAGAAAUGGGAAGAGAGGGCCGAGUGAAAUGAAAGGAGGUCCUUGAAUUAUUGAGAGAUAUCUCUGAGAGAGGCCUAGGAUUUCUAAAAGGUAAUCAUAAAUGGGAAAAAUGGGGCACAUCUUAGCCUUUAUUUUGGAAUCCUAAGAAGUUCACCACAUGGAUGCAUGACAUGUGUGCAUGCCAUGUUUGUUGAAUGGGAAAAGUCUGACACGGAAAGACAAAGAGUCGUUUGGGGCUCUGGGCUCGAGGCAAGACAGAAAGUGCUAGGGUUUUUUUCUGAAAUGAACAUAAGCUGCUAAAUUCGCAUAUAUUAUAGUUGUUGCUAAAGAUUGUCACUAGUGUGGACUUGGACGUGUUGGUCAACAUGUCCUCACAAUCCCCAAGUUCUCUGGUUCGAACCCUUGCGCCCAUCAAAUUUUCUUUCUUUUUGAUGCGCUUUUCCCAUGGCUCUAGGUCUUGAUUUCGAAUCCAAGUGAGCCCUUUCCUUUUUCUUUUUUGUUCUUUUUGUUUUAUUAUUUGUUUAUUUUAAUUUAUUUGUUUCUUUUAUGUUUUUCUUUUCUUUUAGUUUCUUUGUCUUAGGCGUUCGUUUUUAUUAAAGUAGGAUGUAAAAUCAAUUAUCUUAAAAUUAUGUGUUUUUAAAUUUUGGACUUGUUUGUUGGAUACUUUUUUUUCAUUUUAUCAUUCUUUUAUUAUGAAAAUAUGCUAAAAUAUGCUAAAAUAUCACUUAUGUUUUUGUGAAAAUAUGCUAAAAUAUUUAUAUAUAUGAUUUUGUUUUGAAUUCUUUUUGUACUAAUUCAUUAUAUAUAAAUGAUUAUGGUGUGUUUAAACUUCUUUAAUUAAUUACUACAUAUUUUCUAUACUCACAAUGUUUGCCAGCUCGCUAUAUAAUCAACUUAAAUCAGUUAAAUCCAUCAUGCAAUGCAUUUCCUUCCAAUUUUUUGUGAUAAACUUGUGAACACGGAAAAUUCCUGAAACGAAAGAGACAAGAACGAACGUGCACAAACAAAUAUUAUGUAUUUGAUGAUUUUGGGUUACAAUCUCUCUCUAUUUGAUCCUCUGAUUCAAUCUCCGUAAGGUGUGUAUUUGUGGAUGUGUGAUUGAUCCAAAGGGCCGUUGGGCUUGAUCUAAUGAUGAACGUUCUUCAAGGGCCGUGGACUUGAUCUUGAAGGUGGAUUUGAGCGGAUCUUCAAAGGGGCUUUUGGGCUUGAUCUUGAAGAACGGUUGGAUGUGUGGAUUUGUCGAAGUUGUUGAUCCAAAGGGCCGUUGGGGCUUGAUCUUGGAUGAACGGAUGAUGAACGAUGGUGCUUUCUUCAAGGGUCGUCGGGGCUUGAUCUUGAAUUGGUGGAUGGUUGAUCCAAGGGCCGUCGGGGCUUGAUCUUGGAAGAACGAUGAACGAAGAACGAAGAACACUUUCUUCAAGGGCCGUCGGGGCUUGAUCUUGAAUUGGUGGAUGAUUGUUGAUCCAAAGGGCCGUUGGGGCUUGAUCUUGGAAGAACGAUGAACGAAGAACAAAGAACGCUUUCUUCAAGGGCCGUCGGGGCUUGAUCUUGAAGGUGGAUGAUUGUUGAUCCAAAGGCUGUCGAGGCUUGAUCUUGGAAGAACGAUGAACGAAGAACACUUUCUUGAUUCUUCGGGAACCUGGACGCUUGAGAGCUUCGGAGUUUCAGAGCUUCAGAGCUUCAAGGUGUAAUAUGAAUUGGUCCCCCCUAAAUGAAUGAAAUGGGCUUGUAUUUAUAGAAUUUUCCAAGGCCUAAUUUUGAAUAUAAUAUCUCAGAUGAAAUAAGUCGUUUCUGCCAGGUGUUAACACGUGUCCUAUUUGAUGACUUUUCCAACUCAUUUCAAUUUUCGUUUAGUCACACGCUACGUGUAAAAUUUAUGUAAUACAUGAGCGUUGACACUUUGAUUUAUCGGUCAACAUUUAUUUACCGAAAUUUCGAUGUCUACAAAUGCCCCCACUUCAAGGCACGUCGUAUACCUGUGCUUGUCACGUGUAGGAGAUGCGUUUUGAAGUCCCUUACCGUAGAUGCCGAUUCAAGGGCCGUUGAAGCUUGAUCUUGAAUUGGGCUUGAGAUUUCUUCAAGGGCCGUUGAGGCUUGAUCUUGAAUUUUUGUUUGAAAUUUCUUCAGGGGCCGUCGAGGCUUGAUCUUGAAGGUUGAAAUUGGGCCACAAGGAGCUUCAUGUGGUAGAUGAUCUUUGGCUUUGGUAGUGGAUGAAUCGGCACGUAUUUUAUUGCGCUUGUUGACUUUCCACAGCUUUGAUCUUGAACUGGGUUGGAGGAUUUUCUGGAUUCCUCCAAUUGUUGAUUUUCCACAGCUUAUUCUUGAACUAGGUUUUGAUUCAAGGGUGGUAGACACUUGAUCUUGAAUCGGACUUGUGAUUUCCUCGAUGGCCGUCGAGGCUUGAUCUUGAAUUUGGUUGGAAACUUCUUCAAGGGCCGUCGAGGCUUGAUUCUUGAAGGUUGACUCGAACAUAUGGCAAGCAGGCACGAGGUGAAGGUGACGACUUGUUGCUUUGUUCAAUCUUUCUAAUUCACACCUGAGCAGUUUGGUCAACGGUAUGAUCCUCAAGAUUGAUGGGCUCUUCUUCCAGUUGGUGACUUGAUCUUUAAGGAUUUGAUUCAAGGGUGGUGAAUCGGCACGUGCAGCCCACAACGCCUAGUAAGCCGACCCAAGAAUUUGAGGGUCAAAACGGAUUCACCGUCAGAGUGAUUGCAACUUUGAUGAUAUGAGAUACUCUUGCUUUUGAAGAAGUAGUGGAUGAAUCAGCACGUGCUUUGUUGCGCUUGUCUCCACAUGCUUCAAGGUAUCAUCUUUAUUUCCUUUAUCUAUUCCUCAGGCAGAUGUGGCAUCUUCUCGAGUUCUUCAUCUCAGACUCUUUCUGCUGAGUUGACUGUUCAUGCUGCAUUCUUCUCUGCUUGUUCAUUCUGCACGUUGUCUCCACAUGCUGCAAGGUAUCAUUUUCACUUGCCUUAUCUGUUCUCCGGGCAAAUGUGGCAGCUUCUUUGAAAGUACAGUAGCAGCGGGAGGCGAGUACUCGAGAGCAGUGCUAGGUAGGCAAUCAGGGAAGGGUUCCAAGCAGUCGGUUCCUUACCCGAGUUUGAGUGGAAGUUCCGGCAUAUUGUUUUUUUUAUCCUUGUCUUUGUAGGUAAGAACAAGGACAAAGGAAAGGACAGGGAGAACGCAUGAUAUGAGAUACUCUUGCUUUCUACCCUGGUGAUAUGAGAUACUUUUGCUUUGGAGUCAUUGGCUUGCAGAGGUACCCCAAGGAAUAAGGAACACUGAAUGACUCGAGAGGCUUCGUUGGGAAAACAUCUUUGGAGAUGAAGAAAGACUUUGUGUGUCUGCCUUGCUAUGGAAGGCGAAGGUAGACAAUUAUAGGAAGUUCUUUGAUACCUGUAGAUGUACUAUUCUUUCACUCGUGUCGGCAACCAAUGCGUGAUUGAUCUAUAUGGCUUCACGUGCUUCCUUCUUUAUCAGAAAUCUUCGACAAACUGUCCGUAAUUUCCGCCAAGCUGAGUGUGCAUGUGAUAGGUGUUGACGCGGCUGAAAAAGACUGGCGCUUAUUCGAUAACUGGGAUCUGCGCUUCGACAAAUUACCCGUGAUUUCCGCAAAGCUGAGUUUGCGUGUGAUGGGUGCUGACGUGUCUGGAAAAGACUGGCGUCUCUUCGAUGUCUGGGAUCGGCACUUCGACAAAUUGCCCGUGAUUUUCGCAAAGCUGAGCUUGCGUGUGACGGGUGCUGACGCGUCUGGAAAAGCAAGAUGCUUCUUCGAUUUCUGAGCUUGCCUCUUCGAUUUUUGAAUGGCCUCUUCGAAUUCUGAGCUCGCCUCUUCGAUCUCUGAAAUCCCGUCGAGUGUUGAUUUUUUAUAGAGGCAUGCUGUUCGUUUCAAAGCACACUUGAAUUUUACUUGUGAAAACUCCCUUCUUGCACUUCUAAGAUCUUGAUUCGUCUGACCUCUUCUUCCUUCAACACUUUGAAAAUGUCUGGACCCUCCGACCGUCGUUUUGAUUUGAACUUUGGUGAAGAUGUAGUCCCGUCUUCUCCAGAUAACAUAUGGCGCCCAUCCUUCAUAUCCCCUACUGGUCCUCUUACUGUUGGGGAUUCGGUGGUGAAGAAUGAUAUGACCGCUGCGGUGGUGGCCCGAAACCUUGUCACUCCCAGAGAUAACAGACUACUUUCCAAACGGUCUGAUGAGUUGGCUGUUAAGGAUUCUCUGGCUCUCAGUGUGCAGUGUGCGGGUUCUGUGUCCAACAUGGCCCAACGCCUAUUUGCUCGAACCCGUCAAGUUGAAUCGUUGGCGGCUGAAGUGAUGAGUCUUAAACAGGAGAUUAGAGGGCUCAAGCAUGAGAAUAAACAGUUGCACAAGCUUGCACACAACUAUGCCACAAACAUGAAGAUGAAGAUUGACCAGAUGCAGGAAUCUGAUGGUCAGAUUUUACUUGAUCAUCAGCGGUUUGUGGGUUCGUUCCAACAGCAUUUGCCUUUGUCUUCUGGGGCUGUACCGCGUAGUGAAGCUCCUCAUGAUCAACCUCCAGCCCCUCUUCUUUCUGGAGUUCCACCGAGUGGUGUGACUUCAAACAGUCAACCUCCGACGUCUCUUUUCCCUAGAGCUCCACCGAGCACUGAGACACCACCUGAGCAAUAAAGACUCCCUCCCGUUUGUUUGCACAUUUGUAAAUUUUUUUUUUUUUUUUUUUUUUUUUUUUUUUUGGUAUGUAGAAUGCAAUUUUAUGUAAAAUUUCCAGAAAAAAUAAAUAAAAUGGAUUUUUAUUUCUCUUAAUGCUUUUUUUUUUUUUUUUUUUUUUGCUGUAUAUAUUAUACACACACAUUUAUACAUACAUAUAUACAUACAUAUAUAUAUAUUUUCACGUGGAGUGAUCCACCAUCCCAAAACCCAUUUUCCCUUUGUUUUUUUUUGCAUGGUGCUAGCCACCAAGAAUUCACCUUUUUUUUUUUUUUAAUUAAUUAAUUAAUUUAUUUAUUUAUUAAUUUAUUAUUAUUAUUUCUUUUUCGUCUGCUUUCACAUGGUGCUUGAUCCACCACUCUCUUUUCUUUUUUCACGUGGUGCCAGAUGCACGCCCCUUUUUUUUUCACGUGGUGACAGCACCACUCUGCUUUGCUCUACCACAUUUUUUUUUUUUUUGUAUAAAUUAGGAUGCUUGGCUGAGGGAUUUUGUAGGGAAGGACGAAGACGGACGGAGAGCCGGAGUUUGAGGAAGAGCUUCUCGGCCGGCUAGUCGUUUGACAGCGGUCUUUGAAGUUGGUGGCAGCUGCGAGGCAAGAGACGGAGGAGGACAGGGCAGCUGUGACGGACAGAGACGCCAUGGCAGGACCUCGAGGAGUUUUAAGAUACUGGUGCAGGUACUGGCGAGGUGAUUUUGACGAGAAAAGCAUGAAGAGGGCGUCGAGCACCAUGGGCCUGCAAUCCUUAAGGUUGAUCUCGUAGUCCUUGAGCUCUUGUUCAGGCAUGACGGGAUCCGCUGCGGUCUUUUUUAUCGGCAAUAAAGUUCUUUGCCUCAUAAAACAGCCCAGAACGCGAUAGAAGAGUUACGAACAAAGCACAAUGUGCAACUGUAGGUGUCUUGAUGCAGUUGAAGUAAAACUUCCCUUCCUCGACCAUGCGUGCUGCAACGCAAGCAUGAAGGACAGCAGCAUAGGUGAUUUCAUCGAUCUGUGUACUCGUUUCCUUCUCCAUUUGGCAGAAUAAAUCUACUCCGAUCUUUCCUUGUCCGUGUAAGCUGUACCCAGUUAUCAUCACUGUCCACGAAACAAGAUCUCUUGUACUUCGACCCUGGCAAAAACUUUUGCAGCUGAUUUGAUAAAUCCCGACUUGACAUACAUGUCCAUAAGAGCAUUCAGAACGGUGAGAUUCAUUCGAAUACCAUGUCGCAGCAAGAAUCCAUGAGUCUCUUUUGCCAUGUUUACCUGCAGACAUUCUUGCGCAUGCUGGGAGAACACUAGAGACCGAGAGCGGAUCAGGUUUCACCCCGUCUCCAACCAUCUGCCUAAACAGCUUAAGACCCUCAUUGAAGCAUCCCCUCUUCACAUUGGCAUGAAUCAUUUCUGUCCAAGAAAUGACAUCUUUCUCCGGUAUUUGGUUGAAAACUGCCCAAGCUUCGUCGACACAGCCACAGUCCAUGUAUAUUUUCAAGAUGGUAUUGCUCACCAACACAUCAUACUCCAAUCCACGUUCCUUGGCAACCCUGUGGACUUUUGUUCCAUCAAUCAACGAUCUCAACAUGCCACAGGCACCAGCCGCCGUCGCCACAGCCACAGAAUCUAUCUGUGCUCCGGACUCCACCAUUCUCUCAAACACAUGAACCGCCUUGCCGGGUUUACCUUCCGCAAUGUACAGCCUGGCCAGCAUUGUCCAUGAAACAGAGUCCGUAACCAGGGACUUGUCAAACAGCCCUUUCGCGGAGUCCGCGCUGUCGAGGCGACCGUACAACUCAAUGAGAGCAGCAACCACGUACCGGUCACCAGAGCAGCCGAGCUUGUGAGCGUGGGCAUGGAGUUGCUUGCCGAGGGAGAGAUCAACCGAAAGGCGAGAGGCAGACAAGACGCGAGGAAGAGUGUGUCUGUCGGGCGACGAACGCGCGGAUGAGCAUUUGGUGGUAAGUGGCGAGGGCGUGGUGGAAGUCGGCAUUGGCGAUAUGGGUCUGGAUAAGUCUGUUCCAUGCAAAGGUAUCUGAGUGGGGCAUUUUGUCGAACACCUUGUGGGUGACGGCCACCUUCGUGGUGGGUUUAGCAUUUCGGGAGUGCUUGUAGUGGGCUGUGUUGAUUGGGUUCUCGGUGACGAUCAAGCGCUGGAUUUGGGCGGAUGGAAGGGCUUCCAUUUCAGUUCAGUCGCACCCAAUUCAGCAUUGCCCGUACGGAUUCGAGCGCAGUUAUCGAGGAGGAGUUUCCUUAAGAAUAGAACCAAUCACCGACUCCUCAAACCCAUCCGGAUAUGCGAUUUUCAUGAGGUGCAAACAAGAACCCUCUGCCAUAAGUGGCAUGAUCACCCAAAGGUUUCUUUCAACGACAAAUGAACAAAACGCCCUCACGACAUUGGGAUGAUCUAUUAAUCUCAUCGUCUGCGCCUCCCUCCGGAUAUCCUCGAAAUUGCUAUUGCACCGAUCGAGAUCCAAGCACUUGACGGCGACGACUUCAUUGAAAGGGAGAUAGAUCGCUCUGUAAACCGUUGCGCUGGCGCCAUAUCCGACCUCUUCCAGAAGCUUGUAGUCGUUCGGAUUCGCCGAGUGAAGCCUCGAAUUGCUACCCAUCCUCCCCAUCUGUUCGAGGACUUGUGCUUCAGAUAUGUCGUUUUGAGGCUACGGGCUCUGCGUUUGGGCUGUGUGCCAGUUUGGGCUUAGUGUUGCUUUGGAGAGAUCUAGGUUUGGUUGAAGAGGUACGGUGAAGCCAUGGGCAAGGGAGAUGACGAAUUGGGCUUGGAGGCUGACACUUGGGCCUGGAUGGCCUCCUUUUGAGAGGCUUGCUGCUGAUGGAUAUACAUAUAUAUAUUUGUAUGUAUAUGUAUGUAAAAGAAAUCUUUUUUUUUUUUUUUAAUUUUUUAAUUUUUUUUUUUAUGUGACUGAACUCGAAAAAAUUGAACAUUCGAGCUGCCUACGUACCCCUCCAAAGAAGAGAUCAAGUCGCAACGUAGUUCAAAUACAUUUUUGGUAUUUUCUUUUUGUGUCGUUUGCAGUUUUAACUCAUGCAGGCAAGGAGUGUUGGUGUCGUUUGCAGUUCCAACUCUUGCAUACAAGGAGCGUUGGUGUUGCCUUUUAUGCUCGUGUAGGCCAGGAGCGUUGGUUCGUGCAGUUUAGGCUCGUGCAGGCGAGGAGCCUUUGGUGUCGUUCGCAGUUUCAACUCGUGCAAACAAGGAGCAUUUGGUGUCGUUCGCAGUUUCAACUCGUGCAGACAAGGAGCAUUUGAUGCCGUGUUGCAGUUUAGGCUCAUGCAGGCGAGGAGCGUUGGUGUCUUGUAGUUUAGGCUCUUACAGACAAGGAGCUUUGGUUCGUGCAGUUUAGGCUCGUGCGAACAAGGAGCAUUGUUGGUUCGUCAAGCGAUCCGAGAGAGUUGUUCCUCACAAUCUUCAUAGCAAGGAGCCUUGACCGCGUGAUUGAAGAAGUCUUCGGGUAAAAAGUCGCGCAUCGUGAUGGCAACAGACAAUCUUUGUGUCGUAGUUUCAUCAUCUUCAACACGUUCACGUUGCUUUGAAGGUUGACAAUAGCUGCUUUGCCCCCUUUUCAAUUGGCGGACUUGUGGAGGAGACGUAUGCUUCUUGUGCAAUUUCUUAGGAGUGACUUGAGUCCAUCCUUCAAUUUUGCUUGUCUUGGACGAUGCCCCCAGCGGUUGAGGUGAAAACUUUGAGUCGGAAGAGCCAGAAGUGAAGGUGGUAUAGUUUGACUUUGCCACUUCGUCAAGAUCUAGCUCGAUGAUUCCUUUCUGAGCCAGCUUCAUGAUGAGAUCUUUCAGCACGAAACAUUUUUCUGUCGGAUGACUGAUGAAGCGGUGGAAUUUACAGUACUUUGGACUGUCGGUGCGAUUCAUCUCUUCUGGCCGUUUGCACUCAGGCAAACCAAUCACCUUCUUUUCCAACAGGUCAUCCAGUAUGGCAACCACAUCAGAGUCGGGGAAUGGAUAAGUCUUCUCCUCAAGCUCCUUUAAAGUGCGUCUACGCAUUUCUUGAUCACGAAAAGCUUCGGUUUGAAUCGCCUUGCCUCGUGUGGAUAUUUUGACGGGAGAUGUGUUGACCGUCAUCGCUUCCUUGGUGGGUUUCCAUGCAGCCUUUUCCACCUUUGUCCCAAGAACUUUGUCGUUCUUGUAGUCGGCGAUUGGUUCUUUCUUCCCAUGAUGGGCGAUGCUCAACUCCAUGUCAUGGGCGCGAGUGGCCAAUUCCUCGAAGGUCCGCGGUUUAAUGCCUUGAAGGAUGUAUUGCAAACCCCAUUGCAUGCCUUGGAUGCACAUCUCGAUUGAAGAGGUUUCCGAGAGCCUGUCUUUACAGUCGAGGCUUAGAGUGCGCCAUCUGUUGAUGUAGUCAAUGACUGGCUCGUCCUUCCACUGCUUUGUGCUUGUUAGCUCUAGCAUGCUCACAGUGCGGCGAGUGCUGUAGAAGCGGUUGAGGAAUUCCCGCUCCAAUUGCUCCCAGUUGUUGAUGGACUCAGGCUCUAGGUCAGUGUACCACUCAAAGGCGUUUCCUUUUAGUGAGCGCACAAACUGCUUGGCGAGGUAGUCCCCUUCGGUCCCUGCGUUGUUGCAAGUUUCAACAAAGUGGGCAAUGUGUUGUUUCGGGUUUCCCUUUCCAUCAAAUUGCAUGAACUUUGGCGGUUGAUAACCCUUCGGCAUCCUUAAGGCGUCGAUUUUCUUUGAAUACGGCUUCGAGUACAACCCGGAGGUAUUUGAGCUCCCUUCGUACUGUGCCUUGAUGGUGUUGGUGAUCAUCUAUUGCAGCUGCUGGAUAGAAAGAGAUCCCAUGAGUGCCGCUGCUUGGUCUGGCUCCGGCUUUGCAUCGUUUUUCUCCACCUGAGGCUCAUCUUCUUCGUCAUCUCUUCUCUUUAGUGGAUCAUUCUCUGGGUCGGGUUUAUCGCCGUCCUGCGCCUUUAGUCGAUUGACGAGUGCUGCAAUUUGCAAGUCUUUUUUCUUCCACCGUUCGGGUCAGCCUUGCGAUUGCUUCAUUCAUCUGAGCCAGUUGUUCUUCAACGGAGGUAACGCCGAUAGUCAUGACUUGUGCGACCAAUAUACGUGACUUUCCUUUAGACAUCCAGGAUGCUGAUGAAGAACGUCGUUGGCUGCUUUGGGAUGUCAUCUUAUGUGCCUCAGCAUCAUGCUUCGGUGCCCCCAGCGAGGUCAGGUUGAUGACAGACUCGCACCUUGGAUGCUCCCCUUGCUCUUUUAGCGGCACCAAUUUUGAAGUAGCAUGUUGGGGAGCGGUUGUGGCGCCAAUGGAUUGUCUGUUUGCGGCAGAAGUGCUUAGGAUCCUUCCCUCAGUGGUUGCGAGAAUGGCUUGUCCUUUGCUUGAUGCCAUUGACUUUGAGGUGUGCUUGGAUUCCUUGAACGAAGAAAGAGAUGAGAGGUAGAGAUUGUCCCACCGGGCGUGCCAAUUUGUGAACACGGAAAAUUCCUGAAACGAAAGAGACAAGAACGAACGUGCACAAACAAAUAUUAUGUAUUUGAUGAUUUUGGGUUACAAUCUCUCUCUAUUUGAUCCUCUGAUUCAAUCUCCGUAAGGUGUGUAUUUGUGGAUGUGUGAUUGAUCCAAAGGGCCGUUGGGCUUGAUCUAAGGAUGAACGUUCUUCAAGGGCCGUGGACUUGAUCUUGAAGGUGGAUUUGAGCGGAUCUUUAAAGGGGCUUUUGGGCUUGAUCUUGAAGAACGGUUGGAUGUGUGGAUUUGUCGAAGUUGUUGAUCCAAAGGGCCGUUGGGGCUUGAUCUUGGAUGAACGGAUGAUGAACGAUGGUGCUUUCUUCAAGGGCCGUCGGGGCUUGAUCUUGAAUUGGUGGAUGGUUGAUCCAAGGGCCGUCGGGGCUUGAUCUUGGAAGAACGAUGAACGAAGAACGAAGAACACUUUCUUCAAGGGCCGUCGGGGCUUGAUCUUGAAUUGGUGGAUGAUUGUUGAUCCAAAGGGCCGUUGGGGCUUGAUCUUGGAAGAACGAUGAACGAAGAACAAAGAACGCUUUCUUCAAGGGCCGUCGGGGCUUGAUCUUGAAGGUGGAUGAUUGUUGAUCCAAGGGCUGUCGAGGCUUGAUCUUGGAAGAACGAUGAACGAAGAACACUUUCUUGAUUCUUCGGGAACCUGGACGCUUGAGAGCUUCGGAGUUUCAGAGCUUCAGAGCUUCAAGGUGUAAUAUGAAUUGGUCCCCCCUAAAUGAAUGAAAUGGGCUUGUAUUUAUAGAAUUUUCCAAGGCCUAAUUUUGAAUAUAAUAUCCCAGAUGAAAUAAGUCGUUUCUGCCAGGUGUUGACACGUGUCCUAUUUGAUGACUUUUCCAACUCAUUUCAAUUUUCGUUUAGUCACACGCUACGUGUAAAAUUUAUGUAAUACAUGAGCGUUGACACUUUGAUUUAUCGGUCAACAUUUAUUUACCGAAAUUUCGAUGUCUACAAAACUAAUAGAUAAUUGACUAAAUAAACAUCCUGCAAAGUUUCAAUAAAAAUUUCCAAGUUUUUCUUACAAUUUCUGUGGUUUCCAUAUUAUUUUUAUCGAUAUCGAUAAUAUCCCGAUAUUUCAAUCGAUAUUUCCGUGUUUUUGGACUACCGAUAUUUCCGAUAUCAUCGAUAUUUUAUACCUUGGCGACGGGGGACUUGCCGACUGGUGCCACCGUGGACGUUGGGUCUUUCGAAAUGUGGUGUAAUGUUAUGAUCCCACAUCGGCUACACAAGAAAUUGUGUAGUGGUACUUAAGUGCAAGGGGUCCUCCCACCUAUUGGACUAGUCUUUUGAGUUGGGCUCUUCCCUUAGGCUUGAGUACCUAACAAACCCAUAAAUCAAAGAAAUCAAAAUCCACCCAGAAUCAAAGAAAUCAAAAUCCAUCCAGAACCAAAGAAAUCAAAAUCACACACAGAUAUACAAGGUGUACAGUACUGACAUGCCUUAAAUGAUAUUAUUCACAAGAUUUAUAAAGCUCAUGUCGUAAUACUUGUGCAGAAUCUAUCAUUCACGGCGUCACUUUUGUGCAAGUUGUAAAUAAAAUUAUUCACAAUUUAAACAUUGUGUGUCGUAUUUGACAAUUUAUACUACGCACUUUCUUUUUCUUUUAAAGCUUUGCGUUAUGUCGUGAAGUUGACUUUCUAUAUAUUUGGGUUGUACCUUUUAUGGCGCAAAUAACACGUCGUAAAUAAUGGCUUUUAGCACAGAAGUUUUGUGGUAAAGAAGCCCGCGCACUAAUUCAUUCUCGCGCCUUCUCUUUUUUAUUUAGCCGCUUCUUUUUUUAUUUUUUAUUUUUUUUGUUAAAUUCCCCUCAAAUGUUAAAAGAAAAAUUAAUGAAAUAUUUGAAAACUUUGAGUUUUAACGAUAAGGAUAAAAUAAAAGGUAAAAUGAAUAGUACCAAAAUUGACUUUUUAGUGUUAAAAUAUGAUUUUUCGUUAAAGUGAACAGUGCCGAAAGUUUUUCGUUAAAGUUCAAUGUUAAAAGGUUUGUAUUUUCUUGGUAAACUUGAAAGACAAACAUUGCAAUUGCAUUUUCAUUUACCCAAUAUUAAUUGUCGAGAGCCCACCCCCUUCCCUUCUCACUGACAUCGUAACUCUCUCCUCUCCAUCGAUCUCGCUCCAUCUGCUCGCCGUCGCUCUAUAUGCUCGUCAUCACCGUCGAUUCGUCUGCUCGUCGUCACCGUCGCCCAUCUGCUUUCCGUCACCGUCGAAGUGCCCCGCCAUUCAAGAUCUGAAAUCCCCAAUACAGGGUGCUUUGCGGCAUUUCGUUCUCCAAAACUUUAGGUAUGCUCUCAAUCUGUAUCAACCCUAUCCUGUCCCCUCUAGAUUUUUGUUUAGUCUCAACUUUAUGGUGCUUUUCUUAGAUUUGUUCUAUCACUGUAAUUUUAAGGGAUUUUAGGUAAUAAAUUUGGUUGAGAAUCUCAGUUAGGUUUGUAAUUGUUUUCUUGGUUGCCUGGGUUUGAGGAUGAUUAAUCCACUUUCUGAAGUUUAAUUACUUUGAACUUUGAUUUGUGGGAAACUGCAAUCAAAAUGUUGCUAUGGCUUUAUAGUUAGAAUCGAUUGUGAGUCUUUGCACCACAUCAAGCAAUACCCCGGUGUUGUAAUUCCGAGGUUUGUAAUUGCCGCUGUUAAUGAUGGUUUGGUCCAUCCUUUUUAGGGAGAUGACUUCAAUGAUUGAAACUAGUUUAUCAUUAUUUCAGAACUCUGUAAUACGAGACAUGAUAUUCCAAAAAAUAUUUGCAUGAAUAUAUGUGCAUUGACUGACUAUUUUUCAGUCUUUGAUAGUGGAGAUAACUCUUUCAGGUCAUAUGUAGUUCUUACAGAAAUUGUAUGGUAUUUUGGUUGGUUUUGUGUUCUGGUUGUAGCAAACUGGUGGAUGCCCUGAGAUGAGUAGUUAUCUACAAAGUGGAUGGAUCCUGAAGAGUACAAAGUCUAAGGCAUUUUAUGUAAAGGUAAAUCCUGUUACUUUUAAUUACUUAUAUGUGAAUGCCUGCCAUUUGAAGUAAAAAUUCUUUUAGCCAUUACAUUCUUCAUAAAGAUCUUUAUAUGCUCAAAAGAAGGAUUUUUUUUAGAUGCCAUGUAACUGGUGGUGGCUAGCCUCUUCUUUUUAAGACUCUAGUGUGUUUCAAUUACACUAGUCAAUCGUUCUUAUGUGUAUUAUGUUUUGUUGAUAAGAUGGCCAAGACAAAGUUGUAGAGCCCUAGUAGCAGGGUGCUGUUGGCAUUUAUAUUUUUCUUUUGAAGGGGUGUUUAUUGCUUUUAUACUUUCAUUGUUUACUCUCAUACAUACAAUACUGAAAAAUAAGCAUGUAUUGACGCGUAAUUUUAGAUCCAUAUUUAUACAUAAUUUUGAUUACAUGUCCAAAUUACCCAAGAUUCUUUUUCCUUUACAAAUUUGUGGAGUGCAUUACAUGGAUAUGAUUCAUGUAUGAAAUACACAUGACUCUCACUAAUUUAAGGGCAGCAUCAUUGACUGUACAGUUUUCAAUUCUUUAUAAUCAUGAGUAUAGACAUUUUUUAAUUCUUUAUAAUCAUGAGUACAACAAUAGUUUCUAUAACAAAAUUCUGUUAAAUAUGUAAUAUCAGUAUUUGUUUUCCAGGUUCAUUAGUUGAGGAUGAUUUUUCCAAGAAAGAAAAGAUCGCGGCUUUCAGGCCGAUCUAAAGAACAUUAUGUUGAUAUUGCACCUGAGAUCUUACAAGAAGAGGACGAAGAAGUACCAGAUGACCUAUUUACAGAGGAGUCGAAUCAAACUAAAAGAAAGAGGGGUCCUACUAGAAUGAAGACAAUUUCCACAAAUGAUGGUCAACGAAUUGAGAUUGAAUGGAAUGAAAACGGCCAGUUUAUUGGUGACGGAUCUAUUGACUUAUCUUCUUACAUGGGUUCUUUGGUCCGAGAGGUUGUCCCUAUAACAUUUGAUACUUGGAAGGAUGUUCCUAAGAAAACAAAGGACAUCCUAAUCAAGGUAAUAUGCAGAUAAGUCAAUUCUGAUCCCUCUACUUCAAGGUGAACAAUUUAUAGUUUAUAAAUUUUACUUGUGUUAAUAUAUAUUUUUUGGUAAAUGUUAUGGAUAUUUUAUCAAAUCAGAGAGUAAAUUCGUAUUAAGUGAAGAUUGGCAAAGAACAUAUUGUUUUGAAAGGAUGAAUAAUGUUUGCAGAUCACAUAUAUCAGUAGUUGUGAAGUCCAUAAGAGAAGCAAGAAAUUGGAAAGCAAGGCUUCGUCUAAAACCAAAUAAUGUCAAAUUAAUUCAAGAUUGGAAGACUUCCCUUGCAAAGUGUAAGCUCAUUUUCCUUUUCUUUUAUUUCUAAGAUUAGUUAUCUUCUUUUGAGUUCAAAAUUGGGUCAGAGAAAUCAAACUGAUAGUAGUUAAAAGUCUAUUUCAACACCAAGCCUUGUCUACACAAGAAUUUGGUGUUAGUUAAACAUGUGUAUGAUUCUAUCUUGAUUGCAUGUUAAUUUAGUUUGAAGAUAGAUUUGGUACAUGCUAGCUAAUUGAUACGUGAUAUGAAUCUUUGGUUUCCUUUUGAUAGGACAAAAGCGAAACAUUCAGAGAGAUGAAGUCUAAGCAACUCCGCACACAUGUAGUCGCAAGGGAUAUGGUAGGUUGGCGGAGGAUUUGGUAAUUACAUUUCAUUCUAGUGCCUUCUUUUCUACAGGACAAGAACAAUUUACUAAUUUUAUUCUGUGUUCUACUGUGUGUUUACUACAUUUAUGUUUCUAUUUUGUAGAAAAGAAAAAGUGUAGACCCUUCUCUAGUUUCUAGAGGUGAUGUUUGGAUUGCAGCACAUACUAAAAAGGGUGGUGGACCAUCCAAUUUGCUUGCUGCAGAGACUAUUGUAAGUAAUUUUUAACCAUUUAUUUCUUCUUGUUUGUUGAUAUGCAAUGAUGAAUGAGGUCUUAACUUUGAUGUGCAACGUUAGGAAAAAAAUUAAGCAAUAUGGAAAUGGAUCAUCAUCUGGUUUUCGAGGUGACGUUCUUUCCAAAGUUUUUGGUGCUGAGCGACAUGGUCGUGCAAGAGGAGUUGGAGGUGGUGUUCCUCCUACAAAGCUUGGAAUAUUUUCACAACAAAAAUUGCGUAAUCACCAAAUGGAUGAAAAGGUGCACAAUUUAACUAAUCAGGUCAGAGCACUGACAGAAUUGGUGUAUCUUUUUAUGAAAAAUCAGGUUAGUGAUUUAAUAACAUUGGUAUCAUAUUGAAUAUUUGUGAAAUCAGUUUUAGUGACACAUCAAAUCACAGGGUAAUGAUCUACCAAGUGAGGCAUCUCCUGACACACAGGUUGCAGCUCCUGAGGCACAUGUUGAUACUGUCGCAAGAACUGAAACUUGUCUUUCCCAUUGCGCAACAAAUGAAUCGUGGUGGCGAGGUUGAUACACUUUUUCAAUGAGCCUUCUAACUAUUAAUGCUCAUUGACUCUGUUAAAAGCUCUGCCAUUUUCAAUCUAACUAGACACUAGAAAUGAUCAUUGACUCUGUUAAAAGUUAUGAUGUUUUGGUCCUUCUCCAUAGUUGCGCAUCUACUGAUGUCUAUUUUUUUUCAAAUACUGCAGGUUAUUUCUGAAAACAUUGAAACAUCGUGGUGUACCAGAUGGUUUGAUUAUAAGACACCUUCCUUUUGGUCCACCAACUUAUUUAUAACUGCUAAAUGGUACGUAGUGUGAUAAUUUUCAAAUAUUUUGAUAUUAAGACAGGUGUAGGACAACAUAGAAAUUCUUAGGGCCUUCAGCAACAAAAUUAUGAAAAAGUGAGUGAGAUACAAUUAAAAAAAUGAAAGAGAAGGAUCAUGAUUCAUGAUCUAAAGGUUUGAAUAGGGUAGAAAGGAUUUAGUUUCGUUGUUAAAAUCGAUUGUGAGUCUAUUGUUAUUGUAUUGUCAAUUUGUUUAUUUACUUGAACUUCCUAGUAUCAAUUUGGUUCGAUAUAUCUAGCACCACCAUAGAUAUAUCUAGUAUCAAUUUGGUUAGAUAUUGUCAAUUUGUUAUUGUAUUGUCAACUAUAGAAUGUGCAUCAGUUGUAAAAGGAACAAAACAAUUCAGAUUUUUUGUUUAUGUCCAAACUUAGAAUUGUAUUGUAAUUGACAAUUUCUACUAAUUAAUUUAAAGUAUUUGGAGUUUAAUAUGUUUAUGAUCAAUAUUGUUAUCCUUCUAUUGUAUCAGUUUAGAUGUUAUGAAGUGAGGUCUGUCUAAAAAUGAUAUGCUAAAUAUAGAUGUAAAUUACGGCAUCUAAAAUCAGCAAUAAUUGUUGAUGGUAGUCUUUUUUUACGAUGCACGAUGUAUGCCGUAAUCACCUUCACAAUAUUACGACACUCAACAAAUGCUGUAUCAAAUAUAAAUUACUGCACACAAGUAUGUCGUAAUUGUUUUUCAGUAUUACGACACCCUAUUAACGCUGUAACUAAUACCAAUUAAGGCGCGUAGGACAUGCCUUAAGAACAUUUAUGGCGUGUUUUACUUAAAUUAUUCACUACUAUUAGAGUACGUCGUAUUUGUCAAAACAUCUUUUACAACAGGGGCUUUUACUGCUUGGAGGCUCACGUCGUGAAUUUCCAUUUACGGCACCCUUUGUGCGCCGUAAAAGGCCAAUUCUAUUGUAGUGAUCCAUGGGUACAUUUUUAAUCUACAUGUUUCGUUUUAAUAUAUCUAUUGCUAUAAUAUGUUUUGGUUGGUUCAAAUUCGUUUUACAUAAAUAUAUGGGUACAAAGUUUUUGGAGAAUAUUAUGUAAAAUGGUUUUUAAGGUUGUUGCAUUUUAUGUACCCACAUAUGCAUGUCUAUAAAACAAUGUGGUAUGAUGUACAUUCUUUUCCUUGAGUUUUUAAAUGUACCCAUGAGUUUUCUUGUAAAUUCAGUAUGUAUCCAUAUGCUAUUUAUGUUAUGGGUACAUAAAUUAUUUUUGGUCUAAGUUGGUGGGUACAUUGCUUUUGUAUGUAUGAAUUCAUUGGGUACAUUAUUUCCCUUAAUACUACUCAAUAAAAUUCACAAAAAUAUGUGCAGUGUGCAUGAAUUUUUAUUGUAGAAAUUGUUUUUUUUUAAUUUUUAAUUUUUAAGUCUCAUAAUUCGUGAAUUUUGUACAUAUUGAUCCCAUAAAUUUUUGAAUUUUAUUAAAUUUCUUUUAGACUUGAUCGAUUGAUUGAAUCUCAUAAUAAUCCCUUAAAUGUUCCAAUCAAUAUUUUAAAUUACAGCUUUUUAUUUAAGAUUUCAAAAAGAUGACAUGAAAAUAUAGUAAUACUAAAAUUUUAUUUUAAAUUACAUUUGUGUAACAAUCAAUGGUAUGUUAAAACUGGGCAAAAAAAAAAGGUAUAUUAAAAAAUUAUAAUUUAUUCUUUUUUUCAUAACUGUCUUCUGCUUAGAUUAAAUUUUUACCAAUUUGGGGGAAUUAGUUCUUACCAAUAUAUAUGCACAGUAUUUGCUUUUUACCUGGGCUUAACACAUGAUUAAUUACUUUCCUACCUGCUAACGCGUUGAUUUGCGCAUCCAAAGUAUUAUCAAAGUCACUGCCACCAAAAAGGUGCCCACUCCACAACCUUUGGUUGAACCAAAGAACAUCACAACAAUAAGGAAAUCGUUAAAUCUAUCUCCGCAACAUUUUUAUUAAUCAUUAGAUAGAUUAAACGAUUCCCCUGUUCAUAUUGUGUUCUUUUGUUGAACCAAACCAUGUCAACAAAAUAUAUCUAUGGUUAAGCAUCUAGAUUCAUGCUUUUGGAUGUGCAUCUUAAACCCCUCAAUGAAUAGCCAAGCAAUUUAUCAUGUGUUUACAGUAGGUCAAAAGAAGAAAGUGUUUGUCUAUAUAUUGGUAGGAACCAAUUCCUCUGAAGAGGAGAGAUGGAAGUGAUGAUAAUACUUUAAAUAAUCAAAGCCCAAACAUUUUAUCAAAUUUCAUCUCUGUACUCCACGGAGACACUAAAUGAGACAUAUCUGGUCCAUCUCUGAACAUCUUUUCUUACCGUUCUUACAAUAGAAAGGGCACAAAAUUGACUUACACAGUCUUGCACAAUACUCACUUUGCUUCAACCCAUAUUUCACUUUGUCAAAUCAUACACGUUCCUGCAAUAGGUGAACUCAUAUGUAUCUACCACUUCUUGCUAAUUUUAAUUUUUCCAUUCCCAUUUUUGCUACAAGUUUCACAUAAAUUUUUUAUUGCACUUGUCAAUUCUUUAUACUUUUUUAUUGUAUUUUUUUUUUGUCUUUUUUUUGUAUUAAACAAUUACAUGUCCUCCAAAAGUUUUGCUUAUUGCCCUAUUUCAUCAAGCUCGGUAUAAAUAGAUCUUAAUUUUUUACUACAGUUAAAUACAUGGACAUGCCUCCACAAAUACAAAUUAGUUCUUGCUUAAAUACUUUGUGUGUUUACAUAGAAAAUGUUCCCAUCGUCUACCAAAAUCCUCCACACAUGAAAACAAAAAUUCUUACUCAAAAAUACAUAUUACAAUACCACCAUAUCUGUUGUUUUUUAUUAAAUUAACACACUGUUUUCAAUUUUAUCUUUAACACAAAAGAAAAUGCUCUUACACAAUAUGCUUGUUUACAUUUUAUAACUUAUCUACCACAUGUUAAUCGCAAUUAUAUAAAUAGGAAAACACGUGUCAAUAGAAGUGUGAUGCAUGCUACUUCGUUAACAAUAGUGGCAACUAAACAAUUAAAUAAUUUGUUUCAAUUAGUUAGUACAUUUUAUAAAUUUCUUAAUUAGAACUGUUUCAGUAUAUUCAAUACAUUUUUAAACAACUUUCCAGUUAGUUGCCCAAACUAAUUAUUCCAGCUUAUUCAUAGUAUAAUACCAACAAUUUAACAACCAAUGAUACUUCGUUUAACAUAAACUUCAUUUGGAAAAAACAAAAAAAUAUCUUUUUCUCUGCUGAAAAAUCCAACAGAGUUAUUGAUGCAGAUCAGUUAUACCAACAAAUUACCAUAGUUUACCCAAUGCUAUACAGGUUUGACUUUUGUUUAUAUUCUUGGAUCUGUUGCUUGGUUGUAUAAUUUGGUUGUGUGUUUUGUUUCAGGACAAUUUGUUCUUCGUUUCUUGAGGCUUUUGUGUGUAGAUUUGAAACCGUUUAGCUUUCAAGCCGUGUAUACUCAAGGUAAAUAAUUUCGUUUUUUUCUUUGUAACCUUUUUUGUAAGAAAUUUUUAUUUAAUGUUGUGAGAGUUGUGUUUUCUAGAGUAUGAAAAUUGAAUCUUUGUGAUCUUAUAUCCUUAGAUAUGUUUCUUGGUUAUAUGAUUUGGCUGUGUGCAUUGUUUCAGGACAAUUUGUUCUUCGUUUUUUGGGGCUUCGGUGUGUAGCUUUGAAGCCUUUUGUAGUCAACAUAAAUAAUUUUAUUUUUCUUUGUUUCUAGUCUUCUUUGAAAGAAUUUCUUAGUUAAUAUUCUGAGAAUUAUGUUUACUAUAGUAUGAAAAUUGAAUCUUUGUGAUCUUGUAAGUGAUGUAACGUCAUUGCAACAUGUAUGACUGCCAUUAUCGAACAUGAAGAGCUUUUUGAUUUUUGUACUCCGUCCUUUCAUACGAUCUGACUCAAAAAUUGUUUCAUCACAGGUUCUAACAUGAUUUUUGCGACGUCUUAUGAAAAUACAAUGUCACUUCUGGUAUUCCAACUUAAACAAAUUACAAGGGAUGUCUAGUUUUAAACCUGCAGUUAGUAUAUACUAAAACGACGGUUUUGGCCCUGCUCUCGACUUCUUCAGAAACCUCGAGAAACUUCAAACUGAGAAAGCUUCUCCCUUCCAUCUCUGCUACGCGAUCUCUGCUUUGCGAUCUCUGCUUCCUCCGUGAUUUCUUCCCUCCUGAUCGACAUCUAUUCGAAUUGAAAACCUUCUGGAGCUCUCUUCCCCAAAUUUCAGCAGCAACUUUGCUCCAGAUCUUUCCAAUUGAAAUUCCUCUCCUUCACAUUUUGCAUAUUGAAUUUCGCAUCAUUAUCAUCUCCCUAGAACCUAGGAGUUUGGUUCGGUUUCGAGUUUUCCGACGGAAAUCCGGCGACAGCGGCCAUCGAGGUUGGUCUGAAACUAUUCCUCAUCACCACAAGUACUUUCUACACCUAUUACACUUUAGAAAAAAUUUCAUGAUUUGGUGGAAUCCAAUUUAAUGAUUAGAAAAAUUUUCAUUAAUUUUCUGGGUUCGUGGGUUGGAGGUGGAUUAGAAAUUUUUUCAUUAUUUUUCUGGGUUUGUGGUUUUUUUCCAAAACGUUUUUCCUUUCUACUAAUCCAAGUUCCUUCACAUCAAUCUCUCUGUUUCGUUCUUGAUCUUCCGCGAGUAGAAUACCUCUCCUUGCUCUCGAGCGCGUGGGCAGUCGCUCCAAGGCAGCCCAUGACGUCAUUUUCCGAUUCGACUCGGAGGAGGUUGGCUGCUCUUCUUGGCUGAGCUUCAUGGCUGGCCGAAUUCCCCUAUUCCCUUCCUCUUAUACUCUUUUGUAUUCGUUCACCAAAACAAUAGGAAAACGUCUCCGUCUGUUUGAUUGACGGCGAAGAAAAAAAGACGGAGAUAAAAGCCUGACGGAAGCUGAAAGCUUGGACUCUGUUUGUAUUUUUAAUGGAUUUUCAGAACACAGGUCAAGAAUACUGCGAUUUGAGAAAGAAAGAAAGAACCACGUUGACAUAAUAUAUUCACAAUAGGCGUACAUAAAGCUUUACUGUGGUUCCAUUUUUUUGCAUAUUUCAAAGGCUCUGAAUUGUUAAGGGAAUUAGCCUUUUGUUUUAGGAAGAACUUGGAACCCCCUCCGUCCAUUCUAUUCCCGAUGGAAUUAACACUUAGAUAGUACUAUGACAAUGUGUCAUUAAUUGAUGCAUACCUGUAUAAAUUUAGGCCAAGUGUUUUAUACACAAAUUGAUACAGAUUAAGCUUCUGGGUCGAAAUCAUAUACCGGUGAGCUAACUACACAAUGAUACAUUCUUAUCUGUUAAUUAUCUUUGGUUACCAGCUAUCCAUGUUGCUGACAUAUUAAACUACACAACAUCUAUUGUAAUUUAUGUCUUAUUAGUAUCAUCACUUUUGUUCUUUAUUUCAAUGUCUAACAUAAUGAUCUGGUUUCAAUUUGCUACAGGCAUUAUUUCCAGACAAUAGCUAUGGUUUUGAUUGUAGCGGUGACUGAAAAAUUAUUCCGAAACUAACAUUUGAGGAAUUCAAGGUUUGUUAGUUAAUUUGUACAUCAGAAUACCAUGACAAACUAUGAAGUUGUAAUUGUUGACCUUACAAUGUAUCUUUUUUGGUUUGGAGCAUUAGACUUAUAUGUGUUGCUUUCACUUCAUGAAGGCUAACUCUUUAUUUUAGGCCUUAGAAUAUAAUUUUUUGGAGAAUCUACAUUGUUGAUAAUUUUUUGAACAAUAUUAUCCCCAAAAUUUCUCCGCAUGUUACCCUCAACGUAGACAUCAUAUAACCAUCAUUGAACUUCUGAACCAAAAAUUUGAGUUUUAUGAUUAUAACUAAACGUCUAUAAACACAUGAUACAGAUUGAGACGAAUGUCAAAUUUAAAAUGGCAUUAAUCAGGACAGCUGCAAACUCUGAUUUGCGGCCUUUGAAAUGGAGCAGUUACUUCUUGCUUCACUUCAACAGCAUAGUCCAGCUUCUAAAUUCAGUUCUCAGGUAUGAGGUUUCUCAGUUACCUCUUUUUUGUAAUAAAACAUUUGAUCAGUACUUGCCAGGAUAUCCAAUUAAUUAGGUCAGUUUUUGUUAGCGGUAAUAAUUUGUUUUUGUAGCUUUAUAUGUGUCUCUGUCUCCAAAUAUGAUGAUCUCUUAAUUUGCUUCUAUAGCUUUUGUAAUAUAAUGAUCUCUUAAUUUGCUUUUGCAUAUCUUCUUUGCUUCCUCUGCUAGCUCUAUAUGAGAUUCCAUCUCCAAAUAAUUAUUCCUUAUUUCCUAUUUUUACAGGAAGCAAAUCAUUGAAUACACAUGGAAAAUUAAAAGGGUUUUAGUUUUUGGAGUAGUUUAAAUUUUUUGUUUGUUAUUGCUUGUAUUGCUGUUAAAUAUUUGAUGGGUAGUUUGAAAUGGGGAACUUGGUUGAUUGAGUAUUAACUUUUAUUAAAUUAAUAUUCUUAUUCAAUAUUGAAUUAAGACUCCUCUUAUUAAAUUAAGACUCUUAGAGUGCGUUUGUUGCGCCAGACUGUCUCGGACUGGACUAGCUGCCGGGACUAAGCUGGACUGGCUUAGACUGGACUAAGCUAGACUAACUUAGUGAAGCGUUUGGUGUAAUGUCGGACUAAGAAGCAGGAUAAGAAAAACAGUACUGUUCACCAGAUUUGUGUUUGCUUAGACUAGGAUUACAAAUUUUUGCCAUUGUGUAAUAGAGUAAUGCUACAAAUCUCAUGAUAUGGGUUAAUUGGAGCAUAUUUUUGCCAUGUAUAUUAUGAAUCUUAAAAAAAAUUGACAAUUGUUUUGUUUCUAUUACCUGCUAAUAGAAUUGGGUUUAAUUUGCAAAUGUAGCUUAGUUUAAACUCUAUCACCCAACAGAAGAAAAAUAAUAGUGCCCAAUACAUGCAACUUCAACAAAUACAAGUACAUAAGAAGAUCUCCAUAAUUUAGAAAAUCCUAGUUAACAUUAGUUAACAUUAGCCAAAAUAGAUCUCCAUAAUUUACAAAAUGGCUAGUUAACAUAAGCCAAAAUACUAGUGCAAAGCUAAGUUAUAAGCCAUAACAUAAGAUUGUAUGAUUAAUAAAAUACAUCCAUGUUAACAUUAAUAAAAUACAUCCAUGUUAACAUUAGCCAAAAUCCUCAUCCGCUUGCGUUGUCGCUUAAAAGCCUUUGGACGAACACUUUCUUGAGUUCCGGUUUGAUUGCCCUGAACACUCCCACAUUUUUUGGUUUAUCCAAAAUAAGAGACAAUGCAUCAAUUUGAUCCAUAGGAGAGAGACCCAUUACUUCAAGUUCAUUAGCUAUGUCAGUAUGAUCUGCAAUACCUUGAACUAAAGCUUCAGUUACCAUUUGCAUCCUCUUCCCACUUUCAACAUAAAAAUCUUUCAGUCCACUGAUAAUUGCCUCGGUUCCAUCACUUGAAUUUCCCACAGCUCUUUUCCUCUUUCUUUGGCUAUUUUCAGAUGGGGUGCUUUGUUGGCUUUGUUGGUUCAUUGAAGAAACAAAAUUUUCACCUCCAAUAUCACUUUCACCAACAUGAUCAUGACUUUGUUCCUCCACCAUUUGAGCAGGGGUUUCGGCUACAUUACCCGUAGCCCGAUCUUUUCCAAAUAUAUAUGCAAAUCUAUCAAACAGUGGAAAAGGUUUGCUUCUCCAUCCAUCGGCUUCUUUAUUUCUCUAAGAUUAUAUCAACAUAGCAAAACUAAAAUUUAGCAUGCGUAACAAAUAUAGCAGCAAGAAUAUAACUAAUGUAUAAAUAAAAUAGGAUAUGAACCUGCACAUAAGUUUGCCAUGAGUCAUCACUGUCAACUUCAACGCACUUUUUGACAUCAUUUCAUGCAAAUCCACUUGUGUUUAUCAUGUCAACGACCAUACUAUAUGUUUUUUUCCAUUUCUUCAACUUGGACUCAAUAUGUGGAUUUGCCUUUAUAUUUGAAUGAGGACAUAAAACAUUGACAACUUUUGCUAUUUCAACCAAAGUACCUUGUUUGAAAGCACCGGUGUCACACCGUUGCUUCCGAGCAACAAAAUCCUCAAGAACUCCUAGUAAUACUUCUUCCUCAAAUGCUUCCCAUUUACGCCUUCUUCCUUUUGGCUCUUGAGUAGCAUUCAAAAUAUUUUCGUUAUCCAUACCUAAACAAAAAAUAUUUUAAUGAAGGAAAAUACCAUACAAAUAAUCAAUUUGCAUAAUAUCCAAUCAACUUGCAUAAUAUCCAAUUAAUUUGCAUACCAUCCAAUCUUUGUGCUAAUAUCUAACAAAUGCAUGAUAAAAAGGAAUACUAAAAUAAAAUGUUAUCAUUAACACAUAUAGCUAGUUCGGUUGCUGGUUCCUAAUUGCUCUCCAUUCAUUAUACAUUUCCUGAGCCAUGUCAUUCCUCUUUGCAGUCCACUGGUCAGAUGUUUGAACACUACCAACAUAUUCACCUUCUUCUGUAUUUUGUCCAUCUUCUAUUAUUGGAAAAUUCUCCAUUGGAUCUACAGACAUCUCUUGCCUAAUAAGAUUGUGUAGUAGGCAACAAGCGGUAAUUAUUCGACCUUGUGUCCUUAUCGGAUAGAAAGAUGGACUCCUUAGUAUCGACCACCUUCCUUUUAGCAAGCCAAAACAGCGUUCAAUUACAUUCCUUGCCUUAGAAUGCUUCAUGUUAAAAUAUUCUUCCUUAUUAGAAGGUGUUCGUCCCUCCCAUUCAGAUAAAUGAUAAGGUAUUCCUCUAUAGGGUGCAAGGAAUCCUUCACCAUUUGUAUAACCACCAUCUACAAGGUAAUAAUAACCUAAUGAAAAAAAAAACAGACCUUAUUAGUGUUUUGUAGUUGACAAACAGAACUAGACCUAACUUACAAAGUUGAGACUAAGUAAUAGUCUUACCCGCUGGUACCUUAAAACCAUUAGGCCUAGUAAUUGCAUCAUGUAGCACUCUAGAGUCUGAUGCAGAACCCUCCCACCCCGUAAACACAUAUAUGAACUGCAUAUCUCCUGAACACACACCUAACACAUUAGUUGCGACUCGACCCUUUCUUGUUCGGUAUCUUGGUUUGUCAAUUUCAGGUACAUGCACAUCAAUGUGUGUUCCAUCCAAUGCUCCCAAGCAAUUCUUAAAAAAAAAAAAAAAAGUUUUUGUUAAUUUAUACAAAGGGAAUGAAGAGUUAAAGCUUAGGGAAAAUGAAAAAAAAUUCUCAUCAUACCUUAAAACAUCGCCACCUAGGAUCUGUAGAAUCAAUAGGCACAGGCUGAGGGACUUUUAGUAGGAUACCUUGUAAUCGCAAAAUUCCUUGCAAUACGAUAUUGAAAUACCUACUUAUAGUCUCUCCCGACCUAUAAAAUCUACCGCCAACACUACGAUUCUUAGUAUGAUGUGCUAAUAUUUGUAAAGUCAUACACACAUGCUCCUCUACAGACACCAAACCAUCAGUUUUUACCCUCCCAUCUUGACGAAGUAAGUCACAUAAUAUGCCAAAAGUCCUUCUAUCCAUUCUCAAUUCGUUGACACAUUCAGUAUCAGUAUUCCCUAUUAUACCAUUCAGAUAACACAAACUAAUCUCUCGUCUAAUAAGUGAACGGUUAGUCAAUGUGGGUCGUUCAACAUGUCUCUGUUUGCCACGUAGCAUCAUCAACACAAGAAUCGUACAAAUGCAAAUUGUCUCCAAAUAAGACAUCUCUAACAAUAAGAUCAAUAAAAGCUUCCUUCGAUCCAUAUCUAUCCAAACAAAAAAAAACAAAAAACAAAUUAAGGACAUUAUAUAUGUAAUAUUUACUGUUAUUAAGGGUUAUGGAAAUGAAGUGAUUAUGAUACGAAAUGAACUAGAUCAAAGUAACUAGCGAAGUCACAAUCCGAGGCAUCAAAUAUACGGGUGGUGUUGGAAAAAAAAAAGUUAUCAUUAACCCGAGGCAACAAAUAUACAGGUCAGAUGCACACACUGCAUACACACUCACACACAUACUCACACGGACAUACACACUAUCACACACGGACAUACACUCACACACACCCUACAUACAUACAUACAUACACACACACACUGCAUACAUACACACACACACACACUGCAUAUAUACACACACACACACACUGCAUACAUACACACACACACACACACUGCAUACAUACACACACACACACACACACACACACUGCAUACAUACACACACACACACGACAUACAUACACACACACACACACACACUGGUCAGAUGCACUGCACUCACACGGACAUACACACUCUCACACACUGACAUACAUACACACACACCCUGCAUACAUACACACACACACACUACAUACACACACACACACACACACACACACACUGCAUACAUACAUACACACGCACACACACUGCAUACACACACACACACACAUUGCUUUAUGAAAACCCCAAAUUCCAAAUUUGAAACCCCAAAUUCCAAAUUUCUAAUCUCAAUUUCAAACCCCAAAUUCCAAAUUUCUACUACAUACUUACAUACACACACACUGCUUUAUGAAAACCCCAAAUUCCAAAUUUCAAACCCCAAAUUCCAAAUUUCUAAUCUCAAUUUCAAACCCCAAAUUCCAAGCUUUAUGAAAACCCCAAUUUCUAAUCUCAAUUUCACCCAAAUAUCAAAACCCUAAAAUUUGUUCAACUGCAGAAUCAAAUAAAGCUCAAACCCAAAACAAAUCCGCCCAAAUCGACGAAAAAAAUCCACCCAAAUCGACGAAAAAAAUCGAACAAUCGAAGCUUACCAGACAACUGGAGGCAGAUGAGGGCGAGCAGAUCUGUUACGUGAAGACGAGGGAGUGGACGACGAGAGGAACAGAUGAGGAGCAUGAUGCAGAUGAGGGCGACCAGGAUGCAGCUGACGGCAAGCAGGAUGCAAAGAUAAGGAUGAGGAGGACGACGUGAGGGAGGAGGACGUCGACGACACUCUCUCCUAGGAUGAUCGAGGUUCUUUCUCGCAAGAGCGCAAUCGGAUGAGGAGGACGACGUGAGGGAGGAGGUUUUAUGAAUCUGGACGUUUUUGGGGUGGUUCGCUAAGAACUCCUAGCGAGGGUUUAAUCCGUGCGAGUCAGAUCUAAUCCCAUUAAACCUAAUCCUUGCCCCUACCAAACAUCAGACUACAAUACCAAUUAGUGGAGUCCAGAACAGUCCCCCCUAAGAAGGUCAAACAAACACGCCCUUAAGGCUCUAAUCUAAUGUUCAUGCUCAACAUCUCCUCUAUCUUUCUACGAUUGGUAAAACUUUUGUAUUAUUAUUCCAAUUUUGGUUACUGGGUUGUGGAAUUUUCCAUUUUUUUUCUCGGUAAUCAAUACUAUAUAUAUGCAUGACAAGUAUAAACAAUAUUUUGGGGCAAAUUUAGUUGUUUAAUUUUUAAUUUUUAUGUGACAGUGAGAUUAUGGUAGGAUUUCGUUUAGAUUCUGCGGCCCAAUGGGAGUCUCUGCUUUGAUAAGAUUGGGGUUGAUGCCAAGAAAGCCAAUAAGCCUACUGUGGACGCCGUAGCCGCCUGGCGCUGUUUUCCAAAAUCCUCUCUCACUUGGUUAAGCAAUUAAGACUUUUUGGUUCAGUUUUUAUUAUGCCCAAUUUUGUAUUUAAACCUUAAAAAAAUUUAAACUGAUUUGGGGAUACUGAAAUAGGCUGCAGAGCUGCCAUCCCUGAAUCAGAAGAUGUUCAGAAGGAAGAAGAAGAAGAAGAAGAAGAAAGUCGUGGAAUAUCAAAAGCUUUUAGCUUUGUGAAAGUAUGCUUUUUCCCAACUCACCUCUUGCUUUUGUUGCACUGAAUUGGUAGAUUGGGUUCAAAAAUAUAUAUAUGUGAUUUUUCGUGUAACUAUUUCUUUACAUAAUUACCAAUUGGAGGUGAUUUUAGAUCAUGUAACAUUUCCUCGCUAGAACCAAAGAUUGUCGUCGCUCAGAGCUGCGUUUCAUGAAACAAGUUCAUCUCCUGCCAAAUUUGUGUACCCACCUUUUAUUCAUGAGGGUUGGUGCUUGCUUGCAACACAAUUUGGUGUUAUUAAGUUUUGCGGUUUUACAAUUUGUUCAUGCUUAAACCUCUUUCAAAUUUUCAUUUCUGUGUAAAUCUUGCAGGUAGGACGACACACCUAUCUUGGCAAUGUCGGGAUGUCUAGGCUUGGUGGAGACGUGGUCUUAUGGAAGAGGUGAAGUAGCUUAGCUCGAUCUCAUUAGCUCUUAUCUGUUCUAUUAUGUUAAGAUCAAUAGUAAAAAGUUCUAUUGAUUUUAUAAUCAAAGAUACAUAUAUUAUAGAAAUAGAGGGUAUAUCAUUAAUUUCUUGAUGUAAACAAUCAUAACUUGAGGAACCAUUUAAAGUAUUUUGGUAAUCAACAUACUUAAACUUAAAUGUGAUAUAUCCAUUUAGUAUUUUUUUUAUACAAUGAUAAUACUUAAGUAUAAUUUACAUCAUAUAUCUUUUGAAGUACAUGAAACUAUGAAGAAAAUGAUAAACCAAAUCCCAUUCCAUCUCUGUUUGCUACUGCACAAUCACAAUCCAAUUCCAACAUGGAAUCCUCAGACGACAUGCCUACUGCAGAACAAGUUUCAUACUGACUUAACUUAUAUUUAGUCCACGUCCUGUUUAGAUUGUAAUCCUAGUUCUACGUGUGUUUGUAUAGUACUCCUAUAAAUAUCAAUGAACAUCGCUCACUCUAAUUAAGAGUUGAGAUUUUGCAAAUCAUAUUUACUAUCUUUCAUGGUAUCACGAGCCAGCGUCUAACGACAACGGUUCCUAUUAUAAUUUUUUUCUCUUUUGCAGAUCCUAAACUAUGGCAUCUUCUUCCUCCUCCGCUGCUCCCUCCAUCACAAAUUUUCUUACGAUCAAGCUCGACCGCAACAACUACCCUCUCUGGCAUGCUCAGUUUCUUCCCUUGCUGCGCAGCCGCAACUUACUCUCUUAUGUUACUGGCGAAACUCAAUGCCCCUCUGCCUUUCUUCUUGAUGACAAUGGUAAAUUCACCGACAAAGUCAUUCCAUUAUAUAAUGAAUGGAUCCAGACUGACCAGAUGAUCCUAUCUUGGAUUACGAGUUCUCUUACUCCCAAGGUUCUUGCUACGAUCGUCAACAAAAUUGAUUCGGCCUCUGCUUGGUCGUCAAACCCGAAUUAAUCUAAUUGUGGGGGUUUUGUUUUAUAUCAAUAUAUUGCAACAGAAGUCACACUUUGAAGAGUUCAUGCUGCACAGAAAGAUGAUGAAAUGUUACCCGUUGAGUCUAUCAUUGCUCCAUUGGAGACAGAGCUGAAGCUUACUGCAGGAGUUAUACAGUUGUUAUGCAAUAUGACCCCUUUAAUUUUAUUUUAAAACUGAUACAAAAUACUACAAAAAUUUAUGUAGUAUUUUUGUAUUAGUUUUGAGUGUCUAUUUUGGCUUCCAUAUAUCGUCUGUACAUGUGAGAGGUAUAGUGUUCAAUAUGUAUUUGGUUUCUAUAUUGUUAAUGGAUCCUUUUUUUUUUAAUUUAAUUUAAUUUUAUUAAGGUAACCAAGUUGCAGGAUGACAUCAGAACACUUGAUCUGCAGGUAAACCUUCAAUUUCCAUAUGAAGUUUGCAUGUUCGUUGUUUCUGGAAUUUGAGUUUUUAUUAUUUCUCAAUUCUAUCACAUAGAUUAUGAUUUCACAUAUGGGAUUAUUAAUGGCAAUUAUAUGAUAGAAGAAUUGGGAUUAGAAGAAGAUAUUGAGUUGUUUUAUUUAUGGGGAUUAGAAAAUGAUUAUCAUACGAGUGAUAUUUAUUUUUGUGUGGAUUGUUAAUAUAUAAAACUAUAAGCUUUUGAGAUUGGGAGAUAAAACCCACAAAUUCAAAUCAGACAAAAUAAAUAAAAAAUUUAACUGACUUAAAGAUCAAACUCCAAAAGGGUAUUAAAAACAAGGCUUAUUUGAUCCAUUGAGUGUGAAAGUUUUGAGCUUUGAAGAAGCAUAGGAGGAGAGUUGUUAACCAAGCUGCAUUAUCCAUGUAUUAGGAUGUUGAGGGUAGGCAGGAAAAAUACUUUUUGACGCCAUAUCCAGAGGAGCAUAACGACAGGCCUGCAUUUUUGCAGCAAGGACCAAAACAAGUAGAAGUGAAGGCUUGACUAUUUGGGUAUUAAUCCUAAACCUAAUUAUUCUUAUUUAGGUUUAGGAUAAAUGAUUGAGUGUGUCUCGAUGAUUGUAUUACCAUGUUUGAUGAAUGACUUGAGGAGUUGGAAAUGCUUUAUUGCUUAUGUUUUUCUUAGGUGUGUACUUUGGUUAUUUCCGAGCUUUUCACGACUCUUGAUACCUAAUAGAGAAUAUGGAAACCCCAACUUUAAUUUUAUGAAUUGGUUUUGGUGCCUAAAAUGAAAUCUAGCAUAGUGAAAUCUUGCAUAAUGAAAUUAUGACAAAUUUCCCUUCAUCUUUAGAUUUUCAUUUAGUUCAAUUUGUAUGCAAUUUAGGGUUAUUCAAUUCAUGAGUGAUCAAAUUAUGUUUUUAAUUCCUUCUUCUUUUGAUUUACAGUUCAGCAUUGUCGUACAAAAUGAAAAAGGUGCCAGUAACAGAGUUAUGGAUUUGGAUGCCUUUAGUGGAAUAAAACUGAAUUUUUUAACUUUGUAUAGUUGUAAACAUAAAAUACUCCAUCAGAUAGACUCAUAGCAUUUGAAAACAAUCCUUGAGGAUGGCAUAACAACAUCUCCAACUUUUGUCAUGUAAUGUAUGAAUGUAAAUAGCACUUUGUAAACAUAUGGAUGUAAUAUAUGUAUAUAAACAGUCUUUAGCAUGUAUAUUUUUCAAAACUUUCUACAUCUUCAACAAUGUUUCAAUGAUUUCUUGAUGUAAACAAUGAUAAUUUGAAGAACCAUUUAAAGUAUUUCGGUAAUCAGCAUACUUAAGCUUAAAUGUGAUAUAUCCGUUUAGUAUUUUUUAUACAGUGAUAAUACUCAAGUAUAAUUUACAUCAUAUAUCUUGUGAAGUACAUGAAACUAUGAAGAAAAAACCCUAAUUAAUCUGAUUAUGGGGGUUUUGUUUUAUAUCAAAAUAUUGCAGCAGAAGUCACACUUUGAAGAGUUCACGCUGCACAGAAAGACGAUGAAAUGCUAUCUGUUGAGUCCAUCAUUGCUCCAUUGGAGACAAAGCUGAAGCACACUCCAGGUGGUAUACUUUUGUUCUGCAAUAUGACCACUUUAAUUUUAUUUUAAGACAGAUAGGGUUGAAAAGAAUUUAUGUAGUAUUUUUGUAUCAGUUUUGAGUGUCUAUUUGGACUUCCAUAUUUGGUCCGUACAUGUGAGGUAUAGAGUGUUCAAUAUGUAUUUGGUUUCUAUAUUGUUAAUGGAUCUUUUUUUUUGUUUUAUAGGUAACCAAGUUGCAAGAUGAAAACAGAACACUUGAUCAGCAGGUAAACCUUCAAUUUCCGUAUGAAGUUUGCAUUUUUGUUGUUUCUGGAAUUUGAGUUUUUUGCAGGAUGAAAACAGAACACUUAAUCUGCAGGUAAACACUUGAUUGGUUAUUUCCAAGCUUUUCACGACUUUCGAUACCCAAUAGAGAAUAUGGAAACCCCAACUUUAAUUUUAUGAAUUUGUUUUGGUGCCUAAAAUGAAAUCUAGCAUAGUGAAAUCUUGCAUAAUGAAAUUAUGACAAAUUUCCCUUCAUCUUUACAUUUUCAUUUAGUUCAAAUCGUAUGGUUUAGGGUUAUUCAAUUCAUGAGUGAUCAAAUUAGGUUUUUAAUUCCUUCUUCUUUUGAUUUUCAGUUCAGCAUUGUCGUAUUUUGGAUGCCUUUAGUGGAAUAAAACUGAUUUUUUUUUAACUUUGUAUAGUUGUAAACAUAAAAUACUCCAUGAGAUAGACUCAUAACUUUUGAAAACAAUCUUUGAGGAUGGCAUAACAACAUCUCCAACUUUUGUCAUGUAAUGUAUGAAUGUAAAUAGCACUUUGUAAACAUAUGUAUGUAAUAUAUGUAUAUAAACACCACUCUUUAGCAUAUAUAUUUUUCAAAACUUUCUACAUCUUCAACAAUGUUUCAAGCCCCGCAGCAACGGGCGGGUACACUUGAUAGUAUACAUCUAAAAUUAUAAGACUAAAUCCUUUAGUUCUUGGAUUCAUCUAAGAACUACUUAUUCCAGCAGAUGCUAUGCUUGCACUACUAGAAUUUAUGGCUUGCCCUGUCAACUAUUGCGCGACAGAAGAUUUCGUCGGUUUCACUUUUUUUAACCGACAUAAUAUAAGUUUAGUAGGGCAAAAUCAGUCAACAAACUGGGUUGACUGAAUAAAUUUACAGGAUGGCUAGAGUUCGUAGGUUAAGACAUCAGUCGUUGGGCAAACAUUUGGAGCGAAGAUGUGAGUGUUUUAACUGACGAAUAAGCUGGUCGUCAUGUAGAUCUUCUUUCCCGACUGACGGUUCAACAUGUAGCUCUUUGGAUAAUAAUUCAUCUUCAAGGGGAACAGGUUGCCCCUCAGAUGAAUGGUUAGAGGCAAUUGUGAGACUAUAAUUUUCUAGGGCCGAAAUAAAAAAUACAUAAACCCUCACUCAUUCUGUCUCUGUAACCAUCCACCAAAUACCCUUUCUUCCCUUUCUAUUUCUCUCCUAGUAAUAUCCCCUGACCGAAUCACACAAUCCAACCAACUCUCUUUAAGCCUCCCUCACUGAUUCCAUGGAUUUCAUGGACUUAUCCCACCCUCUCUCCUUCCCUCUAUAUAUAGCAAGUCCCCUUGCCUCAGUGUCCCUGGCAACAGAAUUUAUGGCAUUUCUUCGUUCUUUCAAUUAUUUGAAAGCUUCCUAGCCCUGCAAUCUUGUACAAAGGCGUAUGGUGUUUCAUCAGUUCCAUUUGGUGGUUGGGUGGGAAAUGAAAUUAAAACACUGCAUUUCAAAUGCAUUUCAAAUGGUCUAAACCAAAUUGAAUCAAAUGUGAAGCAAAGGGCAAGAGGUGUAGAUUGAAGAACAAUGGCACCAAGAGCGAAAUUGAACUUGUUGACAGGAGGAAACCAAGUAAGGAUAACACGUCUAAAUCUUAUUUUGAAUCCAUUCAGCUCAUGAUGUUUUGAAUGAUGAUGAUCGGUAUACUCUGCUACAUGCUGUGAUUUUUCCGCUUUCAUGUAAUUAACGGCUUAUAUGUGGUAACGAUAUUGAUUAAAAAAGGUCGUACCCAGUGCAUAAGGCUCCCGCUUUACGCAGGGUCUGGGAGAGGUGAAUGUCGGCUAGCCUUACCCCCAUUUUAUGGAGAGGAUGCUCCAAAGUCUCAAACCCGAGACCUACCGCUCAUGGGCGAAGGCAUUUGCCAUCGCACCAAAUGCGAUAUUAAUUAAUUUCGAGAAAUGACAGUCUGAUUUUUGCAACUGUCUUUUGCAGGCAAAACAAAGACGUUUGCAAGGGUGAGUUGUGUAGGAGCUUUGUUUCAUGUCCAAAUGACACUUGAGAAUAAAUGUUUACACUCAUGGAUAAUAUCUAUCUAUUUGCAGGAGCAACCCUGGGUUCAUUUGUUCUGUAACUGCUGGUCAUUGCGGCAUAUCACGCCUAUAGCACUGACAAAAGUAAAAAGAGAAUCGAAUGAAAUUUGAUAAGUUUUCAGCGGACUACAAAGAUCUUAAGCCAAGCAUAUAUUCCCAUGCAGAUAUUAAGAGGUUUACAAAUCAAUUCAAGUACAAGUUGGGCCAAGGAGCAUACGGAACUGUUUUUAAACGAAAGUUUUUUUCUGAAUGCUUUGUUGCCAUGAAAGUACUUAACAUUUCCAAGGGUGACGGGGAAGAGCUUGUAAAUGAAGUGGGAACAAUGGGCCAUAUUCACCAUGUCAAUGUGGUUCACUUGGUUGGUUUUUGUGCUGAUGGAUUUAGAUGAGCUCUGGUUUAUGAGUUCUUUCCCUUUGGUUCACUCCAGGAUUAUAUUUCAUCAGCAGAUAGAUUUCUUUCCUUGGUUGGCAUAAGUUGCAAGAUCUUGCUAUCAGCAUAGCCAAAGGAACUAGGAAUGUGAUCUACAAAUCCUCCAUUUCGAUAUCAAACCCCAUAAUGUUUUGCUCGACCAAAAAAUCACGCCAAAAAUCUCUGAUUUUGGUCUGGCCAAGUUAUGCCAAACAAUUACAGACAACAGUUAUUCACUAAAUCACUUUAAGGCAAGAAUUUAAUUAAUAAUACAUUACUGCACUUUCUUAACCAUUUGACUAUCACCUAGCUGACAAUGAACACGUUAGCUCCGCGUUAGAACAUCUUGGGUUCAAUUCAUUGUCUUGAAUAUCACCCAUUGUCACAGGCGUCUGUUGGGGGCAUAGAGAAGGCCUGAGAGGCAUUUGCAGACAUUCAACAUCUCCUCCAAGCAUUUUGACAACUUUGGACAUCGAAGGGCGAUCAUUUGGUUUCAUUUGAAUACACCACAAGGCGGUUAUAACCAUCUUUCUUAUUACUUUCUUUUCCUCCUCUGUAACAUUGUCCAUUUCCAGGUCAUUUCCCACAAUAUAUUGAUCGUAUACCCACAUUGGGAAGUAGAUUUGGCUUGAAUGCUCUACCGUUGGAUUCAAAUUCUUCCUUCUGCUUGCCAUUUCCAUCAACAACAUUCCAAAACUAUAGACAUCUGACUUGUAUGAGACGCAUCCAAUAUUUUUGUAGAACAACUCAGGAGCAAUAUAUCCCAGUGUACCCCGUGCUGCCGUCAAAGAGACAAUGCUAUUAUCUACAGGAUACAAUUUUGCAAGCCCAAAGUCAGAAACCUUUGCUUUAAAGUUCUCAUCAAGAAGGAUGUUAUGAGGCUUGAUGUCGAAAUGUAGAAUUUGCAUUUCACAACCUUGGUGUAGAUAUUCGAUCCCUUGAGCCACUCCAAGAGAAAUCUCGUACAUGUUCUUGAUAGUUAAGGGGACACUUCCUUCUUUGGAAUAAAUGUAUUUAUCAAGAGAACCAUUAGGCAUGAAGUCAUAUACUAGAGCGCGUUUUGAUCCCUCAACACAGUAUCCAACAAGUUGUACCACAUUGGCAUGGUGAAUCCUUCCGAUUGUAGCUAUUUCGCUAAUGAAAUCUUGGCCAUCAGCUUUGGGCUUGCCCAAAACUUUAACUGCUACAAAUCGACCACUGCGUAGCUUUCCCUUAAAUACAGAGCCAAAGCCACCUUCGCCCAACUUGUCCUUAAACCUGCGAGUCAUUUUCUUGACGUCCGAGUAAGAGUACCUUAUAAGCAUGAUGUUGUUAUUGCAUUGCAGAAAAUCUUCUAUUGUGCUAUACAUUGAUAAAUGUCUUCUGCGCCAUGUGUAGAUUAGAAAUGCAGUCACAACUGGAACUCCAAAAACAAAUCUGGCUAGGAAAAAUAACCCUGCAUGCAUGGACAAUAAUAUGUUAGAUCCACUGUGUACUACUUUUUCUUCCCUUUCUUUCCAAAUUACUUUAUCUUUGAUGUAAUUAAAGAGAGAGAAUGGGAAAUCUACAUAUGUUGAUAAUAUAAUCUCGUCUUAGUCCUUACCGAUCCAUAUGAGUAUAAACCAUCCAAGUGCUGCAAAAAAAUCAAUCGACUAUGAGUUUGAAAAGUGCAUAAAGUGAAAAAAAAAAAAAAAAAAAAAAAAAUCAAAGGGUGCCUUUAUUGACACCCAAAUUUUAGUUAGUUUUACUCAACUAAAAAAUUUUUGUCAUCAAACUUUUUAAUUUGCCGUCGAAAUUGAGUUCACCCAACCACAAAGCAGCAACUACCACUCACAAAAAAACCAACAACACACAGCCACCAGUACCAUUCACCAAUAGAAAGAGAAGGAACACACAGACCCACCAAGGAGCCGGCAUCGACGCAUCUACGAGGGAGGGACCGGAGGGUGGUGUAGUUUUGUUGGGCGCGCGGUGGUUGUUUUGUUUGUUCAUUUUCUCUUUCUUUUGGUAGGUGGAGGCUGGUGUGGAUUUGGGCGAACUUAAAAAUGAGGGGAAACUAUGAAGUUUGACAAAAUGUUUUAGUUAGGGGAACUUAACUAAAAUUUGGGUGCCGAUAAAGAUACCCAAUUUCAAAAAUACUUGAGCUUAUAGACUAAUUAAAUGAAGUUGAUCUUACAGAUCUCGUGGCUGUAUGAUGAAUGCCACUUGCCAGCUGCAAUAGAUACCACGGAAAAGUGAAUAAAGACAUACAGUUACUAGGUUUAAGAAGUACAGAUAGAGCACACAAAAAAUAAAAGAAGCUUUUGGGAAGAAACUUCUUACGCCAAUAGUUGUGUUCUUGACCUACAGUAAAAAAUGUGAAGAAGAAUACACAACAUUAGCAAUAGCUCACCCAGUCUUCGGAAUUUAAAAAAUCAAGUUUGUCUCGAUCGAAAACUUGUAAAUAAAACAAAAAGAGGACCCCUUACGGAUUUGGUGCCAUAGAUAUUGAAAGAAACCUACAAAAACAAAGAAAGAACAAGACCACAUGCAUUAGCAUAACAAGUGUGAGGUGUAUAAGCCGUUAGAAAAUAAAUUUAAAAUUCUAGUGCUGUCAAUACAUUGAUAAUAUAUAUAUAUAUAUAUAUAUAUAUAUAUAUAUAUAUAUGUAUUAUUUUUCUGAAAAUUUAACUUUCUCCCUCCAAACUCAUUUUUCUAGUCUCUAGCCCAUCAUAUAAUAUUUAUCAGAAUAAAACCAAAUGAUUAGGAUCCAACUAAGAAACUUACCAAAUUAAGUUUGUGUGUCCAUUUUUAUAUUUUUUGGAUCCCUAAUAUACCCCAUCUAAGCCAGUAUGGAAAGUUCUUGUAAUUUUGCUUUAAGUGAUCACGUGCAUUGAAUUUGGCAAGGUCUUGUAGCCAUGAAAUAUGGUUCCAGAUGGAGGAAUGAAUUUGGAUUUUUUUUUAAUUUCGGCAACAAAUUUCAAUUUGAAUAUACCUAAUUUAGUGUUUAUUUUCAACAAUAUCUAUUGUUUAAUUUUAUGAAAAUAAUUAACCUAAUAUGAAAAUUAAUUUUAUGAAAACAAUAUCUAUUGUUUAAUUUUAUACCUACAGGAUAAUUACAUGAAAAUAGUUUACCUACUAUGAAAAUUAAUUUUUUGAAAGCAAUAUCUAUUGUUUAAUUUUAUGAAGAUAAUUUACCUACUAUAAUUACAUGAAAAAAUUUACCUACUAUGAAAAUUAAUUUUUUGAAAACAAUAUUAUUGUUUAAUUUUAUGAAAAUAAUUUACCUACUGUAUAAUUACAUAAAAAUUAGGGAAAAUUAGAAUCCCCUACAGUUUUUAUAUAUCAUUUAGAUUAAACAUUUGUACUUUUUUAAAAUUUGAUUAAAGUGCUUUGACCAAUAGUUACCUCUAUUUUUUUAAAUUAAAAUAAUUUUUGAAUUUAUCCUUUUAUCUGCACAAUGCACUUUUCCUUAUUUAGUGGAGAUAUUAGUAAUGAAACUAUAUUUUCCCUUCUUCCAAAUAUGUUUUUUCGAUCACAGUUUUUUUUUUUUUGGGUAUGCAAACAUUUGAUAUUAUUUUUUUUCCAAAUGGUUUUUUCUUUUUCAAAUAGUUGGUGAUCAACAUAUAAGCUCUGUGUAUUUUUUUCAAUGUUUUUGUGAAAUUAUAUUUUUUUUGCUGUUUUUUAAGUAUAGUUGUUGACGAAUUAUUAUUAGGUACAAUACAUUACGUAUAUAUUAUCUGCGGGUACGUUUGAAUUUACUAAAAUCAUUAAUUGGUACGUUUGAUUUGAUACAUAUUGUUAAUAUUGGUACAUUAUUUUUAUUUUGGUACGUUUUAUUUUGAACACAUUUUGUAUUGGUACGUUUAUAGUAUUCUCAAUCCUAUUUUCUCUUAACGUACUAAAAGAAAAACUCAUUUUGGUACGUUUGAUUUUGGGGGAUUUAAAAAUAUUUUAAACUAUUUUGGAAAAAAAAAAAUCUUAAAUCGUAGAUAAUUAUUGCUAAAUUGUAGCAUUAUUGUGAAAAUAAAUUGAAUCUAACCAACUUUUUUUUUUACAAUUAUCUCUAAUGGAGGAGAGUGUAAUCAAAAGGCUAGAUUAUAGGAAAUUUGUUACAAUAUAAUGGGCAUAUAGCACCAAAAUUAUGAUAAAAAAAAGUUUAAUCAAAUCAUUAAAAGGCAUGGAUGUUUGAUCUAGAAAAUUCAAAACUGAGGCGUCUAUAUCAAAAGAUCCCUAAAAAUUAAUGUGCCUACUUUUUAAAUUUGUAACAAAAUUAAUUUACCUACUUUUUAUGGUAUUAGUAUACAUAAAUGUAGAAUAUAUGUCCGUAUAUAUUUGAUCUAAUUAGGUUUUGGAUUGGAGGAGUUGACACAAAAUUAUAAAUAUAUUAAACAAAUUUAUCUAUUCUAAAGUUGGAGGGGAAUUGGUCUGUACAUUGCUACAGUAAACAAAUGCUACUCAAUUUCACGUUAUUUACAACAAAGCUAUCAGAUUUGGGUUGGGUUGGAGGGUAAUUUGUUAAAAGUUAGGAGGGUAAUUUUGUGCAUAGGGUUUAGGUGCCCUCCUAUACAUGACCCUUGAGUUUACUUUAUUUACACCACUGCCAUCAAAUAUGUGGCUGAAUUGGAGGGUAUUAUUAAAAGUUAAGAGGGUAGUUUUGUUCAAGGGGUGGGGGCGACAUUCGCAGACGGAGGCCGAUGGGAGCCAUGCCCAUUGCACAGAGAGAAAGGGAGUGAUGGGGGAAAUUACAGACAGAAAAGGAAGGGAUGGGAGGAUUUGAUGGAUGGUCACAGAGAGAGAUUCGGUGAGGGAUGUGAGGGGAGAUUACAGAGAGAUAAAUAAAAGGGAGGGAUCGGGGGAUUUGAGGGAUGGUCAGAGAGAGAAAUAGUGAGGGAGGGAGGGAUGGGGGGGCUGAUUUUCGGUUCCUCCUUCAGAUUUGUUCCGUAAAACCUGUUGGGUACAAUUCAAUUUCCUCCCCCUUUCCCCUGAACGAAAAAUUCGAAACCUACAAUUCAAUUUCCUCCCUCCUUGGCUUUCCGCUUUACUCAUCUCCCGGUGGUUCUUUCUCUCCAUACGAUUCGAUUUCGGUGAGUUCUUCGUUGCCCUCAUGAUUUCCCAGUUUGAUUUUUUGAGCGUCCUUAGUCGUUGUUUUUAUCUGGGUUUACUGCAUUGUUGCUUUUAGUUUCUGGAUUUUUAUUUGUUCCGCGGUUCGAUGAAUCGGUUAAUAAUUUCACACCAUGGGAUUUUCGCAUGGAAUUGAGCGCGGGGAUUCGGGGUGGGGUUUUACUGAUAAUUUGUCUUCAUUCAAAUGAAUGGUUAAAAUUUCUGAAGUGAGUGUGCAGGUGGGCCCGUUCACUAACUAAGCUUUCAAGGGAACCCAUCAGCGGUUUGCUUGCUGGGGGAAUUCGGAGACUACCAGUGUAUGAUUUAGUUAUCAUUUAUUUUUUUACUUAAAUUUAUCCAUAUAUAAUAUGUGGGUAAAUUUACACUAAACAAUUGUGAUAAGCCAAUAUGCCAUACGACUUUGAAAGCAUUGAUUUUGUGUUUAGUUUGCAUUUUUGCAUUGUGAAUGUUGAAUUUUGUGUUUGAAUUUGUAGCAUGAUCUUCCGCUGCAGCAUCCAAAUUUUGCAUUUGUAAAUUGUCAAAGAAAAACGAAGUAUGAGGAAAUUAUAGGAGAUUGUGUCGGCUUUGGCCAUGAAGGGUAUCAGCAGCUUGUUCCCCCAUACAGGUGAUUAAUCGUUUUUCAGUCUGUGUUCUAUUUGGAUGAGAAAGUGAUUGAAAAUAUGAUUUUUUUAUUUGUUGGUUGAUUUUGUAUGGACGAUGUAUUAAUUUUAUUUUUUUUGGGAUUUUGUGUAUUGGGCAUUGUGUAGAACCAGCAAUGCAAGAGCAGGAUCUGAUCAGUCAUGCCUGAAAAGGGGUUUGUUUCUCAAAUCACAUUAAUUAAUUAGAUUAUUAACGUGCGUUGGAAGGCUCUUCAAUAUGAUUUCUAAUUUCUCCUUUCCAGCAUUCUCUUUUUGGUUUUUGGAGUAUGUAUGUGAUUUGUAUUUUUUUAUAGAAUAAAAAUUAAUAAAACACGAGAUGCAGCAAUUAAUUUGCAUCCUUAUGACAACACAUAUGAAAGUGCAUUCAAUUUCAAUGUGCGAAUGUGUGACAGGAUGUGCCUGCCCGCUGCUGCUGGUAUGCUUGCUGUUGUUUCUCGCGUUGUUAAUUUUUUGUGUGUGUUGAUUUGAUUAACAACUCAAGCGUAUCUUUUUUUUUUGUGUUGGUUAGCAGCCAGUUUUAUGGCCCCGAUCUAGUGAUGCUUCUCAGUGACUGUGGUAAUUGCAGUUCAUUGCCACCAGUUGGUCAGCUACCUGCUCUGAAAGAGCUAUACGUAGAAGGGAUGAAAGUUGUUAAGAGUGUUGGUGUUGAGUUGUACGGGGGAAAUCAACCAUUUCAAUGUUUAGAGAAGCUAAAGUUUCGGGAGCUAUAGCAGCCUAGUCCAAGUGGAUGUGAAAGUCCAGACUUUCCUCAUCUUAAGGAGCUGGGGUUAUACGAAUGUCCGAAGCUGAGAGGAAACUUGCCCACUCAUCUUCCCUCCUUGAAAACACUUCAUGUGAACAAGUGUGAGGUUCUACAUAAAAACAGGGCCAGUAAUACCCUGAACGUGGAAUCCUUACGAGGAUCUCUUGAAAAACUGACAAUAAAUGGAUGCCCGGGUCUCUCAUUGUUACUAGAGUCGACGGAGACGCUGCCGUCGCUUCAGAAGCUUGAUAUUGAUAAUGUGGUGGGAAAGAGUUGUUGGCGCAAAUGGUGCACAACAGCAAUCGUCUUCAAAGUUUGACUUUAUAUAAAUGUUCCUCACCCUUGUCGUUCCUUACAAAUGGUCUGCCCACCACGCUGACAUCACUGAGCAUAACAGAUUGCAAGAAAUUAGAAUUCCCAUCACGUGAGAUGAUGGCCAAAUUGACUUCCCUUCAGUCUUUGCGUCUAUCCAACAGCUGUGAACGCAAAGGCUUGAGUAUUUGCAGUUUAGUUUUUUUUUUCUUCAUUUUAGAGAUUUUUCUACUGUUUGGUUUUUGGGUUUUGUCUAAUUUUUGUGGUCUGCUUUAUAGAUUGUUCUCUUUGGAAGCUUCUUUCCAGCCUUGACCUUCUUCUUGCCUGGUGCCUUCUCAUUGAGUAUUGGAGGAGCAUUAAAACACAGGUGUGUGUGUUUUGUCGACAUAAGAGAUGAAUGACAUAAAAACAUCCGUCUCUGUAUUUUUUUGUGCUUUUUCUAACCCAUCAAUUUCUUUUGAGUCAACCAAAUAGUCCCAAAUUGCAACUUAUGUUGUGAGGUAUUAUUGUCUAAAAUUAAGUAUGCAUGUAUAUUUUAUGUUUGUGCCCGCGCACACAUCCGCAUGGUGUUAAUCUCUGUGGGUCAUCUAUGUAUAUGUAGAUAUAUCUAUAUGUGUGUGUGGAAUGCAACAUAUCGGAUUUAGGUUAUACUGUGCAUAGUUUUAUUGCCUGUUAUUAUCUACGAUAUCACUAUGCCAUUUCUAUGCAGGCUCUGAAAGUUAUUCAUGAGCUUUAUAAGCACUUACCAUAAUUUAAGCAGUCUGUUUUGGGUUCUUUUUCAUUAGGUCAUUAGCUACAGAUUAAUGGAGAAACGAGGACCAUGCCACUGAUUUGGGUUCUUUUUCUAAUUUUCUGAUUUUGGGGUUUUGCAGGGAGAACUCCGCCUAUGUACUUACAUUGCCGAUCCCAAGCUCGGAUAAAGGAGGAGGGGGAGGGCGUCAGGUAGUCGACAGUCGGCACUCCAUGAUCACGUCGAAUCCUUAUGAAAAUGAAUUCAGAAUAAAAUUGCGCUAAAGCUAGGGCGUCACCCGUAAGUGGCGCGCUGUGUGGCCCGAGCACAGUGAUAAGUGAGCAAGGGUCGCUGUAUCUCCAUCGGCACCCGGAUGCAGUGUUAAAUGAGCAAGGGGGGCAUAGGAACUUCUUUUCGAACGACUCCACUCAAAGUUGUUUGGGAGCAUAUGCUCCUAUCAACUUUACACGGGACACACAAAAGAAGUACUUUGAUCCUAUUAGACGGGGGAGGGUGAAGAAGCUAGGACAGAAGGGUAGAGUUCAAGAAAGCAAAAUGCGUUUAGGAACGUGGAAUAUAGGAACCUUAACGGGAAAAUCUAUGGAAGUAGUGGAAGUUAUGGUGAGGAGAAGGAUAAAUAUUAUGUGCCUACAAGAAACUAAGUGGGUUGGUAGUAAGGCAAUUGAUCUAGAAAACUCAGGGUUUAAACUUUGGUAUUCGGGCACAAAUAGAACGAGAAACGGUGUUGGCAUCAUCGUGGACAAGACCUUGACACAAGAUGUUGUAGAUGUCAAGAGGGUAGGAGAUAGAAUCAUGGCAAUCAAGAUUGUAAUAGGACAAGAACUUAUCAAUGUGGUUAGUGCGUACGCACCUCAAGUAGGGUUGGAUACGAGUUCGAAGGAGAAAUUUUGGGAAGACCUUGGAGACUUGGUGUAAGGAAUUGCUCAGACGGAGAAGUUAUUUAUAGGAGGAGAUUUAAAUGGACACGUGGGCAGAGAGACAGGCAACUAUGGAGGUUUUCAUGGUGGCCAUGGUUUUGGGGAGAGAAAUGAGGAUGGGGAAGCUAUCUUGGAUUUUGCAAUGGCAUAUGAUCUCUUUUUAGCCAACACCUUCUUUAAGAAGAAAGAAGAACAUGUGAUCACCUACAAGAGUGGGUUGUCAAAAACACAAAUAGAUUUUCUUCUAAUGAGAAACGAGGAUGGGGAAGCUAUCUUGGAUUUUGCAAUGGCAUAUGAUCUCUUCUUAGCCAACACAUUCUUUAAGAAGAGAGAAGAACAUGUGAUCACCUACAAGAGUGGGUCGUCAAAAACACAAAUAGAUUUUCUUCUAAUGAGGAAAGGGGAUCGUAUAACUUGUAAGGAUUGCAAAGUUAUACCAGGAGAGAGCGUGGCUAAUCAACAUCGCUUGUUGGUGAUUGAUGUACAUAUCAAAAGAGUGAGACAAAAGAACAAGACUUGGAAGUGCCCAAGGACUAGAUGGUGGAAUCUAAAAGAAGAAAAACAAGCCAUUUUCAAAGAGAAAGUAAUCAUCCAGUGUGUGGGAUAGAGAUGGGGAAGCUAGCCAAAUGUGGGAUUCAAUGGCUAGUUGUAUCCGAAAAGUAGCAAAAGAGGUAUUAGGAGAGUCAAAAGGCUUUGCCCCACACCAAAAAGAAUCUUAGUGGUGGAAUGAGGAGGUACAAACAAAGGUGAAGGCUAAGAAGGAAUGUUGUAAAGCCUUAUACAAGGAUAGAACUGAUGAAAAUGGUGAAAGGUAUAGAAAAGCGAAGCAAGCUGUGAGAGAAGCUAAGUUAGCGGCUUACGACGAUAUGUAUAAACGACUAGAUACCAAAGAAGGAGAGUUGGAUAUCUAUAAACUAGCUAGAGCAAGGGAAAAGAAGACAAGGGACCUAAACCAAGUGAGGUGCAUCAAGGAUGAGGAUGGAAAUGUUCUUGCUACAGAGAACGCGGUUAAAGACAGAUGGAGAGGUUAUUUUCAUAAUCUUUUCAAUGAAGGACAUGGAAGGAGUGCUUCUUUAGGGGAGUUGAGUAACUCAGAAGAGUGUAGAAACUACUCUUUUUAUCGUCGAAUCCGGAAGGAAGAAGUGAUUGUAGCUUUGAAGAAGAUGAAACAUAGAAAAGCAAUAGGCCCAGACGAUGUACCAAUCGAAGUGUGGAAAGUUUUGGGAGAGACAUGUAUAACAUGGCUCACUGACCUUUUCAAUAGGAUUUUGAAAACGAAGAAGAUGCCAAAUGAGUGGCGAACGAGCACUUUGGUGCCUAUCUACAAGAAUAAGGGCGACGUACAAAAUUGCAUGAACUAUAGGGGUAUUAAGCUAAUGAGUCAUACAAUGAAGCUCUGGGAGAGAGUCAUUGAGCAUAGAUUGAGGCAAGAGACACGGGUUUCGGACAACCAAUUUGGGUUCAUGCCAAGGCGCUUAACCAUGGAGGCAAUCUAUCUCUUACGAAGAUUGGUGGAAAGAUAUAGAGAUGGGAAAAAGGAUUUACACAUGGUUUUUAUAGAUUUGGAGAAAUUCGUAUGAUAGGGUCCCAAUAGACAUUCUUUGGAGGAUUUUAGAGAAGAAAGGAGUACGAGUAGCAUAUAUCCAAGCUAUAAAUGAUAUGUAUGAAUGAGCAAAGACUGCUGUAAGAACUCAUGAAGGACAAACUGAAAGUUUUCCCAUAACUGUAGGAUUACACCAAGGCUCAUCCUUAAGUCCCUACCUUUUUGCGUUGGUAAUGGAUGAGUUAACAAGACAUAUUCAAGAUGAUAUUCCUUGGUGUAUGCUUUUCGCAGACGAUAUAGUGUUGAUAGAUGAAACACAGGAAUGGGUAAAUGCAAAGCUUAACCUUUGGAGAGAAGUGUUGGAAUCUAAAGGUCUUCGCCUAAGCCGAUCAAAGACAAAAUAUAUGGAGUGCAAGUUCAGUGCAAAUGGAGGCCAAAACGAGUUAGGGGUGAGGAUCGGAGAUCAAGAAAUACCAAAGAGCGACCGUUUUCGUUACCUAGGAUCUAUCUUGCAAAAGAACGGAGAAUUAGAUGGAGAUCUCAACCAUAGAAUACAAGCUGGAUGGAUGAAGUGGAAGAGUGCAUCCGGCGUGUUGUGUGACCGCCGUAUGCCACUGAAGCUCAAGGGAAAAUUUUAUAGGACGGCAAUAAGGCCGGCGAUGCUGUAUGGCACAUAAUGUUGGGCGGUGAAGCAUCAACACGUACACAAAAUGGGUGUAGCGGAGAUGAAGAUGCUUCGUUGGAUGUGUGGGCACACGAGAAAGGAUAAGAUUAGGAAUGAGGAUAUCCGGGGUAAAGUAGGAGUAGCCGAAAUUGUAGGAAAGAUGAGAGAAAAUCGGUGACGGUGGUUUGGACAUGUGCCAAGAAGGCCUACUGACGCUCCGAUUAGAAGAUGUGACUACUGGACAGAGGUUCAGGGCCGAAGGGGUAGAGGAAGACCUAGAAAAACUUUGGAAGAGACUCUAAGAAAGACUUAGAGUACCUGGAUCUAACGAAGGACAUGACACAGGACCGAGCAUAAUGGCGUUCUAAGAUUCAUAUAGCCGAUCCCACUCAGUGACUUGGAUUUUCCAAGUCUCCAGCCGAGAAGUUUUCCUCACUCAGGAAAUUAAGGGAACACUACCCCAACCUACAUGCUCCACUCACAAAGCUUCAACAAAAGAAAAUUCAAAGAACUUAGCGAAGAAGGCUUUGAUGUAUUUAACACAAUACGUUGAAAUGAAGGAAAGCUUAUUUAUUGAUAUCAUCGAUAAGCUACAAAUAUGUACAUAUACAUAAGUCAAAAUAAACAAACAAGAGGGAGCCUUCACAAAGGUUGCUUAGGAGAAGUCUCAGCAGUCGGUAGAGCCCCAGAAAGAGAAGGCACCGGAGGGGGAUCAUUCGGAGCCUCAGUACUGGACAGAACCCUAGAAGGAGGAGGCAUAAGAGGUUGAUCAUUUGGUGCUUCAUUACGCGGUACAGCCCCAGAAGACGAAGGCAAUAAAUGCCUUUGGAACAAACCCACAAAUCUCUGAUGAUCAAGUAAAACCUGACCAUCAGAUUCCUUCAUCUGGUCAAGCUUCCUCUUCAUGUUUGUAGCAUAGUCAUGUGCGAGCCGGUGCAACUGUUUAUUCUCAUGCUUGAGCCCUCUAAUCUCCUGUUUGAGACUCAUCACUUCAGCCGCCAAUGAUUCAACUUGGCGGGUUCGAGCAAAUAGGUGUUGGGCCAUAUUAGACACAGAACCUGCACACUGAACACUGAGAGCCAGAGAAUCCUUAACAGCUAACUCAUCAGACCGUUUGGAAAGUAGUCUGUUAUCUUUGGGAGUGAGAAGGUUCCUGGCCACCACCGCAGCGGUCAUAUCAUUCUUCAUCACGGAAUCCCCAACGGUAAGAGGACCAGUAGGGGAGACGAAGGAUGGGCGCCAUAUGUUGUCUGGAGAAGGCGGGGCUUCCUCUUCAACAAGGUUCAAGUCAAAACGACGGUCGGAGGGGCCAGACAUUUUCAAAUGUGUUGAAGAGAGAAGAGGUCGGACAAAUCAAGAUCUUAGAAGUGUAAGAAUGGAGCUUCUACUGGUGGAGAUUCAAGUGUGCUUUGGAACUUAAUGUCAGCCCCUAUAAAAAUCUGCACUCAACGGAGCUUCAGAAAUCGAAGAGGCGCCUGCUCAGAAAUCGAAGAGGCGUUUGCUUUCUCAAAAGCAAGGCUGCUCAGAUACCACGAGGGUCGAUCUCAGAAAUCGAAGAGGCGUUUGCUUUCUCAAAAGCUGGGCAGCGCAAAGACCACGAAGGCCGAUCUCAGAAAUCGAAGAGGCGCUCAAAAGUUGGGCUGCUCAGAGACCACGAGGGCCGAUCUCAGAAAUCGAAGAGGCACCUACUUUUCCAGCCUUGUCAGUACCUGUCACACACACACUCAGCUUUGCGAAAAUUAUGGGGAUUCGGUCGAAGACUUCUGGUGAAGUAGAAAGCACAUGAGUCUUACUGUUCAAUCACCCACUUCCCACACGCAACAGUAGCUCAUGGGUACCACAUAUAACUUUUCCAAAGUUCUCUGCCAAAGUUGAACACGUGAAGUUUGCAGCUCCCACUACAUCGCUCUGAUCAAGAAGGGUAAAAGAAUAGCAAAGAAACAACACUAACAAAGUUUAGACACAUAAAUUUUGAUGGUCGAGCUACCAUAUUAUUACCCACAAGGGUAAAGGAACAGUACCACUGCUGGAUAAUUGGAAAGUCCCUGUGUGUCAACCUCUGUGCUUCGUGGCAAGGUAGACUAUCAAACAUGCCCAACCUUUACUCACAUUCGAGAAAACACUCCCAACAAGAUUGCUUGCUCCAAAAUCGAAGAGGCACCGUCCUUCGAAUCUCGAGAGCCAGACUCCCAACAUGACUACUUUCUCAAAAAUCGAAGAGGGUAAAGGAACAGUACCAUUGCUGGAUAAUUUGAAAGUCCCUGUGUGUCAACCUCUGUGCUUCGUGGCAAGGUAGACUAGCAAACAUGCCCAACCUUUACUCACAUUCGAGAAAACACUCCCAACAAGAUUGCUUGCUCCAAAAUCGAAGAAGCAUCGCCCUCCGAAUCUCGAGAGCCACUCCCAACAUGACUACUUUCUCAAAAAUCGAAGAGACAUCGCUCUCCGAAUCUCGAGAGCCAGACCCCCAGCAUGAUUGCUUUCUCAAAAAUCGAAGAGGCACCGUUCUCCGAAUCUCGAGAGCCAGAUCCCCGAUAGGAUUGCUUGUUCGAAAACCGAAGAGGCAACACUUUCCCAAUUUCAAGAGCCGGAUCUCCUUGGAUAAAGCUAUCUGUAAUCUUCACUCGCAACAUUAGCUUUCCAGCUACCACAGACCACUUUUUCAAAGUGAUCUGACAACGUUAAAACAUGUGAAGCUGGCAGCUUCCACUACCGUGCUAUGACCAAGUAGGGUAAAGGAAUAGCAUUACUACUUGUUGUUAAGGAGACUCCUAUAUAUGUCGACCUCCAUCCCCAACGGAUAGGCAGACCUGCAAAAAUGCUCAACUCUUCCUCAUAUCUGAGAGGGCACUCCCAACGAAGCCUUUCGAAAUAUUCAGCUUUCUUUCCCCCCGAUAAUACCUCUGCAAACAAGCUAUACUAGAGCAAGAAUAUCUCAUAUCAUCAGGGUUAAAAGCAAGAGUAUCCCAUAUCAUGCUUUUUCCUUGUCUUUUUCUUUGGCCUUGUUCUUACCUGCAAGACAAGAAGAAAGAGAGCAAUCAGUCAGUACUUGGAAUCAAGCUUCCAGCCAGGAACUGACUGCCUGGAACCCCUUACCUGAUUACUUACCUGACAUUGUUCUCGAGUACUCAUCUUCAACAUCUUAUGCUUCCAGGGAAGAUACCGCAUCUGCCUGAGGAACAGAUAGGGCAAGGGAGAAGGAUAUAAGGAAGCAUGUGGAGACAAGCGUAACAGCACACGUGCCGAUACAUCCAUUACUCUGUCAAAGCAAAAGUAUCCCAUAUCAGUAGGGUCGAACGUACUCUAGAUUUGAUGGACUUGUUUUGACCCUCAAAUUCUUCAGUCGGCCUUAUACUCUGGAGGAAACCAGAAAUUUCUCCAGCUCAGUGCAAGAAUAAGCUUGUGGAAAGUUACUUCUUCAAAAGCAAAAGUAUCACAUAUCAUCUCUUCUCAUUUUCUUCUCUUUAUCCUUCAUGCUGCCUGCAAGAUAGGGAGAUUGUGAACAAUCAGCUGGAGCUAUGAUUGCUUACCUUGUCUGUCACCUCUUUCAGCAGAUCCCCUAGCUCGGCGAUUUGGGGGACUCCUACUACAUGGUUUGUAUCGCGCUUGACCAAGCCUGAAACUACAAGUAAGCUUCAAGUGAAAUUGAUACAUUACCUUGUGCAUCUCCACCAGUUAAAGAUACUACCCCUGGAUGGAGGAAGAGUACUUCCAGAGAAGAUGCCCCAUCUACCUAUGAGACAGAUAAGGCACGUCAAGACGAUACCACACUCUGAUACUUAGAAGUUUCGUGAUUACGAGAUCAUUCUCCCACAAUAUUUCCUAAUGUCAUUUGUACUAAAUCAUUCACUUGUACUCACUAAAGGAGAGCUUGAACCUAUGUACUUGUGUAAACCCUUCACAAUUAAUGAGAACUCCUCUAUUCCGUGGACGUAGCCAAUCUGGGUGAACCACGUACAUCUUGUGUUUGCUUUCCUAUCUCUAUCCAUUUAUAUACUUAUCCAUACUAAUGACCGGAGCAAUCUAGCGAAGAUCACAAAAAGCGACCGUUUUCGCUACCUAAGAUCUAUCGUGCAAGAGAACGGAGAAUUAGAUGGAGAUCUCAACCAUAGAAUACAAGCUGGAUAGAUGAAGUGUAAGAGUGCAUCCGACGUGUUGUGUGACCGUCAUAGGUCACUGAAGCUCAAGGGAAAAUUUUAUAGGACGACAAUAAGGCCAGCGAUGUUGUAUGGCACAGAAUGUUGGGCGGUGAAGCAUCAAUACGUACACAAAAAUGGGUGUGGCGGAGAUGAGGAUGCUUCGUGGGAUGUGUGGGCACACGAGAAAGGAUAAGAUUGGGAAUGAGUAUAUCCGAGGUAAAGUAGGAGUAGCCGAAAUUGAAGGAAAGAUGAGAGAAAAUCGGUUCCGGUGAUUUGGACAUGUGCAAAGAAGGCCUACUGACGCUCCGGUUCGAAGAUGUGACUACUGGACAGAGGUUCAGGGCCGAAGGGGUAGAGGAAGACUUAGAAAACCUUUGGAAGAGACUCUAAGAAAAGACUUAGAGUACUUGGAUCUAAUGGAGGACAUGACACAAAACCGAGCGCAAUGACGUUCUAGGAUUCAUAUAGCCGACCCCACUUAGUGGGAAAAGGCUUUGUUGUUGUUGUUGUUGUUGUUGGGGUUUUGCAGGGAGUACUAAUGUACUGAUUUUCUGGGAUUUUUUUUGUCCUUGCAGGAUUUUUGGUCUUUGAAAUGGGUAUGUGUUGUUUUUAAUGUUUCAGUUCUAGCGUUUUCCGUUCUUCGUUGCUUCGUGAUUCUCAUUUUUCAGUGUUGGGUGAUGGAAAUUUGUUAAAGUAGUUGGUAGUUUUUUGAGAAAGUUGGCAUUUUUAGUUAUAUUUUCUGUUUAAUCCUAAAUGUUUUGAAAACUCAUAAUUUUUUUGUUCUGGGAUUUAAAAGCAUCUUUUCCAGAUUGGUUACAAGGGUUAUGUUCUCUUCAAUUGGUUCACCUAAUUUUGAUUAGUUUUAAGUUUUGUCCUUUAAGUUUGUCUUUUAAGUUUUGUUCUUUAAGUUUUGUCUUUUAAGUUUUGUUCUCUAAGUUUUGUCUUUUAAGUUUUGUCUUCUGUGCUGUAAUGAGAGAUUUCCGUUGGCCUUUCGGAUUUUGGCAUGGGAAAGUUCACUUAUUUGCAAGGUUCUAAAAAACGCUAGGCGUUAGUUGGGCGGUGGGCUAGCGCCUAGCGGCUAGGCGGCUAGGCGGGAUCUAGGCGGGAUCUAGGCGGGCGCCUAGGCGGCCUAGGCGGAUUUAGGUAAAUUUCUUAUAUAUUUUAUGAAUUAAUUAAAUUUACUAUAUCAAAUGUAAAUAAUUAUUAACUAAUAUGUUAUUUCUUAUAGAAGAACAUACAUAGUGAAUGUUUUAUGUACAUAUAUAAUAUAUUUGUCUAGGAAAAAAAAAUAUUAUCUAAAUAAUUUUUAUAACAUAUAUAUAUAUAUAUAUAUAUAUAUAUAUAUAUCCCAAACUUUUAAAAAUAUAAAUAGCAUUGGGAGAGGGGCGUAGGGUUUCUAAAAGCACACUCAGAAAUAGAGCAUAUUUUAGUCUUUAUUUUAGAAUCCUAAGGAGCACCCUACUCGGAUGCACGACAUGUGUGCAAAUCUGGAGAUUCUUGCUGUAUCGGAUACACCAAUGCUUAGUCAAAAUUUCCUGCUAGGGUUUAUGGUGGACAUGUGUGUGUGGUCUUCAUUAUUAAACCCAUUAGCACCUCACCUUUUCACAUCACCCGUCCAUCACCUUGGGUGGUUUUGAUAAUUAAAACCAUCAACAUCCAUGGUUUUGAUAAUUAGAACUACCAACUUUUCCUUGGAUUUGAGAAUCUGAGAUCCCAUUCAUCGCCAUCAAAUAUUGAAAUGUUUCAUUGUUCAUCUCUUUCUCCCUCUUCUCACUCUCUAUUCCCUCAUCUUCACAGAGAUGAGUUACAGAAAUUCUCCGGUAAUCUCUCUCUCUCUCUCUUCGUAAUCGACGAGCUCCUCGACUUGAAGUCGCAGCCAAGUUAUGAAGAAUCGAGAUGCGAGAGCAAGUGGAGAGUGGAGACUCUGGAAAUUGGGAGUGACGAUCGACGACGAUGAGUCGAUGACCCAGGAAACCUCUUGAAGUUGCAGCAGGUGAGUGCACUGCAGUUGAGGAAGAAGAGACGAAGAGACUUAGUUUCUGAAAUUAGGGUAGCUGCAAGGCACGGGAACUUAAAAACAAAAAAACAAAAAGAAAACCGCCUAGCUCCGCCAGCCGCCUAGCCUGCCUAGGCGCCUCCUAGCCCGCCUAGGUGCCGCUUAGCCACCGCCUAGAGCCCAGCCGUUUUUUCCCACCGUUUUGCACAAAAACGCCUUGGCCACCCUCCGCCUAGCGCCUAGGCGGCCGCCUAGGCCGUUUUUUAGAACACUGCUUAUUUGUCUAAUUAGAUUGUGGAUGCCUUCGAUUCUUUAUUUAAUUGUUCUGUUUGCGUUCGGGUGUGAUGAUCUAAAUUUCAUAUGUUUGGAAUUAUUUACUUAACACCAAUUUGUUACAUUCAGAUCUCCACCCCACAUUUCACUAGUUCAAAUUCCAUAGAAGUUGGUUAUUGCAGAUUGCGUCUACAAUUAGAUCAGAGAUCAACUACUCUUUUGUUAUCCUGCAGAAGAUUGCUUUUGGGAAGGAUCUGAAGUAGUUUCUCUCUGUAUGUUUAUUCCCAUGUAGCUCUGUCUUUUCUAAUUGAUGGUGUUGAUAUUACACUGUAAUUCAUGAUGAUGAUUUAAUUGUUUAUUGAUUUGUAAUUGUUUGUGAAUAAUGUGGCAUAUAUGAAUUGCAAUCUGUGUUUGUAUGAAAGGGAUGGCAUAUUAUGUUGCUGACUUAAUUGUUUAUGUUUUUCAUAUUUGCGAAUGGUGUUAUGAUCAAUUAGGUGAUUGCUGACCUGUGACUUUGUUUGGAGCUCAAAUUUUGUGAGCAUUACAUUGGAUUGUUUUGAUGUUGUUUUGGUUGACAAUGCAGGGAUAGGAGAAACAAAGAGGAUGACACUUAUAACUGCCAUUCCCCAUCGGCCGUCUUCAAAUUUGGAUCACAAGAAGGGAGCAACAUAGGUGUUUUCCUUCUUUAUUUAGAUAUGGUUAGUGUAAAUAAUUGGACAAAAGAGCCAAACAAACCCUGUUCUCUCAAAUGGAGUUGAUGAUGUGGUCGACGGCCACCAGCCCCAACUCAAGAGUUUGGCCUUCAUAUAAUUGGAUUGUAGUAUAAUUUUAUUUUUGUUCAUUUCUUUUUUCCUUUAUAUAAGUGCAGGUGUUGUGAUGUUUUGAAUAAAGGGUGAUGAAAGGUGGUUCACACUUCCUCCUUACUUAAAGCAAGUGGAGAUGACGGUUUGUAUAAAAAGAAAAACUUGCCACGUACUUCAAUUUUCUAUUUUAUUAAUUAUUGUUUGGUUUUCCAAAUGUUGUAUUCACAAAGAGAGACCAAUUAUGUCUUUGAGAAACAAGUUUCUUUGUCUACAUUGCGAGAAUUUGCAGUUUGCAACUUUCAUUGGUUAUUAUAUUUGAUUGAGUUAAACUUGGAUUUCUGGAUUCUGACUUUUUCGUUUGUUUCUUUGUUGCAGAGUUGGCUUCAUUUCAUUCCAGGAACUCUCUAAAUAGGGCCAAGAACUCACUAAAUAGGUAGUCAAGAGGAAUUCAGUUUUGCCUUCAAUUUUUGCCUUCUGUUUACAUUCUUCCUGGAUGCACUCUCACCGCUUCUCUCGCUUACCACUUUUUUCUCACUCACCGCUUCAUCUCUUCUGUUGCUUACAAGGUCGUGUCAUAUAUUUUUUAAUUUUGUGGUUUAAUUUAUUGAAUAUUUGAAAAAAGAGAUAAAAUUAUAAGAUACUAUAUAAGAUACUAUAUAGUAUCUUAUAAAUAAAUGAAUCACAAAUGAUACUAUAGUUGUUAAAAAAUCCCAUUACUCAAAACUCCAAUUCCCUCCCAUUACUGAAAGCUCCAAUUCCAUCAAAACCGAGAUGGUAAAAGUACAAACUGGCUAGUUUCCACCAAAAAAAAAAGUACAAACUGGUUACAAAAAUAUGUUUUGUCCCAUCCAAUUGACGAAAAGAGAUAAAAUUUUCAAUUUACAAUUACUGAUAUGAUGUUUGUUUUGAAAAUCAUUAAGGUGAAUGGAGAGAUUUACAACCAUGAAGAGCUGAGGAGCCGUUUGCCAAAUCAGAUUUAUAAGGUCUCAUCAAUUAUGAAUAAACGACUUUUCAUUCCCAAUGACCUUUAUCGUUUUUCUUAAUGGGUUAGCUGAACAUGAGGUAGAUGCUGACUUUAUCAAAUAUGAGAAUGUUUUAGGAUUUCAUUCUAAUUUUUUGGCUGUUUGAUUACUUUGCUUUUCGUAAUUUGUUUUGCUUAUCGUCAAUUGGAUGGGACAAAACAUAUUUUUGUAACCAGUUUGUACUUUUUUUUUUGGUGGAAACUAGCCAGUUUGUACUUUUACCAUCUCGGUUUUGAUGGAAUUGGAGCUUUCAGUAAUGGGAGGGAAUUGGAGUUUUGAGUAAUGGGAUUUUUUAACAACUAUAGUAUCAUUUGUGAUUCAUUUAUUUAUAAGAUACUAUAUAAGAAACUGUUAUUAGCACUCUAAAAAACUCAUUCUACACUCGCGACAAGUGUAUUUUUCUUUUUAAUUAUGGAAAGUUUGAAGGGCAAAAUGAGAAUUUUGGAGUGCCAAUAACAAUUCCCUAUUAUAUAUAGCUCUACUGGGAAGGCUACUGUAUAUGUCUUCAUCCUGUUAAAUUGUAUAUGGCUCUUGAUGUCGGCUGAAUUAAAUCAAAAUGAAAACCAAGCUGAUCUUACCAGCCGAUAUCACUUAUCACUUGCUUAUUUAAAUUAUUUGAAGAUGCGUAUGUGGAUUGGUGAUUUUGUUGGAUUCACUUAGCUCAAAUAUAUGUUAUCUGAGUCGCUACAUUUGAGAAUGUGAUUCUGUUCCUACCACCAUUUUGCCCACUUUUUGUGGAAAUUAUUCAUUCCUGUUGUGAAUAAUACAUUCAUCCCCGGCAACGAAGUGCGGGCACAUUUUAUAGUUUAAAUUAAAUCACACAAUGGGUCAUCAAUAAUGACAAACUCGUCAUUUAUGCGAGUCAAACAUGAGGCCACCUACCUACUAGUUUAGUGGAAUACCACAAAGUGACAUGUUGAUACCUUUAAGUCUCAUAUAAUGGAUUGCAGAAUUAGGAUAUACCUAGACUAAUUUAGUCAGUGCGUGAACCCGAACAAUUAACAAGGGUUUUAUUCUUGCUUGAAUGUUUGUUAUAUGUUCCUAGUUUGACAAGGCAAUUAUAUUUCCGAUUACAAAAGUUAUUAAUUUAGUCGAGAAUUGACGCACCUGAAAUGGUGUGAGGAAAACAUGUAGACACAUCAACCGCAGUCCACUGUCCUGGGCAUCUAUCUUCCCCGAAACGAAGCUCAAAGCCAUACAUGAGGGCAUUGUGUAUGUCUUUAUAAGAGAAGUUGCUGUAGUCUUCAACGUAGCCGGCAGCCAAACUCAUCCACUCUACACUGCAACCCUCAUCCAAAUCCCAUGCUUCCAACCUGCCCCCGACAUAGUCAGCGACCAUGACAUAGCUAUACGUUUUUGGUUGACUCGAAGAAGAAGAAGAAGUAUUAUUCAAGCAUGGAGCAGUGUCCACGUACAGAGAAGAAUUCGAUGGAUUCGAACACUUCAAGUAAUAUAUAGAUAGAGAAUUGAUGUCAUAGGUGGGCCAAUAUGGAGAAUUGAUGUCCUCGGUGGUGGGCGGAAUAUUUUGAGACAUGGAAGAGCAAUUGUUGUUGUCAAGCCCAGGAUCUAGAACUCGGAUUGUAUUGUUAAUGUAGUUGAUUGCCUGGACAUAGUAUUUUCCGGAAGAAGGUACGUCUAGUACAGUAAUGUUGCUCUCACAGUACAGAGUAUACAUUAUGUUGCCACAGUACUUUGGAUCAUCGUUCAGUCGAAAAGGAUGGCUUAUGUAGUGGAUAUGGCCGCAGGAUGAAGUGCAGGACUUGGCACUACUGUUGUCAGCGUUACAAGUUUCACUGCAAAAGCAAAGAAGAAGAAAGGCUAAACUUAAGGUGAAGGACCUGCUUCCACUAAUUUCCAUUGAUCUGAGAGAGAGAGAGAGAGAGAGAGAGAGAGAGAGAGAGGGUACUAUAGCUUGAACACCAAGGAGUUAUAUAAUAUGGGAGGGGUUAAAGCGCUUCGCUUAAAGUUGCAGUAAGCCCGGCAAAUAUCCUAGGGAAAAGUCGGUCAAUGGUGUCCUAUAGAGAAAAGUCGGCCUUGGUGUUUGACACGGUCACUCACUCUCUCUCUCUCUCUCUCUCUCUCUCUCACAUUGACGAGGGACACUGUAAUUAACAAAAAAAUUGUUCUUCAGAGAUAGAUUUUGAAAUUCUUAUUUUAUAUAAAAAAACACCUAAUAUUAAUCAUUCAAAUGAAAUUCCUAAAAUUAAGUAUAAAUAAUACAUAAUAAAAACUGAACACAUACAAUCAACGGUCACGAUCAUGAAAUCCUUCGGAUCCUCAGAAAAAAAUCCGACGAUGAUCUUUUUCUGUGUAAAAUAAUUUGAGGGUAUAAUACUGGAUGUGCGAUUAAACCGAAGAACCCACCCACCUCCAUCUUCUCCGACCAACUUGAACCCAGCCACUACUACAUGUCAUCCCGACAACCCACUCUCAGCUUCCCAAACCGCCAUUUUUCACCCAUUCACCUACCACUGCCAUUAUUCAUUCAAUCAACCCAAAACACGAGAGCCACCCCCAUCUCACCAGUCGAACAGAUGCAGCCACCCACCCAUUUAAUCCCAGUCCAAAAUCAAACCCUCUCCUAAACCCACCCCAGAAUCCAAUAAUUUCAAAAAAUGGCUGAUUAUAUCAUUUCAAGAACCUCACAAUUCCAAAAACUAAAAACCCACUUCAAAGAUGUAAUAUUUUUCUCUCUUCCUCUUUUUGGGUUUUUUUUUCUUUUUUUUUAUCAAUUCUCUUCUGGGUUUUUGUUUACAGUGUAAAAUCAACACUAAUUUACUAAUUUUGCUUUGAUUUCAAACACUAUUGAGGCGUGAUAACCUGUUGCAAGCUCAGCCAUGGCGGCUACUGCGAAAUCUAACGGAAAAACCAUCACAGACUCUGCCAUUUCAUCCAAGGUUCCGACAAUAGCAAAACGAAUAGCUGUCGCAGAUUUCUUCCAACAUCAAUCACUACGCGAAAUUAAUUGUCAAUGAAGACGAUCCCAUUCCCCUUCGAAAUCUGCUGGGGAAAGAGACCUUCUUUCAGAUCUGCUCUGAGACCGGUUUAUGCGAGAGAGUGGUGAGCCUGACGACAGAGAGAAAUAAGGGCAGGAUUGGAAAAUUGGAAAGUUCAUUUAUUGGUUACUGUUUAUCCGUGUUUCUUCGAAAUAAGCUGCUUUUUCCAGCUUUGGGUUUCAGUGUUUUUUAACCCAUAAUUUUGAAAGAAAAAAAACUGAUUUUAAAUGUUUAUCAAACACUUAAAAUGUUCCAAUCUUUUUUCAUACCUACUUUUUAUUAAAAGUUAAGCUAAACAAAAAUCAAGAUUAAGUUUACUACUCUGAAGUUUCUUGCUUUUCAACAUUUCAUACAUUGAAUUUUUCUCAUCCAGUGUCAUAUCUAAGGUGGGAAUUGUGGGACACUUUUAUACAUCCGUUAGAUUUUAUGUGAAUUGCGUGGCACUUUUAUACAUCCGUUAAAUUUUUUGUGAGAACCUUCGCUGACCCACGAUGCGGCAUGCAUGUGGACAUUAAAAAAAUUCAAAAAAUUCAAAAAAUUUUAAAAUUUUAAAAUUUAAAAUUCAAAAAUACUAAAAACCUAAACUUUUCAUAAUAUUGAAAGACUGAAUCUUUUCACAGUCAGCCAAAUUUUCUUCAAAUUUUAAUUAGAUGAAAUAAUGAAUCUUGAACAAAGCAAAACAAAACGUAAUAUUGAGAGAUUCAGUCAUUGAAGUGGACGUGGAUGUUGGGUACUCAAUAGUCCAAGAAUGAAAACUCUCAUAUCAGUUUCUAUCCAAAAUUUUGGAAUUAUGUGUGUUGCAACGAUUGUCCAAAGGAUUAUUCUUCUUUUAUUAAAUUUCCAUGAAAAAUGAGCAUGGAGCACAAAAGUUGAACGAAUGAUUAUUCUUCUUUUAUUAAAUUUCCAUGGAAAAUGAGCAUGGGGCACAAAAGUUGAACGAAUGAAAUUUCAACGAUUUGAAAAGGGAUUGUGAGUUUGACAUGUCAUUUUUCUUCCUCUAAUGCAAUCAUGUUUAUUAAAAGACAAAAAUAAAUAUGACUUUACAUAAGGAGAGAGAAGGAGUAGUUUUCUUUGAAAAAAUCAACCAUUUAUUGAAGAGGAUGUGGAUGUUGAUUGAUGCGUCGUGAAUACGAAAAAAAGGACCUUGAAAGGAGUUGAGACAUUCAUUAAAAGCUAGAAGAAAAAAAAGUUAAAAGUGUUUUAGAAAAAAAGCAAGAAAGCCUCAUUUUCAAAGUUGUGGUCAUUGCACAAUACUUGAUUAGAAGAAAACUCAUAGUAUUGUAUUUACAAUUUCAAGUCUUUAUGGGGAACGAGAGAGCAAGUUUUCCAAUUGGAAUAUGAUAUGAAAUUUCUACAUAACUAUAUAUGACAAUGAAAGAAGUCUAAGUUUCUAAAUGGAAGGGCUUCCAAUUGAUGUGAGUUUGUUGAGAAAUUAGUGAACAACAGAACAAGUUGCUUCUCCUUUGGCCUUCUAACAUGAUAUCACAGAAAACAAGUUGUUACUAAUAAAUGUAUCUGAUUGGUGGACUUAGACGUGCGCGGUACGAUUUUUGAUAACUAGAGAAGAUGGGCAGUGUCAUGACAAAAUUUAUCCAAGUAGACCCAAAGGAAUGACUUAGGAACUUCAUAUGCAGUGGGAUAAAAUCUUAAGCUAAUUUCCUUACCUAUCUUAUAGGCAUUAAGUAAAAUGUAUAUGCAUAUUUCUAGACACACCAAUUUACUUAAUAUUAACUUCUUUCAAAUACCCAUUUGCAGAAACGCAAAGCUCUCUUGCAUGCUUGUUGUAAUGCUUAUGUAGUGCGUAUCCUAUAUCUUAUAUAUAUAUCUUACUUUUUGUGAUCCAUUUUUUCAUCACUAUGCCAAACGAAUAGCAAAACGAAUAGCUGUCGCAGAUUUCUUCCAACAUCAAUCACCACGCGAAAUUAAUUGUCAAUGAAGACGAUCCCAUUCCCCUUCGAAAUCUGCUGGGGGAAAGAGGCCUUCUUUCCGAUCUGCUCUGAGACCGGUUUAUGCGAGAGUGGUGAGCCUGACGACAAAGAGAAAGAAGGGCAGGAUUGGAAAAUUGGAAAGUUUAUUGGUUACUGUUUAUCCGUGUUUCUUCGAAAUAAGCUGCUUUUUCCAGCUUUGGGUUUUCAGUUUUUUUUACCCAUAAUUUUGAAAGAAAAAAAACUGAUUUGAAAUGUUUAUCAAACACUUAAAAUGUUCCAAUCUUUUUUCAUACCUACUUUUUAUUAAAAGUUAAGCUAAACAAAAACCAGGAUUAAGUUUACUACUCUGAAGUUUUUUGCUUUUCAACAUUUCAUACAUUGAAUUUUUCUCAUCCAGUGUCAUAUCUAAGGUGGGAAUUGUGAGACACUUUUAUACAUCUGUUAGAUUUUAUGUGAAUUGUGGGGCACUUUUAUACAUCCGUUAGAUUUUUUGUGAGAACCUUCGCUGACCCACGAUGCGGCAUGCAUGUGGACAUUGAAAAAAUUCAAAAAAAAUCGAAAAUUUUAAAAUUUUAAAAUUUAAAAUUCAAAAAUACUAAAAACCUAAACUUUUCAUAAUAUUGAGAGACUGAAUCUUUUCACAGUCGGCCAAAUUUUCUUCGAAUUUUAAUUAGAUGAAAAUAAUGAAUCUUGAACAAAGCAAAACAAAACGUAAUAUUGAGAGAUUCAGUCAUUGAAGUGGACGUGGAUGUUGGGUACUCAAUAGUCCAAGAAUGAAAACUCUCAUAUCAGUUUCUAUCCAAAAUUUUGGAAUUAUGUGUGUUGUAACGAUUGUCCAAAGGAUUAUUCUUCUUUUAUUAAAUUUCCAUGAAAAAUGAGCAUGGAACACAAAAGUUGAACGAAUGAUUAUUCUUCUUUUAUUAAAUUUCCAUGGAAAAUGAGCAUGGGGCACAAAAGUUGAACGAAUGAAAUUUCAACGAUUUGAAAAGGGAUUGUGAGUUUGACACGUCAUUUUUCUUCCUCUAAUGCAAUCAUGUUUAUUAAAAGACAAAAAUAAAUAUGACUUUACAUAAGGAGAGAGAAAUAGUAGUUUUCUUUGAAAAAAUCAACCAUUUAUUGAAGAGGAUGUGGAUGUUGAUUGAUGCGUCGUGAAUACGAAAAAAAAAGACCUUGAAAAGAGAUGAGACAUUCAUUAAAAGCUAGAAAAAAAAAAGUUAAAAGUGUUUUAGAAAAAAGCAAGAAAGCCUCAUUUUCAAAGUAGUGGUCAUUGCACAAUACUUGAUUAGAAGAAAACUCAUAGUAUUGUAUUUACAAUUUCAAGUCUUUAUGGGGAACGAGAGUGCAAGUUUUCCAAUUGGAAUAUGAUAUGAAAUUUCUACAUAACUAUAUAUGACAAUGAAAGAAGUCUAAGUUUCUAAGUGGUAGGGCUUCCAAUUGAUGUGAGUUUGUUGAGAAAUGAAGAUGAAGAUGAAUAUUGAUGUUGAUGUUAGUGAACAACAGAACAAGUUGCUUCUCCUUUGGCCUUCUAACAUGAUAUCACGGAAAACAAGUUGUUGCUAAUAAAUGUAUCUGAUUGGUGGACUUAGACGUGCACGGUACGAUUUUUGAUAACUAGAAAAGAUGGACAGUGUCAUGACAAAAUUUAUCCAAGUAGACCCAAAGGAAAGACUUAGGAACUUCAUAUGCAGUGGGAUAAAAUCUUAAGCUAAUUUCCUUACCUAUUUUAUAGUAUUAAGUAAAAUGUAUAUGUAUAUUUCUAGAUGCUGACACACCAAUGUACUUACUAUUAACUCCUUUCAAAUACCCAUUCGCAGAAACGCAAAUCUCUCUUGCAUGCUUGUUGUAAUGCUCAUGUAGUGCGUAUCUAAUAUCUUAUGUGUAUAAUUUUUUGUGAUCCAUUUUUUCAUCACUAUGCCAAAAUCCCUUUAGAAUUUGCAAUUUAUCCAUUUGGUUAUGGUAAAAAAAAAAACUCGGAAUUUCAUUUAAACUCGAAAAUCUAGAAUUGGGAAAGCAAUUUUCCCUUGUUCGGCAACUUGUAGCGAUAGCAAAGGCAAAUUGUACCGGAAAAAAGUGGAAAUUGGGGAUGAAGAUCCAAUUUUAAUUUCGUCAAAAUAAGUGUAAUUUCACAAUUCCAACAACGUUGAGAAUCACAAAUGCAUUGUGGGGAAAUCUUGCGACCACCAAACUUUACGAUUAGAGCGCCAAAUUUCAUGAUAAAACGUAAUAAGGGUUUAGGACUGCAUCGUUCGCUCUGUUAACUCUCCAAUCUUCGACGGGAUUUUCAACUCGUGCAUCAUUUUUUGCUUUGUUCUAGGUCAAAGCCUACUCUUUUCUUUCUUGAAUUAUUUUAGCUUUGCGGGUAUACUCUUUAGGCCAAUUGUGAAUUUUGCUAGUUAUUUUUAUUUUCUGAUGGUCAUAUGUUUGUUUUUUUUUUCUUCCAAUUGAGCUGUGUAUUGGUUGGAUCAGUAACUUUUUUUUUGGAUUUUUAUUUUUAUUUUUAUGGAUUUUGGUGUUAGUUCCUUGUUAUAGAUGUAUAGAUGUUGUGGAGCAAAAAAUAAUCUCAAAAAUCGUGGAGGUGACACACGGAUUUUUGGACAAGAAUGACAAAAUUAUCCUCGAAGCACAUCAUGAUUCCCACGUGCAUGCAACGGACAAUAACGGCUCAAUCAUGGAAGAGUCAAAGGUGAUCAAUAUGGUAUUUAUUCAAAUCCCUCUCAUCACUCCUCAUCAAUCCCUUUUUGAUUUUAUUCAAAAGGUAACUCCCAAAACUUCCUAUUUAAUUUAGGGAUCAUUGUCAUGUUAAUUGCAAGAUAUUAUUUCACAAAAUAUCUUGUAAUUAUUCUUCAAUUACCACCAUGUAUGGCCGGCCACUCCUCACCCUAUGGGCCGGUCACUCCUCACCCUAUGGGUCGGCCACUCCCUAUAAAUAGCCCUAUUAUUCCACUAAUAAGGAAGCCAUUUGCUACCCACAAACUCCUAAACACAUUCUUUCAGAAUUCUAACUUUGGCAUUGGAGAUUCUUAGGCCAAAUCCCCCCUCCCAUUCAUCGUGGGCGCAUAAGGCUUUUGGCCUUAGUCUUAGGUAUUAUUAUUUUGCAGGUGCAUUUUCGUCAAAGACGAAGAUGGUGGAAAUUUGGAUCCACAAAUUGGUGUUUUCAUUGAGAGUUUGAUUCACAAGCUCGAAGAAGACUCUCGCAUUCAAAGUUUCACAUUUCUCAUUCAUAAGUAAAUUUUUCAUACGUUCUUAUUCCUAGAAUUUUUUUAAAUCUUUGAAUAGACGUAGGAGAGAAAUACAAUGGCUAGAAAUUUAGAAACCACGACGAACGAAACUUCCUACGUUCAAAGAUCCAGAUCAAAUGAUGGAAAUUGCGAUGUAGCCCCACCACGACGAUCCACGAAGCUCAACGUAGUGGCAAAAUGAGUAACUUGGCCACCACGGAGUACCACCACCACCAUAGCCAAGGCAACCCAUGUUGCAGUGGGGAGUGGGACAACUCCAUGGCAGCAAGGCCACGAAGCAACAACAGAUGCCAUCUUGCAGUAAUGAGCCCAAGCCUGUGUCACAAGGUAGUCAACCCAGCGCUAGGUAACCUAGAUCUAGUAGGCCCACGACGUUGCCAUAGUAGCUGAGGCCUAAAGCAAGGCCCAAGCAGCUGCGACUGCGGCAAAUGGAGCAACACAACACUGGCGGGGCCAAUGCACCCUUGGCCUAAUGCCAAGCAGGCUAAAUCGCACCACACCCACUAUUCAAACUAACCCUAAGUUGAGUAAGUAGCAUUGAAGGUUGUCAACCGCAAGGCGUUGAAGUACGAAUAAAGUUACACACCCCGCACAUGACUUGGCCCACUUCCGCGGCCCAACUUGCUCGCAAGGUCCACCUAGUGAUCCCGACCAGUCGAAGGCCAGUUCAAUCAUCCCAUCUUCAGAUUUCUGGACUGACGAUUGAAUCGGGGGUAUUUUCACCCCGAUUUUCUACAGAUUUGACAUAUCUCAACACAAAUCUCGCACUUGGAGUCCAUUGCACUUCCAUUACUCAAGGAGACGCAUACCAUUUAAGAUCUUCCAUCCCAAAUGGCGAACAACACUUGUCUUGACAAGUCAUAGAGUUGACAUGCACUUUUGCGCAGUAGACGACCUUAGUGAAUCAGCUUUUGCAACGCACAAAGAUGCAGUAUGCCCCAGACGAUGUGUCCCGAAGCAGGACAAGUAUAGACGACGAUUCUCUCCAGCAGCGUCCCAACAAGCAGCCGCUCGACUAGCCACGAACCGAGCAUUCUGGCAGUGUACACUCCCGUCUAGGUCCUCAAGAAAGCAUAUACUCUCAUCUUAGCGCGCGGAUGAGCGUGCACUCCUGGUUAGGCCUACGGACGAGCAUACAUUCACGGUUGGGACCAUACUCUUAUAAUUAACAUGGACAACCUGCUAGACGAAGUGUUCAUUCGCGGCUAGGCUCGCAAAGAGCAUUUUCCACCUCAUAUUGGAGUAAGCAGCACAGAAGACGAAGAUAAGCAGUCAAUUAAUCUGGCUCAAAUUCAAUCGGCCACCUGUAAGUAACUAGCUCGCCUGCCAAGAACGUACCAUAUGCAAUGUAGCCACGACAUAGACUAGCUGAGCACAACGAUGAGCAACCUAGACUAACAGGUUACGACUGGGGGUAGCCAGAAGCUUCACUGCCCCAAUAUAGGUAAAUUUAGAAAGAAGUUGAGAGGCUUCUGACAGAACGAUUGUGCGAUUUCCAACGCAAUGAAGCUACUGACAAGGCGCUUAAACGAUACACGACCAACAUAAACGGGUCACCUUUUAUUGACAAGAUUGAGCAGACAGAACCAUCCUACAUACACUGGCGGAUACAAAUAUUACUUCUAUUUUAACAUACGCAUCAACUCAGCCUAAUGGCGUGUCGAGGGCAAAUGGGUUCCAGAAUGGCACACUAACCCAACCACCAAGAACCAGGGCCAAAUCUUAUUUUCAUCACUCCACACGAUUCAAUGCUUGAGCAUCACAUCACCAGUAAUAGAGCACCGCAGACCUAAUGGUCCAAUUCCUCCUGAUGCACACAAGCUCACCCCAGCUCCACGCUCAAAGCCGUGCCUACCUGCUCCACAACACUCAGCCACCCUUGAUUUGUCACCAUGGCUCACAGUUAUGCCAAUUUUGCACCACAGCUCCCAGCCGUGCUAAUCUUGCCAUGCGGCUUUUAACUACGUUAACCAAGCCCACGAUACUUCAUACUUCAAAACAUCCAAUGACGAAGUAGAACAUGAGGCUCUACUAGCAGCCCCUGCUAGUGAAAGGCUUUGCGGUGAAGAGGCUUCCAAUCCAUUCAAAUUCUCAGUUGACCACCUGUUGGGUUUUACGGCUCAAAAUUAGGAUGAUGCAAAAAAAAUUGUGUUACCUAUUUGGUUUUGGUGUCGUAUUUGGGUUUGGAUUUUGACCUCUUAGUUGGUUUCCUUGGUGGAGAGAUUUUGUUAAUUACCUAUUUGAUUAGGAUUUGGAUUUACUUCCUAUUAAGAUUCUUAUUGUAACCUAAGUCUUAUGCACUAUAAAUAGGACCUCAGGGUUAGUGUAUUUUGUGUGGCUCAUUCGUGUGGCAAUUUGGUGAGAGUCAAUUUGUGAGUUUGUGAGUUAGAGAGCAAUUUGGGAGAAUCUUCUCCGUUAGUUUUGGGUUCUCUACUCGUUUGGUUUAGGGUUUGUAAUUUGUGGGAUUUGGAUUGUGAGAGUUUAAACACUAUUUUGUAAUCUCCGUUUGUUUAGUGAAAUUUCUUGUCAUGCUUCGCUCGUGGACUUAGAUUUUACACCGAACCACAUAAAUCUCUUGUGUUAGUUUGAGAUUGUUUGUUUUAGUUUUCACCUACAACGUUGAUAUCGGUACUUUGCUAUAAUUUGCUUUCCUUUGCUCAUAAAAGUACGACAAGUGGUAUCAGAGCCCAGCUUUCGGCUUGGGCUUUUCUUGGCAAUCAAUAUGAAGCCUUCUGUGUCGUCGGUGAAAGUUGAUAUUGAAAAGUUCGAUGGCAAUGACUUUGGUAUUUGGCAAUUGAAGAUGCGUGCUUUGUUAAUUCAACAAGAGCUUUUAAAAACGCUAAAGGGUGUGAAGGCUUUCCUGAAUUCGUGGACUGAUGAAGAAAAACAAAGAAGUUAUGGAGCGGGCACUUGGAACAAUCCUGCUGACUUUAUCGAAUGAAGUCUUGCGUCAAGUUGGUAGCAUCAAAUCUGCACCGAAGUUGUGGCUAAAAUUGGAGAGUUUGUAUAUGACCAAAUCCCUUGCUAAAUGGUUGUAUUUGAAGAAAAGUUUGCGUACUCUUCGUAUGGAUGAAGGUACGUCAAUUCAUAAGACCAAAUCCUUAUUGCUGCCAAAAGUCCUCAACAGUUCCAAGGGAGAUGGGUAAGAGUUCGUAAUAGUGAGAGAUUGAAUCUUUUCACACUUGGCCAAAUUUUAAUUUUAAUUAGAUGAAACAAUGAAUCUUGAACAAAGCAAAACAAAAUUUAAUACUGAAAGAUUGAGUCAUUGAAGUGGACGUGGAUGUUGGGUACUUAACAGUCCAAGAAUGAAAACUCUCAUAUCAGUUUUUAUCCAAAAUUUUGGAAUUAUGUGAGUAUUGCAACGAUUGUCCGAAUGAUUAUUCUUCUUUUAUUAAAUUUCCAUGGAAAAUGAGCAUGGGGCACAAAAGUUGAACGAAUGAAAUUUCAAUGAUCUGCAAAGGGAUUGUGAGUUUGACAUGCCAUUUUUCUUCCUUUUAUGCAAUCAUGUUUAUUAAAAGACAAAAAUAAAUAUGACUUUACAUAAGCAGAGAGAAAGAGUAUUUUUCUUUGAAAAAAUCAACUAUUUAUUGAAGAGGAUGUGGAUGUUGAUUGAUGCGCCGUGUGAAUAGGAAAAAAAUGACCUUGAAGGGAGACAAGACAUUCAUUAGAAGCUAAAAAAAAGUUAUAGUGAUUUAGAAAAAAGAAAUUUUAACGAAAUAUUUCCGGUAUUGUUCACUCUUUACGAAAAACCACAUUUUUACAUUUCCUGGCUACUAUUCACUACACCUUUAUUUAUCAUUUUUCAUUAAAACUAAAUUUGUUUUUGAACUUUUCGUUAGUUUCCUUUAGAAAAAAGCAAGAAAGCCUCAUUUUCAAAGUGGUAGUCAUUGAAACAAUACUUGAUUAGAAGAAAAGUCAUAGUAUUGUAUUUACAAUCUCAAGUCUUGAGGGGUAACGAGAGUGCAAGUUUCUAAUUGGAAUAUAAUAUGAAAUUUCUACAUAACAAUAUAUGACAAAGAAAGAAGUCUAAGUUUCUAAGUGGAAGGGCUUCCAAUUGAUGUGAGUUUGUUGAGAAAUGAAGAUGAAGAUGAAUAUUGUUGUUGAUGUGAGUUAGUGAACAACAGAACAAGUUGCUUCUCCUUUGGCCUCUAACAUGAUAUUACCGGAAAACAAGUUGUUACUAGUAAAUGUAACUGACUGGUGAACUAAGACAUGCGGUACGAUUUUUGAUAACUAGAGAAGAUGAAUAGUGUCGUGACAAAAUUUAUCCAAGUAGACCCAAGGGAAAGACUUAGGAACUUCAUAUGCAGUGGGAUAAAAUCUUAAGCUAAUUUCCUUUUUAAUCUUAUAGUCAUUAUGUAAAAUGUAUAUGCAUAUUUCUAGAUACAUACACACCAAUGUACAUAAUAUUAACUCCUUUUAAGUAGUCAUUUGCAAAUCCCUCUUGAGUGCUCUUUGGAAUGCUCAUGCGGUGCCGUUCUAAUCUCUUAUAUAUAACUUUUUGUGAUCUGUUUUUUCAUCAAUAUGCCAAAAUCCCUUUAGAAUUUGCAACUUAUCUUUUUGGUUACGGUAAAAAAAAACUCGGAAUUUCAUUUAAACUCGAAAAUCUAGGGAUGUGAAAGCAAUUUUCUCUUGUUCGACAACAUUUAGCGAGAGCAAAGGCAAAUUGUACAGGAAAAAGUUAGAAAUUGGGGAUGAAGAUUCCCAAUUUUAAUUUCGUCUAAAUAAGUGUAAUUUCACAAUUCUAACUACGAUGAGAAUCACAAAUAUAUUGCAGGGAAAUCUUGCAACAGCCAAACUUUACGAUUAGGGUGCCAAAUUUCGUGAUAAAACCUAAUAAGGGUUUAGGGCUGCAUUGUUCACUCUGUUAACUCUCCAAAUCUUCGACGGAUUUUCGGCUCGUGCAUCAUCUUCUUGCUUUGUUCUAGGUCAACGCCUCUACUCUCUUCUUUCUUGAAUUAUUUUAGCUUUUUAGGUAGGCUCUUUAUGGCUGUUGUGAAUUUUGCUAGUUAUUUUUAUUUUCUGAUAGUCAUUUGUUUGUUGUGCGUUUUUCCUUCCAAUUGAAUUGUGUAUUGGUUGGAUCUGUAACAUUUAUUUUUUAUUUUAUUUUAUGGAUUUUGGUGUUAGUUCUUUGUCAUGGAUGUUGUCCCUUUGAAGGUUAACAAUAGCCAAGACUAAACAUGAUGAUAUUGUUAAUUACUUUCUCAUGAUACUAAUGCCAUAUUGUUCUCUCUUUUGCACUUACAAGUGAAGAGAAAUAUCCUAGACCCUAACUGGAUAUGUUAUUGUCAUGGUCAUGCAUUGGUAUGGUAACAAUAUGUUUGGAUAAGGAAAAUAAACUUAGAAUUUGACAAAAGAUAGAAUUUAUAAAUUGAUACAAUCAAUUCCUUUGUUUAGAUUCAUAAACAUAGAAAUUUAAACUUUCCGUGUGAGAAAAAACUUGGAAUUUGGGACCUUCAAUUCUCAUGUUUAAAUUUUAUGUAAAUAGGUGUCAUUUCUAAAUUUCAGCAAGUGAGAAUUUAAAAAUAACAAACAUGUAUUCAAAUUUCAUUCCUCUUUUAGGUUAACCAAACAAGAAAUUUUAUAAAUUCUAGAAAAUAAAAUUUCGUUAUUUCAAUUUCUGUUAUUUUAAAAUUAGUAAUCUUAAAUUUUCCCAUCCAAACAAAGAGUUUCCUUGUCAUAGAACUUUCAAUUGGGAUCAAGGAAGACAAUCUUUUCACAACUGAUUAUUCUCACCAAAUUUUAUUAUUAUUUUAAAGCAGAUCAAUACCAAACUUCAAAAGCAAAGUAGGAAGGCUAAAAUUAAGGUGAAGAACCUACUUCCACUAAUUACCAUGGGAGGGGGAGAGAGAGAGAGAGAGAGAGAGAGAGAGAGAGAGAGAGAGAACCAAGCGAGAGAGAAGAGAGAGAAAACACCAAGUAGUAUUAUAAUAUAGGUGGGGUUAAAUCACCUUUCGUGAAGUUGCGGUAAGAGCAGCUCCAGCGGGAGGUCCAGCUUGAUGGACCGGUGAGAUUUCCUACCCAAUAGCCCCAGCUCCUUGCUCCAGCCCAUGCGGGCGAUUGGGCUGAGGGGGUGCCCGAGUGAGAGGCCUGACUCGAAUCGGUAGCCUGAGAGCUUGAGGCCAAAUGAUGCAUGGACGUCAGCCACGUUAUAAGAAGGAAGCAUAAACUAUGAAUAAUGAUAGAGAUUUAGAUUUUGGUGUGUGAUUUCAUCGGAUGGAUGGUGGGUUAUAUGGAGGAAAAAAAAAAGAUUAGGUUGUAGAUAAUGCCACGUGGCAUGCCGUCAUUCGUUAAAAAUCUGAUCGAAAUCUAUCAUCAAAGAUUUUAAACAGAUUAUGACACGUGACGCAACGUGAUUGGUUAAAAAUCUUAUCAGAAAUCUAUCCUUAACGAUUCUGAAAAGGUAACGAGAUGGGGCACGACGGCAUUGGAUAAAAAUCUUAUCGAAAUCUAUCACCAAAAAUUAUCUUUUUGGAUAAUGACACGUGGUGCAACGAGAACGAUUAAAAAUCUUAUCCGAAAUUACAAAUAGAAUUAUUUUGUAUUAUUUUAUAAAAUAAAAAUACUAAUAUUUUAUUGCCUAUUGACAUGACUAUUCAAUUAUGGGUGUGGAGAUGCAGAAGAUAAUUAUUAUUAAUUAAAGGUAAUUAUUGUUCAUUGGAGGGGAUUGAAUAUGAAGUUGCAGUAGAAGGCCUUUGUCACAGCAAUAGGCAGUUACUGUUCUAAGGACUUCUAUCCUAGAACAGAGACAAAAACACCAAGUAGUAUUAUAAUAUAGGUGGGGUUAAAUCACCUUCCGUGAAGUUGCUGUAUGGACUUCUAUCCUAGAGAAAAGUCGGUCAAUGGUGUUUGACACAGUCAGUCAACGACAAAGACAGAAUUGUGUAACCAUAAUUCUCUCUCUAUCUCUUUUUCAUUAACGGAGGACAGUGUAUAAUUACUACGUAUAUAUCUCUGCUCAAUUAUUGAAAAGAAAAAUCCAUGUGCAUUAUUUUUAUUAUUAUUAUCUCAGAAAUGCAGAAAUUGAUUAUCUCUUCCUUCUGCAUAUUGAUACUGGUUUUCUUCAAACUAGUUGAAGCAAGCCAAUAUGUGUGCGCGAAAUCCAACUGUAGCAAUGAUCAAGGCCCGGCUAAUUUCCUUAGGAGGGAGAGAGAGAGAGGGGAGAGAGAACCAAGUGAGCGAGCAGAGAGAGAAAACACCAAGUAGUAUUCUAAUGUUGGUGGGGUUAAGUCACCUUCCAUGAAGUUGCAGUAAGGACUUCUAUCCCAGAGAAAAGUCAGUAAAUGAUGUUGACACAGUCCGUCAACGACAAAGACAGAAUUGUGUAACCAUAAUUCUCUCUCUAUCUCUUUUUCAUUAACGGAGGACAGUGUAUAAUUACUACGUAUAUAUCUCUGCUCAAUUAUUGAAAAGAAAAAUCCAUGUGCAUUAUUUUUAUUAUUAUUAUCUCAGAAAUGCAGAAAUUGAUCAUCUCUUCCUUCUGCAUAUUGAUACUGGUUUUCUUCAAACUAGUUGAAGCAAGCCAAUAUGUGUGCGCGAAAUCCAACUGUAGCAAUGAUCAAGGCCCGGCUAUCCAUUUCCCAUUGAACAUCAGGCGCACACAUCAUUGUGGAAAUUCUGGGCUUGAAUGCAAUGGGAGAUAUGAGCAGCAAAUACUAAUAAAAUUAUUUGUCAAAGACACAGAUUACAAGCGUCAGGAAAUCCAAGUCUAUUCCCCAAGUAACUGCCUGCUGCUAAAGCUUGUUGAAAUCCCAAACAUGCCACCCUCUCCCUUCGUGCCAGUAGUCGAUUACAUGAUUAAUUUCAUAAACGUUACCUUAUUCAGUUGUCCUACUUCUGUUGCAAUACGAGAUACGUAUGGUUGUCAAGUCCCCUGCCUUGGCGACCGUGGCAAGAGAACUUAUGCCAUUGAUUCUGGGGUUUAUUUUGAAACUCUCUUCCAGAAUCUAGAAUCCUGUACAAAAAUGUAUGAUGUUUUAUCAGUUCCAAUAGCCGAUGAAUAUUAUGUUUUUCGUUUCAAAUGGUCUAUACCAAAUUGCAGAAAAUGUGGAGAGGGAAAGAAGUGUGAAUGGCAGAACAAUGAAAUUAAAUGUCUUCCCUGGAGGAAACCAAGUAAGGAUAACAUAUGUAUUCAUUGCUAGUUUUAAACAUCUUUACAUUUAUGUCUUAGUAAUUAUUAUUUGAAGGAUGUUGUCCAAUCCAUUUUUACUAGGAAUAUUACCUGACAGUCUCGUUUAAAUUCGCAAUGAUCUUCUACAGGCAACACAUGGAAAAAAGUGGUUACAGGUGGAAUCCUGUGUGCUUUGCUUCUUGUUCUACUGACGAUUGCAGCAUAUCGGGUAUAUAGCGCUGAUAGAAAGGAGAAAGAGAGUCGAUUAAGAAUUGAAAGAUUCUUGGAGGACUACAAAGCACUCAAACCAAGCAGGUAUUCGUACGCAGAUAUUAAGAGGAUUACAAAUCAAUUCAAGGACAAGUUGGGCGAAGGAGCCUAUGGAACUGUCUUCAAAGGAAUGCUCUCUUCUGAAUUCUUCAUUGCUGUCAAAGUCCUCAACAGUUCCAAGGGAGAUGGGGAAGAGUUCGUAAAUGAAGUGCGAACGAUGGGUCAUAUCCACCACGUAAACGUGGCUCGCUUGGUUGGAUUUUGUGCUGAUGGAUUUGUACGAGCUCUUGUUUACGAGUUCUUCCCCAAUGGUUCCCUGCAGGAUUUCAUUUCAUCUGCAGAUAGUAAGAAUUCAUUUCUUGGUUGGGAUAAGCUACAAGAUAUUGCCCUAGGCAUAGCCAAAGGAAUUGAAUAUCUUCACCAGGGAUGCGAUCUACGAAUCCUGCAUUUCGACAUCAAACCCCAUAAUGUUUUGCUAGACCAAAACUUCACUCCAAAAAUUUCUGAUUUUGGUUUGGCCAAGUUAUGUUCCAAGGAUCAAAGCUUGGUGUCCAUGACUACAGCAAGGGGGACCAUGGGCUACAUUGCACCUGAAGUGUUCUCCAGGAAUUUCGGAAAUGUGUCGUACAAGGCAGAUGUUUAUAGCUUUGGAAUGCUACUGCUUGAGAUGGUAGGAGGAAGGAAGAAUAUUGGUUCAAUUACGGAUAACACUACAAAUGAAAUUUACUAUCCACAGUGGAUUUAUAAUCUUCUAGAGGAAGGGGAUGACCUACGAAUCCACAUUGGGGAAGAAGGAGAUGGUAAAAUUCCAAAGAAACUUGCAAUUAUAGGGCUAUGGUGUAUCCAGUGGCACCCGUCGGAUCGUCCUUCCAUGAAAAUAGUGGUUCAGAUGUUAGAAGGAGGAGGAGAAAGCUUGAGUAUGCCGCCUAAUCCCUUUGUGCCUACUGGUUCUACAACUAGGAAUGCAAGACACCUAGAGCUAGAAGCUAUUGCUGAAUUAGAGUAAAAUGUAUAUGCAGAUAUGUAGACGUAUAGAUAUAGUAAUAUUUAUAUUGAAUAAGAGGCCGUUUGAUAACCAUUUCGUUUUCAGCUUUUAAUUUUUAUUUUUCACUUUUUUGAAAACUAAAAACUAAAAUCUUGUUUGGUAAAUACUUUUAGUUAAAAAAAAAUGAAGACUGAGAACUAAAAUGUGAAAGCUCAAAGGAAGUAGAUUAAAAGUAGUUACCAAACAAACCGGAAUCUCAAUAAAUAAAAAAGAUUGAAUUGCACAAUGCAAUCCAAACCAAUCAAAACAUUUAAAAUAGCAAAAAAAAAUUAAAAUUCUAGUUGAUUAGAUUCUAAACAUAGUAAAAAUGAACAGAUCCGAUGAAAAAAACAAAAAAUUCUCAGAUAAAAAUAGGGAUAAAGUAAAAUAUUUAUAAAUAGCUCUUUGUCUCUUAUGCCAUCAAUUAUUUCUAUAGUAUAUACACGUUUUUGGAAAAAUUAGGUUCCCAUCCCUUAUUUUCAUAUUACAUUGAUUGAAAUCUUAUUAUUUUUCUAUUUUAGAUCAAGGUCCCUUGACUUAUUCUAUGUCAUCAUUUUAGUAUUUAAAAUAUUACACGUUAUCAUAAACGAAAUCUCAUCCCUUUCUGCAUUUAAGGCAAAAUAAACUAUAUGAGUAAGUUUAAAACAAGGAAAAUCCAUUUGAACUCCUCCAUUCUUCUUCUUCUCUUAUAAACAUCUGGAAUCUACAACACCCCAAACCCAAUUUUCUCCAUUUUUUCUCCUUUCCUGAAUUGAUCCAAUGCAUAUAUGUUGAAUAAACCUAUUGUGAUUAAAAUACAAAUUAGCAUCAAUGGUUUUAUUGGCUUGUGAGAUUUGUGUGGCAUAGGCAAGGCAAUGCAGGCAUCGUUUUCUCAAGGAAUCUGGUUGAUUCAAACAUGCAGAGACUGUAGAGUGAGUGGGCUAUGUGAAAACUGUACCAUUCUGAAGUCAUUUUCUUUUGUUCUUUAUAUUUUUUUUUCUUUUUCUUUUAUUAUUAUAUAUUAGUCUUGGUUAUUCAAUGCCUGGUUGGCUACACUUAUAUCCAUGGGUACAUUUUUAAUCUACAUGUUUCGUUCUAAUAUAUCUAUUGCUAUAAUAUGUUUUGGUUGGUUCAAAUUUGUUUUACAUAAAUAUAUGGGUACAAAGUUUUUGGAGAAUAUUAUGUAAAUGGUUUUUAAGGUUGCUGCAUUUUACGUACCCACAUAUGCAUGUCUAUAAAACAAUGUGGUAUGAUGUACAUUCUUUUCUUUGAGUUUUUAAAUGUACCCAUGAGUUUUUUUGUAAAUUCGGUAUGUACCCAUAUGCUAUUUAUGUUAUGGGUACAUACAUUAUUUUUGGUCUAAGUUCAGGGUACAUUGCUUUUGUAUGUAUGAAUUCAAGGGGUACAUUAUUUCCCUUAAUACUACUCAAUAAAAUUCACAAAAUAUGUGUAGUGUGCAUGAUUUUUUAUUGUAGAAAUUGUUUUUUUUUAAGUCUCAUAAUUCAUGAAAUUUGUACAUAUAUGAUCCCAUAAAUUUUUUAAUUUUAUUAAAUUUCUUUUAGACUUGAUCGAUUGAUUGAAUCUCAUCAUACUAGGAUUUUGAAUUACAUAAAUUCUUGGAUUUAAAUCCCUUAAAUGUUGGACUGCAAUCAAUAUUUUAAAUUAUAGUUUUUUAUUUAAGAUAUCAAAAAGAUGACAUGGAAAUAUAGUAAUACUAAAAUGCUGAGGUGUACAAAGUCAAAGGACUUUGAUCAAAAAAUAAAAAACAAUAAGAUUUCAAUCUAACAAUUAAAUUGACUAGGGACCGGAACCAAAAUGACCCUAGAUUUUUAUUGAGUUUAAUCUUAAUCAAAAAAAGACUUCUUGUAUCACAGAAAAUACAAGAACCAUUAUUUGAAUGAAAUAAAAGCUAUGGGAUGGAGAUAUAAAUGGAUCAUUUUAUUCACAAUCGGAUUAUAUUUAUUUGAUACACUAUUGUCAAUAUGAAUGUUGAGAAAAAGACUACAAAAGAAAAAACAAUUUAUAAAUAUAACUAACAAUUCCAAUUUCAAUCAAUUAGACAAUUAGAUAAUACAUCAGUAAACGCGGGGUGACUCAGUGGUUAGAAACGAAUUUUAGGCUCGUAUUCUAUACAAUACGUCUUGGGUUCGAUUCCUGACAAUGGUGAAUCACGCGACGGUAGAUAUAGGGGUGUUGUUGGAAGUUUUGAGACUCAAGUCCUUUAUAUAGAUUUAGUGCUUUAGUUUAGUAAUUAGAAUAUGGGUCAUUUGGAAAUGGAUUGAAGGUUUGGGCCUUAUGGUUGUGUGGAUUAGGCUUGUAUAAUAUAGCCUAAAUACAAUUAAUAUUAAUUAAUCAAGACAAGGGCCUUGGGCCUUACUUGGGGCCUUGGAAUUUAAAAUUAAUCUGAUUCAUUAAUUUUAAUUUUCGGAUUAAGUUUUUAAUUAAUUUAUUAUUAAUUAAAAACGUUUUGAUUAAAAGACACAGCUCUUAGAAAAGAGUUAUGAACCUUCAAAUACACUGAACUGGUAUUUGAAAGGGUGUGAAACAACCUAUAUAUCUGCAAUCCAUGGUAUCCAAAUAAAUCAUCUUUUCUUCUUCCUUUUCUUCCGUACAAACUUUCCAGAGAGAGUAAACACACAAAGCAAUUCGCUAGAAUUCUAUAAUUUAGUGCGGGUUAUAGGAUUAGGUAGUUGUAUCCUGGUCGAGCAGACGUUAUAGAACCACAAGCACAAGAGUGGGACGGAAUUACUGUUCGAAUGACAUAGCUUUUACGUUAGCCUCUACCUUCUGUAAUCAAGUUAGUACCGUUGACAUUCUUAUAUUAAUUUCUGUAUUUAUUGUAUACUUUUCAUUUUGUAUAGCAAGUACCUUUUGUUAAAUAAAAAUUGUGAAUUUCAAGUUCUGUUUAUUUCUGUUAUUCUGUUUAUUUCUGAAUUGUUCUCCAACACCCCUAUAUCUACCGUCGCGUGAUUCACCAUUGUCAGGAAUCGAACCCAAGACGUGUUGUAUAGAAUACGAGCCUAAAAUUUAUUUCUAACCACUGAGUCACCCCGCGUUUGAUUAUAUUUCACUUAGACUUAUCUUGCGGUAUAGCAUGUCAUCCCCGCCCAAGUUUUUCUGUUGGCAUUGAGUUUGGGAUACCAAAACUUGCCAAACAAAGUAGAUUGAUUAGUAAGCGAAGCUAAUUAUUCGACUAAACAUUGUUUAGAAUUUUAAUUAAAAGAAACAAUAUGAAUCUGUUUAUUUUUUUUUUUGACAAACUAUAACGUUAAGGAGUUAAAUUGUUAGUUAUUAAGAGUACAAUGAUAGGUGAGGAUCGAACCUCCACCAGAGUGCAUAGACAUUAUUGGUUCUACAACUGCGGUAAAUCACAUAAAACAAAACGUAAUACUUUGAGGAUGGAAGACACUUCGUGGAUAGCGGGCAAUCAACACUAUCAGUUGCUAUCCAAAACUUGGAAUUAUGUUUAUUGUCCGAAGGAUUUUUCUUCCAUUAAAUUGCUAAGGAAGAUGAGGAUGGGUGGAGUGUCUAAAUGUCAAGGUUGACAAGAACGUGUAUGGUGUUCAGCUUGCGAUUGAGAUUUGUUAGAGUGGCACAACAAACCACAUAAAAUUUUCUAAAUGAUAAGCUUGAGUAUAAUUUUUUAUCACGUAUUUAUCUUUAAAAUCAUUAUAAUUAGAUUUUCUCUUAAUUAAUAUAGACCGUUAGAUUCAUCUAAUGACCCAAGUUUUUUUCCUCUUUUCUUUCCACUCUUUUCCAUUCACCGUGUAGCAGUCGUUCUUCCCCAACUACGUUUCUUAUUUUUCUUCACAAAAAAUUUGUAGAAAAUAUUAAGAAAAGAAAAGUCAUCAAUAUCAGACUCGACCAGGUAAUCGUUCCAACCUUCCCAGCAACUCUCAGUCUUAACUAGGCACCAAAUUUUCUCCGCCACCUAACUCGUCAUUCAUUCAUGGGUGUUUCAAGCUUGGUGAAAAUUGAUAGAGUUCCAUGUGUGUACACGGAUGUGAACAUAUUGGCCACUCUCUAAGAAUGAGUCAUUGGAAAAGUUGAAGGAAAGAUGUAACCGAUGAAAUUAAUGGAUUGGAAUUACAAUGAAGUCUGUGUUGGUUUAUCACAAAGAACCCAGAUACAAAAUUUUAAAAGCAAACAAUUUCAACUUCUCAAAUAUUAUCUAACAAACUUUCAAUGAAAUGUUGCUCAUAAUUGAAAAAAGGUUGACGAAGGACGGAGUUGGGGUUAUUUUAGAUGAGGAAGAGUUAAAAGAAGGAAGCACCAUUUAAUUAAUAAAAGUGAUUGGAGAAAUGGUAAUUCAAUGGUGGGCGUUUUUAAGGUGUGGACCUUGUAUCACACCCUGAUCCCAACAUACAUUGAGGAUCGACACGUGACAUGGGGACAUAGGGGACAAAAAUCUUACAUAAGAUACAGAAUGAAAUACUAUAUAAUAUCCCAAAAUGAAUAUGAUAGUGGGUUCACCCCUAUAAAAUACAUACGAGUUUGUACAUUCACAAAAAAAUAAAAAAAAUAAAAAUAAAUAAAAAUAAAAAACACACACACAACUCUCGCUAGGCCAAGACUUGCCCAUGGUGCUCAAAGGAAAGUCCCAAAAGAAAUAGUACAAUGAAGGAUAAAGGGGUAACCUAAACACUCCAAGUCUCUGAUCUCUGCACUGCUACCCCCACCGGCUCCUCGUAAUCUACUCAGACCUGUCACAUGUACAAACAGUGCCUACAUUGUGGGAAUGGUGCACCAGGCAAACAAAAACCCGGAUAAGCUGCAAAACUCGUGUGAGUGACAAUAAUGCAACGUAUGUGAUAAUCAAGAAAAACAGACCAUCGAUCACAGUUUAUAAAUCUCAAAUAUAACUUCAUACUUAUGAAAUCAUAAUCAAGUCACUGAAAACUUCGAAUGAGUCACCCAGACAUCUAACGACUUUUCUAAAUCAAAUCUCAGAGAUUCCCAAAACUAUCGUUCACAAAUACACUAAAAACUAGGGCUAGAGUGACACAGUUCAGCCAAAGCCUACAUAAGUAACCAAAUAAGAAGUGGCCCCCCAUAGCGGAUUAACCAAGCAGAGCCACUCCUGAGAAAGUAACCAAGUAGGUAGUGACCCCCAUCACGGAUUAACCAAGCAGAGUCACUCCUACGAAACUGUUAGGUAGUGAUCACCCAUUACGGAUUAACCAAGCAUGAUCACCCCUAAGCACGUAUGGCCAUACCUAAGAAAUAAGGAUCGCCCAUCGCGGAUUAACCAAGCACGAUCCAAAAAUAUUAUGGGUCCCCUAUCGCCGAUUAACCAAGCAUGACCAUCCAUGUACCACUGCUACAUGGUGUAAAUUCGGUGUCACCUAACCUCGUGACACUAGGGUAACGGUCCUCUAGUAGCCCUCACGUUUUUCAAACAUUUCAAAUAUAUAAUUUAAAACACAAUUCAUAAACAUUUCGAAUAGGGAAGUCACAUAGUGUUUAAUAAUGUAGGUCAAUGGCAAACUUUAAAAACAAUUAUUUAGCAUAAAACAUAUUUUAGAAAUCCAUGCUGUAUCCACAAAGUAUACUAGCACGGGAGAUUUUCAGGGUAAUAACUCUAUCACAUAUAUUAAAGUCACUCACCUGGAGUCCGCACUAACGCACCCUGGCACGAAUAUCAAGACGUCGCGUACUAUCAUCUGCAACAUCCCACAUCGACCAACGAAGAGGGGGUGAUGUGCCUUCUAUGUACAUGCCCACCUCCAUAGCAUGAGGCAUUUUGGGAGCUCACUGGCUUCAUAUUCCAUCGGAACUCCAAAGUUAAGCAAGUUUGGGCGAGAGUAGUCCCAGGAUAGGUGACCCAUUGGAAAGUUAUUGUGUGAGUCCUAGAAACAAAACCGUGAAGGCGUGGCCCGAGGGGGCCCAAAACGGACAAUAUUGUGCUACGACGGAAUCGAGACUGAGAUGUGACAGAAUGGUAUCAGAGCCACUCUGCCGUGUGGUGCGAGUGUGCCGACGAGGACGUCGGGCCCCUAAGGGGGGUGGAUUGUAACAUCCCACAUCGACCAACGAAGAAGAGGUGAUGUGCCUUAUAUGUACAUGCCCACCUCCAUUUAGCACGAGGUCUUUUGGGAGCUUAUUGGCUUCGGGUUCCAUCGGAAAUCUGAAGUUAAGCGAGUUCAAGCAAGAGCAUUCCCAGGAUGGGUAACCUACUGGGAAGUUCUCGUGUGAGUUCCCAGAAACAAAACUGUGAGAGCGUGGCCAGGGCCCAAAGUGGACAAUAUCGUGUUAUGGCGGAGCCGAGAUUGGGAUGUGACAUUGUCACCUAAGACAAAGUACAGAUCCACAUUUAGAGUUCUUCAAGUAUUCACAUAAUAAAAAAUUUCCAUACGCCCCCUACAACUAAUGAACAGAAAUCGAGACACGUUGACAAAAAGUCAACCGUCGAUCAACGGUAGGGUCCACAACCCUACAUAACUCGAUCCGCAAUAUCCAACCACUGUAUUUGUGAUUCAUAAGUUCAUAAGGUCUUCAAAUCCUACCUACAAUAACAUACUAAACUUUGGUGAUGAUCUAAUGGUCGAAUCAUCAUUUGCUAUAAUGUUCAAAUGACGCAAAUUCAUCAAUCAGAUGUCAAAUAUGGAAUCAGACAUCGAAUUUAGCUUAGGAAUGUCAAGUGGUGUCUCGAGCACGCACCGCCGUGCGCAACAGCUGGCAACCUAGAUUCGUCGGAAAAAUCACCUAAUUCCAAAAUGAAUGUUGUGAGACGUGGAGUAAAUUGUAUACCUGUGAAGAAGCCCAAUUUGGCCGGGAAGUGGCCUGAAAUCACUUUAGACCGUCGGAAACCCUAAAAUAGGUGAAUCUCGAUUCGUCAUCCCCGGUAUUCCACCGUUCUCAAACUUGUUUAGGGUUUGCUCAUGGUCUCAAAAGAAUGCUAAUGAUGGUGGUGAUUGAAAGAGAACGUUUCAGAAAUAGUGAAUCACCAAUGAGGGUUUCACGAAACCGACAUGGGUGUUCCUCGUGGAACCAAGACCAAAUCUCAACGGUUUUGGCUAGAAAUGGAUGCUGGGAUGUCAUGGUGAAGUUUGGUAGUGAUGGGAGGUUGAAGAAAGACAAAAAAAAUCGACAAAAAAAUCGUCGUCGGAGUCGCAAGAAACGAGUUAGAAAAAUGAGUCGUCGGGUCUGAAACGUCGAAGGCUUUUGAGACAACUACUUACUCUCUCUUCUCUGAUUAGUCACUCCACUCACUCUCUCAUUUGAUUGGUCCAGCCUUCCCACAUGGUGGGAGUUCCCUCAUAUAGUAACCCAAAAUUUACUAUUUAAAUCUGGUAUUGAACGUCCGUAACUUUUUCGUUAUGGUUUCGAUUCGCAAACGGUUUUCACCUAUGCGCUCGUAUGAUCGAAUUAUACUCAAAAACAUUAAUUAUGACCUCGAAAAGGUCUACGAGUUUUAAAAGAUUAAUUACAAAAAUUCACACCUUGUAACUAUACGAUUCAAAUCCUAAAAUUAACGGAAUUAAAAUAAACUAAAAAUAAUGUAAACACGAAAUACAGACUUUAAUAAUGAAAUACGUAAUUAAUAGUGGAAUUCCGGGGAUGGGAUUUCACAACUUGCGUCCGGACCUUCAAUGCGGAUCAAAAUCCAAAGGUCGUGAUCUGACGAGCUCAUGCAUAGAACAGAGUUGUUGUGACCCAAUGCAAUUCAAAACUUUUAUGUUUUUUUAUUUACUGGGUACGUUUUUUAUUUACUGGGUACAUUUUUGCAAGACGUUAAAGAAAGCGCUUCUUGGGAGGCAACCCAUGUAUUCAAAAAAGGAAGAUCUAUGAAUCGCUCUACAAUUAGUUUUGCGUUUCUAAAAACCUUCCCUUUUCUGCAUUUCUAUUUUGCCAUGAUUGUCAUUUUUUAUUUUUGUUGUUUAUUUAAUUAUUUUUGGGUGUGGGUUUAUUUUUGAAACAUUGACAGAUAUGCAAGAUAUUCUUACAUUCAUUUUCAUGAAAAAAAGAAAAGGGAACAUUAAGCAGGAAAUUACAAGAGGGAGCCUUCACAAAGGCUGCUUAGGAGAAGUCUCAGUAGUCGGCGGAGCCCCAGAAGAAGGAGGCAGCGGAGGUUGAUCAUUUGGAGCUUCAGUACGCGGUGCAGCCCCAGAAGACGAAUGCAAAUGUUGUUGGAACAAACCCACAAACCGCUGAUGAUCAAGUAAAAUCUGACAAUCAGAUUCCUGCAUCUGGUCAAUCUUCCUCUUCAUGUUUGUAGCAUAAUUAUGUGCGAGCCUGUGCAACUGUUUAUUCUCAUGCUUAAGCCCUCUAAUCUCCUGCUUAAGACUCAUCACUUCAGCCGCCAAUGAUUCAACUUGACGGGUUCGGGCAAAUAGGCGUUGGGCCAUAUUAGACACGGAACGUGCGCACUGCACACUGAGAGCUAGAGAAUCCUUUACAUCCAACUCAUCAGACCGUUUGGCAAGUAGUCUAUUAUCUUUGGGAGUGACAGGGUUCCUGACCACCACCGCAGCUGUCAUAUCAUUCUUCAUCACCGAAUCCCCAACGAUAAGGGGACCAGUAGGGGAUAUGAAGGAUGGGCGCCAUAUGUUGUCUGGAGAAGGCGGGACUGCCUCUUCACCAAGGUUCAAGUCAAAACGACGAUCGGAUGGGCCAAACAUUUUCACAGGUGUUAAAGAAAGAAGAGGUCGGACAAGUCAAGAUCGUAGAAGUGCAAGAUGAGAGUUUUUACAGGCAGAAAUUCAAGUGUGCUUUGAACGUCCUACGUACUUCUAUAAAAAUCAGCACUCGAUGGGAUUUCAGAGAUCGAAGAGGCAAGCUCAGAAAUCGAAGAGGCCAACUAAAAAAAUUAAAGAGGCGCUAGCUUUCUCAAAAGCUGAGCUUGCUCAGAAACCACGGCCAAUCUUCUUUUCCAGAUUUGUCCGCACUUGUCACAUGCAACUCGACGGGAUUUCAGAGAUCGAAGAGGCAAUUCCAGAUAUCGGAUAGGCAUCUGCUUUUGCAGACGUGUCAACAUCUGUCACAUGCAGAGUAAGCUUUGCGAAAAUCACGGGCAGUUUGUGAAGCGCCGAUUCCAACCAUCUGCUUUUGCAGACGUGUCAACAUCUGUCACAUGCAUAGUAAGCUUUGCGGAAAUCACGGGCAGUUUGUCGAAGCACCGAUUCCAACCAUCUGCUUUUCCCGACGUGUCAACAUCUGUCACUUGCAGAGUCAGCUUUACGAAAAUUACGGGCAAUCUGUCGAAGAUCUCUUGUGAAGUUUACUAUUAAAUCAUCCAACGGUUGCUGACAAGAGUGAAAGAAUAGUACCGACUAUUAAUUCCUAUAAAUGUCAUCCUUCACCCUCAAUUGCAAGGCAGACAUACAUAACCCCCUUCUUCUCAGAAAAUGCCUUUCCAACACACCCUCUCGAGUCACUCAGUGUUCCUAAUUCCUUGGGGUACCUCUGCAAACAACUCAUCCAAAGCAAAAGUAUUUCAUAUCAUGAAGGUUGAAAGCAAGAGUAUCUCAUAUCAUGCUUUCUCCCUGUCCUUCUCCUUGUCUUUGUUUUAGGACAAGGAGAAAGAGAGCAAUCAGCCAGCACUUGGUAUCAAUCUUCCGAUCUGGAACCGACUGCCUGGAACCCCUUCCUGAUUGCUUACCUAGCCUUGCUCUCGAGAACUCAUCUUCAUCAUCUUAUGCUUCCUCUUCGUCUACCACAUCUGCCUGGGGAACAGAUAAGGGAAGUGAAAAUGAUACCUCGAAGCAUGUGGAAACAAUUUACCAAUUCAUCCUUAGCUAGGGACAAGGAGAAAAAAAGCAAGAGGUGGGCACUUGGAAAGAUUGAAGAAAGAAACAGACCAACACCUCUACCUCAUGCCUGCCCGCCGUGCAGAAGAAUCAAGCAGAGAAGAAUACAGACUGCACAAUCAAAUCAGGGAACUCUCAUAUUUCUCGCUCAGAAUUCCAAACCAGUUCAAGAUCAACGCUGUGGAAAGUCAACAAGAUCAUCUAUCUCCAAAACCAGAUUUGCGUUCUUAAACUCUACUCUGUCUGGUUUUUACUUUGCUAUACUUGUCAUGUUUAUUCGUUGUUUGUUUGUUUGCUUGUUGUUGUGUGAGUUUAUGUUUAAAACAUUGAGGACAAUGUUUGAUUUAAGUGUGGAGGGAUAACCAUUGUUUUGCAUGAAAUUCGUAGGAGUUUAUCACCCAUUACUUCUAGUGUUGUUCCUUGCUGUUUUAAGUGUUUUAAGCUGUUUUGGAGUGUUUCAGUGUGUUUUGACAUAAAAAUCCGAAAAUCUCAUAAAAAUUUGAAAAAUUGUUUUGAAAAACCAAAAAAGAGUUGUUUUUGUAUGUUUAUUUGUGUUUUAGGGUACCUUCCAACACAAUGAUGAGGAUUUGGUUUUUAAUUACAUGACUGUUAAAGAGAAUUAUAAACAUGGAUGAAAAUUUGAUUUACUCUUUGGUGUAUGCUUGGUUGUGGUUAUAAUUUAUGAAUUCACAUGCAAUCAUAAAGGAAAAAUCAAUUUUGUAACAUGCUUGAAAGAAGGAACUCAAAUGUACGCUACAACCUUGUGAGACUUGAGCCUAGACGUUUAUUUGGAGAGUUAAUAAUGUGCAUUUUUGUUUUCUAAAGUCGUUGUAUGAUCUCAUUAUUCUUUGCUUGGUUGCUACCUAGAAUGCGUUCAUCAUUAUAGAUCCACAUACUAGAACUCAUGCCCGUUCCAUUCAAAGCAUGACAUUAAUUUGCAUAACACAUAUCCAAGAUGAAGUUGUUUAGUGAACCAAAGCCAAAAUAGCCGAACCCACCUUUGUCAUUUGUUUUGUAGGUUUAAACCCCGUUGAGCCUUGUUUAGCCUAUUUUCUUUGUUAAACCACAUCAUCUCUACCUAACCUAGAAUAGGACUAUCCAUACCCUUGUUCUUGAAGUAUAGUGGAGCAUAACUUAGAAAGAAUUCAUUUUGAAACUUAUUGGGGGAAUUUAGAUUUCAAAUUUUUUGUGUGCCAAAGAAAACGGCAAGAGAAAAAAUUCGUGAAAAAAAAGAAAAAAGAAAAGAAAAAUUUGCAAAUUUUCCUGUGUUUAAAAGUAGAUGCCUAAAUUAACCCUUACAUUAAUUUUCCUUGAAUAAUUUCUCAUUCCAUCUAAUUUAGAUCCAUCUUGCUCACUAUUCUUUUUAAAUUUGUGGAUUUUGAAAUUUCAAAUGAGAAUGAAAUUGGAUGAGUUCAAUUUUCGUUUAAUUCUUACAAUUAAUAAGAAAUUCCGUCGAAAACAUUUUGAGUAUUGUUUAAUUUUUCAAUAUUACCGUAUUGUGUCAUUGAAAUAAUUAUCAGAGGAAUUAGGGAAUUCUCUUAAGGAACAACUCAAAAUGUAGUACAUGAUUAAAUAAUUCCUUUGAAUGGUCAACUAUGAUCAACAUAUCUUGUAUCAGAUCUUAGUCAAAUACCUGUUAAGAGUGUAAAUUUCUUGUGUGAAAAUGAGUGUAUCUAGUAAUUUUGGCAUUAGGAUGUUACUACAUUCUCAAAAUGCUGUUUUUUGAUUAAAUGAGCUGUGAGGUACUAAUCAAAUAUGCUCGAGGGUAAGAAUGGCUUAAAUUAUGUGAGUGGUGAUCUGGUUCAUGUUUCAUUAAAAAUCCCUGAGGCAAAUGUUGGAAGAUUUAGGUUAUGUUUUGUUUGUUUCGUUUGUUUUGUUUUGCUCGAGGACUAGCAAAAGCUAAGUGUGGGGAAUUUGAAUUUGAUAGGAGCAUUAUUAUGCGACUGAGUUAGCUUGUUCUCAUGCAUUUAUGUUGUUAUUUCUUAGUUAAUUAUGUAUUUUAAGCUAUUUUCGUGUGUUUGUAGGUCCAUAGGCCUUAUAAAGCAAUAAGGUGCAUUUUGGAGCAGUUUUGGGCUUGGAAUGGAUAGCACAUGCAUGGAGUAAGGUGAUGGACGAAAUUGAAGACUAAAGAGGCUUGGAAUGUGUUAAAAAGAAAGAAUAAUUAAUGACAAAGAGCUCAGCAACCAAACAGGGAACAUGAGUCAAGAUUACCUUAUUUUGAUUUAAUCUUUCCUAAUCUUCAAUGUCCCUAAGUUCCAACAACAUUCCUUGUCUAUUUCAUUCACUCAUUGCCUAGCACCACCCUUGUUCCCUCCAUCAUUCCAAAUUUCUUGCAUCAAUCAUCACUCCACCUUAACCCUUGACUCAUUUCUACACCAUUCCACCUCCCUUUCCUUUCUCUACCAUGUGCACAAUCAUUCAUGUUCCCUACUUGCAUUCAUUGUUGCAACACCACUCCAUUUUACCCCUCAUGCUUUGCAUCAUUACUUCACUUUCACCUUUGAAUCAUUUCAACACCACUUCAUUUUACCCAUGGUUUGCAUCAUUACUUCACUUUCACUUUCACCUUUGCAUCAUUACUUCACUUUCACCUUUGAAUCAUUUCAACACCACUCCAUGUCCCCCUCCAUUGCCUUGCCCUUCCUCUAUAAAAGGAAGUGUGUGUAACAUAAAUUUAGUUCAUAUAUUUUUUUAGAUCAUUCACUCCCAUUUCAAUACAACCUUCAUCCAAACACAUUCAUUCAUCUUCACAUCCAUUCCUCCAUACAAACAAACCUUCAAACACUCACCAACACCUUGUGCCAUAGCAAAGGAAGGAAAGGAAAAUGCUUGGACGUGCGUGCUGUCAACUUGGAUCGUUGGAGCGUUUAGGUGUUUUCUUUCUUUUGUUUCCAAUGUUAAAUUCAUUUUCUGAUUUUGUUGCAAUUAUGAGUGGCUAAAACCCUAUUUAGUUAGGGGGAAGUUUGAAGCCAUGAACAUGCUUGAGAUAUGAAUUGAUUUCUUCCAAUUGUGAUUUGAUAAGUUGUGAUUGCAAUUCAAUUAUCUAUUUUAUUCAUAACUGAUUCUUGUAUGUUUAUUAAGGAUGCAUACUUAAUUUUCAUGCAUGAAUUAGAUGCUAGAAUAUAAAUGAGUUUCACCUAAUCGUUACAAGUUUAUAUUCAUGAGUAGUGAAGGUUGUUUAUCACAAUCUGACACACCCCGUCCCGAAGGAGGGCGUGCUGGCCGUCACGUGAGAGUGACGUAACCAUUUACACAGUUCGGAAGCUUUAAAAAAAAAUUCCAAUUACUAAUAUAACACACCCGAGGGUGAGUCCUACUUUUGUGAAUUCUGUCAGAACACCGUUGGAUUCCUCGUGGCCACCAAAGCUCUGCUAACUUGAACCUGGGGCGCAAAACAAAAGCUUGAACUUGAACCUUUCAGGCGCAAAACAAAAGUUUUUUCGAAAACUUUUCAUUUAAAACAUUUCUAACCCCUCACUGUAAAACCUGUAUACUUUCCCAGAAAAUAGUGUAUAUAUAAACAUAUAUAUAAGCAAAAAUCUCGAAUCUCAAACCUUUAACACUUUUCAGAAAUAUAUAUAUAUAUAUAUAUAUAUAUAUAUAACCAUUUGAAAUCUCAAGACUUGAAUCCCAAAUCUUUAACAUUUUUCAAGAAAAGCAUGCCAUGCCAUAAAUCAAAAAUAUAAAUCAGGUGAAAUAAGGAAUCAAUCGGAGACCCUGCAGUUGGUCCUAUACGAUUAAUUCAAUAGCUCAUUAUCUCACUAAGCCGGAGUCACCACAGUAACCUAUACGGCCCUACUCUGCACAUCACUCAGAACUACGUAAGGUAGUCUAUACGAUGAAAGGUGUAAAAAUACGCUCUAGUGCUUCUCUCAUCAUAUCAUCAGCGCGCAUAACUAAGAUCACCCACUAGUCGGAAUCACGCCUAGUGAUCUAUACGACUAGCAUGUCGGAACCCUCACAUGGUCUGUACGACAUCCACCUACUUGGAUCCAAGGCGAGCGUGCGGUGUGGUGAAUAAAAUAAGCACUAACACCUAGGGUGCAGGUUAUGAGCUUAAAACAUCUUAUCAACAAUCAAUUAAAUGAAUAAAUGAACUCACCUGACUUACCUGUGCCUCCACCGCACCAUGCAACAUGUAUGCAUCAAAUAUCAAUUCGUAUAACUCAUACGCAAUUCACAUUUUUCAAUUAAUUCUAUGCAUGGCAUUUUUAAAACAUAUUUUCAUAUAAAUUCAUUUUAUGGGAAAAAUCAAUAGUAUAAAGGUAAUACAAAAACAAAACUGCCCACUCACCUGGAGUUCGCCCAACAACUCCCUAGCACCACACAUCAAGGCGUCAUGAAGAUUAGUGCCUAGAACAAUAAUCAAACCCAACCUCAGAAAUCAUGCCGAUAGAAUACAUAACUUAUAUAAGACGCGUCCCUACGUAGUUCGAUCCGGAUGAUCUGCAACUCGGAUUUCAAAUCCGUAACUUCCAGAGGUCCACAAUAUACCUCUAGGACAACAUCCUAAAAUUUCAUUACCAUCCAACGGUCGGAUCUCCGUCAAUUUCCAAAACUAAGUGCCGGUUAACAUUCUAUUUUAUGAACUUACAACUCCAAUUCCGGAAGAUCCGUAAAUCGGAUUCCCAAUCCGUAAGUUCCUAUAAUCCUCAAAUAUUACGUAUUACAACGUAUCAACGUUUGGUGACGAUCCAACGGUCGGAUCGUCAAUUCACAUUUUCACCUAACUACGAAUCGUAACCAACUUAGGUUCAAUUACUCAAUUUACGUCCAUCAAUUAUCAAAACUGAACCUAGAGCCUUAAUCACAUGCUAAUAAUGACAUUGGCGGGCCAUUGGCCAUGCGCCGCCGCGCGGGCCGCCGCGGGUGGCGGUUGGCCGCCCCCGGCUCGCCGGAAAAUUCAACUAUUUCCAAAAAUUACCAAAAUUUGCAGAUUUGAAGAUAUCAAUGAGUAGAACAACUUUCAUACCUGUGGCCAAGGCCAAUUUGGCCUGGAAGUGCUUCAAUUUCACCAAAACCGUGAAGAACCCUAGAAUUAGGUGUUUCCAAUUCGACCUUCAAACUUGUUCCAACGCCUCAAUUACCUCUUAGUAUUUGUUCUAGGUCCUAAAGGAAUGCUAAUGGUGUUAGUAAUUGAAAGAAAACAUUUCAAAAUUUCAAGAAUUUAAACAAAAGGGUCGCGGCACCCGUGUGGGUGUUCUUCGCGAAAUCACCAUGAAAUUUAAUGAUUCUUGGGGUGAAACGUGAAGAGGGAAGGCCUAGAUGUUGAUUAGGAGUGGUACCUUGACUCAAUUCGUCGGAAAUUUGGACGAAAAUGGUGAGAACCCGCCGAUUGGAAGUCGCGGGUCGCACGGGUAUACGGGUUGGGAAAACCCAUUUCUUCCUUCUCUCCUCCGCUUCUCGCCCUCUCUCCUUUCCUCCUUUCCUUCCUCUGGUUGGUCAGCUUCUCCCUCUCUCUUCUUCUGAUUCGCCUCUCCUCCUUCUUCUCCGAUUGGGCAGUUUUUGCCCAAUCUCUCUUCUUCUUUCUGUUUUCUGGUUCUUCUCACGCGCACACACACACACAACUUCCUUUUUCUCAUCCCAGCCAUCUAUUUCAUUCAUCAUUAAAUCUGGGUCGUCCAUUUUCAUAAAAGAAUUUCUAUUUUACUAAAAUUAUAAUUCCUUAAAAUCCCAAAUUUCAAACGUUAAUAACUUCUUCGAUAUAACUCCAAAUCACGAACCGUCUACGCCCACGCGUCCGUAACGACGAGUACUACGAGGAUAUGUCAAGAAAACAAAUCUUAGAUGGCACGACACAACGAUUAACCUCGAAUGAUGUGCGUGCCUCAAAGGGCAUUUUUGUAAAAUCCUUUAUGAAAACUUUAAAAAUUCUUAAAAUUAGGGACGGGCUGUCACACAAUCGCGUUAAUUGAAUUCUUGGCAAUUGUAUCAUGCAUUCAUAGUUAUAAUUGUCUCGUCAACACUUAUGAUUUUCAUUGAACGUAAUGAUCUCUGAUUGUAUCUCUAUUAUGCAUUAAUAUAGGGGACUUUUAGAGGAUGAUUUGGGUUGUCGCAUGCAUUCAUCCAAUUCAAUGAGUAAAGGAAAAUCUGAGGGUUAAUUUGUGCAUCACGGUUAAUCUGGGUGUUGAGCAUAAUAGUUUAUUGAAAAGCAAUUGGAAAUCGAUUCAUGUACAAGUGUGUCAUGUGUGAAGAACGGACCUCUAACUAAUCCAUCCAUCAUUUUAUUUCUCAAAUUCAUUUUAUAAUCUGCCUAGUUUUAUAACUUGCUUGUUUAUUUCAAAUUCAUCCAAACCAAAAUCCCCUUUUUACUUUCUUGUUUCAAAGUGUUAAAUUUCUGUUUUGUUUGUGUUUUUGAGUGUUUUGAUUCAAGCCAAAACACUAAAUUCAUCCAAAGUUGAUUUAAAGUCCAAAUCUGACUAGUUUGUGUUUUUAGGCAGUUUUGAGUGUUUUUAAGUUGUUUUGAAUCUUUAGAAUCUGUUUUGAGUCCCUUGAGUCUAUUCAAACAUUUUUAAUUUUGUUUUUAUGUUUUUGAGUCAGUUUAAAGGUUUUAGCAAGCCCUCCUAAUCCCCGGUUUAGAACGAUCCCUACUUGCAUUUAUACUACAAUUUGACAACAAGAGGGUUUAAUUUGAGUGCUUAACUUUCAUCGCAUCAUGUGAGUUCCCAGAAACAAAACUGUGAGGGCGUGGCCAGGGCCCAAAGCGGACAAUAUCGUGUUAUGGCGGAGCCGAGAUUGGGAUGUGACAUUGUCACCUAAGACAAAGUACAUGUCCACAUUUAGAGUUCUUCAAGUAUUCACAUAAUAAAAAAUUUCCAUACGCCCCCUACAACGAAUGAAGAGAAAUCGAGACACGUUGACAAAAAAUCAACCGUCGAUCAACGGUAGGGUCCACAACCCUACAUAACUCGAUCCGCAAGAUCCAACCACUGUAUUUGUGAUUCAUAAGUUCCUAAGGUCCUCAAAUCUUACAUACAAUAACAUACUAAACUUUGGUGACGAUCUAAUGGUCGAAUCAUCAUUUGCUAUAAUGUUCAAAUUACGCAAAUUCGUCAAUCAGAUGUCAAAUAUGGAAUCAGACAUCAAAUUUAGCUUAGAAAGGUCAAGUGGUGUCUCGAGCACGCGCCGCCGUGCGCAACAGCUGGCAACCUAGAUUCGUCGGAAAAAUCACCUAAUUCCAAAUGAAUGUCGUGAGACGUGGAGUAAAUUGUAUACCUGUGAAGAAGCCCAAUUUGGCCGGGAAGUGGCCUGAAAUCACUUUAGACCGUCGGAAACCCUAAAAUAGGUGAAUCUCGAUUCGUCAUCUCCGGUAUUCCACCGUCCUCAAACUUGUUUAGGGUUUGCUCAUGGUCUCAAAAGAAUGCUAAUGAUGGUGGUGAUUGAAAGAGAACGUUUCAGAAAUAGUGAAUCGCCAAUGAGGGUUUCACGAAACCGACAUGGGUGUUCCUCGUGGAACCAAGACCAAAUCUCAAUGGUUUUGGCUAGAAAUGGAUGCUGGGAUGUCGUGGUGAAGUUUGGUAGUGAUGGGAGGUUGAAGAAAGACAAAAAAAUCGACAAAACAACCGUCGUCGGAGUCGCAGGAAACGGGUUAGAAAAAUGAGUCGCCAGGUCUGAAACGUCGAAGGCUUUUGGGACAGCUACUUACUCUCUCUUCUCUGAUUAGUCACUCCACUCACUCUCUCAUUUGAUUGGUCCAGCCUUCCCACAUGGUGGGAGUUCCCUCAUAUAGUAACCCAAAAUUUACUAUUUAAAUCUGGUAUUGAACGUCCGUAACUUUUUCGUUAUGGUUUCGAUUCGCAAACGGUUUUCACCUACGCGCUCAUAUGAUCGAAUUAUACUCGAAAACAUUAAUUAUGACCUCGAAAAGGUCUACGAGUUUUAAAAGAUUAAUUACAAAAAUUCACACCUUGUAACUAUACGAUUCAAAUUCUAAAAUUAACGGAAUUAAAAUAAACUAAAAAUAAUGUAAACACGAAAUACAGACUUUAAUAAUGAAAUACGUAAUUAAUAGUGGAAUUCCGGGGACGGGAUUUCACACCUUGCAUCCGGACCUUCAAUGCGGAUCAAAAUCCAAAGGUCGCGAUCUGACGAGCUCAUGCAUAGAACAGAGUUGUUGUGACCCAAUGCAAUUCAAAACUUUUAUGUUUUUUUAUUUACUGGGUACGUUUUUGUAGGAGGAAAAGGGGAAGUCGAGAGAUUCUUUGCGCAUUAAAGAGGGAAAGAGAGAAAGGGGGAGCUAAGAGGUUCUUCGCGCGUUAAAUUUUUGCUUCUGAUUUUGCAACCUAGAAAUAAAGUAUUUUCUUUAUGGUUUAUGGUUCAAGAAUAUAAUGGAUACAGCCUAAAAAUGUUUCUUUUUUUAUUUUUUACUUUUUUUUUCUUAUGUUGGCUUUUGGUUUAUUUUUAUAAUGCACUAUAUAUUAACUAAAUUUAUAAACAUUUUGUAUCUUUGUUGCAGUCAAAUUAAUCAUAUGGGUCGGCAUGACGAAGUUCGACUGAGACAUACAGAUGUUUUGCAAUCUUAAGUCUAACCUGACACACCCCGACCUCAAUAUCUAGUGGACACCAAAAUUGAGGUGUGAUGGCCAUCAUCCGGAUGGGUGAUGAAACCAUAAUAUGCAUGAAACAUAACUAAAUUAUCAACCAAUAAAAUCUAUUGAAAAAUUUGGCAGAACAUCCCUUAAAAUAGGGAUAUGCCCAAAUUAAAAACACUUGCACAUGAUCAAAAUUAUUCAACACUUCCCCGAAGGGCCACACUUAAUGGGACUUCGACCAUCUAUUACAUGCAUGAGAAUAUGUUCAGAGCAUAAUUACCCAAACACGUCUUAUUAAAAUAUUGAGUAAAUACCAUACAAGAUAGAAUACGUCAGAGCUGUUGCAAAAUACCUCAAUGUCCGAUGUAAUCACUGAUAGAAUUACUGAAUCAUGUAUAGAUGGAAAGCUGAUAAAUACAUGUAAUUUGAGUGGAUACUUACCAGCAGCAUGGAUACAAUAUCAUCCACCGGUCGUAACUAAUGACAAGCUGAGAGUAUAACUGUAGUACCUCUUAUUAGUGCAAUGCAUGAUAUGAAUUCCAUCUCACAUAUAUAUGCAAGCCAUAAUCAAACCAAUAAACAUCCAACAAAAGCCACAAUCCUUUUAACAUUCGACCACAAGAUCAAUUUUCAUAUUUCCCAAACCUAGGUUCCAAAGCAUUGUUUCGAAUUAUUAAUACAAGAAACCACCACCACCUCAAUCAACUCCUAUUCCCAAGUGUAAGCAAUUACUAAAUGCAUCACUUUCGACUCUAGUCUUAAUUAGAUUACUUGGGAUACUCAUUCACACCAUCAGAUCCAAGUACUAUUUUGAUAAACUUUAAAUAGCAUGGUUAAAAUAAAUGAAACACUUUUAGAAAAUAAGUGAAGAUGUUGUUUACAAAUAUAGAUGCAUCUGUAUAUAAAAGCUUUGGCGGUUGAUCCGUAUACACUUCCAAAGAUAUAAGCAAGUUCAUUGGAAUAUACAUGCAUAGUUAAUGUAUUACAGUAUAAUUAAUAAGAAAACAAUUGCAUCCCUUUAAGAAUAUAUAUAUAUAUAUAUAGACACACACACAUACAUACACACAGGCCCUUUAUGCAAAGGAAUUUCCAUUUUUUUUCAAAAAAUGGGGAUUAGUUGUGGGGCCCACGUUGCAUUGAACUUUAACGAUCCGAACAGUCUAUUUUGUAAGUCUCGAUUCAUAUAUCAUCCUUGUAAAAAUUCAAUUCAAUCCGAACCCAUUUGCCUAUUUAAUUAUCAAGAUAAAAUUUUAUUGUUUCUUAUAUAACAAAGUAUUCGUUAAUUUCUUUGAACUCAAUUAGAUAUCUUAAACAUUUCCGAUUUGGUUAAUAUUUUGUAAGGAUGAUCUAUGUGGUGCAACUUGAAAAAUAGACGAUUACGAUCGUUAAAGUUCGAUGUGGUGUAAACCCUACAAUUAAUCUUCAUUUUUAUAAAAGAAUGGGAACCCCUUCCCUUAAAGGUUUCCUAUGUAUAUAUUUGUUCUCCAGACAUAUGCAGAAGGUAAUGUAAAACUAAUGAGAACUUAAAUGGAUAUUCCAUACAUAGGACAAUUCCAUAUAUGCUUUUUCAACAUUUAUAUCGAAAAGCCAAAUUGUUUUGAGGAAAUUAAUUGUAGCAAUGAUCCCUUAACUUUUAUCUUAUUGGAACAAUGGUCUCUCAACUAAAAAUUCAUGACCAUUGGUUCCUUAACACCACACAACGUGUAGUUAUGGUCAUUUUCAUUAACUCCGUCAGAACUUUUGUUAAAACAAGUAAUGUUAGAAGAAUCAUUGCUACAAUUAGGUUAAAGUUGGGGACCAUUGCUCUAAUUAAAUUAAAAUUGAGGGAUCAUUUCUCCAAAUUGCUUAAAGUUCAAGGACCAUUUCUACAAUUUUCUCAUCUAGUUUCCCAUAUUUACCCCAUGAUUCAGCUUCACAUGCAUUGCACAUGACUCAUUUUGACAAAAAAUUUAACAAAAUUGACGAAAAUGACCAUAAAUGCACGUUUUGAAGAGUUAAGAGACCAAUGGUCGUGGAUUUUAGUUGAGGGAUCAUUGCUCCAAUUUGGUUAAAGUUGAGGGAUCAUUGCUACAGUUUUCUCAAAUGUUUCGUAUGCGAAAAUAGGCAUUUGUAAAGUUUGGCUUGUUUAUGGCAUUAUUACUUUAGUCUAAAGUAAGGCUGGGAAUGGCACUGUAGAAAUGAAUAGUGUUCCAAUCCGAAUUUCAGUUUAAUUACAACAAUGCCAUUGCUCUUUGUGUUGCCUUUAGGUGAGCAGCCCGGCUUGCAGUCAGGCCCAAAUGUAUUGGUUUUAGCUGAGAAGCCCGGCCCUUGGUCAGGCCCAAAAUUUUAAAUUACAGUUUUGCCCAUACAAAAUAACAAUCCGAUUGUAUCGGGAAGGACAAUUUUGUCCUUUCAGUUUUGGGUGAGAUAAGGGGUAACAGGGUAAGUUUCAUUUGCUGUCGUUUAAUGAGGGUUUCGGGGAUGAGGGCUCUGUGUGUGUGUGGAUGAGAGAGAGAGAGAGAGAGAGAGAGAGGGAGAUGGCGAUGGAAGGAGAGCGAGGGGGAAGGGAAGGGUUCUCGGCACUGUUGCUGCAUGUGGAUUUCACAUGUGGGAGAGUGGGUAUGGUCAGAGAAAACCAUAUAGGUCAUUGGGAUUUCAGGGAAACGGGGUAGGGGUCAUGAAUGAACUCUGCUGAGAGUGUGGGUACCGGAUCUUGCGCUGCAUGCCUCAAAUCAAAGAUAAGUUCGUUUUUUUAUUGUAUUUUUUGUGGUAGCUUAGCUUUUGGAAUUGUUUAGUAUGUUAGGUCCGAUUUUGGGGGAUUUAUCUUUUUAGAGAGAGAGAUGGACAGGGAGAUAGAGAGAGAGAGAGAGAGAGAGAGGAGGAGGAAGCAUGACUGUGUGCAAUUUUUGGUGUUAAUUAAUGGGUUGGUGCGUAGGGUGAGUGACAGAGUGACAGAGUGAAGGAGGGACGUGUGGGAGGGUAUGAGUUUUCAGUUCUUUCUUUUGAUUCAACAGGUUAUACAUUGUUUGAAAAACCUUUUUUUAUUAUUUUUUUCUCGUUUGCUUUGUUAAAACCAUCAUUUGAAUUUUUGGGUUUCACUGUGUUCAUUUCUCUGCUUCUUCAUAAUUUGCUGGUGUUUGCUUUUCAUCCCUCUAUUGGUAGAUCUUUUUCUCAUUUCUUGGUUCCUUAUGUAUUCUUUGGUACAAAUCUAUUUACUUUUUGGCUGUGUGAUAAUCUUAGCAGGUGAACUAUAUGAACGUUUUUUUUGAAACGAGUUAAGAAGAUCCAGCUGAAAAGAGCAUGCAAGAUAGAGAACUGGUAUGCUGCUCGCCAGGGAAAGGCUGCUGGAGAGGCUGAGACGGAUGCCUCCUUCAAAAACCAGGUCAGUUUCCUGCUACUCGGCGUCUUAAUGUAUCCAAAUUGUUUAUCUUUUGAUGAAAUUAGCUGGCUUUAUUUUCUAUUUUAUUUAUCUGCAUAUUAUUUUGGUUUGUUGAAAUUUUGACUAUAGUCAUUGUGUCACAUGGGCGCCCAGCCCAACCCAAAUUAGUUGAGGAUAUUUAAAUCUUCACCAUGGUAUUAUAGUACUCACUCACAGUUGUGAAUACUAAGGUGCAGGCAUGGCAUGAAGAAGUGGACCGUGCACGCCAAGGUCAGAGGGAUGCAGAGGGCAAACUUUUUUCUUUGGAGGUAAGUAUCCUUUGUUUAUUGCCCAACAGUGUUGUUAUUAUCAAUUUGUAGCUUUGCGUUCUGAAUUUUUUGCUUUGUCAAACAACCUUUUUGAAAUGCUCGAUUUCAAGCCGAAGUCCAAAAAAUGAGAGUUGAGAUGGCUUCCAUGAAGAGGGAUGUAGAGCAUUACUCGCGCCAGGUGAAAUCUGCUUCCUCUCUUUUCGUAUAUCUUCAUAUGAAGAGUUUUACUAAGUUAUAUUGAGAACUAUGUUAUUUAUAGGUUAUAUUUUCCAUUUUGCAAGAACACAUGGAGCUAAGGAAGAGCUAUCGUGAACUCACUGAUCUACUGGUAAUGUCACUCAAACUGCUUUAUUUGUGCAUGCUGCUACUAUGCGCUUGAAUGCAUUUUAUUACUGGCGGGAUGCGAAGAAUGCUAGAUAUAUGUGCUGGAUCGCUUGAUUAGUGUUAGGGUUUUAACAACUAAUUGUUAGCAGCUAGAAGCUCUGGUUAGAUGAAUGCUAAUUUGAUUUUCCUUACAGUACUUGAGUGCCAGUUUCAUAUUGUUUGUUCCCUGCUGGAUACAUGCUGUACAGUUUCAUUUCUGUUUCUUCAUAACUUUCUUGGCCCUGCGAUAUAUGCAUAUUGAGUACAAUGAAUAUCCAUUGUUCUCUAACUGUUGGGCUUUACUAUCUUUGUAGCAGCCUGCCUAACAUUUUUUAGGCUCUACACUCUACCAUCCAAUUUAUGAAAAAUUCAAAGAUUGGACGGUAUUGAUUGCAUAAAUGAAAAAAAUACUAUGAUAUUAGAAAGGUGAAUGUAAUUGUGUUAGAAGAAGCGUCUAGCAUGAUGGGUAAUAUUUUAAGUUUGUAUUUCUAAAAUUUUUUCGUUCUGGAGUAUGAUUUACCUCAAUUGUUUUGUACUUUAAUCUUUACUAAUUUUCAUUGUGGAGUAUGAUUUGCCUCAACUAACAACUUUUCAUUGUUUAACUUUUUCCUCCCUUAGAUAGUUGCAUAUGUUUGAUUUGUUAAUCUGCUUCUUACACAUGUUGUUUCCUAAUGGUGUAGGUGGAUUGCCGGAUGCAUGUGCAGAUUACUUGAAUAGACGAAGCUAAGAAUGACUUAGUAUUAAGUGAGAAAGAAGCUUGGGUCAGUUGGAUUUUGACAUUUGAUUUAUUCAUGUUUUUUUGUUGCUUGCAAUGUUCUCUCAUUGUUUGUUCUGAGAUUCUGUGAUCUUAUUUUUCAUAGGAACUGACAUUGGUUUGCCAUAUAAUGUUUCAGGAACUAAUACAACAACUAAUCACCUUGCUUAGGUCUCAAGACACAUACUUAACAGGUUAACAAACGCUAACCUAUAAACUUAUCUACUAAGCUGGACCAUUAACCUCUGUUUAUAUCCCUGCCACUCAUCUUUUGGCACUUAUCAAUAGCAAAAUCUAGAGUUGUUGAAACCCCAAUUUUAAUGAAUAUUAUUUUUAGUUGAUAAUUAAAAUUAAUUGAUGAUUAAUCUAUUCCAUUGUGCAUUAUUUUAUCGCCAAAUACUUUGAAUAUUCAUUAGCAAAAGAUAUAGGGUUCACUAUUUAAUGAAUAGAAUUUUGAUGGUGGAUUGCAUUUCCUGAGUUAUAAAUGUGGUGAAUCCAUUAUUUACUAGCUGAAUAAUCAUAAUGUUUUGGCCACUUACCUUGAAUUUUGUUCAAAUUGAAGAAGUCACAUGUUUCUUUCUGUUGUUGAGGUAAUCUCUCUGUUGAAAGCUUCUAUUUCUUUUUUCUUUUUCUUUUUUUCAUUUGGGUAGAUUUUUUUUUUAUGGAUUUAUGUAUUUUUUUUCUUCAGAGAAUUCGAAAUGAAAUAAGAAUAGCGGAUUGAGCAUAAACAAAUUGAUGAAAUUUUUAUUUGAGUGUUUGUGUUGGUCCUUUUUUGAUUUGUUGAGGUUUGGAAUUAUUUGAGUUUUUUUGCUGUUAGUACUGUGAAGGAUGCUUGGCAAUCGCGAAAUGGGGGCUACCUCUUUGGAAAGAGAAGUCUCGCUAUCCAACCUCUCAUGAAUUACAAACAGGGUGCUUUCUUGCUGAAAAACCACUGAAUCAGUAGAACUUUCCUCGGUUCUUCAAUUCGAUUCGAAUAAUUUUUUUACCCAGAAAAGCCAGCGUUUCCUGGUGAGUUUUACAGCUUUCUCAAUGUUUUUUUUAUUUUGGAUUUGCAAAUUUGUUUUCUGUUCAAAUUUCCUUUUGUGAUUUUGGAGGUUUUGUUUAUCGAUUCUCUCACUCAUCUCUCAGCUCUCUCCCACUUUUGAGGUACAUGUCGUUGGAUUCCGUUUGCUGCUGUUGAUCUGCAGGUAAAGCUUCAAUUACCAUACAAAGUUUACAUUUUUCAUGAUUUCUUGAAUUUGGGUUUUAAACAAAGGAAAUAUUGCUAGAUUCUUAUCUUAUGUGCAAAUUACUGGCUAUUUGGAUUGGUGCUUGAGAUUUAGAGAAUGUCUCGCAGCUUUAAUUUCUUUUUCCUUCAUUAUUACUGUUUUCAAAAUUUUUAUUGCUGGGUAUUGAUAAUUUGUAGUAUGUGAGGGCUUCAAUAUGUUGGAAUUUUGAAUGGUUAUUGCUUCAUCGGAAUUUGGGUGGUCCAAAUUUUGAAUUAGAAGAAACCCAUUUGAUUAAUAUUUUUGGUGGAUUGGUUCUCUGUGUUUUCUUUGCUAUUUCUCCCCCAGUUGGAAAUUGGAAGCCCCAACUUUGAGCUCAGAGCUUGAAUUUCUCAAUCGUUCGUUUCUCUACACUCUCAUCAGUCACUCUUGAUCCUCUAUCUAAAGAACUGGGUAAUUUUCCAGCUCUAUCAAGUAAUACUCAAUUUAAUUGCUUAAUUGAGGUUUUUUGUUUCUCUUUUUCGCUCUUUCAUCAGUUCAUUGGCUUUGAUGUUGAGCUUAAGUAAAUGGGAGAUCAUUAAUUGGCAUUGUUCAAAAUAUAAUUAUGUGUUUUUGGAUUUGUGAAACGAUUUGCCUAAUGAUGAUAGUGGUUAAAAUAAAUUUUUCGUUAUGAAAGAGAACAUUGUUCUUCAUUUGCCUACGGUUUUAACUACAAAGUUAAACUACUAUGCUUUUGUUCAAUUGAUUGCAACUCAUGCCGCAGUUUGCUUCACAAACCUCUAUGGUUAGCUUCCAUACAGUAUGUUGCAAGUUUGAGGAUAUCUUUACAUCUUAAUUUUUGCUCUCUCUGGUUGCUUCAAGUUUGUAAUUUUACGUGUUACAUUGCUACUUGAUUUGAUUAUAAAAAUGCAAAAGAAAAUCCAUUUUGCUUUUAUUCAACUUAAAUGUAUCCUUUUGUUUGUUCAUAAUUGUGUUGAAUUUAUUCAACUUAAAUGUGUUUUAUUCAUCUGUUUACGCUUAAAACAACUGGUUCCCCUAGCAAUGCGCGGACCUAAUUUCUAGUACAUAUACUAAAAGCCAGCAGAAAAUUACUGUUCAUCAUGGGAGAUAGAGCACUGUUCAUUAACAGUGAAAGGGAAAAAAUGCCCUCGGUUUCUUCUUUACUUCACGUACUGUUUACGAAUUGCUACAGUAUAAAGUCCGUUUUGUCAUUCCUGUCCACGCAUCUUUCAUCGUCCGUUUCUCUUGCUUCGACCGCAUCUUUUUCGCUUUACCUUUCCUCUUCGUUUUUCGCCUUCGCUAGGCUGCAAUUUUCGGAGGUGGAUUGUUUGCCCUUCUAUUUCCAUGCUCUCCCCAUGCCCUCCAUUGAUGUGUGGUCACGGUUAAACUAUGUCAACAUUUUAUAUUAAUUUUUUUAUAGAAAUAAUAAAAUAAAAAGUAAUAGGUAUCCAGGAAAUUUUCGUCAAAAUAUCCAGGAAAUAGGUAUCCAGGAAAUUUGCUUUACCGAUAUUUUAAUAGGUAUCCAGGAAAUUUGCUUUACCGAUAUUUCGCCGAUAUUAUCGGUUUUUUGCUUUACCGAUAUUUUAAUAGGUAUCCAGGAAAUUUUCGUCAAAAUAUCGCGAUAUUAUCGAUAUUAUCGAUAAUAUCGCGAUAUUUUAGAUAAUAUCGAGACAUUUUGGUUUCUCGACAGUCAGUCACAAUCUCGCCGGAGAAUCAGAAUAACUCCGAGCAAGAACAAAACCUGCAACCAAACGGAACAAAAUCAUCACUAUCUUUCAACAAAAAUCACCACUUUAUACCAAAAUCAGUGACAAAAUUACACUAAUCCGAGAAGCAAGGGCUUGAAUUCGAGCAAGAUCUGGAAGAAAACAGUAGAAGCUGAGAAAUCGAGUACCUCACCGGCAGUUACAGUGCUAAAGAUCAUCAUCUUUGGAAGGCCGCGGAUCAGACGGAGCUGAGAGAUCAAUGAGUAAGCAUUUCAUAGAUCGUAUUCGAUGAGCAGCUGAAAGAGAGGAGAGAGAAAGCAGAGAGAGACGCGGACGAGGAGGAUCUCGCUGAUGGGGACGACGAAGGAGAGGUAGAGGUCGCGGCCCGCGGGACAUGGUGACGGGCUCGACGAGGAGGAAGGCGAAGGAGGAGCAGAGGAGAUGGGUGCGUGCGUGCUGCGGUGCAGAGAAGAGAGAUGAGGGAGAUAUGAGAGAGAGAGAGCCGAGAGGGAGACAGAAGAAAAAGAAAAGAAAACAGAAAGAAGAAGAAAAGAAGAAGGGAGUCGCGGGGGAACAAAGAGAGAAAAGAGAAAAGUGGAGGGGCUGCCACGUGGCCACUUCAGAAAGAAAGGGAUCCAAUGUUUUGGAUCCUGAUUGGGUAGUCAAAGAGGACCAAUUUGAUAUAUUAAAAUGUUUAGGGGAUAAUUACACAAAUAUAUCUUUAUAAAUGGGGGUGGGUGUUACAUAUUGCCCUAAAAAACUCCAAGUAAUUACAACAUCGUAUUAGAAUUGUAAUUGAUCCUUGUUAGAUUUGGUUUAGAAAUUCUAUGUAAUUUAGUGAUUGUUUCAUAUUAGAUUUAGAUUUGAAUUUUUUACUCCAUUCAGAUUUUAAAUGAUUAUAAUAGAUUUAAAAAUUUACGAACUUUGAUGAAGUUUAAUAAUUUUUAAAACUUUUAUGUAAAAUUUUAAGUGAAUUCCCUCAAAUUUUCAGGUAGCGAUUUGAGAAUGUUUAAAAUAUUAUGUGAAAUAUUUCUAAUUUUUUCGAGUUUCCCAGCUUUUUAAAAAUCUCUUUGAAUCAAUUUCUAAAUUAAUACAUUUGGAAUGUAUGAAUUUCUUAAAAAUCAUGAUCGAAUACCCCUUAAACUUUAAAGAAUCACUUAAAAUCCUAAUUAAAUGCCCUUAGAUUUUUAAGGAGAAUUAAAAUGUUUAUAAGCCCCAAUUGGAUGUACCGCUUAAUUUAACUAAUUGACACAACACAACAUAACCAGUUAAGAUUACAAAUUAACACAAAAGACGACUUGAUGCGAGGUCAUAUCUACAAAACUUGCCGCAAUAAGCCCCAAUUGGUGUGUUUAAACUUCUUUCAUUAAUUACUACAUAUUUUCUACACUCAUAAUGUUUGUCAGCUCGCUAUAUAAUCAACUUGAUAAUGUUAAAUCCAUCAUGCAAUGCAUUUCCUUCCAAUUUUUUGUGAUAAACUAAUAGAUAAUUGACUAAAUAAACAUCCUGCAAAGUUUCAAUAAAAAUUUUCAAGUUUUUUUUACAAUUUCCGUGAUUUUCAUGUAAUUUUUAUCGGUAUCGAUAUUAUGCCGAUAUUUUUAUCAAUAUUUCCGUGUUUUCGAGUACAUAUUUCCGAUAUUACCGAUUCAUCCGCGAUUUUCUCCCUUUUCGCCAGCCCCUCUUUUGCUCUCAAAUCCUUGCUCUUUCUUUUUCAAACUAGUCUCAGAAGAGAUCCUGGGUUUAUCUAAUCCUUUGUUGUUCGGCGUUUUGUUCUCAUCUUGCGAUCGUCGGGGCAGCAGCUUUAAGGUAAGUUUGUUUUUAAUGAUUUAUCCUCAAUUUACGAUGUCUGGGCUAACAAAUUUAAGAUCUUUAUUUUUCUUUUUGCUGUGGAUCUGCAGGUUUUGACAAGUUUUUUGUGAAAUUGGUGCUGUCAGUGGGUGUUAAUAUCAGGUACCCAUGUUCAGUUUUUCGUUUUGAUUUGAAGGAAUUUCUUGCGCAGAAGAGCUAGGUUUCUUGGUGAGUUCUUCGGGUUGUGCAUAUGGGUAAUUUUCUUUUAGGUAUAACCCUCUGCUUCUGCUGCUCUCUCUCUCUCUCAUCCCUGCCUGCUCCUCUCCAAUUGUUUGCUGUUCUUAAAUAUUGUGUUCAUUGCCUGAUACAAGGAGCUGCAGCAAUCUGUUUUAUCCUACACGGGACAACGAGGCAAUGGCGUGACAACAAGUGAGCUUGGAUAUCCAAAGAAAAAGAACAGUUGGUUCAUCUGCUGGAGUCUGAAGCUCAGAGAAGUGGAGGAAAAUUGCAGGUGUGCGAGAAAUUUUAUUUUGCUGAUAGGACUCCUUAUUUACCGAUGCAUUUUGAAUUAAUUGAAAAGUUGGAUUUGAGUUAACAGCUAUAAAAAUGUAGACAUGAUUGCUGAGAUUAUGCUAUGAAAGUGGAAUAAAAAAAUGGUAGUUUAUAAUAUUGCGUACCAAUUUUUUUCUCUCUUUUUUACCAAAUGAUAAGGGUGGUGGCUCAGGCCGCCCCCCUACGCGUCCCCACUCUUCGACAAGUUGAAAUCAUGGUGAUAGUUUAUGGGUUGCGGUCUUGGGAUUCUGCAAAUAGAAUAAAAAACAGACACUUAACUAUCUUGUUAUUAAGCAUUUCUGCAUCAUUCAGUUGCUCUUGAUUUUCGUCUUUUAAGCGCUCUUAUUUCUGCGAUCUGACUUGAGGAGGGGUUUUAGACCUAUGGUUGUGGGUGUUUUGUCUGACCCCAUUAAAUUGGUUUCCGAGAUUUGUAGACUUGCGAUCGGCGGUCAAACAUUUCGUGAUUCUUGCUUUUUUUCCGACUGGGAUUGACGAAUUUUGGCCGAAUCUGUUUCCUGUUUUCUUCUCUGUUUGAGCGGCCGCUGCCUUUCGGUCGUUGAGCGCCGGCAGUCUUUAGAUCUUUGGCAAAUCAAUUUAAUACAACCGAGGUAUGUUUUAUAACUGCUGUCUUUCAAUUUUUGUUCUGUAUUUUUGUUAAUUUGGAUGAAGCUCUAAUAAUUUUGUUUUGGAUCAGUUGUGGUCCUCUGUUAGGAUUUUCCUGGCUAAGAGGGUAUUUGCAUUUUUGUUGCUUGGUUGGUCGAUCCAGUGUAUUAAAAGCGUGAGGCGUGGGCGAGGCGUCCGAGGGAAGCUCGGCCUAGGCGUGAGGCGUGAGGCGAAGCCUCAUGGGACCUAAAUUUUUUAAUAUAUAUACAUUGAGCGUACACAUAUAUUAUAUUAAAAAUAAGAAGAUUAUUAAUCAAUAAUCACCUUGAGCACACACAUAUAUUAUAAAUAUAUACACACACACAUAUAUAUACAUAUAUUAUAUUAUAUAUGCAUAAAAUAGAGGAUGAAAAACACAAUGAGCACACAUAUAACAAUGCACGCAAACAACACACACAUCCAUUAUAUAAAAAUAAAAAUCAGAAAAAAGGCAUAGAGACAAAAGUGCAAGGAAGAUGUAUGAGACAGUUAAAAUCCUACCCAAAAUUUGGGUUUGGGAGUAAAGAAAAAAAAAAAAAAAAAAAAACUCACUGAGGCGCGCCUAGGCGGCUCCGGCGACGCCUAGGCGGCCUUUCGCCCACUCCAGCAAAACUGAGGCGUUAGCCAUGGAGCCAAGCCUCAAGGGCGCCCUAGGCGCGCCUCGAGGCGAGUUUUUUAAAACAUUGGGUCGAUCACAAAUUUACGAACAGCUGUGGUGGUCCUGUUAGAGCCAAGCCUCAAGGGCGCCCUAGGCGCGCCUCGAGGCGAGUUUUUUAAAACAUUGGGUCGAUCACAGAUUUACGAACAGCUGUGGUGGUCCUGUUAUUUUUUUGGUAUGUUUUUUCUCCUUUUUGGUUUUUUCCCGGUUUGAGCACCCAUUCAUGAAGAAUUAAAAUGUGUUUAUAGUUUUUCAGGAGAGAUUAGAAAAGUGAUUUCAAUUUGGGAAAAUUUAAUGUUGGUUAAAAUUUGUUUAUAAUUUUUGGGAAGGAAUGAGAGGACCCAUUGAAGUAUGUGUUGUGAUUAUUUUUUAUUCAUAUUUUUAACAAAUUGGGCAUGAAUUGGUAGGUUAACUGUGUGUGUUUAUUAUUUGAAUCGGCCAUGUUUGUCUUUCUAUGGUUCUAAAAAAUUUGUAAAGGCUGUUAACUUGGAAGAAAAUGGGAUCGAGGGUGAGGGGAAAACAGCAGAGAAAGCAUGGAAGAGAGAUUUGGGAUUAGGGGUAGGAAAACAGAUGAAAAGAAUAUGAUAGAGGAAUGGGUUCAGUUCAUUUUCACUAUUUUUUUUAACUGAUUUGGAUUUUGUUUGGGUUUGAGGCCAUCAUUGGCGUUAAGACGUUUAUUAUCAGAUCGUGUGUGUUUUUUGCUAACUUUUAUUGGUAAUUUUUAUGUUGUUCUUAUGAUUUUGUGUGGUAGGGUUUCUGAAUUUUAUCGUUGUUCAUUUGGUUUUUUCUGAAUUUUAUCUGAUUUUGUGUGGUGAGUUUACAAAAUAAUACUAAAUAAAUUUAUUUGUAAUUUCGGAUGAUUGUGAUUCAAUCCUACUACAAUUGAAAUUCACAGAAAGAAUGAAAAACCAGAACAAAACUGCAGCACCUAAAAAGUUGUCAUACAAAAAAACAUGGAAUGUAAAAAUAUGUUAAGAAAUCUAGUUCGUUAAUUUCCAGCUGGUAAGCGGCAUUAUGUAACUUUAGUAGUAUAACUAAUUAACUACUUAUCUAGUGGGUUGCACUUCUAUCCUUGAUCUCAGUUGUGGCUGCAAAGUGCAGGCCACCACCAAGUCUCAGUGUUUGUGUAUUAGCAAAACACUUAAAUAAAUUAAAUUCUGAAAUGUAAAUUAUAUUCCUAUAACUUUAAGAUGCACAUAUAGUAUUGUUGAAGUCGAACUGAAAGCACUGACAAUUCCAAGCAACAGAGCAGCAAUUAUUAAGAGCCAAAACUCAUUCCUAGUCUCCUCAUCCUGGUACUCUACUCCGUAAUCUUCGUUCAGCAUCAUUGACUGAAAUUAGGAGAGAAAAAGAAAAGGAAUUUCAGAAAUUGUCUAUGAAGCAAAGGAUACUGCAGUUACUUCAAGACAUGUAAAUUGCAUAUGUAUAAAGUAAUUUUCUACAUAAAGUAACGAGGCAUAACUCUCUCUCUCCUCUUCAAACCCUAAACAGAGCAAAGCCACAAACUUUACAGAGAUUAGAAUGAGAACUGGAAUUAAUAGAACAAUGACUGAAAAGUAACAUACUUGAGGAGUGAAUGAUUUAGUGUUUCCAUCAUCGGAAAGCCGGAGUAAGUCGCUAAGAGAGGUCGCAAACAGCCCAAAGGGACAAACCCAGACCCCCGGCCCCGAUCCAUACCCUUCCCCCUCAAAUCCCGACGGCCCCCAUACUUUUCUCUGACUGUACCCCCUCUCCCACUCAUGAAAUCGAGGAUCUGUAGCAAUGGUACUGAGAUCCCCACUCCUCCCCCUCCCUUUCUCUCUGUCACUCUGUCUCCCUCUCCCUCUGUCUGUCUAUCUUUAUCCCAGAGCGGCAUGGCCUCGCAUCCCUGAAACCCUCACCGAAAGGUGGCAAUUUUGUAAAUAACUUGAAAUCCACCAACAGCAGGGGCAGAGAAUUGAAACAGACAUUUAGGCUCGUUCGAUAACCAUUUAGGCCAAAACUGAGCACACCUAAACCAUUCCUACUCGUGCCAAAUGUUAGCGGGGAAGCAAGAUGAUGACUUUAUUGUUCAAAACCAAAAGAAAAAAAGAGAGAAAACAAAAUAACAAAUCUAAUGGUUGUAGUGUAAAAGCUGAGAACGUAAAUAAACAUGCAGGGAAAAAAAUUGAAGAUACAAAGUAGCUGCAUCAUGAAACACUUGCUCCAAUUAGACGCAAAAAGUGAUGGUGAUGAGAAGAGAGAGAAAAUGCAGUCGUUUUGAUUUUUCUGGCUUUUAAAGGGAGCAGCUUUCUUCGACCACCAAAAAAAGGAAGCUGCUUUUCGUGUGGUUGUGAUUUCCUGAGUGUAUGUGAGCGGGUCUAUGGCACUUGCACUUUUUGUGUCGGUUACGGUAACCGGGCGAGGUGGACACGGCGGCGUGGGACUGAAUUCGGAGAGGUGAGAAAAAUUAAAAACACAAAAAGAAGGUGUUCAUUUUGUCACAUUUUUAUUACUAAAAAUUCAAUAAAGUACAUUCAUUAGUAUGGUAACUUAACUAUUUAAUUCCAUCUCAUUAAACUAAAAAAAACAAUUACAUAAAAAUAAGGGAAACCUUGUCCAGAGAGACCUGAGAGAAAGUGACGACUUCUCCUCUCAUUCCACUCCAUACUUGAUCUCUAAAGUCCAUUUGGCAUGUAAUUGAUGUUCAAUUUCAAAUUUAGUGGUAGCAAUUAGCAAAGCUAAUGAAAGAAUAAAAUAAAAUGAAAGAAAAAGCAUCAUGAAAUAAAUCAAGAUGAAGAAUGAAAUUUUGGCAACUCGCCAUUCUCUUCUUUUAUACAAAAGAUACAUCCUAUUUGUAGUGAAAACAGGUCCCGACAAACCCAGUUAUCGUCAAGAAGUAUUUUGUAUGACUUUAAAAACAUAUUCCGAGAAAUUAUCUCUUGGCUGAGAACAACAACAAAUCUUCAUGCAUAGCUUGUAGAGAAAGACAUCAGGCAUACAAAAGAACACGCAAGCAUAAAAUAAACGACGCAGGGAAAACCAAAAAUACAAUUGGAUACGCUGUCAAAAGAACAUAAAUAAAUGAAAAUUACAAAACAAAGAAGUGAUGAGAAACCAAAGUACCCAUUUCAUAAUCUAAUUGCUUUUUAGUUUGCUUGCCAUUUUUAGUUCUUCAAUUUAGAGAGAAACCAUAAUUCAGCACAUGAAUAAAGUGAAAACAUAAAAGAUAUGUGGGAUAAGCUAACAGCCAUCCCUGAGUAAUGCAUUCACUUCUGAACCCCAAACACACCAAAACAAAAAUUCACACACAUGAACUACAGCUCUGCUAUGUAACAAGAAUUAAAAGCAUCUCAAAACAAAAUGGCAAACUAUAAGAGCAAUGUAAAAGUAAAAUUGCAAGAAAUCUAAUACUUGGAGGGCAAGUACUAAUCAGACGAAAAUGAAAGAUUGAACUACCUCGCGUGGAACUGUGCCUUGGUUUUUUCCCAUGCUUACAGGAAGCUUUGCACUGAGCUCUUAUAGCCCAAAUUUUCUCUGAAGGGAAAAAAACACAAUUUUGAAAUAAGAUUUUCAUAUUAUACCUUAAAGAGAAGAAUUAGACAACAAAAAAGAGAACAAUGAGUACUUUUCAUCAUAUAUUGUUAGAGUAUGUGGUCCUCUAGUCCAAUGGUCCUGCAGCCAUAUUUACUUUAUAACUCUUUCUUUAGUCUAAAAACAUCUUGGAUCUCAAAUUAAUAUGAAUACGGAUUCAUACGCAUGCAUUGCAUUACAAUCACAAUGCAACAUCUCAUUAGAAAUCCCCACACAAAAUUCUUUUAUUGCUACUUUGAUUUUAGUUUAUAUUUUUUCUGAAGCACGAGGGAGCUAAUUUUUUUUUAAAAAUUUUUUAUUCCAAUAAUGUUAUAGGGUUGAAAGGAUAUUAUCAAUUUAAUUGAUUGUAUUUGAUUGGUGGAACUUCUAUAUCUAUAUUUCAGGUUUUCAAAUUCAGCACUGGGAGAGUCAUUCAUAAAAUGUUUGACAGUGAGAUUACCUCCAUGGAUUAUGCUCACAAUGGACAGCUCAUUUUCCGCGGUGAUGGGACAAUAUAUUUCAGUCAUUCGCCAUUCAAUCAAUUCAAACCGAGGAACAAGCAACAUCAAGAAGAGGAUCUGCCAUGUCAGGAUCACUGUCGUCCAAUUAAUACAAAAAAUCUAGAUAAAAACGAUCAAUUUACAUAAAAGCCUUUCAUUUUCUCAGCAACCAAGCAAAAGAAAAUACCUAUCCGUUAAACACUCGAUUUGGGAGUAAACGUUGCUGAAACUGGACUUCAAUCCCCUCAACCGCAACAAUCGAAUCGAGGUGUGCAAGUCAUUGAAAAACUCACCCAAGAUUUCAAAAUCUGCAUAAAGAAAUAAAUAAGCACAUAAAUUAGCCAACCCUGUUAUGAUCCCACAUCGGGUACACAAGAAAUUGUGUAGUGGUACUUAAGUGCAAGGGGUCAUCCCACCUAUUGGACUAGUUUUUUGGAUUGGGCUCUUCCCUUGGGCUUGAGUACCUAACAUUGGUAUCAGAGCCUAGGUUCCCGACGCUGCGAGACUUGGCGAGUGGUGCCGCCUCAUGGUGCCGCCUUGGGAGUAUGGGCUCCCAAGGGUCUUGGAGACGGGCAAGGUAUGAAAUGUCGAUAUUAUCGCGAUAUUUCGCCGAUAAUAUCGGUUUUUUGAGUUACCGAUAUUUUAAUACUUAUCCACUGAGUUUUCGUCAAAAUAUCGCAAUAUUAUCGAUAAUAUCAACAAUAUCGCGAUAUUACCGAUAAUAUCGCGAUAUUUUGGAGAUGUGCGAAUCGGAGAAGAAGGCCGGAGCUUCUACAGCUCCUGCCGACUGUAAAAGAGCACCCUAGACUCCGAUCUAGGUAUCAAAAUGAAAUACAAGACGAGAGGAAUGUUUUUAUAACUUCCGUUUGCCGUGAAACGGUCGAAGGUGUUCGGAAAGUUCGUCGACACCCACGGCCUCGCCAGAGAUGGGUGUGCCUAUUCUCGAGCCGAUUUCGUCCCAAAAACCUUGCAAAAACACGAGAUAGAACUUAAAUUUCACAUCUAAGCUUCAAUCUAGAAUAGAAUGAGGUAAACCCGAAGCUUACCUAACCGGAGAAAUUCAAGAAACUCGCCAGAGGGUUCCUGCGUCGCCGAGUUGCAGAGACGAGAAAGAGAUGGAGAAAGACGAGGUUGCUGAUAACGAUGGGUGUCUUCCUCAAGCAGGUGCGAUGGUGUGCGUGUGUGUAUGUGGGUCUCGGUGCAGAGAGAAAGGAGAGAGAUGAGAGUUUCAAGAAAGAGACGGCGCCAACGAGAGCUAUUUGUUUUUUUUUAUCUUAAAAAGAGAGAGGUCUAAGAGAAAUGGGAAGAGAGGGCCGAGUGAAAUGAAAGGAGGUCCUUGAAUUAUUGAGAGAUAUCUCUGAGAGAGGCCUAGGAUUUCUAAAAGGUAAUUAGAAAUGGGAAAAAUGGGGCACAUCUUAGCCUUUAUUUUGGAAUCCUAAGAAGUUCACCACAUGGAUGCAUGACAUGUGUGCAUGCCAUGUCUGUUGAAUGGGAAAAGUCUGACAUGGAAAGACAAAGAGUCGUUUGGUCCUCUGGGCUCGAGGCAAGAUAGAAAGUGCUAGGGUUUUUUUUUCUGAAAUGAACAUAAGCUGCUAAAUUCGCAUAUAUUAUAGUUGUUGCUAAAGAUUGACACUAGUGCGGACUUGGACGUGUUGGUCAACAUGUCCUCACAAUCCCCAAGUUCUCCGGUUCGAACCCUUACGCCCAUCAAAUUUUUCUUUCUUUUCGAUGCGCUUUUUCCAUGGCUCUAGGUCUUGAUUUCGAAUCCAGGUGAGCCCUUUCCUUUUUCUUUUUUUUUUCUUUUUGUUUUAUUAUUUGUUUAUUUUAAUUUAUUUGUUUCUUUUAUGUUUUUCCUUUCUUUUAGUUUCUUUGUCUUAGGCGUUCGUGUUUAUUAAAGUAGGAUGUAAAAUCAAUUAUCUUAAAAUUAUGUGUUUUUAAAUUUUGGACUUGUUUGUUGGAUACUUUUUUUGCAUUUUAUCAUUAUUUUAUUAUGAAAAUAUGCUAAAAUAUGCUAAAAUAUCACUUAUGUUUUUGUGAAAAUAUGCUAAAAUAUUUAUAUAUAUGGUUUUGUUUUGAAUUCUUUUUGUACUAAUUCAUUAUAUAUAAAUGAUUAUGGUGUGUUUAAACUUCUUUAAUUAAUUACUACAUAUUUUCUAUACUCACAAUGUUUGCUAGCUCGCUAUAUAAUCAACUUAAAUCAGUAAAAUCCAUCAUGCAAUGCAUUUGCUUCCAAUUUUUUGUGAUAAACUAAUAGAUAAUUGAUUAAAUAAACAUCCUGCAAAGUUUCAAUAAAAAUUUCCAAGUUUUUCUUACAAUUUCUGUGGUUUCCAUAUUAUUUUUAUCAAUAUCGAUAAUAUCCCGAUAUUUCCAUCGAUAUUUCCGUGUUUUUGGACUACCGAUAUUUCCGAUAUCAUCGAUAUUUAUACCUUGGCGACGGGGGACUUGCCGACUGGUGCCGCCAUGGACGUUGGGUCUUUCGAAAGGUGGUGUAAUGUUAUGAUCCCACAUCGGCUACACAAGAAAUUGUGUAGUGGUACUUAAGUGCGAGGGGUCCUCCCACCUAUUGGACUAGUCUUUUGAGUUGGGCUCUUCCCUUAGGCUUGAGUACCUAACAAACCCAUAAAUCAAAGAAAUCAAAAUCCACCCAGAAUCAAAGAAAUCAAAAUCCAUCCAAAACCAAAGAAAUCAAAAUCACACACAGAUAUACAAGGUGUACAGUAUUGACAUGCCUUAAAUGAUAUUAUUCACAAGAUUUAUAAAGCUCAUGUUGUAAUACUUGUGCAGAAUCUAUCAUUCACGGCGUCACUUUUGUGCAAGUCGUAAAUAAAAUUAUUCACGAUUUAAACAUUGUGUGUCGUAUUUGACAAUUUAUACUACGCACUUUCUUUUUCUUUUAAAGCUUUGCGUUAUGUCGUAAAGUUGACUUUCUAUAUAUUUGGGUUGUACCUUUUAUGGCGCAAAUAACACGUCGUAAAUAAUGGCUUUUAGCACAGAAGUUUUGUGGUAAAGAAGCCCGCGCACUAAUUCAUUCUCGCGCCUUCUCUUUUUUAUUUAGCCGCUUCUUUUUUUGGUUUUUUUUUUUUUUAAAAUUCCCCUCAAAUCUUAAAAGGGUUUGUAUUUUCUUUGGUAAACUUGAAAGAGAAACAUUGCAAUUGCAUUUUCAUUUACCCAAUAUUAAUUGUCGAGAGCCCACCCCCUUCCCUUCUCUCUGACAUCGUAACUCUCUCCUCUCCAUCGAUCUCGCUCCAUCUGCUCGCCGUCGCUCUAUAUGCUCGUCAUCGCCGUCGAUUCGUCUGCUCGUCGUCACCGUCGCCCAUCUGCUUUCCGUCACCGUCGAAGUGCCCCGCCAUUCAAAAUCUGAAAUCCCCAAUACAGGGUGCUUUGCGGCAUUUCGUUCUCCAAAACUUUAGGUAUGCUCUCAAUCUGUAUCAACCCUAUCCUGUCACCUCUACUUCAAGGUGAACAAUUUAUAGUUUAUAAAUUUUACUUGUGUUAAUAUAUAUUUUUUGGUAAAUGUUAUGGAUAUUUUAUCAAAUCAGAGAGUAAAUUCGUAUUAAGUGAAGAUUGGCAAAGAACAUAUUGUUUUGAAAGGUUGAAUAAUGUUUGCAGAUCACAUAAAUCAGUAGUUGUCAAGUCCAUAAGAGAAGCAAGAAAUCGGAAAGCAAGGCUUCGACUAAAACCAAAUAAUGUCAAAUUAAUUCAAGAUUGGAAGACUUUCCUUGCAAAGUGUAAGCUCAUUUUCAUUUUCUUUCAUUUCUAAGAUUAGUUAUCUUCUUUUGAGUUCAAAAUUGGGUCAGAGAAAUCAAACUGAUAGUAGUUAAAAGUCUAUUUCAACACCAAGCCUUGUCUACACAAGAAUUUGGUGUUAGUUAAACAUGUGUAUGAUUCUAUCUUGAUUGCAUGUUAAUUUAGUUUGAAGAUAGAUUUGGUACAUGCUAGCUAAUUGAUACGUGAUAUGAAUCUUUGGUUUCCUUUUGAUAGGACAAAAGUGAAACAUUCAGAGAGAUGAAGUCUAAGCAACUCCGCACACAUGUAGUCGCAAGGGAUAUGGUAGGUUGGCCGAGGAUUUGGUAAUUACAUUUCAUUCUAGUGCCUUCUUUUCUACAGGACAAGAACAAUUUACUAAUUUUAUUCUGUGUUCUACUGUGUGUUUACUACAUAUAUGUUUCUAUUUUGUAGAAAAGAAAAAGUGUAGACCCUUCUCUAGUUUCUAGAGGUGAUGUUUGGAUUGCAGCACAUACUAAAAAGGGUGGUGGACCAUCCAAUUUGCUUGCUGCAGAGACUAUUGUAAGUAAUUUUUAACCAUUUAUUUCUUCUUGUUUGUUGAUAUGCAAUGACGGAUGAGGUCUUAACUUUGAUGUGCAACGUUAGGAAAAAAAUUAAGCAAUAUGGAAAUGGAUCAUCAUCUGGUUUUCGAGGUGACGUUCUUUCCAAAGUUUUUGGUGCUGAGCGACAUGGUCGUGCAAGAGGAGUUGGAGGUGGUGUUCCUCCUACAAAGCUUGGAAUAUUUUCACAACAAAAAUUGCGUAAUCACCAAAUGGAUGAAAAGGUGCACAAUUUAACUAAUCAGGUCAGAGCACUGACAGAAUUGGUGCAUCUUUUUAUGAAAAAUCAGGUUAGUGAUUUAAUAACAUUGGUAUCAUAUUGAAUAUUUGUGAAAUCAGUUGUAGUGACACAUCAAAUCACAGGGUAAUGAUCUACCAAGUGAGGCAUCUCCUGACACACAGGUUGCAGCUCCUGAGGCACAUGUUGAUACUGUCGCAAGAACUGAAACUCGUCUUUCCCAAUGCGCAACAAAUGAAUCGUGGUGGCGAGGUUGAUACACUUUUUCAAUGAGCCUUCUAACUAUUAAUGCUCAUUGACUCUGUUAAAAGCUCUGCCAUUUUCAAUCUAACUAGACACUAGAAAUGAUCAUUGACUCAGUUAAAAGUUUUGAUGCUUUGGUCCUUUUGCAUAGUUGCGCAUCUACUGAUUUCUAUUUUUUUUCAAAUCCUGCAGGUUAUUUCUGAAAACAUUGAAACAUCGUGGUGUGCCAGAUGGUUUGAUUAUAAGACACCUUCCUUUUGGUCCACCAACUUAUUUAUAACUGCUAAAUGGUACGUAGUGUGAUAAUUUUCAAAUAUUUUGAUAUUAAGACAGGUGUAGGACAACAUAGAAAUUCUUAGGGCCUUCAGCAACAAAAUUAUGAAAAAGUGAGUGAGAUACAAUUAAAAAAAUGAAAGAGAAGGAUCAUGAUUCAUGAUCUAAAGGUUUGAAUAGGGUAGAAAGGAUUUAGUUUCGUUGUUAAAAUCGAUUUGUGAGUCUAUUGUUAUUGUAUUGUCAAUUUGUUUAUUUACUUGAACUUCCUAGUAUCAAUUUGGUUCGAUAUAUCUAGCACCACCAUAGAUAUAUCUAGUAUCAAUUUGGUUAGAUAUUGUCAAUUUGUUAUUUUAUUGUCAACUAUAGAAUGUGCAUCAGUUGUAAAAGGAACAAAACAAUUCAGAUUUUUUGUUUAUGUCCAAACUUAGAAUUGUAUUGUAAUUGACAAUUUCUACUAAUUAAUCCAAGUAUUUGGAGUUUAAUAUGUUUAUGAUCAAUAUUGUUAUCCUUGUAUUGUAUCAGUUUAGAUGUUAUGAAGUGAGGUCUGUCUAAAAAUGAUAUGCUAAAUAUAGAUGUAAAUUACGGCAUCUAAAAUCAGCAAUAAUUGUUGAUGGUAGUCUUUUUUUUACGAUGUAUGCCGUAAUCACCUUCACAAUAUUACGACACUCAACAAAUGCUGUAUCAAAUAUAAAUUACUGCACACUAGUAUGUCGUAAUUGUUUUUCAGUAUUACGACACCCUAUUAACGCUGUAACUAAUACCAAUUAAGGCACGUAGGACAUGCCUUAAGAACAUUUAUGGCGUGUUUUACUUAAAUUAUUCACGACUAUUAGAGUACGUUGUAUUUGUCAAAACAUCUUUUACAACAGGGGCUUUUACUGCUUGGAGGCUCAAGCCGUGAAUUUCCAUUUAUGGCACCCUUUGUGCGCCGUAAAAGGCCAAUUCUAUUGUAGUGAUCCAUGGGUACAUUUUUAAUCUACAUGUUUCGUUUUAAUAUAUCUAUUGCUAUAAUAUGUUUUGGUUGGUUCAAAUUCGUUUUACAUAAAUAUAUGGGUACAAAGUUUUUGGAGAAUAUUAUGUAAAAUGGUUUUUAAGGUUGUUGCAUUUUAUGUACCCACAUAUGCAUGUCUAUAAAACAAUGUGGUAUGAUGUACAUUCUUUUCCUUGAGUUUUUAAAUGUACCCAUGAGUUUUCUUGUAAAUUCGGUAUGUAUCCAUAUGCUAUUUAUGUUAUGGGUACAUACAUUAUUUUUGGUCUAAGUUGGUGGGUACAUUGCUUUUGUAUGUAUGAAUUCAUUGGGUACAUUAUUUCCCUUAAUACUACUCAAUAAAAUUCACAAAAAUGUGCAGUGUGCAUGAAUUUUUAUUGUAGAAAUUGUUUUUUUUUAUUUUUAAUUUUUAAGUCUCAUAAUUCGUGAAUUUUGUACAUAUUGAUCCCAUAAAUUUUUGAAUUUUAUUAAAUUUUUUUUAGACUUGAUCGAUUGAUUGAAUCUCAUAAUAAUCCCUUAAAUGUUCCAAUCAAUAUUUUAAAAUACAGCUUUUUAUUUAAGAUUUCAAAAAGAUGACAUGAAAACAUAGUAAUACUAAAAUUUUGUUUUAAAUUACAUUUGUGUAACAAUCAAUGGUAUGUUAAAACUGGGCAAAAAAAAAAAUGGUAUAUUAAAAAAUUAUAAUUUAUUCUUUUUUUCAUAACUGUCUUCUGCUUAGAUUAAUUUUUUCCAACGUUUCUCUUCGGGAGAAUUAGUUCUUACCAAUAUAUAUGCACAUUAUCUGCUUUUUACCUGGUCUUAACACAUGAUUAAUUACUUUCCUACCUGCUAACGCGUUGACUUGCGCAUCCAAAGUAUUAUCAAAGUCACUGCCACCAAAAAGGUGCCCACUCCACAACCUUUGGUUGAACCAAAGAACAUCACAACAAUAAGGAAAUCGUUAAAUCUAUCUCCGCAACAUUUUUAUUAAUCAUUAGAUAGAUUAAACGAUCCCCCUAUUCAUAUUGUGUUCUUUUGUUGAACCAAACCAUGUCAACAAAAUAUAUCUAUGGUUAAAGCAUCUAGAUUCAAGCUUUUGGAUGUGCAACUUAAACCCCUCAAUGAAUAGCCAAGCAAUUUAUCAUGUGUUUACAGUAGGUCAAAAGAAGAAAGUGUUUGUCUAUAUAUUAAUAGGAACUAAUUCCUCUGAAGAGGAGAGAUGGAAGUGAUGAUAAUAAAAAAAAAAAAAGUCGUAUUCAGUGCACAAGGCUCCCGCUUUACGCAGGGUCUGAGAGAGGUGAAUGUCGGCUAGCCUUACCCCCAUUUUAUGGAGAGGCUGCUCCCAAGUCUCGAACCCGAGACCUACCGCUCAUGGGCGAAGACACUUGCCAUCGCACCAAGUGCGACCUCUAAGGGAUAAGAGAGUAAUCAUGAAAAUUUUGAAAGUGAAAGCAUUGCCUUGGAAUAUAUAUUCUCUUUAGGAAUUCUGUGCCCAACUAAAUUCUAGAUUCUCAAAAUAUGAAAUUAGCAACUUCACCAAACACUUGGACAUGUAACAGGUCACACGUAUGGUACCAACCUUACCAACCUUACCAACCAUCUAUAUACCUAUGUUUUCGAACAUCGUUAGAUAAUUAAAGUACAGUUCACACAGCAUUUCACAUAAAAAUGGCAUCAUACAACACAUGAGAAGUACUUCUUACAGUAGCAGUCUCGUAACAUGACUAUAGUUUUUGUUACUUCUUAAGAAAAAAGAGUUUAAAAUCCUAUUGAAAGAUAAUUGUAGAGACAGAAACCCAAACUAGUUAAUUAGGUUUCUUUACAUCUCAAUAAAAUUGAAGGGAAUGUAUCUAAUAUUAUCUACUAGAGCCUCUACAAUCAUCAUAGAAUCCACAACCCACAUUUUAAUUAAUCGAAAUUCCAUGAACACAAAUAAGCAAAAGUUGAGUGAAGCCUAAGCAAUAUGUGAUCAUUUAGAGAGUCAAACUCCAUCUUUUUAGAAUUAGGGACUUUUCAAUAUGAAAAGGUAACCUCCACAAUCCAAUAUCAUAUGAAAAGGAAAACCCAAGAAAAAUACAGUAUAAUUGUGUGCAAGAGCAACACAAAAAAAGUUGAAGAAUUAGAAAUCAUAAAGAGACUUGAGACGAUUGUUGCUCACUUAGCUAAAGAGCAUUUGCACUUGAGGUCUCGAGUUCGAUUGCCCCCUUUCUUUAGAUCGCUUGAGAGGAAAAACCUACCAUUCUCUAGUCUAAAGAUAUAUGCAUCUUUGACAUGAAUGACUAGAGGGGAAGAAAGUGCAGACAAAUCACACAUACCUUCAAAAAAUUUUAUGGGGUUGGUGAAUGGUGAUUAGGGAUACUGACUUUUAAUAGCCGUUGAUCAGUGUAUAUUGCACACGCCUUCAUCAAUGGCUAGCGUCGGUACAACUGUGAUUGGGAGGGCCUUUUUACGAUAAUAGAUGGGUAAAGGUUUCAUUAGAAGGGGAAUUUUGUUCUGGUUUGCCAUAAUAACUUGAAAUUAAUGGUUUUUUGUAAUCCUUAAGUUAUUGUCAUUUUAGGUUAACUUUGUACCUGGACUCUUUACUGGAGCUAUCAAUUGAAACCCCCAUUUUCUUACCAAAAUAUGAAAAACAAAGAGUCCCAUUUUUACAGCACAGUCCUACUCUAGUUGAAAUCCGAUCGACGGUCAAGAUUUUCUAGUCAUGUGAAAGUAUCACAUAUAUAAAAUUGACUGGAGAAGGCAUGCCACAUUGCCAUGCCCUUGACAGCUUUACUUUGUUUACAAACUUUCUAAAAGAAAGAAAGAAAAAAAUCUAAAAUGGAAGGUGAUAGCGAUUUUACCACUUGUAAAACAAAGGGUUAAACCAUAGAAAAUUCUUGCAAGAGAACAAGUGUUUGUAGUAUAGAAUGGCUCAAGCAAGGUCGAUCUCCUCAGGGACUGAUAUAAACAAUUUACGAGUUUUUAUGUAUUUAACUUAUUUAACUCUAAGAAUUACACUAAUUUAACGAAACUAAAUAUUAUUGGAUGUGACUUAAACAAAUAUCUAAAAUGGGAAUUGGUUUUAGGGAAUAAUGAUUCAACUUAAACAAAACAAGUAAAUGAGGAAAUUCAAGAUAAAAUAAAUGAUUAAGAAAAAUAGAUUGACAAUAUGCUAGAGUUCAACAUUUACCAACAACACUCUUACGUAGCUAUUCCAAUUGCUUAAAUAAUUGAAAACACAUAUGCUUUGAAUGUUGGAUUUUCCUUGUGUAUGUUUUACUUGUGACAUUCAAGCUAAAACGCAUACCACUACAUGCAACUUAUCCAUGACAUUUGAAUUAAAUAUAAACAUGAGUGAUUCAUUAAUCUUGGUGAAAAUCCUUUUGUUAAACCAUAUAAUCCCUAAGAGCAUGAUAUUUACCUUAGGAGAUUACAAUUCUCAAUCACAAGAAGCACAACCAAUUUUAACGUGACAUUCGUUCAAAAUUGCAUCCGAUAACUUUUCUAAGCAUCCUAAUGGUGAUCAAGCAUCAAGGUACAUAGAUAGUUUAAUUCAGUGAUUGAAAAUAUCAAAACAAGCAUGUAACAACACUUAAGCAAUUGAAAAAUAAAACUACGUAUUCAUGUUGCGGCUCAUGGCCUCACUCUAGCAUAAUACUUUAAAUAAUUAAAGCCCAAACAAUUUACCAAAUUUCAUCUCUGUACUCCGCAGAGACGCUAAACGAGACAUAUUUGGUCCAUCUCUGAACAUCUUUUCUUACUGUUCUUACAAUAGAAAGGGCACAAAAUUGACUUACACAGUCUUGCACAAUACUCACUUUGCUUCAACCCAUAUUUCACUUUGUCAAAUCAUACACGUUCCUGCAACAGGUGAACUCAUAUUUAUCUACCACUUCUUGCUAAUUUUAAUUUUUCCAUUCCCAUUUUUACUACAAGUUUUCACAUAAUUUUUUUAUUGCAUUUGUCAAUUCUUUAUACUUUUUAAUUGUAUUUUUUUUUUUGUCUUUUAUGUGUUUUCUAUGUUGGCACAAGGUUACAACAGUAUUAAACAAUUACAGGUCCUCCAGAGGUUUGCUUAUUGCCCUAUUUCAUCAAGCUCGGUAUAAAUAGAUCUUAAUUUUUUACUACAGUUAAAUACAUGGACAUGCCUCCACAAAUACAAAUUAGUUCUUGCUUAAAUACUUUGUGUGUUUACAUAGAAAAUGUUCCCAUCGUCUACCAAAAUCCUCCACACAUGAAAACAAAAAUUCUUACUCAAAAUACUUAUUACAAUACCACCAUAUCUGUUGUUUUUUAUUAAAUUAACACACUGUUUUCAAUUUUAUCUUCAACACAAAAGAAAAUGCUCUUACACAAUGUGUUUGCUUACAUUUUAUAACUUAUCUACCACAUGUUAAUCGCAGUUAUAUAAAUAGGAAAAUACGUGUUCAAUAGAAGUGUGAUGCAUGUCACUUCGUUAACAAUAGUGGAAACUAAACAAUUAAAUAAUUUGUUUCAAUUAGUUAGUACAUUUUAUAAAUUUCUCAAUUAGAACUGUUUCAGUAUAUUUAAUACAUUUUUAAACAACUUUCCAGUUAGUUGCCCAAACUAAUUAUUCCAGCUUAUUCACAGUAUAAUACCAACAAUUUAACAACCAAUGAUACUUCGUUUAACAUAAACUUCAUUUGGAAAAAACAAAAAAAAUCUUUUUCUCUGCUGAAAAAAUCAACAGAUUUAAUGAUGUAGAUCAGUUAUACCAACAAAUUACCAUAGUUUACCCAAUGCUAUACAGGUUUGACUUUUGUUUAUAUUCUUGGAUCUGUUGCUUGGUUGUAUAAUUUGGCUGUGUGUUUUGUUUCAGGACAAUUUGUUCUUCGUUUCUUGAGGCUUCUAUGUGUAGAUUUGAACCGUUUAGCUUUCAAACCGUUUAUACUCAAGGUAAAUAAUUUCGUUUGUUUCUUUUUAACCUUUUUUGUAAGAAUUUUUUAUUUAAUGUUGUGAGAGUUGUGUUUUCUAUAGUAUGGAAAUUGAAUCUUUGUGAUCUUAUAUCGUUAGAUACGUUGCUUGGUUAAUGUGAACACGGAAAAUUCCCGAAACGAAAAAGACAAGAACAACGUGCACAAACAAAUAUUUUGUAUUUGAUGAUUAUUUUGGGUUACAAUCUCUCUCUAAUUUGAUCCUCUGAUUCGAUCUCCGUAAGAUAUUGGUUUGUGGAUGUGCGAUUGAUCCAAGGGCCGUCGAGGCUUGAUCUUGGAUGAACGGUGAUGAACGGAUCUUCAAGGGCUUUUGGGCUUGAUCUUGAAGAAUAGUGAUGAACGGGUCUUCAAGGGCUUUUGGGCUUGAUCUUGAAGGAUGGUUGGAUGUGUGGAUUUGUCGACGUUGUUAAUCCAAAGGGCUGUUGGGGCUUGAUCUUAGGAUGAACGGAUGAUGAACGAAUAACACUUUCUUCAAGGGCCGUCGGGGCUUGAUUUUGAAUUGGUGAAAGUUCUUCAAGGGCCGUCGGGGCUUGAUCUUGAAGGUAGAUGAUUGUUGAUCCAAGGGCUGUCGGGGCUUGAUCUUGGAAGAACGAUGAACGAAGAACGAAGAAGGCUUUCUUGAUUCUUCGGGAACCUGGAUGCUUGAGAGCUUCGGAGUUUCAGAGCUUCAGAGCUUCAAGGUGUAAUAUGAAUUUGGUUCCCUUAAAUGAAUGAAAUUGGCUUCUAUUUAUAGAAUUUUCCAAGGCCUAAUUUUGAAUAUAAUAUUCCAGAUGAAAUAAGUCGUUUCUGCCAAGUGUUGACACGUGUCCUAUUUGAUGACUUUUCCGACUCAUUUCAAUUUUUCGUCGAGUCACACACUACGUGUAAAAUUUAUGUAAUACAUGAGCGUUGAAACUUUGAUUUAUCAGUCAACAUUUAUUUACCAAAAUUUCGAUGUCUACAAAUGCCCCCACUUCAAGGCGCGUCGUAUACAUGUGCUUGUCACGUGUAGGAGAUGCGUUUUGAAGUCCCCUUACUGUAGAUGUCGAUCCAAGGGCCGUCGAGGCUUGAUCUUGAACCGGGCUGGAGAUUUCUUCAAGGGCCGUUGAGGCUUGUUCUCGAACUUUGUUCGAAAUUUCUUCAAGGGCCGUUGAGGCUUGAUUUUGAAUUGGGCUGAAAGUUUCUUCAAGGGCCGUUGAGGCUUGAUCUUGAAUUGGGUUGAAAGUUUCUUCAAAGGCCGUUGAGGCUUGUUCUUGAACCUUGUUUGAAAUUUCUUCAAGGGCCGUCGAGGCUUGAUCUUGAAUUGGGCUGGAAGUUUCUUCAAGGGCCGUCGGGGCUUGAUUCUUGAAGGUGGAUGAUUGUUUAUUCAAGGGCCGUUGAGGCUUGUUCUUGAACCUUGUUUGAAAUUUCUUCAAGGGCCGUCGAGGCUUGAUCUUGAAUUGGGCUGGAAGUUUCUUUAAGGGCCGUCGGGGCUUGAUUCUUGAAGGUGGAUGAUUUUUUCUUCAAGGGCCGUUGAGGCUUGUUCUUGAACCUUGUUUGAAAUUUCUUCAAGGGUCGUCGAGGCUUGAUCUUGAAUUGGGCUGGAAGUUUCUUCAAGGGCCGUCGGGGCUUGAUUCUUGAAGGUGGACUCGAACACAUGGCAAGCAGGCACGAGGUGAAGGUGACGGUCUGUUUCUUUGCUCAAUCUUUCCAAGUGCCGACCGAUUGCUUUUCUUUCUCCUUGUCCCGCAGGCAAGAGCAAGGGUAAAAGAAAAGCAUGCCAUGAGAUAUCUUUGUUUUUGACUCUGAUGAUAUGAGGUACUUCUGCUUUUGAAGAAGUUGCGGAUGAAUCGACACGUGCUUUGUUGUGCUUGUCUCCACAUGCUCAGACUCUUGGCAGAAUGUGAAAGGUGGCAUUUUCUCGAGUUACUCAACUCAGACUCAUUCUGCUGAGUUGACUGUGCGGGCCGCAUUCUUCUCUGCUUGUUUCUUCUGGCAGCCUUGCUCUCGAGUACUCAUCUUUAACAUCUUAUGUUUCUUCUUUGUCUACCACACUGUGGAAGACGAGUACUCGAGAGUAAUACCAUGUAAGCAAUCAGAAAAGGGUUCCAAGCAGUCGGUUCCAGAUCGGAAGAUUGAUACCAAGUGUUGGCUGAUUGCUUUCCUUCUCAUUGUCCUACAGGUUAGAACAAAGACAAGGAAAAGGACACGGAGAAUGCAUGAUAUGAGAUACUCUUGCUUUCUCCCUUCAUGAUAUGAAAUACUUUUGCUUUUCAAGAUUUGUUUGCAGAGGUAUCCUAUGGGAUGAAGAACACUGAGUGAGUUGAGAGGGUUUGUUGGAAAGCCAUUUGUCGGAGAUGACGGAAUGUUAUGUAUGUCUGCCUUGCCAUGGAGCGUGAAGGUCGACAUUUGUAGGAAAUAAUAACUGGUACUGUUCUUUCACUCCUGUCGGCAACCGUUGGAUGAUUGAACAGUAAACUUCACGUGAUUUCCUCAAAGCUUUUUCUGCAUGCGACAAGUGCUGACGAGGCUGAGAGAGACAUGCGAUUGGAAUCGGCGCUUCGACAAACUUUUCCAUGAUUUUCGCAAAGCUGACGAGGCUGAGAAAGACAGAUGGUUUGGAAUCGGCGUUUCGAUAAACUGCCCGUGAUUUCCGCAACGCUGACGAGGCUGAGAAGGACAGAUGGUUUGGAAUCGGCGUUUCGACAAAUUGCCCGUGAUUUCUGCAACGCUGAGUUUGCGUGUGACAGGUGCUGACGAGGCUGAGAAAGCUGACACUUCUUCGAUUUUUGAGAUCAGUCCGUGAUCCUUGAGUAGGCCUAGCUUUGGAGAAAGCAGGCGCUUCAUCGAUCUCUGAACUCGCCUCUUCGAUCUCUGAAAGCCCAUCGCAUGCUGUUUUUUUAUAGAGGUACGCAAGACAUUCAAAGCACACUUGAAUUUCUACCUGUGAAAAAAAACUCCCCUUUUGCAUAUCUGAGAUCUUUAAUUUGCCCGACCUCUUCAUUUUGUUGAACACCUUCGGAAAUGUCUUUCCCAUCUGACCGUCGUCUUGACUUGAAUAUCGAAGAAGAUAUUGACAUGUCUUCUCCAGGCAACAUUUGGCAGCUGUCCUUCGUAUCCUCCAACGAACCUCUUACGGUUGGGGACACUGUGAUGAGGAAUGACGCAACGGCUGCAGUGGUUGCUAGAAAUCUUCUCACUCCUAGGGAUAGUAAGAUGCUUUCCAAGCGGUCCGACGAGAUGGCUGUUCAAGACUCUCUGGCCUUCAGCGUCCAAUGUGCGGGCUCAGUAUCAAACAUGGGCCAACGCCUUCUUGCUCGAUCUCGUCAGGUUGAGUCUUUGAUGGCCGAGGUGGCUAGUCUUCGGCAGGAGAUCAGAGGGCUUAGGCACGAGAAUAAAGAGUUGCAUAUGCUAGCAACUAGUUACUCAACGAGCAUGAAGAAGAAGCUAGACCAACUGCAGGAGUGUGAAGUUCGGGCUCGAAAUGAUCAUCAAAGGUUUAUGGCGUUACUCCCGAGGCAUCUUCUGCCUUCGUCAUCUGGCGCUUCACCAAAUGUUGAGGCUCCGGAAAAUCAAACUCUGGCGCUUCGUCUUUCUGGAGCUUUACCAAGUGUGGAGGCUUCAGUUGAUCCACCUCCGGUGCUUCGUCUUUCUGGAGCUCCGUCGAGUACUGAGGCACCACAUGAUCAUCCUUGAAGAUCCUUUCCUGUAAAUUUGAUUUGACUUUUUUUUUAAGGUAUGUAUAAUGUAAAAUUUCUAGAAAAAUAAAAUGGACUUUAUUUCUCUGAACAUGUUUUUUUUGUUUUUUUUUUUGGCUGUAUAUUUUCUCUUUAAUCAUGGUGCACCCAUUUUCCACAUGGUGCCAGACGGACCAAAGAUCAAACAUUUCCUUUUUUUAUUUUUUUAUUUUUUCUUUAAUCAUGGUGGCAGACGCAUAAACAAUUUCAUUUAUAUUUUUUUUUCUUUUUGCUGGCACAUGGUGCCAGAUGCACCAUUCAUUUAUAUAUAUUAUUAUAUAUGUUUUUUUUAUUUUUUUUUAUUUGCACAUGGUGCCUGAUGCACCACCUCUUUUUUUUUCACGUGGUGCCAGCAUCACUUUGCUCCACCAUCCAUUUUUUUUAUUUUUAUUUUCUGUAUAAAUUUGGGUGAUGGGUAGAGGAUUUUGCAGGCAGGGAGCAAGGAGGCCGAGAAGAUGGUGCUUCGAACUUCAUGACCGGCUAGUCGUUUGACGGCGGUCGUUGAAGUCGUUGGCAGUUGCGAGGCAAAAGACGGAGGAGAAGGUGGAGUAGGUGACCUUGAUGUCGGAUCCAGCUAGAACCCAGAGCACAGCGACUGAGCCCAAUCACCGAGCACAACCGCUGCACACCCGUUGUACUGCCACCGAGCACUGCCACUGCGCAUCUGUUGCACUGCCAAUUGCUGCAAAGGAUUAUGUUUAACGGCGGAGACGCUGCCCUAUUUGCCAUGCUAUGCCGACGUGCUUCACAUAAUUAACCAUCCAGAAUUGUUAAACAUUCCAUCUGGGUUUAUCGCAAAAACAGAAGAAGAAAAAAACCAAGAUCCAUCCAUGCCAAACACCAAUCUGCCAUCUUUUUGGGAUUUGUACGACAUCAUCAGCCAAAACCUGCUUGGUCCGCUCGCAAAUUGUGGGAGAGGAAGAGUUGGCGGAGCAGCUGUAACACUGGAAAAUGGAGGACGUUGACGAGUCCUCCAAGUUGUUCUUGACGUUGGUGCUGGAGAAACCUGCCUCUCUCAUGACUCUGCUGACACUUGGGUCGUCAAGGAUGGGGAUGAUGAGCUGCUCGAGCUCGACUUUGAUGGUUAAGAGCGGCUGCUGCUGCUGCUCGAUGCAGUCUCUUCUCUGAUGGGCUUGGGCUCUCUUGAGGGCGUUGGAGAGAGAGGGCUGCCCGUGGAGGAGAGGGCAUGGAGUUGUUGGGAGAAAUCAGGGCCGGAAUGGAAAAUAUUCCCGAGCUGCAUCAACGAGGAGAUAACACCGCUAAGUUAUUCAUCUGGUUUGCUUUAGUCAAAUGGAUCAAUCCGCGGGUCAUGCUCGCUUGCCAUCAUCAUCCCAGUGCACAGGCAUGUCGGGCACAUGACCUUUCCAGCACCAGAGCAAUUUGGGCACCUCUCAGUUGUGGGCACUCGCAAAGGUUGGUCUGAUGCACUAGAUGCUGAUAUAGGAUUGAUGUUCAAGCACACUCCACUUGCAGAACAUCUAGCACAGGCCAAGUACCCAGUUCCAUGGCAAUAUUUGCACCUUUUCUUCUCUUGCUGCUCAACAUUAUUAGCUUCAAUCAACAUCAAUGCUGAAAUGACACCCACUGCCCCACCGGAGAAGGAUGCCACAAUAGGAUCAACCUGACUUAAUUGUAAAGGCAGAUGCAUGCUACGAAUGAAAUCUUCAUACGAGGUACCUCCUAUACCUAAUUUUAGUUCCAACGAUGGCGCAAUGAGACCCCCAAAUACAAUUACACUAGAUAUCAUAGAUAAGCUUGUGAGGUAGAGCUGCUUCAACGUCUUUGGUGUCAUAUGAGGGAGAAAAGGGAUAGUGGAUGGAAUGUCAGGCAUCUCAUUUGACUCUUCCUCACAAGCCUCAUCCAUAUCUCUCGCCAUCUUUAUCCGUUGCUGCACCCGCAAUCUCCUUAGCUCUUCCAUGAGAAGAAAAAUCUUGUUGUGCCGGCUUCUUAUGUUGUCCUAAAUUUCCUGUAGUUGCAUCUGCACAAAGUCCUGCACCGUCUCCGGCUCUUCUAUGAUACAAAAAGUGCUUGGCGUGUUAUCGCCGGGGAAUGAUUCCUUGGAAGCAGAACAGGAAAUUUGGGGAUGCGGGGAGGUGAAUUUGGACAGAGAGAGACGUCUAGGGAUUCCAUGGGAGGGGGGUUGAGAGUGGUUUUUUGCCGGCGCCUCUAGGGUAGUCGUCGUUGGCUAUUGCUAUAGAGAGGUCAAUGACUUCACCGGAGAUGGCGUUGUUCUGGAGCCCGAGCGUGAGAAGCCGGGUGAGAUUGUCUGGAAAGGGUCCCCAGAGGUUGUUGUCGGCGAGGUCGAGAAGCUUGAGCUUGGUGCAAUUGACGAGAGGAGAAACGGUGUCGUUGAGGCGGUUGUUGUGGAGGUCGAAGAGUGAGCUGGGCGAGAUCAGAGAACCUUGACGAAUUCGGAGCGUUGAGGGUUAUCAACACGAUCCCAUCGACGAAGAAGAAGCAGAAUGGGCCUCUUGCGGGGCCUAUGGCAUCAACCGGUCUUUGGGCUUCUGGGCCAGUAAAUUGGAGAGAAGCCUGGGCUUUUGACUUGCAGAGAGAUUAGGCUCUGGGAGCCGCUUGUAGUAUUGUGGCUAAAGGGGUUGCUUCCUGUGGCCACUUAUAUAUAUAUAUUUUGUAAAUACAUAAAACAUUUAUCUCUUUUUUUUUCUUUUUUUUUUGUACAAAGAAAUUGUAAUAGCAUCAAAACUUUUAAUAAAAUCUUUAUUCCUUAUUUUGGUGUGACUGAACUCAAAUUUUGAAUAUUCGAGUUGCCUACGUACCUCUCCAAAGAAGAGAUCAAGUCGUAACGUAGUUCAAAUGAGUGAUGAAUUUAACAGUGAUUUUGAUGAUGAUUUUGUCGUACACAGUUUAUGCUCUUGCGGGCCAGGAGCUUUGGUUCGUGCAGUUUAGGCUCGUGCGAACAAGGAGUGUUGGUGUUGCCUUUUAUGCUCGUGCAGACCAGGAGCGUUGGUGUUGCCUUUUAUGCUCGUGUAGACCAGGAGCUUUGUGCCAUGCAGUUUAGACUCGUGCAGGCAAGGAGCGUUGGUGUUGCCUUUUAUGCUCGUGCAGACCAGGAGCGUUGGUGUUGCCUUUUAUGCUCGUGCAGACCAGGAGCUUUGUGCCAUGCAGUUUAGACUCGUGCAGGCAAGAAGUGUUGGUGUUGCCUUUUAUGCUCGUGCAGACUAGGAGCUUUGUUGUGCCAUGCAGUUUAGGCUCGUGCAGGCGAUGAGCUUUGGUUCAUGCAGUUUAGGCUCGUGCGAACAAUGAGCAUUGUGCCAUGCAGUUAGGCUCAUGCAGGCGAGGAGCGUUUAUUGGUUCGUCAAGCGAUCCAGGAGAGUCGUUCCUCGCAAUCUUCAUAGCAAGGAGCCUUGACUGAGUGAUUGAAGAAGUCUUUGGGGAAGAAAUCGCGCAUCGUGAUGGGGAUGGACGAUAUUUGUGUCGUCAUUUCAUCAUCUUCAACACUUUCACUUUUCUUUGAAGGUUGACAAGAGCUGCUUUGCCCCAUUUCCGAUUGGCGGACUUGUGGAUGAGACGUAUGCUUCUUCUGCAGUUUCUCUAGAGUGACAUGAGUCAUUCCUUCAACUUCGCUUGGCUCAACUGGCAUGGUUUUGGAGCAUGCCCCCAGCGAUUGAGGUGAAGAUUUUGAGUUGACAAAGCCGGAAGUGACGUCUUCUUCCAUGAUUUCAUCUUCUUUGUCUUCUUGGGCUUGUUGGCGUGAAGAUUGGCCGGCGUAGAUGAUGGUGCGCCUCUUUACCUUCAGUGGUCCUUUUGUGUCGACCUCCCAAGCUGUUUGGCGCUUUAUCCUUGAAUGAAUCAAGCUUCGAACGUCGUCUUUUCCUGCUAGACCGUCGAGCUUUUCUUCCUUUGGCGUUGUCUUCCUAUUUCUAGAAUGCUUCUUGGUUUCUUCAAGUUUUUCCAAAGCCGAUCGUUGGGGAGGAGAGCCAGCCUUGCUGCUUUGUUUCUUAGGUUUUGACAACCUUUCAAAAACAGAGCUUUGGGGUGUUGGCGUGUUAAGCCGUUUGAAGAUGGAAGUUCGGUCUUGCCCACCAAUGCGAUCAAGUGCCGACCUUCUGGGUUUUGAACGAUUCAGCCUAUCGAAGACUGACACUCGAAUAGGAGGUUGAGGCUCCUCUUGAUCUUGUUCAAUCCUCAAGCUGAUGUGUCGAGUGCUAGCAUUUUUUGCUUUACUUGAAAUCUUCACGGGUGCAUUUGGUGUGAAGCCAAGUCUAGCUCUGUUGUUGUCAACUCCGUAAUCAUGCUUUUCCAACUUCUUCUGAGUCUCGGUGAAGUCAUGAUCUUUGUCGUUGAUGGUGUUUGAAACCUUCUUCUCAAGAUUUGAAGAGGAAGCAAAGUCGUACCCAGCCUUUAACAUGAGUUCGUAGGCGUUUGGGUUGAGACCUUCUUCGGUCCUCUUAGUUGGAAUGAAGCUUGGGUUCGCUUUGACGCCAUGAUGCGCCUCCAGACGGUUGAUAAGUCCAACGGUUUGCAAGUUUUUCUCCUCCGCAGUCUUUAUCAGCCUUGCAAUUGUUUCCUUCAUCUGAACUAGUUGUUCUUCAAUAGAGGUAGCGCCGAUGGUCAUGACUUGUUCUUUGUUUGAAGCCAUGAAGUGUGCUUGAAUUUCUUGAACAGAGAAAGAGAUGAGAGGUAGAGAUUGUCCCACUGGGCGUGCCAAUUUGUGAACACGGAAAAUUCCCGAAACGAAAGAGACAAGAACAACGUGCACAAACAAAUAUUUUGUAUUUGAUGAUUAUUUUGGGUUACAAUCUCUCUCUAAUUUGAUCCUCUGAUUCGAUCUCCGUAAGGUAUUGGUUUGUGGAUGUGCGAUUGAUCCAAGGGCCGUCGAGGCUUGAUCUUGGAUGAACGGAUCUUCAAGGGCUUUUGGGCUUAAUCUUGAAGAAUAGUGAUGAACGGGUCUUCAAGGGCUUUUGGGCUUGAUCUUGAAGGAUGGUUGGAUGUGUGGAUUUGUCGACGUUGUUGAUCCAAAGGGCCGUUGGGGCUUGAUCUUAGGAUGAACGGAUGAUGAACGAAUAACACUUUCUUCAAGGGCCGUCGGGGCUUGAUCUUGAAUUGGUGAAAGUUCUUCAAGGGCCGUCGGGACUUGAUCUUGAAGGUAGAUGAUUGUUGAUCCAAGGGCCGUCGGGGCUUGAUCUUGGAAGAACGAUGAACGAAGAACGAAGAAGGCUUUCUUGGUUCUUCGGGAACCUGGAUGCUUGAGAGCUUCGGAGUUUCAGAGCUUCAGAGCUUCAAGGUGUAAUAUGAAUUUGGUUCCCCUAAAUGAAUGAAAUUGGCUUCUAUUUAUAGAAUUUUUCAAGGCCUAAUUUUGAAUAUAAUAUUCCAGAUGAAAUAAGUCGUUUCUGCCAAGUGUUGACACGUGUCUUAUUUGAUGACUUUUCCGACUCAUUUCAAUUUUUCGUCGAGUCACACACUACGUGUAAAAUUUAUGUAAUACAUGAGCGUUGAAACUUUGAUUUAUCAGUCAACAUUUAUUUACCAAAAUUUCGAUGUCUACAGUUAAAUGAUUUGGCUGUGUGCAUUGUUUCAGGACAAUUUGUUCUUCGUUUUUUGGGGCUUCUGUGCGUAGCUUUGAAGUCCUUUGUAGUCAACAUAAAUAAUUUUAUUUUUCUUUGUUUUUAGUCUUCUAUGUAAGAAUUUCUUAGUUAAUAUUCUGAGAAUUAUGUUUACUAUAGUAUGAAAAUUGAAUCUUUGUGAUCUUCGAAGUGUAACGUCAUUGCAACAUGGACGACUGCCAUUAUCGAACAUGAAAAACAUUUUGAUUUCUGUACUCCGUCUAGUAGAAAACUCUCGACUUCUUCAGAAACCACGAGAAACUUAAAACUGAGAAAGCUUCGCGGUCUCCCUUCCAUCUCUGCUACGCGGUCUCUGCUUUGCGAUCUCUGCUUCCUUCGUGAUUUCUUCCUUCCUGAACGACAUCUAUUCGAAUUGAAAACCUUCUGGAGCUCUCUUCCCCAAAUUUCAGCAGCAACUUUGCUCCAGAUCUUUCCAAUUGAAAUUCCUCUCCUUCACAUUUUGCAUAUUGAAUUUCGCAUCAUCAUCAUCUCCCUAGAACCUAGGAGUUCGGUUCGGUUUCGAGUUUUCCGACGGAAAUCCGGCGACAGCGGCCAUCGAGGUUGGUCUGAAACUAUUCCUCAUCACCACAGGUACUUUCUACACCUAUUACAUUUUAGAAAAAGUUUCAUGACUUUGUGGAAUCCAAUUUAACGAUUAGAAAAAUUUUCAUUAAUUUUCUGGGUUCGUGAGUUGGAGGGGGAUUAGAAAUUUUUUCAUUAUUUUUCUGGGUUUGUGGUUUUUUUUUUCCAAAACGUUUUUCCUUUCUACUAAUCCAAGUUCCUUCACAUCAAUCUCUCUGUUUUGUUCUUGAUCUUCCUCGAGUAGAAUACCUCUUCUUGCUCUGGAGCGCGUGGGCAGUCUCUCUAAGGCAGCCCAUGACGUCAUUUUCCGAUUCGACUCGGAGGAGGUUGGCUGCUCUUCUUGGCUGAGCUUCAUGGCUGGCCGAAUUCCCCUAUUCCCUUCCUCUUAUACUUUUUUAUAUUCGUUCACCAAAACAAUAGGAAAACGUCUCCGUCUGUUUGAUUGACGGCGAAAAAAAAAAAGACGGAGAAUAAAAGCCUGACGGAAGCUGAAAGCUUGGACUCUGUUUGUAUUUUUAAUGGAUUUUCAGAACACAGGUCAAGAAUAUUGCGAUUUGAGAAAAAAAGAAAGAACCACGUUGACAUAAUAUAUUCACAAUAGGUGUACAAGGUUCAUAAAGCUUUACUGUGGUUCCAUUUUUUGUUAAUGGAAUUAGCCUUUUGUUUUAGGAAGAACUUGGAACCCCCUCCGUCCAUUCUAUCCCCAAUGGAAUUAACACUUAGAUAGUACUAUGACAAUGUGUCAUUAUUUGAUGCAUACCUGUAUAAAUUUAGGCUAAGUGUUUUAUACACAAAUUGAUACAGAUUAACUAUACAAUGAUAACUAUAUACCGGAGAGCUAACUAUACAAUGAUACAUUCUUAUCUGUUAAUUAUCUUUGGUUACCAGCUAUCCAUGUUGCUGUCAUAUUAAACUACACAACAUCAGUUGUAAUUUAUGUCUUAUUAGUAUCAUCAUUUUUGUUCAUUAUUUCAAUGUCUAACAUAACUCCGCCUAUGUCUUACAUGGCCGGUCCCAAGCCCGGAUAAAGGAGGAGGGGGAGGGCGUCAGGUAGUCGACAGCCGGCACUCCAUGAUCACGUCGAAUCCUUAUGAAAAUGAAUCCAGAACAAAACCCCACUUAGUGGGAAAAGGCUUUGUUGUUGUUGUAUUUCAAUGUCUAACAUGAUGAUCUGGUUUCAAUUUGCUACAGGCAUUAUUUCCAGACAAUAGCUAUGGUUUUGAUUGUAGCGGUGACUGAAAAAUUAUUCCGAAACUAACAUUUGAGGAAUUCAAGGUUUGUUAGUUAAUUUGUACAUCAGAAUACCAUGACAAACUAUGAAGUUGUAAUUGUUGACCUUACAAUGUAUCUUUUUUGGUUUGGAGCAUUAGACUUAUAUGUGUUGCUUUCACCUCAUGAAGGCUAACUCUUUAUUUUAGGCCGUAAGAGUAUAAUUUCUUGGAGAAUCUACAUUGUUGAUAAUUUUUUGAACAAUAUUAUCCCCAAAAUUUCUCCGCAUGUUACCCUCAACGUAGACAUCAUAUAACCAUCAUUGAACUUCUGAACCAAAAAUUUGAGUUUUAUGAUUAUAACUAAACGUCUAUAAACACAUGAUACAGAUUGAGACGAAUGUCAAAUUUAAAAUGGCAUUAAUACAGCUGCAAACUCUGAUUUGCGGGAUUUGAAAUGGAGCAGUUACUUCUUGCUUCACUUCAGCAGCAUAGUCCAGCUUCUAAAUUCAGUUCUCAGGUAUGAGGUUUCUCAGUUACCUCUUUUUUGUAAUAAAACAUUUGAUCAGUACUUGCCAGGAUAUCCAAUUAAUUAGGUCAGUUUUUGUUAGCAGUAAUAAUUUGUUUUUGCAGCUUUAUAUGUGUCUCUGUCUCCAAAUAUGAUGAUCUCUUAAUUUGCUUCUAUAGCUUUUGUAAUAUAAUGAUCUCUUAAUUUUCUUUUGCAUAUCUUCUUUGCUUCCUCUGCUAGCUCUAUAUGAGAUUCCAUCUCCAAAUAAUUAUUCCUUAUUUCCUAUUUUUACCAGAAGCAAAUCAUUGAAUACACAUGGUAAAUUAAAAGGGUUUUAGUUUUUGGAGUAGUUUAAAUUUUUUGUUUGUUAUUGCUUGUAUUGCUGUUAAAUAUUUGAUGGGUAGUUUGAAAUGGGGAACUUGGUUGAUUGAGUAUUAACUUUUAUUAAAUUAAUAUUCUUAUUCAAUAUUGAAUUAAGACUCCUCUUAUUAAAUUAAGACUCUUAAGGCUCUAAUCUAAUGUUCAUGCUCAAUAUCUCCUCUAUCUUUCUACAAUUGGUAAAACUUUUGUAUUAUUAUUCCAAUUUUGGUUACUGGGUUGUGGAAUUUUCCAUUUUUUUUCUGGGUAAUCAAUACUAUAUAUAUGCAUGACAAGUAUAAACAAUAUUUUGGGGCAAAUUUAGUUGUUUAAUUUUUAAUUUUUAUGUGACAGUGAGAUUAUGGUAGGAUUUCGUUUAGAUUCUGCGGCCCAAUGGGAGUCUCUGCUUUGAUAAGAUUGGGGUUGAUGCCAAGAAAGCCAAUAAGCCUACUGUGGACGCCGUAGCCGCCUGGCGCUGUUUUCCAAAAUCCUCUCUCACUUGGUUAAGCAAUUAAGACUUUUUGGUUCAGUUUUUAUUAUGCCCAAUUUUGUAUUUAAACCUUAAAAAAAUUUAAACUGAUAUGGGGAUACUGAAAUAGGCUGCAGAGCUGCCAUCCCUGAAUCAGAAGAUGUUCAGAAGGAAGAAGAAGAACAAGAAGAAAGUCGUGGAAUAUCAAAAGCUUUUAGCUUUGUGAAGGUAUGCUUUUUCCCAACUCACCUCUUGCUUUUGUUGCACUGAAUUGGUAGAUUGGGUUCAAAAAUAUAUAUAUGUGAUUUUUCGUGUAACUAUUUCUUUACAUAAUUACCAAUUGGAGGUGAUUUGAGAUCAUGUAACAUUUCCUCGCUAGAACCGAAGAUUGCCGUCGCUCAGAGCUGCGUUUCAUGAAACAAGUUCAUCUCCUGCCAAUUUUGUGUACCCACCUUUUAUUCAUGAGGGUUGGUGCUUGCUUGCAACACAAUUUGGUGCUAUUAAGUUUUGCGGUUUUACAAUUUGUUCAUGCUUAAACCUCUUUCAAAUUUUCAUUUCUAUGUAAAUCUUGCAGGUAGGACGACACACCUAUCUUGGCAAUGUCGGGAUGUCUAGGCUUGGGUGGAGACGUGGUCUUAUGGAAGAGGUGAAGUAGCUUAGCUCGAUCUCAUUAGCUCUUAUCUGUUCUAUUAUGCUAAGAUCAAUAGUAAAAAGUUCUAUUGAUUUUAUAAUCAAAGAUACAUAUAUUAUAGAAACAGAGGGUAUAUAAUUAAUUUCUUGAUGUAAACAAUUAUAACUUGAGGAACCAUUUAAAGUAUUUUGGUAAUCAGCAUACUUAAACUUAAAUGUGAUAUAUCCGUUUAGUAUUUUUUUUAUACAGUGAUAAUACUUAAGUAUAAUUUACAUCAUAUAUCUUUUGAAGUACAUGAAACUAUGAAGAAAAUGAUAAACCAAAUCCCAUUCCAUCUCUGUUUGCUACUGCACAAUCACAAUCCAAUUCCAACAUGGAAUCCUCAGACGACAUGCCUACUGCAGAACAAGUUUCAUCCUGACUUAACUUAUAUUUAGUCCACGUCCUGUUUAGAUUGUAAUCCUAGUUCUACGUGUGUUUGUAUAGUACUCCUAUAAAUAUCAAUGAACAUCGCUCACUCUAAUUAAGAGUUGAGAUUCUGCAAAUCAUAUUUACUAUCUUUCAUGGUAUCACGAGCCAGCGUCUAACGACAACGGUUCCUAUUAUAAUUUUUUUCUCUUUUGCAGAUCCUAAACUAUGGCAUCUUCUUCCUCCUCCGCUGCUCCCUCCAUCACAAAUUUUCUUACGAUCAAGCUCGACCGCAACAACUACCCUCUUUGGCAUGCUCAGUUUCUUCCCUUGCUGCGCAGCCGCAACUUACUCUCUUAUGUUACUGGCGAAACUCAAUGCCCCUCUUUCUUCUUGAUGACAAUGGUAAAUUCACCGAUAAAGUCAAUCCAUUAUAUAAUGAAUGGAUCCAGACUGACCAGAUGAUCCUAUCUUGGAUUACGAGUUCUCUUACUCCCAAGGUUCUUGCUACGAUCGUCAACAAAAUUGAUUCGGCCUCUGCUUGGUCGUCAAACUCGAAUUAAUCUGAUUGUGAGGGUUUUGUUUUAUAUCAAUAUAUUGCAACAGAAGUCACACUUUGAAGAGUUCAUGCUGCACAGAAAGAUGAUGAAAUGCUACCCGUUGAGUCUAUCAUUGCUCCAUUGGAGACAGAGCUGAAGCUUACUGCAGGAGUUAUACAUUUGUUAUGCAAUAUGACCCCUUUAAUUUUAUUUUAAAACUGAUACAAAAAUACUACAAAAAUUUAUGUAGUAUUUUUGUAUCAGUUUUGAGUGUCUAUUUUGGCUUCCAUAUAUCGUCUGUACAUGUGAGAGGUAUAGUGUUCAAUAUGUAUUUGGUUUCUAUAUUGUUAAUGGAUCCUUUUUUUUUUUUUAAUUUUAAUAUAAUUUUAUUAAGGUAACCAAGUUGCAGGAUGACAUCAGAACACUUGAUCUGCAGGUAAACCUUCAAUUUCCAUAUGAAGUUUGCAUGUUCGUUGUUUCUGGAAUUUGAGUUUUUAUUAUUUCUCAAUUCUAUCACAUAGAUUACGAUUUCACAUAUGUGAUUAUUAAUGGCAAUUAUAUGAUAGAAGAAUUGGGAUUGGAAGAAGAUAUUGAGUUGUUUAUUUAUGGGGAUUAGAAAAUGAUUAUCAUACAAGUGAUAUUUAUUUUUGUGUGGAUUGUUAAUAUAUAAAACUAUAAGCUUUUGAGAUUGGGAGAUAAAACCCACAAAUUCAAAUCAGACAAAAUAAAUAAAAAAUUUAACUGACUUAAAGAUCAAACUCCAAAAGGGUAUUAAAAACAAGGCUUAUUUGAUCCAUUGAGUGUGAAAGUUUUGAGCUUUGAAGAAGCAUAGGAGGAGAGUUGUUAACCAAGCUGCAUUAUCCAUGUAUUAGGAUGUUGAGGGUAGGCAGGAAAAAUACUUUUUGACGCCAUAUCCAGAGGAGCAUAACGACAGGCCUGCAUUUUUGCAGCAAGGACCAAAACAAGUAGAAGUGAAGGCUUGACUGUUUGGGUAUUAAUCCUAAACCUAAUUAUUCUUAUUUAGGUUUAGGAUAAAUGAUUGAGUGUGUCUCGAUGAUUGUAUUACCAUGUUUGAUGAAUGACUUGAGGAGUUGGAAAUGGUUUAUUGCUUAUGUUUUUCUUAGGUGUGUACUUUGGUUAUUUCCGAGCUUUUCACGACUCUUGAUACCUAAUAGAGAAAAUGGAAACCCCAACUUUAAUUUUAUGAAUUGGUUUUGGUGCCUAAAAUGAAAUCUAGCAUAGUGAAAUCUUGCAUAAUGAAAUUAUGACAAAUUUCCCUUCAUCUUUAGAUUUUCAUUUAGUUCAAUUUGUAUGCAAUUUAGGGUUAUUCAAUUCAUGAGUGAUCAAAUUAUGUUUUUAAUUCCUUCUUCUUUUGAUUUACAGUUCAACAUUGUCGUACAAAAUGAAAAAGGUGCCAGUAACAUAGUUAUGGAUUUGGAUGCCUUUAGCGGAAUAAAACUGAAUUUUUUAACUUUGUAUAGUUGUAAACAUAAAAUACUCCAUCAGAUAGACUCAUAGCAUUUGAAAACAAUCCUUGAGGAUGGCAUAACAACAUCUCCAACUUUUGUCAUGUAAUGUAUGAAUGUAAAUAGCACUUUGUAAACAUAUGGAUGUAAUAUAUGUAUAUAAACAGUCUUUAGCAUGUAUAUUUUUCAAAACUUUCUACAUCUUCAACAAUGUUUCAAUGAUUUCUUGAUGUAAACAAUGAUAAUUUGAAGAACCAUUUAAAGUUUUCGGUAAUCAGCAUACUUAAGCUUAAAUGUGAUAUAUCCGUUUAGUAUUUUUUAUACAGUGAUAAUACUCAAGUAUAAUUUACAUCAUAUAUCUUUUGAAGUACAUGAAACUAUGAAGAAAAAACCCUAAUUAAUCUGAUUAUGGGGGUUUUGUUUUAUAUCAAAAUAUUGCAGCAGAAGUCACACUUUGAAGAGUUCACGCUGCACAGAAAGACGAUGAAAUGCUAUCUGUUGAGUCCAUCAUUGCUCCAUUGGAGACAGAGCUGAAGCUUGCUGCAGGUGGUAUACUUUUGUUCUGCAAUAUGACCCCUUUAAUUUUAUUUUAAGACAGAUAGGGUUGAAAAGAAUUUAUGUAGUAUUUUUGUAUCAGUUUUGAAUGUCUAUUUUGACUUCCAUAUUUGGUCUGUACAUGUGAGGUAUAGAGUGUUCAAUAUGUAUUUGGUUUCUAUAUUGUUAAUGGAUCUUUUUUUUUUGUUUUUUAGGUAACCAAGUUGCAGGAUGAAAACAAAACACUUGAUCAGCAGGUAAACCUUCAAUUUCCAUAUGAAGUUUGCAUUUUUGUUGUUUCUGGAAUUUGAGUUUUUUGCAGGAUGAAAACAGAACACUUAAUCUGCAGGUAAACACUUGAUUUGUUAUUUCCAAGCUUUUCACGACUUUCGAUACCCAAUAGAGAAUAUGGAAACCCCAACUUUAAUUUUAUGAAUUUGUUUUGGUGCCUAAAAUGAAAUCUAGCAUAGUGAAAUCUUGCAUAAUGAAAUUAUGACAAAUUUCCCUUCAUCUUUACAUUUUCAUUUAGUUCAAAUCGUAUGGUUUAGGGUUAUUCAAUUCAUGAGUGAUCAAAUUAGGUUUUUAAUUCCUUCUUCUUUUGAUUUUCAGUUCAGCAUUGUCGUAUUUUGGAUGCCUUUAGUGGAAUAAAACUGAAUUUUUUUAACUUUGUAUAGUUGUAAACAUAAAAUACUCCAUGAGAUAGACUCAUAACUUUUGAAAACAAUCUUUGAGGAGGGCAUAACAACAUCUCCAACUUUUGUCAUGUAAUGUAUGAAUGUAAAUAGCACUUUGUAAACAUAUGUAUGUAAUAUAUGUAUAUAAACACCACUCUUUAGCAUAUAUAUUUUUCAAAACUUUCUACAUCUUCAACAAUGUUUCAAGCCCCGCGGCAACGGGCGGGUACACUUGCUAGUAUACAUCUAAAAUUAUAAGACUAAAUCCUUUAGUUCUUGGAUUCAUCUAAGAACUACUUAUUCCAGCAGAUGCUAUGCUUGCACUACUAGAAUUUAUGGCUUGCCCUGUCAACUAUUGCGCGACAGAAGAUUUCGUCGGUUUCACCUUUUUUAACCGACAGAAUAUAAGUUUAGUAGGGCAAAAUCAGUCAACAAACUGGGUUGAUUGAAUAAAUUUACAGGAUGGCUAGAGUUCGUAGGUUAAGACAUCGGUCGUUGGGCAAACAUUUGGAGCGAAGAUGUGAGUGUUUUAACUGACGAAUAAGCUGGUCGUCAUGUAGAUCUUCUUUCCCGACGGACGGUUCAACAGGUAGCUCUUUGGAUAAUAAUUCAUCUUCAAGGGGAACAGGUUGCCCCUCAGAUGAAUGGUUAGAGGCAAUUGUGAGACUAUAAUUUUCUAGGGCCGGAAUAAAAAAUACAUAAACCCUCACCUAUUCUGUCUCUGUAACCAUCCACCAAAUACCCAUUUUUCCCUUUCUAUUUCUCUCCUAGUAAUUUCCCCUGACCGAAUCACACAAUCCAACCAACUCUCUUUAAGCCUCCCUCACUGAUUCCAUGGAUUUCAUGGACUUAUCCCACCCUCUCUCCUUCCUUCUAUAUAUAGCAAGUCCCCUUGCCUCAGUGUCCCUGGCAACAGAAUUUAUGGCGUUUCUUCGUUCUUUCAAUUAUUUGAAAGCUUCCCUGCCCUGCAAUCUUGUAUAAAGGCGUAUGGUGUUUCAUCAGUUCCAUUUGGUGGUCGGGUGGGAAAUGAAAUUAAAACACUGCAUUUCAAAUGCAUUUCAAAUGGUCUAAACCAAAUUGAAUCAAAUGUGAAGCAAAGGGCAAGAGGUGUAGAUUGAAGAACAAUGGCACCAAGAGCGAAAUUGAACUUGUUGACAGGAGGAAACCAAGUAAGGAUAACACGUCUAAAUCUUAUUUUGAAUCCAUUCAGCUCAUGAUGUUUUGAAUGAUGAUGAUCGGUAUACUCUGCUACAUGCUGUGAUUUUUCCGCUUUCAUGUAAUUAACGGCUUAUAUUUGUGGUAACCAUAUUGAUUAAAAAAGGUCGUACCCAGUGCACAAGGCUCCCGCUUUACGCAGGGUCUGAAAGGUGAAUGUCGGCUAGCCUUACCCCCAUUUUAUGGAGAGGCUGCUCCAAAGUCUCAAACCCAAGACCUACCGCUCAUGGGCGAAGACACUUGCCAUCGCACCAAGUGCGAUAUUGAUUAAUUUCGAGAAAUGACAGUCUAAUUUUUGCAACUGUCUUUUGCAGGCAAAACAAAGACGUUUGCAAGGGUGAGUUGUGUAGGAGCUUUGUUUCAUGUCCAAAGGACACUUGAGAAUAAAUGUUUACACUCAUGGAUAAUAUCUAUCUAUUUGCAGGAGUAACCCUGGGUUCAUUUGUUCUGUAACUGCUGGUCAUUGCGGCAUAUCACGCCUAUAGCACUGACAAAAGUAAAAAGAGAAUCGAAUGAAAUUUGAUAAGUUUUCAGCGGACUACAAAGAUCUUAAGCCAAGCAUAUAUUCCCAUGCAGAUAUUAAGAGGUUUACAAAUCAAUUCAAGUACAAGUUGGGCCAAGGAGCAUACGGAACUAUUUUUAAAGGAAUGCUUUUUUCUGAAUGCUUUGUUGCCAUGAAGUACUUAACAAUGGGCCAUAUUCACCAUGUCAAUGUGGUUCACUUGGUUGGUUUUUGUGCUGAUGGAUUUAGAUGAGCUCUGGUUUAUGAGUUCUUUUCCUUUGGUUCACUCCAGGAUUAUAUUUCAUCAGUAGAUAGAUUUCUUUCCUUGGUUGGCAUAAGUUACAAGAUAUUGCUAUCAGCAUAGCCAAAGGAACCAAGGAUGUGAUCUACAAAUCCUCCAUUUCGAUAUCAAACCCCAUAAUGUUUUGCUCAACCAAAAAAUCACGCCAAAAAUCUCUGAUUUUGGUCUGGCCAAGUUAUGUUCCAAGGAUCAAUCGGCGUGACUAAAGCAAGGGGGACUAUGUGACUAAAGCACCCGAAGUGUUUUCCAGGAAUUUCGGAAAUGUGUCUUACAAGGCAGAUGUCUUGAAUGCUGCUGCUUGAGAUGGUAGGAGAAAAGAAGAAUAUUGGUUCAACCAGAGGACACGACAAAUGAAAUCUACUAUCCAAAAUGGAUUUAUAAUCUUCUAGAGGAAGGAAAUGACCAACAGAUCCCUAUUGAGGAAGAAUGUUAUGGUAAGAUUCCAAAGCAACUUGCAAGUUUAGGGCUCUGGUGCAGCCAGUGACACUCAGUGGAUCGGCGGUCCAUGAAAACGGUGGUUCGGAUGUUAGGAGGAGGAGAAAACUUGAUGAUGCAAGCAACCCUAAAAGCCUCAUACAGUUAGAAGCAAUUGCUGAAUUAGAGUAACAUACGUAUAUGUAUACGCACCAACACAAGUCGUUCUUAGAUGAAUCCAAGCCAAACAAUUACAGACAAUAGUUAUUCACUAAAUCACUUUAAGGCAAGAAUUUAAUUAAUAAUACAUUACUGCACUUUCUUAACCAUUUGACUAUCACCUAGCUGACAAUGAACACGUUAGCUCCGCGUUAGAACAUCUUGGGUUCAAUUCAUUGUCUUGAAUAUCACCCACUGUCACAGGCGUCUUUUGGGGGCAUAGAGAAGGCCUGAGAGGCAUUUGCAGACAUUCAACAUCUCCUCCAAGCAUUUUGACAACUUUGGACAUCGAAGGGCGAUCACUUGGUUUCAUUUGAAUACACCACAAGGCGGUUAUAACCAUCUUUCUUAUUACUUUCUUUUCCUCCUCUGU
rnacentral:lncRNA from 1 species